UUUUUUUUUUUUUUUUUUGUUUUGUUUUGUUUUGUUUUUUGUCUUCUUCUUCCUCCUCCUUCCUCCUCCUUCUUCUUCUUCUUCCUCCGACUGCAACUUUUUUUUUUCUUCCUUCUUCUUCUUCCUCCUUCUUCCUUCUUCUUCUUCUUCUUCUUCCUUCCUCCUUCCUUCCCCUUCUUCUCCUUCUUCCUUCUUCAUUCUUCUUCAUCUUCCCCCCCCCCCAAAAAAAAACCUUCAUCUUCCCCAAAUUUGAGGAAGAAGAAGGAAGAAGGAGAAGAAGGGGAAGGAAGAAGGAGGAAGAAAGAAGGAGAAGAAAGAGGAAGAAAAAAAAAAGGUUGCAGUCGGAGGAAGAAGAAGAAGAAGAAGAAAGAAGAAGGAGGAAAAAUGAGGAAGAAGAAGAAAGAAGAAGAAAAAAAGGAAGAAGAAGAAGAAGGAGAAGGAGAAGGAAGAAGAAAGAAGAAGAAGAAGAAGGAGAAGGAGAAGAAGAAGAAAGAAGGAGAAGAAGGGGAAGGAAGAAGGAGGAAGGAGGAAGGAAGAAGGAGAAGGAGGAAGAAAAAAAAAUUGCAGAAGAAAGAAGAAAAGAAAAAAAAAAUGUGGAUGACACAUGGCACCCAGUCAUGGCGCCACGUCACAAUUAACGAUAAAUUUAACAGUUUGACUAACAGAUGUAUAGACUGUCCCAAAAUUUACAUUUGAGGUAUGAAUCUGAGACGAAAAAAACUUGAUGUACUAAAUGUUGAAAACCACAAAACAUGAGGGUAGUAAACAGUCUUUUACCCGUAUUUAUUUUAGCCUUGUAAAGAAUUCUUGAUUUGUUUAAGAAUCAUGAGUUUAUUUUUAUAAGAGAAAUUUAUUUUUCAGCCCGUUUAAUUUCCUUUUAUUUAUUUAGUUUUUAGCUUGUGUUUCGGAUUCGAGUUCGAAUUUCCCACCGACUCUACAUCCGGAUCGUGAUAAUGACCAUUUCAUAUUUAAGUUUUAGUGUUUAUUUAUCUCUAUUAAUUAAUGAAACCCUCUUUGUCAACUAAAAGAGGGUGAAAAGACUACUUAGUCUUUUAUCACACAAAAAAAAUGAUGGGCAAUAAUAUAAUUUCACAGAUCUAAAUUUUACUUUUUUUUAUUGAAACCUCACGUGAUGUUAAAAUACCUCCAAUAUUAAAUUUAAAAAAAAAACCUCCCACUCCCCCCAUGUUCUCGGGUGAUGUUAAAAUACCGCCAGUUGUCUUAAAGCAAACGUUCACAAUAGUAAGCGACCCGUCUUCCUACAGUGGGAUUCUAGGGAGACCUUGGCUAAUAAAGCUUGAUGUUGUCACUUCCGUCAAGUAUCACAAGAUUCGAUUCCAAAAUUUUUAUUUUUUUAAUAUUUAAUUGAUAGGGCACAAUUACAAAAUUUGUGGUAAGAUGGAUGGGAAAAUCGUCUGACAACCUCGUCAGAAUAGAGGCACAAAAAAAAACAUUGUUUGUGCCCAACUCUUUGAGCACUAAACGUCAUAUUGUGCCCUUUGGUCAAAGGGCACGCUGACAGAGCGCACAUAUACAAUUUUGGUUGCUGCACUGUGGAGUAAAAAAUAAUCGAGAAAAAUAUGGAGGCGACACAUGGAUUCUUGGGUAAAAAGGAUAAAAUUACCCUUGAGGCACAUCGAAGCUCUCACGUGCGAGAAGUAGACGAUGAUGGCUCAAUCAAAGUUAAAAGGGAUCAAAAUAGGUACUUAUUUAAAGCCUAUUUCAUUCAUCCUCAUCUAAUUCUCCUUACAAGAUAACCCUAAAUUAUCAUUUUUAAAAUAGGAUUGACUAGGCAAUUAAUUGCCCAAUUGAUUGCAAUUAUUCAAAAUACCACCAUAAGUGGCCGGUCCCUACUCUCCAAAUAGGGCUGGCCACGCCCCUAUAUAAAUACCACCAUAUUUCUUAAAAAACCUAAGUUCAAUUCUCUUGUUAAACUCUCCAAAUUUUUCUAAACACUUUUCCCUCAAAUUCUAACUUUGGCAUUAGAGGUUCUUCGUUCAAAGCCCCCCUUAUUCAUCGUGGGUGCGUGAGACUGUUGGCCUUGACCUAAGGUGUUAAUUGUUUUGCAGGUGCAUUUUUGUCCAAGAAAAAGAAUGCGGAAAUUUGCAUCCACAAAUUGGUGCUUUCAUUAAGAGUUGAGUCCCACACUCAUAGAAGAUUCUCGUAUCAAAGGUUUCCCAUUUUCUUGUUCAUUUGCAGAUUUUUUGUACGUUCUUAUUCUUAGAAUUUUUGUUUAUAAAGAUUCUUUGAUAAAACGUAAAAGAAAAGUACAAUGGCUAGAAAUUCGGAAACUUCGACAAACGGAAUUUCCAACGUUCAAGAGAUGGGACCACGACGAUCCACGAGGCUAAACGUGACAAUAAGUGGAGUGGCACCACCACCACGAGGCCCCACUGUGGUAGCCACCAUCGGCGAGGCCCAUGUCACCAUGCCACCCAAGCCCACACAGGCCCAAGCCCAAGCCGUGCCAUCCAAAGCCCACAGCACCAAAGCCACGGCCCAAGUCGUGUCACUCCAAUCCGCGCGAGCCCAAGCCCAAUGCGAGCCCAACACAUUGCUGAGCCGAACCAAGGCCCAAGUCCCACACGUGUCGCACGUGGAACAACCCACUACCGUGGCCCAACCCACUCCCGUGGUGCCCCAAGUAAGGGUGGGUAAAAUUGGAGAAAACAGGCCCCCGGCCCGAACCGUUUUCUACCCUUAAAUUUGUAUCUUUUUUUUUUGUCAAAGAUACCCUCUAAUCUCUUAUUCUCAGAGCCACCCAAUUGGGCCAAUUCACUCAACUCUCCCCUCACCUCACAUUUUCUCUCUAUCCCGACUCCGAUUCUCCUCCUUCAAACUUUCCUCCUUGAAUCCCCUUUCCUCUCUUGUCUCAGACCUUAAUCUCGAGCUCAGGCUCCCAUCUCAGACCUCAAUCUUGAGCCCAGGCUCCCAAAUCAUGGCAUAUGCGGAAGUAAUCCAACAGAACAACUUUAAACUCAGCCGUCGAUCGACCACUCAUUCUCCGACAUGCUGCAGAUGCUAGCUCGACUCGACCUUGUUUGACUCGUUGAAGGGGUCGGCGAACAGCCAGGAUAAGGUGAUGUUAGAGGUUAAUUUGGGGAAGCAAAUCUGCAAUGCGGUGGCGUGUGAAGGGUUGGACCGGGUCAAGAGGCACGAUUACCAUCGUGGUAUCGUUUCUUAACUCUCCAUCAUGGCAUCCCUAGGUAAUUUAUGAAUUACGGUUUCUGAUUUAGGAAAUUAGGGUUUUUGAUUUAGGAAUUUAGGUUUUUGAUUUAUGUGGGUUUCUGAUUUUGUUUUGAUUCAUCAAUUGAUGUAAUUUGUAAUGGCAAGGGUGAAGGUCUUGGAUCCAUGAGGAAGACGACGUCUCUGGUACGAUUUGCCAAUUUGAACAAUUUGGUUAUUUGUGAGAUUGAUUUGAUGUAGUUUUGUGUGUAAGUGUAAUGGGUUCUGUUAGAACUAUGGAUCUGGGAUUUCAUUGUUUGCUUAUUUCGGGACAUGCAUGGAAAAAUCGUACAUGUGCAGAGUAUAUACAUUGAUUUGGUUGUGUUUAAACACAUGUAGUGCAAAAAUGUUUGUAGGAUUUGUUUUUCUGUGUUCUGAGUAGUGCAAAUGUGUGUCUAAAAUGGAUGGUUUUGCUUCUGCUUCUACUCAGCAUAUCAGCGCCGUUCCAAAACUAGGAAAAAUAGUAAUUAAACCCGUGGACCCGUCUUGAACUAGCUCGUUUGAAACGGGUCGGGUUAGGUCCGGUUCCCAAACUUAAAUUCCUUAUACGUGGCCCGUUACAUUUUAAAAUGGGUAGGGCCAGGUUCCUCUAGAUUUAGGCAUGACCUUAGUCCCAAGCAGCCUAAGUCGGUCCAAGAUUGGUUCAACCAUCUUGGCUUCAAAUUUUUGGGCCGACGAUGGAACCAGCGGCAUUUUCACCUCACUUUUCCUCGGAUUUGACAUUUCCCAACUCAAAUCUCGCGCCCGGAGUCUACCACAAUUCCACUAUUCAAGGAGAUGCAUUUCGUCCAAACUCUUUUAACCCGAAUUGCAAACAACACUUGUCUCGACAAGUCAUAGAGUUGACAAGCACCCUCGCAUAACAGACAACCUUGGUGAAUAAGCUCUUGCAACGCACCAUGAUGCAACGUGCCCCGGACAAGGUGUCCUGAAGUAGGACAAGAGCAGACGAACCUUUCCAACAACGUCCCGACAAGCAACCACUUAACUAGCUACGAACUGAGUGUUCGGGUAGUGUACACUCCUGAUUGGGCCCAUGAGAUAGCGUAUAUUCCCAUCUUAGCGCCCAGAGGAGUGUGCACUAUCGACUAGGUCCACGGACGAGUAUACAUUCAUAAUUAGGGCCACACUCCGAUAGUCAACACGAGCAACCUUCCAGGUGAAGUGUUCACUCGCGGCUAGGCCAGCAAGGAGCAUCCUCCACCAUGCAUCGGAGUAGGCAGCACAAAGGAUGGAGAGAAGCAGUCACUCAAUCUGGCACGAGUUCAACCGGCAGCCUGUGAAGAAUUCCCUCGCUUGCCAGAAAUGAACCACAUGACCGCCAUUGCGACAUAGCAGCCUAGACCAGCAGGUCAAGACCGAGGACAGCCGAGAGCUCCGCCACCCCCAACAAAGGCAAAUUCAGGAAGAGGUAGAGAGGCUCCUGAAUGUGCGAUUGCUUGAUUUCCAACGCAACAAAGUUGUUGAUGAGGCACUACGACAAGACAUGACCAAUAUGAGCAGGUCACCCUUCAUGGACGAGAUCGAGCAGGCAGAGCCUCCACGCAAGUUUAGCAUACCGCACUUCACAUCUUUCAAAGGAGAUGGAGAUCCAAAGAGACACUUGAAGCAUUACUGAAGCAUGAUGGUACUUUAUCGGAACAACGAUUCCCUGAUGUGCAAGAUAUUCGCCACCACUUUGCAAGGCGAGGCGCAAGAUUGGUUCUACACCUUCCCACCGCGAUCCAUCAGAAGUUUCGAUGAUCUUUCCUUGGUUUUCACCAAAAAGUAUUCCUCUUAUCGCUCAAUCAAGAAGAAGUCCAACCACUUAUUCAACGUGAAAAAGAACCCAAGAGAGUCAUUUCGCGAUUAUGUGAAGAGGUUCAAAACAGAGAAGGUGAAGAUAGUCGAAUGUGACAACCCGAUAGCGAGUGCAGUCUUCCAAAAAAGACUCACAGCACACCACAUGUUGUUCGGAGAGUUGAUCAUGAAAGAAGAUCUAGCAGAGAAACACGCACUUUGGGACGAGGCUUAGUGAGCAGACAAUGUGCACGAGCAGCCUCAGAAAGAUCGAUCUCAGAAGAAAGAAGGAAAGCAGAGAGACAAAAACAGGCAGAUGGCUAAGCGCAAGGAUUGAUCUCCGACUAAAGGAGGCCCGACGACCAAGAACUAUUUUAAGUUCUCGAUCCCCAUCCACCAAAUCUUUCGCGACAUCAAGAAUAAACCAUGGUUCAAGAUGCCGAAGUAAUCAAAGGGAGAUACUUUCAAGUUAGACCAUACCAAAUACUGCGCAUUCCAUCGAGGUCCCGGUCACACAACUGACGACUGCUACACUUGGAAGAACUACCUAGAGAAGCUCGUGAAGGAAGGCAAGGUCGACAGAUACUUGGACAAAUCAGCUACGUAGCAUAGAAGGAACGCGGAUGCCGACGAAGAAUAACCCAACAAGACGAUUCGGAUUAACGGCAUCUUCGCUGAAUCUGAGUACUUGGGGCUACCAACAAUUCAAAGAAGAGGAAAAUCCAACAAGCAUUGCUAAUCUCACAAGUCCAAGCAGUCGACAUCCAACCUGAACCCAUCGUUGGUUUUACUGAGCAAAAUGUCGAAGGCGUUGACUUUCCACACAAAGACGCACUAGUAGUAUUCGUCCAACUGGCCCAUGCCAUAGUCGAUAGAAUGAUGGUGGACAAUGAAAGUGCAGUUAACCUACUUCAGCUCUCAGAAUAUGGGCCUGGAAAACACAAUCAUACGCCGAGUGGAGGUAUUAACUAGAUUCAACGGACAUGCCUCGACUGCCCUUGGCUACAUCACACUUGACGUGAUAACAUCGCCAAUUGUCUCAAAGCAGACGUUCACAAUAGUAAGCGACCCGUCUUCCUACAAUGGGAUUCUAGGAAGACCUUGGCUAAUAAAGCUGGAUGCCAUCACUUCCAUCAAGGAUCGAAAGAUCCGAUUCCGCAUCGCGGGAGGAUGAGUUAAACAAAUCAGGCCUGACUAGGCCGCAUCUCGACGAUGUAUAGUGCAAGUACUGAAGGAGUCAAGAAAGAAGACCUUUAGCCUCGUAGAGGCUACCGAAGUCUAAAAAAAUGAUGAAGCCACCAAAUAGCAAUUACAGCAAGCGAAUCAAGAAGAUGGUGUCCAAACCAACGCGCAAGCAGACGAGACAGGAUGGAAACCCGAAGAGGACUCCGAGUACAUCAUUCUUUAUCCCUAGCAGGCGGAGAAGACUGCUAGAGUUGGCUCACAUCUAAGCCCGAAGGAAAAUGAAGAACUCACGGUUUUCCUUAGGGAAAAUCAUGACAUCUUUGCGUGGUCACCUUCUGGCAUACCCAUCAUCAACACCGAGGUAGCUUUCCACAAGCUGCACUUUGACCUAGCUACAAAACCAGUGAUCUAAAAGAGAAAACAUUUUGCACCCGAACAAGUAGCAAUCAUUGAAGAAGAAAUUGACAAGCUACUGAAAGCUGGAUUCAUAGAAGAAAUAACACACUUAGCAUGGCUUGCCAACGUCGUGCUAGUAAUGAAGAAAGAGAAAGGCAAAUGGAAGGUUUGCGUAUACUACACCUACCUUAACAAAGCAUGCCCGAAAUAUCCCUAUCCAGUCGUCCAAAUCGAUCUACUCGUAGAUUCAACUUCCGGGGAAUCAGCUGCUCAGUUUCUUGGAUGCAUAUUUUGACUACAACCAAAUAGCCAUGUAUGAGCCCGAUAAAGAGAAAAUCGCGUUCGUGAUCGAGUGAGGCACCUACUGCUACAAGGUCAUGCCUUCUAGACUCAAAAACGAGGGAGCCACUUACCAACAAUUGGUGAAUAUGAUGUUCAAGAAGUAAAUUGGAGUAACCAUGGAGGUCUACGUCGACGACAUCAUGAUGAAGGGCAAGUAACGGGAAGAUCACAUUGGUAACUUGGCGAAAACUUUUAGUAUCCUUAGACAAUACAAGAUGAAGCUCAACCCCACCAAAUGCACAUUUGGAGUAUUUUCAGGCUGAUUUUUAGGGUACCUAGUAACCCAACGAGGAAUCGAAGCACAUCCCAAGAAAAUCAGAGCUAUCUUACAGAUGAAAUCUCCAACUACCUUGAAGGAGAUCCAAAGCUUGACCGCCGCCCUCAACCGCUUUCUCUUGCUGUCCACGGAUCGUUGCAAACCCUUUUUCAAGGCCAUCAAGAAGGCACAAUGAGACAAAUGGGAUGACAAGUGCAAAAGAGCUUUCCACGACUCUAAGAAGUACCUCACAUCGCCUCCCUUACUAUCCAAGCCAGAAGUAGCAUAGGACUUAUACAUCUAUUUGGCAAUCUCAGAAGUAGUAGUAAGCUUUGCCCUCAUACGAGAAGAGUUGGGGGCUCAACUACCUGUAUUCCACACUUCUAAAGCUAUUCUCGAUGAGGAAACUAGAUAUAUGAAGAUCGAAAAAUUAAUUUUGGCGCUAGUUGUUAUGGCUUGGAAGCUUAGAUCGUACUUUCAAGAUCAUACAGUCAUCGUUAUAACUCAACAUCCUCUAUGAUCAAUUUUGCAUGGUCCGGACGUUUCUCAAAGAGUGAUGAAAUGGGCGUUGGAACUUGGCCAAUAUGACUUAGUUUUCUGACCUCGCACGACGAUAAAGGCCCAAGCCUUGAUAAACUUCAUAGCGGAAUUCACACCUAGCCUAGGCAACGUAACAGAGUGACUCAACGAUGCCCUGGAGGCAGCCGAGCACACUUUAGCAAUACCUGCUCUACCCGAUGGAGACUUCUAGCAUUUGCAUGUCGACGACGCAUCCAAGUACAAAGGCUCGGGAGUAGCCAUGGUUUUUGUCACCCCAGAUGGUUCGAUGCUCAAGCAGGCAAUAACUCUAAGCUUCAAAGCACCUAACAAUGAAGCAAAGUAAGAGGCCCUACUAGCAAGCUUCCAAAUGGCAAAUGACUUGGUGAUGAAAAAACUCGCAAUUCAUUCCGAUUCCCAGCUAAUCACCAGCUAAACUACUAGGGAGUACACAGAAAAGCAUACGAGGAUGGCACAAUACCUAGAGAAUGUGCGCAAACAACUUGAGGCGUUUCAAACUUACACCCUCACUCAAGUUCUACGGGCAGACAACACCCAUACGACGCGUUAACCGGCCUAAGCUCUGCCCACGACCAUCAACUCAAAUGCUUUAUUCUGGUGGAAUACCUAGACAAGCUGAGCAUAGAGGUGGAGCCAGUAACCGAGGUGUCAUAUGUUAGUACAACCCCCAACUGGCAAAGUUCUAUUAUAGACUACCUGGUCAAUGGCAUACUCCUCACGGAAAGGUUGGAGUCUAGAAAACUCCAAGUUAAAAUAGCACACUACUGUAUGUGGAACGGUGGUCUCGUCUGAAAAUCCUACACUGGACCACAUCUCUAUUGCCUAGCGCCUCCCGACAACCUAAAGGUUCUAAGCUCAAUCCACAAAGGUGUUUAUGAAAAUCACUCCGAAAGCCGAUCCUUAGCACGGAAGGCUCUUAAUGCGGUACUAAGAUGUGAAUGAGCUAGUACAAAAGUGUGACUGCUGCCAACGCUACAAGCCAGUACUAGCACUGUCUACCAAUGAACUACACUUGCAAAUGAGUCAUUGGCUAUUCAUGCAGUGCGUAAUCGACUUGGUAAGGCCAAUGCCACCUGCUAUUGGAAACAGAGGCAUGAUGAUCGUGGCAACCGAUUACUUCACCAAAUGGGUAGAAACAGAGCCUAUGAUACCACGACUCAAAACGCUUCAUAUAGAGGAACAUCAUUUGCGGAUUUGGCAUCCUUCAAUAUAUCACCACCGAUAACAACCUGCAAUUCGUGGGCAAAGAUUUGGCGAAGUUCUUCCAAAAGUAUGGCAUCAAGCAGUACAUAUCCACACCAAGUUAUCCACAAGGCAAUGGGUGGGCUGAAGCAUCCAACAAGAUGACCCUCGAAUGCCUCAAGAAAUCCCUUACCGACAAGAAGGGAAAGUGACCAGACGAACUCCUUAAAUGUCUAUGGGCGUAUCGCACCACCAAAUGAUGAGCCACUAGUGAGACUUAUUUCUCUUUGUCAUUUGGUUCGAAAGCAAUCAUUCCUCCCAAUAUUAUUGUGCCAAGCAUCAUCACUCUAUUACCAAGCGUUGAGCAAAACAAUAAGGAGAUGGCCAUAAGCUUAAAUCUGGCAAAGGAGAAGCGCGAGCAGACUAUCACCUGCAUCGCAGCCUACCAACAAUAGCUCAUCUUCAGCUACAACAAAAGGGCCAAGAUCCGGCAGUUCCAACCCGGAGAUGUAGUAUUAAGAAAAGCUUUCAUCACUGCCCACAGGGAAUGCUCCAAAAAGAUGGAUCCCAUCUAGGAAGGUCUAUACAAGAUCAGUAGAGUAGGCGGCAAUGGUAAUUACACCCUCGCCACCAUGAACGACAAAGAGAUCGAAAAGUAAUAGAACGUCUACAAUAUGAGGAAGUACCGUGUGUGAUCUUCCAUGUCACCAAAACCCAAAUAAUCAAAGUAGCUCCACGGGCAUCACCUCAUGAAUCAAGGAUUAUCCAGUUGUUAUACAGUUUCUACUUUACAACUAAGUUUUUCAUUCGUUUCACUCAUUUUUCAAUGAGGAAUUCAGAAGCAAUUUACAACUUGGCUCGACUACAUGCUUACAACAAUUGAUUACUCUUGCACUUCAAAAUAAGACUGCGUCCUUCUUAGGGACUCAUCGCAGGAAUUGCACCCCCCACCGAAUGAACUAACCAUGCUCUCCCUUGCAAUAGGAUAAACUAAUUCCCUAACAACCACAUAGGUCUACACUUUGAAUAUCUAGAUGUGGAUGAGUUGGGCUACCCUAGUAUAACUAGAUGCACAAUGGCUUGCGCCGGGAUCCCUAGAAGUAACCGCGAUGGUAUUUUUCAAGGCUUAGCUUGCUGAAGGAUUUUCGGUUUCUUGGACUAAUCAGCAAGGAACCGGGCCCUAGAGACAGAGAGGGCACAUUAUACAACAUGCCCUAUGGACGGCAGCACUGGAACCCUAAAGUUGUUACCGAGUGCACUAAGGUAGCCUAUGAUUUUUAGAAGACUGCCUACGGCUUGCCAUUCGGGUAGUGAGCCGCGUUAAACUUAUGCAACGACACGUUUCUGUGAAAGGUGAAACAAGUUAGAACUUCAUCUAUUGCCAACAUGCUACGCGAUUGAUAGACUUCAUUUUUGCCAAAGCGCGGAACAACCUAUGCCAAAUCCUAAAAUGUUGUGAUACUUGCUACGCAACCCACAUAAUUGAAAAAAUCCAAAGUUAACAGCUAAAUGGUCACGCGGACUUGUCUAAUUCUGUAAGUAAGGCAUCCGGUUGCCGGCCCUAUGGUUAACAACUUUACAAAGUUCUACACCAACAUCAAUGGCUGCAUAGGCUAUGCGGGCAUGUCUGCUUAAAAAAAAGUAGCACGUCUGCCUCUAGUCUAUAAAGCUUACGGUUACGGUACGAGCAAAAGAAACAAAGAUAGAGAAAAGUGAAUGAAACAAGUUUAUUAAAUUUUCUAGCAAAAUUGAUAAACAAUUAGCAAAGACCGAAGGAGUUCGAGCAAAAAGCAAUAAGGAAAACAAAGAAAAUCCUAAAAACUACCUAGAAGACUACUCCUUAGCAGCUUGAACACUCCGCAACUACUCGGUCGCCACACCUUCAAAAACCUCGGCCUCCUUAGUAGCAACACCAUCCGGCGCUUCACCCCUAGUCUACCUCUCUAAUUAUUUCACCAAGGAAAGCCUCGAAAGUAAAGGCAAGCAAGUCUUCCGGAGAAAUAGAGAAUGUCUCAAAGUCUUUACCAGAAAACUCAAAGUUAGACAGUCGCCCAAAGAGAUGGUCACCCAGCUUGUAGAAAUCAGGUUAACUUUGAGUAAGAGAAGCCUCAAACCCAGUCUUCUCACCAUUCAACUGCUUAUUUUCCUCGAGCAGACAAGCACGGAUACGCUAUAGCUUCUCCACGUCCUUCUUCAAGUUGUCAAUGAUCUUUAAAGCACCCUGGAGUUCCAACAUUUGAGGUUCAAACUUAUCAAUGACCUUCUUGAAGUGGAUCACUUGGUUAUAAGCAGUGAUCAGUUCUUCAUCAUUUGCAUAAGCAGCGAAUUAGAGUUCAGAGACGGUAUGCUCAAGAUCUUGAAUAUGAGGUAUGUAACACUCGAUCUCCUUUUCUGCACUUUCAUACUUAACUUGGAUUGCGCCAAGCCUAGUCUUCAAAUCCACGAUCUUCUGGCGAGCGGUCUCAAGCUGCAGAGAAAUUGAGGCAAAGAUAUUAGACCCCUUCAAAUCUUUUGAAACGGCAAGCUCAUAUUCCAACUUUUUGACCUUUUCAGUCAAAGAGAAAGCCUCGAUUGCCACAGUUAGUGGCAACCUUGGUGUCUUCUUGAUCAAUGAGCAUAAACUUGGUUGCAAGAAUCACCGUUUUUUGCAUCAUAGCCUCAUAGCCAGCAGAGUAGUCCUCCUAUACUCGGUCGUAUACUUCGCAAAUGAACUAGGGCCAAUAACCUCUUUAACGUCAUCAACAAACUUGGCACACACAUCCAUAUCCUUGAGCAUAUCUGAUUUCAAAAGCGCACAAAUCUCAGCAGCUUUCCCAGAAACAGGCAUGGAAGAUUUCUCACAAUUGUCCGCACUAGCAGUCUCUUUCUUCUCAACAGGUGAAUCAGUCCUGACGGCAAUGAGAGAUGGUUUUGGCGCCACUUUAGCAGGCGAAGACACCUAGUCACUCUUCAUAGUAGCAAACCUUUCCAAAGGUGAAACAAACUUAGCCCCAUAUAGACAUUUUGGCAUAAAUGUCGGCACUGGAGGCACUGUGGAGUUUCUACGCUGAGCAAUCCUAUCAGCAAUCAAGCUAACCACUUUUGGAGCGGCAUGUGUCGUAAGCACGCUCUUAGCAGCCUUAUCUUUGUCAUCAUUGGAAGAAGUCAGGUCAAUCACAAGUCUAGGGGCAGUUGAUGAACCCUCGCGAGAGGAAGAAGUCUUUGGUUUUUUCUCGACCAGCACAUCUUAAGCAAGCAAAGAAAAUCUUUUGUUCCCACAUUCGUUUGCAAUAGGUUCCACGACGGUGAUCGGGCGAGCCAACUCCUCAGCCUUGAUUCACUUUAUCUCAUCUAUCAGGGGCAACCCAUCUUUCUCCCAGUGAAUAAGACUAAGUAGCCAACGCCACUCACGGUACUCAAGAGGGAUACCUAGAGUGAUAUGCAUUUUCCUCAUAUCCGGAGAAGUCUUAGGAGAUGAGCCAAAUUCCGAGUAUAUAAAAGCAAAGGAAAACAAUCAAUAAAUCAGAAAUCAGCUUAGCAAAAGUACCAAGCAGCCGAGGGAGUAAGCAUACUAUUUACCGGAGAUGAAAACAGUUGGAACACAUAACUCAAGGGAAGAAUCAGACUCCUAAUCUCCACUGAUCUCCAAAGUCUCAUAGCCCAGUCAUGAUCUCCCUUGCUUGAAUGGUCAAAUAGCGUAUGACGAGAUCGCAGCUGCCCAACUUCCUCAAUGUGGCCUAUGUCAAAAAAAUACCAAAACUCGAUGACGAUCAAAUCCAAGUAAAAAAAAUUGGCUUAGAUUGUGAAAUCUCACCAUCACAUGAACCGUAUAGAGGAACAUUGAGCAGGGGCACACUUCAUAGAGCAGAGCACUUCUUAAAAGAAAUGCGGCAUAGGAAAAGUGAACCCUAACACGAAGUAGUAGGGGUGAAACUUGAUAGUUCUCCAAGCCCCACCACAUGGCUCACGGCUACUGCCCUCCUUGACACGCUUCACAUGCACCCCUGACAGAAUGGCGUGCCUAUAUGCCUCAAGGAAGUCUCUAAACAAGUCAUCGAAGCCAAUCUUGAAGUGAGCAGCAUUGAAAUAGCCCACCUUACUCAAGGACCUGCCUUGACGAUACAAUGACGGAACACCCUCAUCACUCUUAUGGCUUGAAGAAGACAUGCUCAAAGAAAUUCUACAAAAGCGCAAGGAAAAUUCAUUAGAUGGCUGCUUCAAAAAAAAAAAAAAAAAAGACACAACGCAACAUGCCCCAUGGCCGAACAAGGCCCUUGACCUCUCUCUUUUCUUCUCAUAGAUGGGCCCAUACCUAGAAAAAAAAGCCCAAGCUAUCUAGCCCACUCCCCCUCAGCCUUCUCAAGACGGGCCCAAGCCCAACAGUAAAAAAAAAAGAAAAAAAAAAGGGCCUGAGCUUACUCAACCCAGAGCCCCAACCACAACCAAUCGGCCUAAUGCCCUGCCCCGAGUCGCCACCACACCUAGCCACCCAUGACAGCCAUGUCAGGGCCUCUCCUAACCAUUUUUCAUACAACCUCGACCCCCAUCGAGCCAAGUUUCAAACCCCCGAGACUCCCAAAAAUUAUGAAGACAAAGAAAAAUUAAUUUUUUUCUUACCUUGGUACGGCGUGAAGACGAAGAAAGCAACGAAAGACAGUCCUUUGCACGGACAAGUGUAGAAGAUUGCUAGGGGAGGGGGAACAAAUAUCCUCUAGCUUUCUCUCUCUUGUAGGGUAGAAUGAAUUGCUCUCUAAAGUUGAUUUAAUAAUCUACUUAAGGUAAAAUUAAGUAGACUUUAGAAGUAAUUUAUUUGCCUUUCCUAGAAGGAUCUAAUUUCCAAUUAAAGAGGGAAUCUACAUCAAAAUAGGAAACAAUCUUAUGUUUCCUAAAGCAAGAUCUCUACACUUAUUGCCCUUACUUGCGAGCAGCCCAACAGGUGUGGGGGGCAUUUGUGGAGCAAAAAAUAAUUGAGAAAAAUAUGGAGGCGACACAUGGAUUCUUGGAUAGCUCCCAUGCGCGAGAAGUAGACGAUGACGGCUCAAUCAAAGUUAAAAGGGAUCAAAAUAGGUAUUUAUUUAAAACCUAUUUCUUCCAUCCUCAUCAAAUCCUCCUUACAAGGUAACCCUAAAUUAUCCUUUUUAAAUUAGGAUUGAUUAGGCAAUUAAUUGCCUAAUUGAUUGCAAUUAUUCAAAAUACCACCAUAAGUGGCCGAUCCGUACUCUCCAAAUAGGGCCGGUCACACCCCUAUAUAAAUACCAUCAUAUUUCUCCAAAAACCUAAAUUCAAUUCUCUUGCUAAACUCUCCAAAUUUCUUUGAACACUUUUCCCUCAAAUUCUAACUUUGGCAUCGGAGGUUCUUCGGCCAAAGCCUCCCCCCCCCAUUCAUCGUGGGCGCAUGAGACUCUUGGCCUUGACCUAAGGUGUUAAUUGUUUUGCAGGUGCAUUUUCGUCUAAAAAGAAAAAUGCGAAAAUUUGCAUCCACAUGCACCGUUGUCAUUGUCAAAGGACACAUAUUAGUGCCCUUAGGUCUCAAUAGGCACAUUCAACUUUUUGUGUGGAUUGGCCAUUUUUAUUGCGGUGUUACAUUAUUUAUCGUCACUCAAGCCAAAAACGUACAUCUGAGCUCCACGAGAAGGACAAGUACGAAAAUUACGUAGUAUUAAUCCCAGAAAUGGCCUGUGUGUUGUGCAGAAUGACCAAAGGGUUAUAUAAGCACCAAAACAGCACUGGAAAACAAGAGCUGCCCAAUAAGCUUGAAGUCUGAGGGGACAUCAGCUGGUGUGAAAAUUUGAGAGCGUACACGGUGUUGAAGAAAAAUAUCUUGCUUUUGGGAGAUUGUAUUUUGAUAUGUAACACGAAUCGACAAUAUGAAAAACUAUAGCUCGAAUCUACGUAUGAAAAUUGUAACUCUUAAUCUACCAUGCUUAUUUCGACGACAUCCAAAAAGCAACCCACCUCAACAAAUAGCAAAAGGCAAAGGUCUUUUAAAUGGUUUACAAAUAGCUUCAAUACGACCAUUGAAUGAUUGUUGGGUGAGUGACGUUGUAUCCUUUUUGUUUAAGAAAAAUUAAAAAAAAAAAAGAGCUUCAAUAUUUUGCAUUUUAACAAAAAAUAAUCUAAUAACUUUAAUUAAUGAUAAGGAAAAAAAAUAUAUAUAUAAACAUGUGUGCCCAAUGCGCGUCCCCCUACUAUAAAAGAUAAAAAAAACAUAAAAAAUCAUCUAAUAAUUUUAUUUAAUGAUAAGGACAAAAAAAAUCAUCUAAUAACUUAUUAUUAAAAUUUAAGAGUUGUACUAAAAUUUAAGUCGUUUUCAUUAAAUAAAGUUAUAGCAUGAUUUUUUUUUAUUAAAAUAAACUUAAUCCAAGUCCUUUAAAGUUUUUUUUUUUUUAUAUCCACUAAGUUAUAAAACUUUGAGUUUUAGAAACAAUGAUAUUUUUAAGGGAAAUACCCCAAAAUGGGACAAUUUCUUAAUCUUGGGACAAAAAUAGGACAAACCAGUUAUACACAAGCCAUGCACUCCAUGCACAAAAUCAAAAUUACUAAAAUACCCAUGUAUAAAUAUAAAAAUUAUCAGUCCAUUGCAUCAUUGUUCACAUUUGGAAGAGAAGGAUGUCAAGAGAGCUCUAUAAGCUCUGGGUUUUGGGGUUGAGCUCCGAUUUCAAAAAGAGGGAAGUCCAAAGAGAGGCGAGAAGAGUGAGCUGGGUUCUGGGUUGACCUCAUACAUUUGAUUUUGAAUAAAGGGAUGCAAGAGAGAGGUGAGAAGAGUGAGCUGGGUUUUGUACCAUAUUUUCUGUUUUGGCCGGAAAGUUCCAUUUUUCGGGCGACUAAAUCUUCAGCAGGCAUAGUAAGGUAUGGUGUUUAGUUCCAAGUUCCUACAUCAAUGAUUAAUGGAAUAAAUGAGUUGUUUGUAAGAUGAAUUAAUACUUAGAAGUUAAAUUAGGGUUUGUGUUUCAUGUUGGGGUGUAUGGGUUGUAGAAUAAAUUUCAAGUUUUGACGUGCUACAAAACUGGGAUGGAACAAUCUCUGGUUCAAGUGUUCAAUUGUAGAAAUUUGUGAAAUUUUUCCCGUAAUGUGCAUGUGGUGUGCAUAUGGUGUGAAUGGCUACAUCUUAGUAUGAUAAGGGGGAAUGUUCACUAGUUAUGAUGCACGUAUGUUGUUCCUCGGGAUUUAGCGAGUAUGACCACAACCUAGUUGGCCUUGGCGAAAAACAAAAUUAAGAAAAAGCCUAGAAGACAUUAAAAGUCAUGCGUGUCCAUAAAAUAACAACAAGAAGUAUCAUGUUUUCCACGUGCACGGUUAAACGAUGGUUGAUAUAUAUAACAAGACUUUUCAAACUGUCACUGUAACCUUAUAUAUGUAACACUUAUGUUUUAAUUUUAUCCACUGUACCAAUAUGUUGCCAUUAAAGUUUCUCUCGUUUUUGUGCAUAUCAUGUGCAUGUAUUGUAUAUAUUAUGUGCAUGUGGUAUGCAUGUAGUGUAUAUGAUGCGUAUUUACAUCUUUGAUACUCUUCACAUUAAUGUAGUUUACUACUUUUUCCUUUGAUUCAGAGGCAAACCCUAUAAUUACGAAAAAAAAGCGAACAAGUUCAUGAAACAAUUUCCUUUGAUUCAUUGGGUUCCUUCGUGCCCAUUCAAACUACAAUUUUCAAAUCCUUGAAGUAUUUGAACCCCAUCAAAUUUGAUACCAUAUAAAAUUUACGGUCAUUUAUCUGAUUGCCUCCUUUUUCUGAUUUCGAAGAUGGGUGGAUUAGGGUUCUUUGAACUGGAAUUGGGAGAGAGAGAUUUUCUAUCUCUCCUCUCUGUUUCUCUAUACAGAAUAAGAAAUAAGGGCUGGAAUUUCUGGAUAACCCAUUUAUAUGAUAGGACAAUUUGAUCAUUUUAAGGUGUAGGAAAAAUCCUAUUUUUAUCUGAUUGUUGUGCAUGGCAUGUGCAUGCAUUGUGCAUAUUCGAAAUGUCCUAUUUUUGUCUCAAAAUUAAGAAAUUGUCCUAUUUCUGGGUAUUUCCUUAUUUUUAAUUUGGAAACAAUGAUCUUAAGUCUUAACUUUAGUUUGGAUAGAUUAUAAAAGAUAAAAAUAACUAAAUUACAAGUUGUUUUUUUUUUUUUACCAUGGUGAUGAAGCUCUUUUUGGUUAUAAAAUAUUUCAAAUUUCAAUUCAUUUGUCAUAUGCCAUAUUCCACUAGAGUCAAAUAAAAAACAUGCCAAUAUGAAAAAAAAAAAAAAAAAACUACCAAAAACCAAGGCAAGUUAACCUACGGGGUGAUCCACAAUAUAGUGGCCUAGUAGUAGGUUUUUGAAAGCUAGUUGUUGUAGCUUGCAAGGUGGUUCAAAAUAUAGUGGCCUAGUAGUAGGUUUUUUAUAACACGCCCGACCCUGAUAUUCCCUGAAGACAAGGGUAGGCACGUGCUGGCUGACACCCGAAGGUGACAAAGCCAUACUAAUAUGCAUGAGAACCAAAGAAUAUAAAUAAGAUUUAUAAAUUUAAAUAUACGUAAUAUGCAAAUGAGGAAUGUGUUCAGAGCAUACAACUAAUUUGAGACACUAGAAAGGAAAUAAUAUAAAAUUGAAUGAACAAAGGAAUGGGUCCUACAUCGAGAGGACUCGGAGAUGCCGAUGCGGGAGUGCCUUGACGCCGUGAUUGUACGCCUCAAAUCUAAGUCCUGAGGGGGCGCAAAACAAACAUGAAUGGACCAAGUUGAUAUAUAUAUAUAUAUAUAUAUAUAUAUAUAUAUAUAUAUAUAUAUAUAUAUAUAUAUAUAUAUAUAUAUAUAAUACUAAAACAGUUAUCAACAUACUAACCCCAAAGUUUUAUGAAAACACAAUAGCAUAGUAUGUAAUAAGUUUUCCGAAAACCCUAGCAUGCCAAAAACCUUCAUGAAACAUAUCUCGUAUAUAGUGUGCUAACUAGUGGUAUCCAAUAACAAUAUCUCCCGGCCCAAUGCCAGCUCCUAUGUCUCUGCGCCUGAAGCCAGAGAUUAUUUCUCCCGGCCCAAUGCCAGCUCCAUGUCUCUCGGCCCGAAGCCAGAGAUUAUUUCUCUUAGCCCGAAGCCAACAACUAUAUCCCUCGCCCGUAGGCGGAACAGUAACAUCUAUAUACGCACAAAACAUUGAACAUAGUCUUUCCAAACAUAGGUACAUAUAUCUCAAAACUUCUUCAUAAUAUAAAGUCAUACAUCAUCUAUACUAUAAAGUAGUGUGUAAAAGCAUGUUCUAAAUAGUAUAUAGUCAUCCAUCAUAUAUACUACAAAGAAUAUCAGUUCGAUAAAAUAUGGUAUUCCAAAAUAUUCUCGGUAUAGCAUGAUAAUCAAUAAGUGUAAAUCCAAUUUAAAUCCAAUUUACUUAUAAAACGUUUCGCAAAACGUAAUCAUUAAAUCAUGUUUUUCAUGUAUGCAUUUCUACAUUUAAAACAUGCAUUUUAGAAGGGGUCCACUAACGGAUACUUAGCCGCCAAAGAGUCACGCAAACUAGCGAAGAUGGAAAUGCCACAAAUAAUUGCCCCUAAGAACAUAAAGAGUCCAAUUAAUAAAACUCUAUUAAAAAUUUUGAAUUUAGGAAAAUGGACGUUAAAAACGGAUUCAGGAUGUCGAAUUACCCUAAGAAAAGUCCCAGGUAAAUUUCGUAAAAGUCAACACAAAGAAUAUUCCAUCCGAGUUGGGCUGGUGGGUUUGGGCCGAAUGGUCCUAGGCCUAAUGGCCUGGUUUCAAAGGAUUUUGGGUUGGGUUUCAAAGGAAUUGGGUUUACCCAUUUGGGCCGGUGUUCCAUGGCCUAAGGCCCGGGUUAGGGUUUUACAAAUAUAGGUUUGGGUUUAGACAUGGCUAAAAGCCUUAGAUUUAGGCUUUAACAACUGGGCUGGGUUCAUGGCCCAAUGAGUUGGUCCGGUCUAACUGAUGGGUCGGGUUGGCCGAAUUUCAAAGGAAUAAGAAAGACGGAGCUUCCAUGCUCCUUUUAACCUCGAAACAUGACCAAAACAUGCAAACCAAUAUACCAAAUUGAAGCCCGUGAAGUAAGGAAGAGAUUCGUACCACUGGGAGUCAAGAGGUGGCCAGAGUUGGCCAGAAAAUGCCUGCAAACCUCUAAUCUUCGCUGGAAAACUGGAAAUGCUUCCCCCGAAGCAUUUUCUACGUUCAAACAUUCCACAUUUCUCAAAAACAACCCAAUAUAACCUAUAACAACAACUAAAGAGUUCUAGGGGUGCUUACCAUGGUCAAAGAUUCAAGAAACUCGUCAGAGGUCACAAGCACAGUGAUCGUGCUACUGUGCCGAGAAUGAAAGAGGAAUAGAUAGUUGUAGGGGUGGGUUGGAAAAACUGAAAACCGAAAAAAAUCGGACCGAAAACCGAACCGAGGUUGAAAAAAACGAACCGAAAAAAAAACCGAACCGAAUCUGUUGAACGAACAGAACCGAAUCUGGUUGGUUCGGUUUUGAUUUCUGGGGUUCGAAAAUUGAACCGAACCGAACCGAACCAAACAUCUUCAAAACGACGUCAUUUUAUAAUAUUUUAUUAAUUAAUAACCCUAAUUCUAAAAUGGUACCGUUUUAUUCCUAAACUAAAACUGCAACCCGAAAGUAACCAACCCUAGCCCUCCUCCUCUCUCGGUCUCUCUCUUGUUUUCCCACUCCCCUGCCCUCCCCAGUUCGCAGUCGCACUUCACACGUAACCUCGCAGCAACCUCCUUCAUCUGUCUCUCUCUCAUAGCAGUAGCCUCUCUUUGUCUCUCUCAUUCCCCCUUGCAGCAGCCUCACCUCAUCUGUCUCUCUCGCAGCAGCAUCCUCUCUCUCUGUCUCUCUCACAACAGCAUCCUCAUCUGUCUCACGGCAGCGGCGACUUCUUACUCUCAAAUCUCAAUCACAGCAAAAGGUUAGUUUCACAUUUAAUUUUCAGUUCUACUUAUACAGUUUUGGAGAUUUGAUUUGUAUUUUAGUGAAUAUAUUGAUUGAGUUGUAAUAACAGAUUGGGUAUUUUUAUGCUUCAUAAAGUAAUUGAAUUGAGUUCCCACGAUUGAUUAUGCUUCAGAUUGGGUAUUUUUAUGCUUCGGAAUGUCACAGGGGCACAUUACAUUGUCUUUGCUCUAUGUGGUUGCUUCUUGGAACCCCUGUAGGCUUUAGCUAAAGCUAUAGAUAUAUAACAGACAUAGGUCAGAAAUUAAGUGAGCAAACUGUACCGUGUGGAUGAGUAAGAGUUGAUAUGCAAACUGUACCGUGUGGAUGAGUAAGAGUUGAUAUGCAAACUGUACCGUGUGGAUGAGUAAGAGUUGAUAUAACAGACAUAGGUCAGAUUAAUUAGUUAGGAAGGAUAGAUUAUCCGUGUGUUUGCACACGAGUUUAAUUUAUCUCGCACAAAACGUUGUUGAAUGAGAAUUAUAUUGUAAAAUAUGUUAGACUUCUUGAGAAAUAUCAUUAAACUCUAACACUCAAAUGUUAUAUUUUAGCUCAAGCUAAAGAUAUAUAUAUAUAUAUAUAUAUAUAUAUAUAUAUAUAUAUAUAUAUACAGAGAGCUUAAGGGGAGGGAUCCCCAUUUUUUGAAAAAAAUGGGGAUUAGGUGUGGGGCCCACUUCACAUCAAAUUUCAACGAUCUAAACCGUUUAUUUUGUUAGUCUCAAUUCAUAGAUCAUCCUUACAAAAAUUCAAUUCAAUCCGAAACCAUUUGCCUAUUUAAUUAUCAAGAUCAAAUUUCAUUUUUUCUUAUAUAACAAAGUAUUCGUUCAUUUCCUUGAACCUAAUUAGAUGUCUUAAACAUUUCCAAUUUAGCUAAUAUUUUGCAAGGAUGAUCUAUGAAUCGAGAUUAACAAAAUAGACGGUUCGGAUCGUUGAAAUUCGAUGUGAAGUGGGCCCCACACCUAAUCCUCAUUUUUUUCAAAAAAUGGGGAUCCCUCCCCUUAAGCUCUCUCUAUAUAUAUAUAUAUAUAUAUAAUGGCUGCAAGUUGUGUAUGUGUGAUUCAGUUUUUAUUUUAUAAAUAUAUAUAUAUAUAUAUAUAUAUAUAUAUAUAUAUAUAUAUAUUGUGAAGGGAGUUUGAUUCUUGCCUUCCUUAUUUUGUCGUGAUUUUGUAUCAUUUUGGCCUGUCAUAUUUUAAUUAACAUUUACUUUUGUAUAAGUUUGUAGUACUAACUACUAUCCUCUUAUUAUUUUGUUUGAAUUAGAUGAAGUCAAAGGUGUCAAAGGUCUCAAGGGCCUCAAGCUCAAGUUCAAACUCAAUGAGAUCAAAAUCAACUAGCCCUCAUGAUCAAACGAACUCAUCUUCGAGUAUACCAUCGGAAGUAAAUACUAAGUAGUCAUAUCUUUCUAUUACCUUAGCCCUUAUGUUUAAUAAUUAAUUCAUUAAUUGUAAUGAUAAGAGUGAGUAACCAACCAUAGCAAAAACCUACCAUACCCAUCUUAUUUGAAUAAUUAAUUGUAUGAUUCUCUUAUUUUAGAUGGACAUUGUUGGUGAAUCAACUCCGCCUCAAAACACCGUGGUGGCACCUCGACAAACCCUUACUUCUCUUGGUGGAUCCGGAAAUCCCUCCGAUGCAACUCCAAAAGAAGGUGACGCAAGUGACCAAGUAAGUAAAGAAGAAGCUCUUUUGGAAUCAUUAAAAAGUCAUGAAAGGUCUUUAGAUUGGGAGCACUUUGAUAGAAAAAUUGAGGGUGGUAGAGUUAAGGGGUUGUGCAAGUAUUGUGCCCAAUCAUAUAUGGCCGAUCCGGAUAAAAAUGGUACAACUAAUUUAAGAAACCAUUUAGCAAGAUGUAGAAGCUACGGUCCUAAUAAGAAAAUAUUUGCCGCAAAUAGGCAAAAGAUCUUAACCUUUGCCGGCACGAAAGAUAAGUUGGAAGCUAUAAGUUUUUCUCAAGAGGAAGUAACUAAGGCUUGUGUUGAGAUGAUAAUUAUAGAUGAGUUGCCUUUUACUUUUGUUGAGGGAGAAGGUUUUCGCCGUUUUUGCAUGCAAGCAUGUCCUAUGUAGAGAGUGCCUAGUUGUAAGACAAUUGCUAAGGAUGUACUUAGCUUGUUUUAUUCCGAAAGGGAUAAAUUGAAGAGUCAAUUGAAGACAUUUAGGGUGUGUCUAACAACGGAUACAUGGACUUCUAUUCAACAAACCAAUUACAUGGUUCUCACCGCCAAUUUUAUUGAUGAUGAUUGGAUAUUACAUAAAAAGAUUUUGAACUUUUGUGUCAUUCUAAAUCAUAAAGAAGAGUCCAUUGCUCAACUUUUGGAGGAAUGUUUAGUGGAGUGGGGUAUAGAGAAGGUGUUAACUAUUACAGUUGACAAUGCUUCCGCAAAUGAUUCUGGUUUAAGGGACUUGGUGCACCGAAUAAGGGGGUGGGGGAUUCCUAAUGUACUCUCAAACAACAAGUGGAGACUCUUCAUCAAGCAUGACCGAAAUAGAAAGAAAGUUGAAAGAAAAAAGUGAAAUGAGAAAAGCAAAGAGAGCUUGGGUUGUGCAUAAUGAUGUCGACAAUUAUCUUUUCGAUCCUAAUGAAGGAGAAGAAGAGGAGAACUUUGAUAUAUUGAAUUGGUGGAGGGUGAUUGGGGUUUCUAAGUACCCUAUUUUGGCACGUGUUACAAGAGAUAUCUUAGCUAUUCCCGUAUCAACCAUUGCAUCGAAAUCUUCCUUUAGCACAAGUGGACGGAUAAUUGAUCCAUAUCGUAGUUCUUUAAGUCCAAAAUGGUGGAGGCUUUGAUAUGUACUCAAAAUUGGCUUAGGUCUAUUCAUGUUGCAUUACAUCAUGAGCCAACCAUUGAGGAUAUGGAGUUUUGUGAAGAAGUUGACAAAGGUAAUUUUAUUUAUUGCAUUUGAUUUUGUUAGAUUAUUUUAAAUAACAUUUUAAUUAGUAUCAUUUGUUUUAUUAUUUGUAUGUAGAAAUGGCAAGUGGAAGUUCAAAAAAAGUUGCUAUGUUGCCCCCUAGGCCGCUCAACCGUUAGUAAGCAAAUUGUCAUUCAAACUCGAAAUGGUUGAGUUUUGAUCUUGAGAACUUGAAGAAGUAUGUGCAAUGAUGGAACUUUAGAUGUUUAUUGAAUUUAUAAUCAUAGUUGUAAUGUUUAUUUAGGUGUGGAAGACUUCUUGAACUUUGAAAUGUUUAUUUUAGGUGUGGAAAACUUGAACUUUGAUGUGUAUUUUAAGUUUGGACUUUGAUUUGAACUUUGAUGUUUAUUUAACUUGGACUUUGGAAGGCUUGAUUAUAAUUGAACUUUGAAUGGAAUGUUUAUUUUCAUUAUCUUUGUUAGUUGUUUUCUUAGAAACUUUUGUUUUUUGCUGCUACAAAAAAAAAAAAAAAAACCGAACCGGGCCGAAACUGAACCGAAUGCAAACAGACAGAAAACCGAACCGAACAGUAAUUUCGGUUCGAUUUCCGAUUUUGGCAAAAAACCGAAUCGAACCGAACCGAACCCACCCCUAGAUGGUUGUCCAGCCCUAGGCGGUCGUCGUAGUCAAAAAGUGGUGAUGAGGGUGUGUUGUUGUUAAUGUUGUAGGUGUGUAAGUAUGUGUGUGGGCGUUGGACACCAGGGAGGAGAGAGCACCAAGAGUUGAGAGGGAGAGCUGAGAAAGAAAGAGAGAGAAACGGGAGAGGCGAAGGAGAAAGAGCAAUUUGGCCUGGGGGAUAAAAUUCAGGGGUGGGCCUCUUGGCACACCCAUUAAGACCCAAAAAUAAUUUUAAAAGAAAAAUAUCUAGCCCAAGGUGCAAUUUCACAACCCCUUCAUUCCGAUAAAAUCGAGACAGGUUGUUACAUUUUAGAAGUUUAAACAGCGUCUUUUCUUUUAGUAUGUGUUGGUAGGGGACUCCUGCGUCAAACAGUAGUUUUGGUGGGGACUCGCGACAAAUCUCACUUAGACUCACUCCAACCCUUGGAGUAAGUCUCAAAAUUUGGCUUCUAUUCCAAACCUACCCCUCCCCCCCCCCCCACCCAAAAAAAAAAGCCCUCCAACCUUUGGGCCUAAAAUGGGGGUUAUGGUUCAAAACUCCAAAAUCGAGCAAAUUCCGACCAAGAUUUGAAUUUGGGUUAGUGGGUUGACCCACUUGUGUGAGUGGAAGACCAGUAAUUAAACAAGCAGCGCCCAAAAGGACGCGCCACUCUCACACAACGUGAUAUGGGUAUGUCGGCCACUUGUCGGCUAGAAAAGUUGAGCCCAAUGGCUCUUUUUGUGAUCAACGGCUCACAUUUAAAUUGGAAGAUCUAAAAGUCUAAAUUUACACCCAACGACUCCUUUUGUGAUCAAUUGCCCCGUUAUAGUGCCUAUGCCAAUGGAUAAGGAUCAAACCACCGUAGUUCUUAGUAGCCUCCUAAUCCUUGGGCUAAGGUGAUACACCAGAGGCUAAACUAAGAGAGAAAAAGAUUAGUAGAAGAGUGGAGAGAUUUUUCUAUCCUUUCUAGAGCUAAGAGAAUUGUUUCUCUUGGUGUGCAUUCUCCUUUCCCCAAAGCUCUCUUUAUAUAGUGGCUAGGAAAGAAGAGAUAAUGGAAAUGGUCAAUGUGGGACAAAUACCACAUAUCGAUAACACACCCUAUAUUGGGUGUAUAAAUCCUAUAUCUCCCGCCCACCUAUAUAGGGUGUUGGUAUUAUCUCAAUUAGCCCAUCUAAUUCUCAUCCAUUAUACAGGAUAUGGGACGCGCGACUUUGCAAGAAUGAAUGUACAUAUCUAUGAGUGAUGUCAUUAAGCUAUCACCAAACUUAACAAGAGUUCAUCACUCGGAGUGGAGAGAUUUUUCUAUCCUUUCUAGAGCUAAGAGAAUUGUUUCUCUUGGUGUGCAUUCUCCUUUCCCCAAAGCUCUCUUUAUAUAGUGGCUAGGAAGGAAGAGAUAAUGGAAAUGGUCAAUGUGGGACAAAUACCACAUAUCGAUAACACACCCUAUAUUGGGUGUAUAAAUCCUAUAUCUCCCGCCCACCUAUAUAGGGUGUUGGUAUUAUCUCAAUUAGCCCAUCUAAUUCUCAUCCAUUAUACAGGAUAUAGGAUGCGCGACUUUGCAAGAAUGAAUGUACAUAUCUAUGAGUGAUGUCAUUAAGCUAUCACCAAACUUAACAAGAGUUCAUCACUCGGAAGUUCAUCACUUUAUACCCCAGAUAGUUUGUCAUACACCAAACUUGACAUUCUUUAUCACUCGUUAUGAUAUAAAAAGCAAUGUCAUGUACCACAAGUAUCAUGUAUCCAUGUCCUAUGUUUGACAAUAAACAUCAAACUGACGCUGGCCAGCUAAUGAAUCACAUAAUAUAGUAUAGUCUUCAUACAAUCUUCCCUAAGCUCUCAUAUCAGUCUAACUUAGUUUAACUGCUUGCCUAGACACGCCUCUUGGGAUUGUAGCUAACUUGACCAUCUUAGGCAAACAUGCUAAAGUAGCGAUCAUUAUACCUCAUCUUUUUUAUACAGGCUCUAGUCCCAAGGGUAUAAGGGCAUGAUCACAUAGAUCUAGUGGCUCACAUAAUGACUUGAAGCAGGGAUCAAUUCGUUAAAACCAAUGUCGGCCACAACUAGCACAUACAGUAUGAAAUGGCUUUGUCUGGUAAGUUGAGAUGGCUUCAGGAUACAUUCUUUCGAAGAAAAUGACAUGGUUAACUAGGGAACCACUACAAUAGGAUACAUGACUUCGGGAUAUAGCUUUGGUGUAUUCUCAAUUUAAUGAGCGUGUCAUAUGUCCAUUGGAAUACACCAUACGGAUUUUAGUCUAAGCACUACACAAAAUCCUAACUUGAGUAUCUAGCCUAGUCACCCUCUUGGCGCCUACCUAGUUACUCAUAUCCGGCUUGACAAGCUUCAACAUGGAUUUCAAACGGAAAAAUCUACAUGUUCAACCUUUGCUAGGUCUCAUCUUAGACACUUUAAGGCGACAUAUAAAUAUAUCUAGUGUAUGUUUUAUAAAUGAAAUCAUACAAAUGCCUGGUCUCGCACUCAAAUGCGUUUCAGACAUAUAUGUCUCAUCCUGCUCGCUACCUCAGCGUCAAGGAUGAUCUUUUUGUGUGAGUGAAACUGAUUCUAGCUUGGUGACACUCGGAAAAAAAAUGUGCAUCAUAACGUUCUCUGAAGAAGAAAAAAAAACGUUAAUUCUAAUGAGUCUCUUGUAGCUCUUAUACCUAGAAGUGUGACGUAUCACAACUAUCAUGAACAAAUUUGUGCAAUUACAAGUAAUCAUGAACAAAUUUGGGUUCCUUCCAACUUAAGGACUUCUUUUGCAUAAAUCAGAGCAGACUCAUAUACAAUCUCUCUUGUUAAUGCAAAACACCUCCAAAAUAAUUGCAUGGGAAGCACUUAUAUUCUCAAGUGGGUGGGUUCUUUUAAUUCCAUAUAACAAGAUGCAUAUUUUAGCAACAUUCAAUUCAACAUCAAAAGGGUAUUAAAAAGGUGACAAAACAGUGAAAGAAGGAAAGAAAAAAAAAACCCUCAGAAUGUUGAUUCUAUAUGAAAAGACAACUAACCCAGCAUCCAUCGACUUAAUCCAAAGAACUGGACCAAAGAAAACUCAUUUCCGUGACAGCGACAUUCUGUUGAAUCGAAGUUUUCUCUCCAAGAACAACUAGAAUUGGCCAACCGGGUUUCUAACUUUCUAUCUAAAGAACAUGAAAGGCAUACAAAAUGCAAAAAGAUUUAAUAAAGUUUGGAACUUUAUGCACAAAUUGUCACACAUAAGUAGAAAGUUCUGAAGAUUCUCGUGUAUUGUUAGGAGAAUAUAAUGGAGUAGGAUUUUCUUUCAUUCUAUUUUUAUUCCGUUCAUUUCCCUUCUCUCAUACAUUACUUUCUGUUUUAUUGUCUUUAUAAAUAAAGUUAAUAUAAAAUAUUGACAUGACUUAACUGUAACUGUUCCAGUAGAAAAAGAAGAAAAAAAAGAAAGAUUAGAAGAUGCGAGAAUCCUCUUCCGAAUAUAAUUCGCAUGCUUCUAAAUGUGGGUCGAAAAUCAUUACCAGGUAGAAAGCAAGAGACUUUGUUUUUUUUUAUGUUUUUUUUUUUUUGGUUAACAAGCAUGAGACUUUGUUGGACCUGAUGAGAUGUUGCUCCAUGACAUGAGGAUGACGAUCUCGGAAUUCUCAGUGGCAAACAAAAUCGUGUUUGUGGUGGAUGUCCCCCUUUUUUUCACCCUGUAAACUGUAAAGCAGUUUGGAAUUUGGAUGGUUUGGUAUUCCUGUAUUUUAUAAAAAAAUUACUUCUGUUUUGCUGUAAAAAUAAACAGCUGUGAAAUAAAACAUUAAAAUAUUUAGUAACUAUAAUUGUAAAAAUGCUUUUAUCAAAAAAAAAAAAAUAGUGCUAUGGUGUUCUGUAAAAUGACAAAAAAAAAUCACAAAACUUAAUGGCUUUUCUUCCUUUCUUUUUCUUUAUGCCAGAAAGUUCUGAUUUUUCUCCUUUUUCCUUUUUUCUUUCUUCUUUGUUUCUCUUUCUUUCUAGCUUUUUCAUUAUUCUUUCUUUCUAUUUCUUUCUGCCAUAAUGUUUCUGGCGUUUCUUCCAUUUUUCAUUAAUGACCUCUCGUGAAAUUUCAAAGUCCUCACCCACCUUUGUCCCCUUCCCAUUUCUCUUCCAGUUUCGUCCCUUAUACCGAUACGAGCAUCUCAUUUGAUGGGUGGUGAAUCGGGGUAGUAGGAAGAGAUGGAGGGGAUGGGAUGGUGAAUCUGGGUACCACGGCGGCAGAGAGCAAUUGCUAAGAGUGGAGAAAUAGGGGUGGAGUCCAGAACUGAGAUGAAGGAGAAAGAGAGGGUAAGGUUGCCAUUGAAAAAAAUAAUCAUUUAAUGGCACUGUUCACCCGUGUACUAUGAUAAAAAGUUGGUUUUCUAAAGCUGGGCUUUGCUGCUUUAGCUUUUUAGCUUCUUUUCAUCCAAAACUAUGAAGAAUAAAAAAAAGGGAUUUUGAAGGGUUACCAAACACAAAAAACUGGGUGCUUUUUUUUUAUACCUGCUUUUUUAUAAAGUUAAGCAGUACCAAACUGGUAUUAAUUGUUGCAGGACUUUUGUUUCCGUUUAGGAUAUUUUGCACCAAGUGAUAACAAUGGAUACAAAUGUAUGUAUGAUGUAAUUGAUUUGUCUUACCUUUUGUCUAUGUUUUUUUCUCAGCCAAUUUGUUUGGGAAUGUUUUCAGAAUGACUUAAAUCGAUUUUUGAUAAUUAGAAACGCUCUAUAAAAAAAGUACUUAUGUCACAUGCUUAUCCAACAUAAUUACAAAAACAAAAACAAAACAAAAAAAAAAAAACUUUUAGCAUAAACUCAUAUAAACACAAAUGAUUUUUUAAAAAGCAAUUGCAAACAGGCAGUGAGGCAUGCAACAAGAUGAAUAUAAAAAAUCAGUAGAAAUAUAUAUACUACAACUGGUGACGUCCAGUAACAUUUAUAUGGACUAUCCGGUCCGUGGGGUCCAUACUGGACACAGAGUUGAGUUGGCCUUUCACCAAAAUGAUUUAGGACAUAUGCUCAAUAUUCUUUUUUAAACAAGAGAACUUUGCACACCAAUUUAUCAUUCGUCAGACCAAUGUGGAUGUACCACUUCUAAAUAUCUUCGUCGGAAUUUCCAAAACUCAUCAAGUGUGCCACUCUAAAAUCUCCAGACGACUUGAGGUAAGAAUUUUGUUGACUACAAGUUGUAUUUGAGAAUCUUUAAGUGGCAAAAAUAUUUGAGUAUGUAUGUCGUGAACUUAAAUUUUAGUCAACUUAUUUCCUAUUUAAGUCAUCCGAGAAUCUUUUAAGUGGCAAAAAUAUCAUUGAGAAACAGCUCACAUUGCAUUACAGAUGAUACGUUUGACUAAACUUUACUAAACAUGAGUCGCAUUGGUUUGGAACGGUUUUCAUCUUGGGUGGUGCUUGCGUAAUAGUCCAAAUUUUGUGUCUACAAUUUUCCCUUUUAGUAAAAAUUUUGAAUUCGUCACUUCAUACUAUGGUCUAUUGGUAUUCAUCUUUACUUAAAUGAGAAAUCUUAAGUACUAAAUUUUAAUAAUGAAUUGACAGACCACAAUGUACACCAGGGUAUAAUUUAUAGACGAGCUAUAAUUAUUCCAAAAGAAAAAAGUAAAGCUUUAUAGCUCUUUUCAACAAACAAUCGUCGUUUAUGAAAUUUGAACUCGUGACGUCUUCCCACAAACACUUGUACAACAACUAUCUGUCAAUAACAGAAGUGUUUGUUUGAGUUAAACUUACAUCAAGUGAUUUAAUUUUAUACUAAUUACAGUACUAAAUUAAGUUCCUAAUGAUUUGGCGUUUUGGUUUAGAAAAAGGGUAGUGCUAUCCACAUACCUAUUUUUACCUCUCACACACACUCUUAAUUUGCAGUCAUCUGAUAAAUAAAUUGAAGAAGAUUAACGCCAAAAAUUAACAAAAAUAUGUAGAAACUAAAAAUGAGUGUGAAUAGCAAUAUCCUAAAGAAAAGGGACUCAUCAUUUGUUUAAACACAUUCAUCCAAACCAUCAAUGGAACUACUAUCUUGAUCCUGCACUACUUUAUUUGAAGCCUUCUCAGUCCUCCUCCUCUUGGUUCUUCUUUUCACUUCCUCUUCCCUUUUAUUUACAAACGAAACGAAGGAUCGAAGGCGUCUUGCUUGUGAGCUGUCGCAGUCGGAAUCAUGAAACCUGUAGUACUGGCGCACCAUGCGAAGAACAUGAAGAACAAGAGCGAGAAAGCAAGCUAUGCCGCUCAGCAAAAAGAGGCCCCAAAAGCUCCUCAUUGGAAGGCGGUCUACGGCUUGCUUUGCUCCUUCUGCGCUGCAGGCACUCUUCAUCAGCCAUUUGUCAUGAAUCUUUUGAAGAUCUCCCCUCUCCGAUAGUUUCAACACCGCGGUUGACAUGUCAAUUGCAAGAGGCGAGUCCCUUGGAAAGGCCUAAAAUGAAAGACUUACUAUUAUUAGACGAGUGUUAGACAGUCUGCUAUGUUAUGUUGUCAAACUGCAAUUUGUUGACAUAAUAUUUAAUUAAGAUUAAUAUAUGACAACGUAACAUAUCAAACUAGAGAUAUGUUACGACAAGUUUCUAUUAAAACAAAUGUCUUGCUCUUUUGUGAAUGAUAUGAAGGGAUAUGAGAUACUUACAAAACCCCAGCCCAUUUUGGUGAAUUCUUGACCUACGAUACUAUAUCCACAUCGAACGGAGAGGAAGAGCUCCAUGUAUGCACGCUCAUCAAUCACUGCAGCAAUACCGCCUGCAUUAGGACCAUCUUUCAAGGCCUUCUCAUAUUCUUCUGGGGAGUUAAGAGGCACAAGUCUUGACUUGUGUAUGUUUAGCUCAUCAGUUAAGUAGUUUUCAGCGAAUGAAUUCUUUAGGAAACCAAUGCGAUCAUUGCUGUUUGCCAGACUUUCAAUCCCUUUAACAGGUGAAGAAAGCUGCUCGACAGUAAGGAUUGAUGUCAGGCUAGCAAUGUAGCUUGAGUUGAGUAUUAGAACCACAAAUAGCCAUAUGAUAAGCACAAAUCUACCAAGCGUGCUGCCGGUUUUUUCUUCUGCAUAAUGUCACCAAGGAAUGAAAUCAGCCAGUUUAUAAGUAACAAUUCUUUUAUUCAAACGUAGAUGCAGAGCGGGGAGCACGUGGCUCUAUCCACCUUGACUACGUCUAUGUUGAUAUAUAAGUAAAUUUAACAAAAUUAACGUUCUUUGUGCAUUUCACUUACUUUGAGAGAAGAACAGAGUUGAAAAGCUAAACCUGCAAAGCCCAAAAAAACAGAACAGCAAUUAUUUUAGCACAGUUAACAGAGCUCAAUUUUGCAUUAGAGGAUUAAAGCGCUUACCAAAUAAUUGUGACGAAUUGUUUCCGCGGAUGGCCUCGAAAAUCCUCGUUAGUCCGACGCUCCAAAAUCCAAACAACUGCUCCCACAACUAGGAAGAAAAUGCCUGUGAUACCCCACAUCAUUGGAGUAAAAGGCCUCAAAAAUGCCCAAGCACUAGAGUUCGUCUUCCUAAUUGGAGCAACCACAACUAGACCAGACUCAAUGUACGGCUGUGUGAAAUCCACCAUCUUUGUUCUGCUAGUGGUGAUUGUAAUAUCUCCCACCACACCAUCAAACUCCUGCGUAAAGAUUGAAACCCAAAAAAUUAAUAACCAUACUGAUGUCAAGCAAAUUAAGUCAAAUAAUUUUGUUUUGUGACAUAAAUUUUAUACUUACACCAAUUUGGAUCCUAUGCAGAAGUUCACUGUUUUCAGGGUUAUUUUUACCAUCCCCGAAAGGUACAAACUGGAAUGGGACACCAUAUGGUAACUCGUUUAAGGCAGCUUGAAAGACCUCAAUGCAAUAGCCAGUGAACUCAUCAGUGCCUUUUACGCCUACAAACUCGUGGUAGCUAACUCGAUUGGGGACUCCAAUCCUGAGCUUUCUUCCGUUGUCAGGGAAAACCCACCCACGAGGCUUCUGAGUUGUUUGUCCCGGCCAGAUGAUGCUGUAUAAUCGUUGAGUAUCGGUGCUGGAACCCUUAGAGUGCAGCUUCCUUUGAGACUUAUCUGGUGGAUCAAGUGACAGGCCAGAAGAGUUGGACCAAUAACCAAUAGUCCUAGUCCCUGUGCCAAUCACAUUGAUCACUUCAAAUGCAGGAUUAAUCAAGUUUCCAUCUGGAUUAAACUUAAUUUGCCCGGUUAAUCCAGUUAUAUUAACCUCUAAAAUGCUUUGGAGCAGCUGGCUGCCACCAUUAAACUUUUUUAAAGCAUCAAGGUUCAACUUCCCUCCUCGUAAUUUGUGCAAAUUUGAGUCAUUUGCAAAAGAAAUAUUUCCUCCAUUAGCGAAAAAUGAGUCAAGGGCAUGAGCAAGAAGCCAUACAGAAUCAUAGGCAUAUAGACCAUACGUAUUUAACCCAAAAGAAGAGCCAUUCACCCUCCUCGUGCCAGUUAAGUUGCUCCACCGCAAUUUAAACUUCUUUUUGAGUUCUGAUUCUGGUGUAUACAUCUUCAAUGUGAGAACCCCUUGCAUGUCAUCUGUUUUUGCAGAAGGCAAGGAAGGAUCUGAAUCUAUUAUAGUAGAAAACCAAUCAGUAGCAAUCCACACGUAUGGACUCGACAUCAUCAUUUGGCUUUGCGCUUCGGUGAGCACUUGUAAACCCCAACUAGUAUAAAUGUGCAGGAUCACAAUCCUAGACUCCAUUAAAGACACACUAAUCAGUGCCUUCCUGAUUUCAUCUUUGGUUGUCUUGGGGCUCAGAGGUACCUUGUACGAAAUUUUACAGCGCUUUACGGAUAGCUUGUCCCCCAAGGCAGCAAUGGCAUUCCGCCCGAAGUCAUCAUUUACAUAUAUUGCUAUGACAUCUCUCCACUCAUAGUAGCCAACAAGGUCUGCUACUGCAGCCAUCUGAAAGAGGUCACUCCUCGUUGUUCGAACAAAGAACGGGAACUGAUUUGGAGACAGAGUUGGGUCUGUUGCGGCAAAUGAUAGUAAAGGGACUUUUAGCUCAUCGGCGAUGUGUGAGAUUACGUGAGCUGUUGCUGAGUAUUGGGGACCAAUUAUGGCCACCGUGUCGUUCUCCGUGAACUGCAAAGCUGUGAAGGAGCACAAAAAAUUAAUAAAAUCUUCAAGGUUGUUUGAUAACCAUUUCGUUUUCAGGUUUUAGUGUUCAUUUAAAAAAUAAAAAAUAAUAAAAAAUAAAACUGAAAACUGAGCAAUUCAAUUCCAUGACCUGCGUAAAAGGGAAAAACAAGGGAACUUUAAAAAGAAAACUAACAAUAAGAGCCUCAAAAUUUUGAAUUUUAACAAAAAAAAUCAUCUAAUAAUUUUAUUUCAUGAUAAGAAAAGCGCGUGUAAGAAAAGCAGGAAAGUGUUGUUUGGAUACAACACGUCGUCAAACUUAAUCUCCUACUUGUUCUCAUCGUCAAACCUGAUCUCCACUUCGUUUUCAGGUUUUAGUGUUCUUUUUUUUCUUUUUCUUUUUUUUUUUUUGAACUGAAGUGAGCAGUUUGAUUGCAUGACUUGUGUAAAGGGAUAAAAACAUGGGAAAGUUAAAAAAGCAUGUACCUUCAAUGAUGCCUAGAAAGUCACUGGAUUUGGUGUUUUGCAUUUUAAGUGUCAGCUUUGUUCCAUUGAGAAUUUCUGGAUUGGAAUUGACAUCUUCAACUGCAAGGGUUAUUGCGAGUUUUGCGAUUUUUCCAAUGACAGAAUCGAAAGUGAAAAUCGCGCCAAUGUUCACAACAUCAGGUCUUGCAGUGACAUUAGUAGUAGUACUGAGUCCACUAGAAGAAGAACCUUUGUAGAAAACCAUAAAUAACACAAGCAAGGCUAGAUUCAUGUUGAUAUUCAAACUACGAAAGGACAUGUUUAAGCUCCAAAAGAGGGAACAACGAGUUAGGCCAGUUGAUUAGGGCAAUGUGCUCGCUCUCUCCUUGUACACAAGUUCAAAUCCCCCUCUCUGCAUAUUAGAGUAGUUUAUACGAUCAUGUAUAGAAAGCCAAAUUACAGUAAAUCAAACAUGAAUAAGAUCAAUCUGAAGGGCAACGAAUGAUGAUUAAAGCUUACAUUAUUUAUCGUCACUCAAGCCAAACGCGUACAUAUGAGCUCCACGAGAAGGACAAUUAUGAAAUUAGUUUCGUAUUUUUAAGUCCAGAAAUGGCCUGUGUGUUGUGCAGAAUGACCAAGGGAUUAUAUAAGCACUAAAACAGCACGGGAAAACAAGAGCUACCCAAUAAGCUUGAAGUCUGCGGGGACAUAGCUGGUGUGAAAAUUUGAGUGUAAACUGUACACGGUGUUGAAAAUAAAGUAUCAGAACCAAAUAAACAAAAUUAUGACAUGAUCAAACAAAAAAUUAUCUUGUUUUGGGAAUGUGUACUUUGCUAUGUACGUAGCUGAUACCGAACACAAUAUUGAAAAAUUAUAGUUCGAAUUUGAGUAUGAAAAUUGUAACGCUCAAUCUACAAUGCUUAUUUCGACGACAACAAUAAAAAACUUUGAUAUGUACACCUUGGCAUUCUUAAACAACAAACAGCAACCUAACUCAACAAAUGGGUGCAUUUUUCUGGAAAUGGUUCCUCUCCGGGUCCUUACGUAGCGAUCUUAGAGAUCCCCACAUCUCAGCCGUUCAUCGUAUAUCGUGCGAUCAGUUUUCGUCAGGUACUACUUGUGUUUAAUUUUGAAUAAUAAAAGUUAAAUGAUUUCUGACCGAACGAUACACGAUGAACGGUUGAGAUGUGAGGAUCCCAUAAUGGAUCCGGAGAGGAUCCAUUUCCCAUUUUCUCACCACCUUGAAGUGAUGGUAAUACUUACCACUCUAGGUAUUAUGAUUGAAUGAGUUUAAAUCUUGAGAUUUGUGUCUAUCUAUUAUACAGAUUUCGAAAUUUAAACUCAUCCAAUGAUAAUACAUAGGGUGAGGAGAGCAUCAUCAUCAUCACUUGAGGAUGAUGCGAAAUAUAGCAAAAGACAAAAGUUUAUGAAAGUUUUUUUUUUACAAAAAUGUAAGGAGACACUCAAAGUGGGACUCUCCAUGAAAUUUUUGUCACGUCACAAUUAAACGUUAAUUCUCAUAUCAACUCUAUAAAAAAUUGUGCAAAAAAAUGAGGUGUCAGAAAGUUCAUAAGAGUCUCAAUUUGAGAGAGUCUACUUGACAUUUCUUUAUUUUUUUAAUCAAAAAAUCCUGUCACCAAUGAUAAUGCUAAGGAGACUAAAUUUGUAGACAAAAUUUUGGAAACCAAAUGACGUGGAAGUUGAUGAUCGGUUUAUUGCUUAACCGUUGAUAAAUAUACUCAUCUUUAUUGGUGACACAUCAUUUAGUUUAUAAUUUUUUUUCUACAAAUUUAGGAGGGUUUAUUCAAUUAGAAUUUCGUAGUAUAUUUUAAGCAUCCACAAAUCUCACAUCUUCUCAUGAGAUUUCAAGGGAAUUGAAUCAAAAUUUUAUAUGGAAUCUCUGCAAAUCAAUUAAACUCUAUAAAAAUCUAUGGAUUUAUAAAUCCAUUAAAGUCUCUCAGAUUCUCAAUUAAAUACACCCCCUUAGUCUCUUUAACAUUAAAGUAAUGUUAUUCAUAUCAUGUUUUUGUACUACAUUUUCAUAUCACCUUAGGUGACAUUUGAUGUGUACAGCCACAUCAUUUGAAUUAAUCAGAUUUUUAAAUUUAGUUUAUUAUUUAAUAAACUAAUAAUUGAGAAAAACUAGGAGUCUUUCUCCUUCCUUUUCUUGGAUUUUGUAAAUUUUUUAAAUGAUGUGGCUGUCCACAUCAGAUAUCACCUAAAGUGAUAUAAAAAUGUGGUAUAAAAAUAUAAUAUGAAUAGCAUUACACUUAACAUUAUCCAUAUUAAUAGCACCCAUGGGAAUGGGCAACUAGGAUACCAUUAUCCAAUUGACUUGACUAGAUUAAUGGCCCCUCUCACCACUAUUUUAAGAAAGUCUGUUUUGUUUUUUAUUCUCAUAAAUGAUUUCGCUAAUAAGUUAGAUGGUUAAAUAGUAAGAAGAAGAAAAUUGCUGAAGAUCGAACUUGAAAUAGGAUAUAUAGAUAUUAUUACUUUUCGUUACUGUGGUAAAAUAUCAUCUGUAAAAAUGAUAGACCCACAUUAUCACAACUCGUAAUUGAUGCUCUCUUUUUUUCUUUUUUUAAGAAGAGUAAUGAUAGACCCACCCCAUUAUCUUAUUUCUACACCCACAUUAUAAUUUCACCCACCAUAAAAAAUUAAAAAAAUUAAAAUAUUAUUUCUCCACCCACCAUUAUUCUUAAAAUAACCUCUAAUGUCUAAUAUUUCAAACAAUAAUAUUAAUAUGUUUUUUUUUUGAAAAAAAAACUUCAUGCUUCCUUAAUUGCCACUACCAUAGCCACCCCAGAACCUCCUCCCACCCCCAUCAAAAACCAAAACCUUUGACACCUGCUUAGCGGCAUCUCCUUUGGAAAGAGAGAGAAACCAAAGGGAAAGGAAGAGAGAAGCAUUUGGGGAGUUUUCCAAUACAGAGGCAGAUUGCUCCAAAUCUAUUUAUUCCAACUGGAAUUGGGUAUUCUUUGAUUUUAAAAUCUGGGUUGUCGUCGUUGUUCAUUUAUGAGUAAAAGGAGGAGAGGAUGGAGGUGGUAGUACCAGAAUUGAAAGGGAGAGUGGGGUGGUGUUUGUUGCUGGGGAGGGUAAUGGAUGAUUGGGGAUUUGAUAGUCGUUGAUCCAUCAUGGAUGAUUUGGGAGAAUGAUGGAUUUAUUUUUACUUUUGUUAGUUUUAGUUUUUCUUUAUUCUCUUUUAGUUUAUUUAAUUAAAGUUAUAGCAAAUUUAUAAAUGUGGAUUUAAAAGUCUUUUGCUAAAAGGAUAAUUAUGUGAUUAACAUUUUGAUUAAAAGGUGGGUGGGAAAAUAAGACAAUGUGGUGGUUGUAGUAGCACUCUUUAAGAAGGGUAAAGUUAUUAUUACCAGCACACUAUAAUUACAAAAAAAAAAGGCUUAUUAUAUUAGCACCCCACAAAUUGUUGAAUAAACAUCACAUACUUAAUACAUUCCACAUUGACUUUUUCAAUUAAAAAUUAUCUUAAUACACCCCAUUUCCUUCCCCAUAAUACCCAGACACCCCACAUUCUUAAUAUACACUUUACAUUUUUUACCCACACCCCACAUUUCUCAAAUUUUAUAACACUCAUUUUUAAUUUUGUCAAAUGAUUUCAAACCAUCUGAACGUUAGUUUGCCGAAUGAUUUCAAAUUGAAUGAUUUGAAAAAAUGUUUAGGUUCAUUUGAAUGUUUUUCAAUAACAAUACUAAUGAUCAAAACUUUCGAGACAUCGAUUUCGUAUUCCAUUCGUCAAAAUAAUUUUUCUCAAUCAACAUAUUUGUAGUUUCAUUACUUAGGGUUUUAUUCAAUAAUGGAGGGUGAGAUGGGUUUUGAUAGUUGAAAUAGAUAAAUAAUACAUUAAAAAUGAUUUGGGGUGUAUUUAUAAAUUUUUUAUUAUUUUUUAAACCUAAUAAGGUCAAAAUUAUUAUUACAUAAUAGAGUAAAUAAGUCAUUAAUAUUAAAUUUUAAUGUGAGAUAUAUUCAAUAUUUUGUAAAAUACUAAUAUAAAAAGUCAAAAAAGAGAUCUAAUUACAAGAAAAGCACAAAAUAAGAUUGUCAUUUUUUCUCCAUAACAGUUCUCACUGAUCACCGAAAUGUUUUUUUUGUCCUAUAAUCGAGAAAGUGGAGAAGGAGCUACAAGGCACUAGGCUAGGUCGGAGGAUAUGAGGAGACUUUGGAGGAGAUGACAUUGAUUAAUGAUAAUGGAUUGCAUAAAAUAAUCAAGGACAACCAAGCCAUUGGGAGGAAAAUGCAUAGUAACAUUCAUGACAUAAGUACUCAAUUAAUGUAACGUUUUGUCAAUCAUACAAUAAUAUGUGUAAAUUCUUUUACGCAUACAAUUACAAUAUACUUGUCAUAUAAAAGUCAGCCUCGGUGAAAAUGAGUUUCUAUCUUUUCAAUAAACCCAUGCCUUUUCGCGCACACUUAUUUAACAACAUAACAGGCUUUUUAUGUAAAGGGAUCCUCAUUUUUGUCAAAAAAUGAAGAUUAGGUGUAGGACCAACUUCACAUCGAACUUCAACAAUUCGAACCAUCUAUUUUGUAAGUUUCAAUUCGUAAAUCAUUUUUGCAAAAAUUCAAUUCAAUCUGAAAUCAUUUGCCUAUUUAAUUAUCAAGAUAAAAUUUCAUUGUUUCUUAUAUAACAAAGUAUUUGUUAGUUUUUUUUAACCCAAUUAGAUGUUUUAAAUAUUUCUGAUUUGACUAAUAUUUUGUAAAGAUGAUCUAUGAGGUGCUUUGAAAAUAAACAGUUCGGAUCGUUAAAAUUCGAUGUGGUGUGGACCCCACAACUAAUCCCCAUGUUUUUGAAGAAAAAAAAAUUCAUUCCCCUAAAGGCUUCCUAUAUAAUAUAAGGAAAACUAAUGAAAAAGACUUGAAAACUUUCAGUUUUAACGAUAAGAACAAAAUAAAGGGUAAAAUAAAUAGUACUAGGUUUGACUUUUUAGUAUCAAAAUGUGAACUUUCGUUAAAGUAAACAGUACAGUGAACUUUUCGUUAAAACCUGUAAUAUAUUCUAAGGGUGACCAAGGUAAACUCCGAGGUCUGAGGUCUCAACUAAUCAUGAGUUCAUUACUAACGCGUGGUACUUUUGGACUUCUUGUUGUGUCACACGUCUAAACAUUUGCACCGCGUUCAGCCUUUUGGACUCUUCACAUGAGUUUCAAACUUACUGUAGAAAAAAGUUACUUGCACUUAAGAUUUCACGAACGACCGUGUUACAAUUAUAAAUUUAAUAAUUUUUAUAAAGGAUUAAGUACUAAAAACUCUACAAACUUUUAAUGUCAUUUCAAAUUGGUUUCAAUUAUUUUGAACGUUCCAAAUAAGUACGUAACUUGUUGAAAAUGUUACUUAUGUUCAGUCCUAGUUAAUUUUUUCAUUAAACGGCAACAAUGAGUCCCAUUUUUUAGCUUAUUUGGUCACUAAAAUAAGAAUAAAAAUAAUUUAAAAAGAGACAUGAAGAUGAAAAAAUAACAAGUAAAUUCACAAAUAAAAUAAAAUGAAGAUCGGGAAACAUUAAGCCCCGCCACCUCCAAGCUUAACUUCGUCCAUCGAACAUCCCUCCCAACCUUUAUAUUCAAAACCCACCAACUAGUUCAGCUUCUAGUUCUUCUUUGUGGUUGAUGAAGAUGGUGGUGGCUGCAUGACCUUCUUCUUGAUGUUCUUAAGUUGUAGGGUAGAGUUGGUGAUUGGACGUUGGGUUUGAAUGUGAUGACCUGAUGGGCGUGGUGGUUACUAUUACUUAGUGGAGGUCAUGCUUCCAUGACCUUCUAUUGAAUUUAGAGACAAAGAAAGCCCUAAUUAAUUUAACAAAAAUUUAACUGGGACUUAAUUGAUGUAACAUUUAUAAUAGAUUGAGUACUAGUUUGAAAUGUUUAAAAUGGUUGAGAGCAAUUUGAAAUGACACAAAAAAGUUCGAGAAUUUUCGAUACUUAAUACUUUUUUAGUUUUUUUUUUUUUUUUUUUUUUUGCAAACGAUAUUAUCUCCACUAAAAGAGAAUGGGGUAUACUAAGCCUCACAAUGAGUUAGCAACAAUGUGGUUCAAAUUCGCCUUUGGUGAAAAUUGAACCUAAAACCUCUCAUUUACAAGUGAAAAGGAAUAUCACUAGACCAUAGUACUAAGUGACUACAUUUUCACUUAUACUAAAAAGAUAAUCAGCAAUGUAAUUUUAAGUUUUAUUAAUGUAGUAGUUGUGAAGGGUCGAGAGCGUGACAUGUGAAUAAUGUGGCCUAGGUAGUCAACCCAUGCUGACCACCAAAGGUCAAUACUGACCGCCAUGGCCUGUGAUGAUAAGGGGCAUAAUGCAUUUGUGACGUCAAUACCUGUAGUGGAUACUAAAAUCCAUCAUCUUUACUUGGCUUGUGUGACGUCAAUACCUGUAGCGGAUACUAAAAUCCAUCAUCUUUAUUUGGCUUAUGCUGUUUAUUGAUGUCACCUACCACAACACUAAUCAUCAUGUGGUGUUACUAGUCUAAGUUUAUAUAAAGAAUAAACGACGUUGUCGAUAUUUCAUAAACAUACUGUAGAAUUUUUCAUAUAAAUAAAAUUAAAGAAAUUUUAACGAAAAAUUCCCAGUACGAAUAAAUCAUAUUUUUAUAUUAAAAAGUCAAUUCUGAUACUAUUCAUUUUACCCUUUAUUUUGUCUUUAUCGUUAAAACUCUAAGUUUUCAAGCUAUUUUCAUUAAUUUUCCUUAAAAUUAAAAAAGAUGAUGUUUUAAGAGAUUUUGAUGGUAAAUAGUUUCUAAAAUUUUGCGCCAAUUUAGGCAUAGGUGUUCUCAUGGUUUUCAAAUUGGGGGGCACUUGCGUAAUAGUCCCAAGUUUUGUUUCUACAAUUUUCCCUUUUAAUAAAAAAUGAAAUUCGUCACUUAGUACUAGUCUAGUAUUAUUUUUAUUCACUUAAAUAAGAAGUCUUAAGUAUUAAAUUUUAAUAAUGAAUUGAUGGACCAAAGUGCACACCAAGGUAAUUACUCCCUUAAGAAAGGUAAAUUUGUUAUAGCUCUUUUCAAUAAGUUGGCAUCCUCCUCCUCAAGGCUAUGUGAAGUUAAACUUCGAUGGGUCAAUUAGUUUGGAGAGAACGGCAACCACUUUUGUUCUUAGAAAUGAGGAGGGGCAACCAGUUGGAGCUGGUGCGUUGAACCUCGAUGGUGCCUCCAUAUCAACUACGGAGGCUGUUGCUUUAAGGAAGGGCUUAUUUUCGCCAAGCGCAAAGGUGUGAAGAAACUGUUGUGGAAGGGGAUUCCAAGCUGGUCAUCCAAGUGGUGCAAGGUGUUUGGAUGCUCCCUUGGCAUCUUAAACCUAUUGUCGUGGAUAUCAAUGCCUAGCUUCUAAAUUCACUAUAUCAGUUGGAAGCAACAUCUUCAGGGAAGCAAAUUUCAUGGUAGAGGAGCUAGCUCAUAUGGGUGUCCAUGUUGCUAACCCACAUUUCUGGGAUUAUUGUCUUCCUUUAUUGGCCAUGGAGACCUUUAAAUUUGAUUGUCUGAGAAGUAGUUGUAUUAGAGAUUUGUUAAGUUUUAAUAAUUUUUUUCUUGAUAAAAAAUAGAUUUUUUAAAUAAACAAUCGUCGAUUAUGAGAUUUGAACUCAUAACAUCUUCCCACACACUUAUAUAAUAACUAUCUAUUUGUCUAUGACAAAAGUGUUUGUUUGAAUUAAACUUACAUCAAGUGAUUUAAUUUUAUACUAAUUACAGUACUAAAUUAAGUUUCUGAUGUUUAGGCUUUUUGGCUUAGCAAAAGAGGGACUCUUCAUUUGUUUAAACACUUUGACUCAAACCAUCAAUGGAACUACUAUCUUGAUCAUGCACUAUUUUAUUUGAAGCCUUCUCAGUCCUCCUGUUGGUUCUGCUUUUCACUUCCUCUUCCCUUUUAUUUACAAACGAGAUGAAGGAUCGAAGGCUUUUCGCUUGUGAGCUCUCGCAGUCGGAAUCAUAAUGCCUGUAGUACUGGUGCACCAUGCGAAGAACAUGAAGAACAAGAGCCAGAAAGCAAGCUAUGCCGCUCAGCAGAAAGAGGCCCCAAAAGCUACUCAACGAAAGACGGUCUACGGCUUGCUUUGCUCCUUCUGCACUGCAAGCACUUUUCUUCAGCCAUUUGUCAUGAAUCUUUUGAAGAUCUCCCUUCUCCGAUAGUUUCAACACCGCAGUUGACAUGUCAAUUGCAAGAGGCGAGUCCCUUGGAAAGGCCUAAAACGAAUGACACUAUUAUUAUACGAAUAUUCGAGUUUUAGCCAGUGUGAUACGUUAUGUUGUCAUGCUAUCGAAUAUUAAUAUAUAGGACAACAUAACAUAUCAAACUAGAGAUAUGCAACGAAAAGUUUAUAUUAAAAUAAACGUCAUGUACUUUUGUGAAUGAUACGAAGGGACAUGAUACUUACGAAACCCCAUCCCAUUUUGGUGAAUUCUUGACCUACUAUACUAUAUCCACAUCGAACGGAGAGGAAGAGCUCCAUGUAUGCACGCUCAUCAAUCACAGCAGCAACACCGCCUGCACUAGGACCAUCUUUCAAGGCCUUCUCAUAUUCUUCUGGGGAGUUAAGAGGCACAAGUCUUGACUUGUGUAUGUUCAGCUCAUCGGUUAAGUAGUUUUCAGCGAACGAACCCCUUGGGAAACCAAUGGGAUCAUUGCCGUUUACCAGACUUUCAAUCCCUUUAACAGGUGAAGAAAGCUGCUCGACAGUGAGGAUUGAUGUCAGUCUAGCAAUGUAGCUUGAGUUGAUUAUUAGAACCACAAAUAGCCAUAUGAUAAGCACAAAUCGACCAAGCGUGCUGCCGGUUUUUUCAUCUGCAUAAUGUUACCAAGGAAAAAGAUCAGACAGUUUGUAAGUAAGAAUUCUUUUAUUCAAACUUAGACGCAGAGUGGGGAGAACGCGGCUCUAUCCACCUUGACUACGCCUAUGUUGAUAUAUAAGUAAAAUUAACAAAAGGUAAUGUUCUUUGUGCAUUUCACGUACUCUGGGAGAAGAACAGAGUUGAAAAGCUAAACCUGCAAAGCCACCCCCCCCAAAAAAACAAACAAGAAUUAUAUUAGCACAGUUAACAGAGUUCAAUUUUGCAUUAGGAGAUGUGGAUUAAAGAACUUACCAAAUAAUUGUGACAAAUUGUCUUCUCGGACGGCCUCGAAAAUCCUCGUUGGUCCGACGCUCCAAAAUCCAAACAACUGCUCCCACAACUAGGAAGAAAAUGCCUGUGACACCCCACAUCAUUGGACUAAAAGGCCUCAAAAAUGCCCAAGCACUAGAGUUCGUCUUCCUAAUUGGAGCAACCACUAGACCAGACUCAAUGUAUGGCUGUGUGAAAUCCACCAUCUUUGUUCUGCUAGUGGUGAUUGUAAUAUCUCCCACCACACCAUCCAACUCCUGCAUAAAGAUUGAAACCCGAAAAAUUAAUAAUCAUACUGAUGUCAGGUAAAUGAAGUCAAAUAAUUUUGAUUUGUGACAUGAAGUUUAUACUUACACCAAUUUGGACCCUGUGCAGAAGUUCCUUACUUUCAGCGUUUGUUAUACCAUCCCCGAAAGCUACAAACUUGUAUGGGACACCAUAUGGUAACUCAUUUAAGGCGGCUUGAAAGACCUCAAUGCAAUAGCCAGUGAACUCAGUGCCUUUUACGCCUACAAAUUCGCGGAAGGUACCUCGAUCGGGGACUCCAAUCCUGAGCUUUCUUCCGUUGUCGGGGAAAACCCACCCGCGAGGCUUCUGAGUUGUUUGUCCGGGCCAGAUGACGCUGUAUAAUCAUUGAGUAUCGGUGCUGGAACCAUUAGAGUGCAGCUUCCUUUGAGACUUAUCAGGUGGAUCAAGCGACAGGCCAGAAGAAUUGGACCAAUAACCAAUAGUCCUAGUCCCUGUGCCGAUCACAUUGAUCACUUCAAAUGCAGGAUUAAUCAAAUUUCCGUCUGGAGUAAACUUAAUUUGCCCGGUUAAUCCAGUUGUAUUAACCUCUAAAAUGCUUUGGAGCAGCUGGCUGCCACCAUUAAACAUGCUCAAAGCAUCAAGGUUCAACUUCCCUCCUCGUAAUUCGUGCAAAUUUGAGUCAUUUGCAAAGGAAAUAUUUCCCCCACGAGAGAAAUGAGUCAAGGGCAUGCGCAAGAAGCCAUACAGAAUCAUAGGCAUAUAUACCAUACGCAUUUAACCCAAAAGAAGAGCCAUUCACCCUCCUUGCAACAGUCAAGUUGCUCCACCGCGAUUUAAACUUCUUUUUGAGUUCUGACUCUGGUGUGUACAUUUUGAAUGUGAGAACCCCUUGAAUGUCAUUUGUUGCUGCAAAAGGCAAGGAAGGUUCUGAAUCUAUUAUAGUGGAAAACCAAUCAGUGGCAAUCCACACGUAUGGACUCGACAUCAUCAUUUGGCUUUGCGCUUCGGUGAGCACUUGUAAACCCCAACUGGUAUAAAGGUGCAGGAUCACAAUCCUAGACUCCAUUGAAGACACACUAAUCAGUGCCUUUCUGAUUUCGUCUUUGGUUGCCUUGGGGCUCAGAGGUACCUUGUAUGAAAUUUUACAGCGGUUUUCGGAUAGCUUGUCCCUCAAGGCAGCAAUGGCAUUCCGCCCGAAAUCAUCAUUUACAUAUAUUGCUAUGACAUCUCUCCACUCAUAGUAGCCAACAAGGUCUGCCACUGCAGCCAUCUGAAAGAGGUCACUCCUUGUUGUUCGAACAAAGAAUGGGAACUGAUUUGGAGACAGAUUUGGGUCAGUUGCUGCAAAUGAUAGUAAAGGGACUUUUAACUCAUCCUCUAUGUCUGAGAUUACGUGAGCUGUUGCUGAGAAUUGGGGGCCAAUUAUGGCUACCGUGUCAUUCUCCAUGAACUGCAAAGCUGUGAAGGAACACGAAAAAUUAGUAAAAUCUUCGGGGUUGUUUGAUAACCAUUUCGUUUUCAGGUUUCAGUGUUCAAUUUUUUGAAAACUGAACUGAGCAAUUUGAUUACUUGACUUGUGUAAUAGGGAAAAAACAUGGGAAAGUUAAAAAAGCUUGUACCUUCAAUGAUGCCUAGAAAGUCAUUGGAUUUGGUGUUUUUCAUUUUAAGUGUCAGCUUUGUUCCAUUGAGAACUUCUGGAUCGUAAUUGACAUCUUCAACUGCAAGAGUUAUUGCAAGUUUUGCAAUUUUUCCAAUGACAGAAUCAAAAGUGAACAUCGCGCCGAUGUUCACAACAUCAGGUCUUGCAGUGACAUUAGUAGGACUAAGUCCACUAGAAGAACAGCCACUGUAGAAAACUACAAAUAACAGAAGCAAGGCUAGAUACAUGUUGAUAUUCAAACUACAAAAGGACAUGUUUGAGCUCCGAAAGAGGAAACAACGAGUUAAACCAGUUGACUAGGUUGGCUAGGGUAGUGUGCUCACCCCUUCCUUGCACACAAGUUUGAACCCCCUCUCUGCAUAUUAGAGUAGUUUAGACGAUCGCUUGUAUAGAAAGCCAAAUUACAACAAAAACAACAGAACAUGCUCCAAAAACACAUGCAUGUUAUCCAAAAAUAUCUAAUAAAUCAAACAUGAAUACGAUCAAUCUGAAGGGCAUAACGAAUAAUGAUUAAAGCUUACAUUAUUUAUCAUCACUCAAGCCAAGCACAUACGUAUGAGCUCCAUGAGAAGGACAAGUAUGAAGAUUUCGUAUUUUUAAGUCCAGAAAUGGCCAGUGUGUUGUGCAGAAUGACCAAAUGGUUAUAUAAGCACCAAAACAGCACUGGAAAAGAAGCUUGAAGUCUGCGGGGACAUCAGCUGGUGUGAAAAUUUGAGAGUGUACAUGGUGUCGAAGAAAAAUAUCUUGUUUUUGGGGAAAGUAGCUGAUAACAAACACGAAUCUACAAAUAUGAAAAACUAUACCUUGGAAUUCUUAAACCAUGAAAACUAAAAAAGCAACCUAACUCAACAACUAGCAAAAGGCAAAGGUUUUUUGAACGGUUUACAAAUACUAUUAUCUUUUUCAUAAAAAAUCUUGUCACCAAUAUUAGACAGCAACCAUGGGAAUGGGAAUAUUGGGAGGGGGAACUAAUAUAUUAUUAUCCAAUGGAAUGGACUUGAUUAAUCCCCACUCUCCGGGAAGUGUUGAUCACCACUGUUUUAAGGAUCAGGUUAGAUAGUUGAAUGUUAGGGGAAAAGAGAAUUAGUAGGGAUCAAACCCUUGUUAAAAGUACAACACCAGCCCAAAUAAUAAAGACUGGCUCAUGAUGAAGAAACAAUGGAGAAAGCAUGCAUAUGCUAGAAUGUUCUAGCAUGAGUGUGUCGGUGGGAACAAGCUAGAAUUGUCUAGCUGUUAUAACCAUGGUAUAAAAUAUCGAUGAUAUCGAAAAUAUCGGUAGUCCAAAAACAUGGAAAUUUCGAUGGAAAUAUCAGGAUAUUAUCGAUAUCCAUAAAAAUUGAAUAAAAACCACGGAAAUUGUAAGAAAAACUUGGAAAUUUUUAUUGAAACUUUGGAGAAUGUUUAUUUAGUCAAUUAUCUAUUAGUUUAUAAAACAAAUUAGAAGGAAAUGCAUUACAUGAUGGAUUUAACUGAUUUAAGUUGAUUAUACAGCGAGCUAGCAAACACUGUGAGUGUAGAAAAUAUGUAGUAAUCAAUGAAAAAAAGAUUAAACACACCAUUUAUAUAUAAUGAUUUACUACAAUAUUUUACACUUUAUACAUUGCAUGGUAAGAUACAUGAGUGAUUUAGUACCACAUAAAGUUCCUAUGAGGUUCAAAUUUUUCACUAUCUUCAUCAUCUCUAUGUGUAGAGUAAGUUUAUUGUGAAGAGUAUUCGUCAAAUGAUAAAUCCCCAAAAUAGUUUUGCAUGUAAUUGUUAACAUGCCACUCAUAUAAAUUAAUAAAUAUAAAUAUUUUAUCAUAUUAUCACUAAAACGUAAGUGAUAUAUUGUGGUUAAGGUGUUGGAGGAGCAAAAUGGGAGGGGUUCAAAUCCUCUUUGUGUUUUUUUUUUCCUCCCUUUUUUCCCUUUUUUUCUUCUUUUUUCUUUUUUUCCCUUUUUUUCUUCUUUUUUCUUGUUUUUUUUUCCUUCCUUUACAUCGAUAUUUUAGCGAUAUUACACCGAUAUUUUGACAAAAUAUUGCUGAAGUGUGAGCGAAAUUAUCGACAUCGAUAUUUUCCGAUAUUAUCAUCGAUAUUUGUACGAUAUGUACAUGGAUAUGUUCCGAAAUAUCUGUGAUUCGAAAAAACCGAAAUAUCCUCGAUAUUUCGUCGAUAUUAUUGAUAUUUCAGACUAUGAUUAUAACAAAUGUGUGGUCAUAAGAAAAAGUCCAUGUCGGUAGGCUGGUUCUAGAAUAACAAGAAGAUUAGUAUUAUGUAUAGCACAUAUCGGUGGGGCAAUAGGAUAGUCGGCAAGGCCACCUAUAAAUAUGGGUGUGGUGUAACCGACCAACCAAUCAAGAAAUCAAGUAGUAGUAGUAGGCAACCAAGUGAGAGUGAGAAGCAAGAAUAGUCAUGUAGGAGUGUGAGUGAUCUAGAGUGUGUUUUUAGAAAGUGAGUGAGUGUCAUUGCUUCUAAGUUGUGUCCUUGUGAGUGUUGUAAUAUUUUGUGUGUGUAAUACAAGUAAUUUGUUUACUUGUGUUGUCUCUCCAACACUUGUGUUAGAGUUGUGUACUCUCCCAACAAUCCUCACCAGAUUUCAUAAGCAUUUUUCCUUCUCGUCAUUCGUUAAAGCGCUAUCUGCAAAAAGGAUUAUGAUAUUAUCAGGAAUUGUUAUUAAUACUCUAAAAUAGUCAAGUUUUUUCAUAACAAUACUCAAUGAUGAAUAAAUAUUUUAUUGUCCUAUCAUUGAUAGUAUAAACGGGCUCAGCUUGGGUUCUUUCAUGAUUCCUACCAACACUAGAUACCUUAAGAGGAUUUAAACCAAUGCGGCCUCAAACAUGAAGACUUCGAAACACCUCGUAGGGACUUACAACACCAACCUUUGCUACCGCCCUUGUGUUCACCAACUCCUAAGGGUGCUUAAGGGACGAAGGACAUUCUUUACAAAAAAUUGACUAAGAUUCAGUUCUGAUGCAGAAGAUCAGGCUUAUACUGCAACUGCAGAGCAUACUAAGAAUCUGAGUAACAAGGAAUACUCAAACUAUGAGGGAAAACUUUGCUUGAGCCACCUACAAGAGGAAGGCUCUGAUACCACUCACGUAUAAAACCUAUACAAUAACUGGGAUAUACUCUUUAGGAGACUCAAACAAGGAUAUUUACUGCAGAAGAGAGGUUCAUACAAACAUUCAACUAUAAUUCAAUUCUCCAAUCAAGGCUUACACAUUUCUCUUGUGGCAGCUUCUUGCGGCGCCCACCUCUCAUUCAUUAAAAAUUGAAACGACCCAUAAAGCGAAAAAGACGAGUCAAUAAUGAGGCAAUAAUGUCCAUGCCUUCUUUUCUUGGAUUGUAAUUUUCCACUUGAACCGACUUUGUUUCUUGUCUUUGGCUUCAUAUUUGGUGUAGAUUCUCCAUACUGGAAAGAGAUUCGGAGAAAAUCUUUUCUAUUAAAGUCAUCGAAUCAAGUGAUUUGAGUUUUUUAAAUUUCACUCAACGGUAAUAAAUUAUUACACAUUUUAAGAUAUCAAAACAAGUGGGCUGUUGGAAGAAUUUUGAAAGACUCCGAUUACUUGAUUUGAUGAUCUUGGUAGAAGAGAUCUGGAGAGGAUCUCUUUCCCUCCUUACUGUCUGCCCUAUUUGGAAUUCGGUUGUACUAAAGUAUAUGAUGCUUUGGAUUACACAUGAAAAAGGAAAAGAUAGAAAGUUGCAAGACAAAGAGGGCUUCUUUUUUUCCGGUAGUGAAGCGCAAUUGCGUCGUAUGAUCAGUUCGUUUAUGUUUUAUAUAAGACCGUAUAUUUAGUGAUAUACUAAUACUAUAACUUAAUGUACAAAUCAACCGUUGUAUGGUCAGUUCACAUGUUAUAACACUUGAACCAGUUCAAUUAGAUAAUCGUAUUUCAAUAACUUUACAUUAAUUUUUAUUUCUUGUAACGGUUGCAGGGCUUGAAUGAUUGUCAUUGGUAAGUACGAUCAUUGAAAGAUUGUUGGGAGACUGACGUUUUAUCGUCUUUAUUUUUUCCACUAAGUAAUAAUUUUACAAUUAAAAAAGUGAAAAUUUUUAUUUUGAGUUUUAGAAACCAUGCUUAUUUUAAUUGGACAACAGUUAUUUUAACUUUAGUUUGAAUGAAUUGUCAAAGAUAUAAAUAAACUAAACUACAAGUUAUAUUUUCUCGACUAAAAAAGACGUUGUUUUUUUGUUUUUUUUUUAAUGGUGGUGAAGAAGCUCUUUUUGGUUAUAAAGUAUUCUAAAUUUCUUUUUUUUUUUGUCAAACGUAUUUUAAAUUUCAAUUCAUUUGUCAUAUACAUAUUCCAUAUUCCACUAGAGUCAAUUCAAAGACAUACAUUCAAACUAAAGUCAAUUCAUUUGUCAUAUACAUAUUCCAUAUUCCACUUUGAAAAAAAACUGCCAACAACCAAGGCAAGUUAAUGUAGAGCAAAAAAUAAUCAAAAAAAAAUUAGAGAUGACACAUAGACUUUAUCCUGAAGAAAACUAGAUUGCCCUUAUUAAAUGGGUAGGGCACAGAAAUAUUCCCACUCGUAGCUCAACAUCCCUGAAAAUUCAAGCAGUGGACUAUGACUGCUCAAUGCUCCUCUGCUCGUGACAUGGAAAAGUCAAAUGCAUUAAAGAUAUGAUUAAUUACCAAAUACUGCCUUUAAUACAUUCUCAAUUGAAGAUCAACUCAAUCAAGUAAGGAAUCAUCAUCACAAUCAAUUAAGGAUGCUUACAUCAUUAUCCCAAAAUAUUAUUAUCUAAUUAAUAUCUUGGUAAUAUAUUUACUCAUUCAUCCUACGGAUGACAUAACCUUAUCUAAUGGGAAGUCACCAAGUGUAAGGCAAAACCCUACAUAUAGGCCAAAUAUCUUCCUGUAAACCUCAUCUUCACCAAACUUUGGUAAGCUUUUACUACGCAUACAUGCCCUAAACACUCAUUCUUUUCAGAGAUACUAACUUAGGCAUCGGAGACCUAUUGGCCAAACCUCCUCCUACCUCGUGGCCGCGUAGGGGUGGGCGGUUCGAUUCGGCCUGCUUCCACCCUCAAACCGGAAUCGGAAAAUAUCAACGGUCCGGUUUGGUGCAAUUCUAGUUAAAUUUAUUACUAAAAUCGUACGGUUUAGUUCAUGCCAGUUCCGAGUUUGGUUUAUGCCGAACUAUGGUUCUAAAUACUAAAUCUUUUGAUACCAAAUCAAAAUGGUAUUCAAAAUUUGCUUGUUUUUUUAUAAUUGAUUCCGUAAGAGUCUCAAAUAUAACCAUUAUUUCCUGUCAACUAGUUAUUAGUUAACAACGACCACGCCUAAAGGAUCACAUGGAAAAUCUCAAAAGAAAACGACACUCUACAACCACUAUAUUUCUUAGCAUUUGUAGUCCCUGUUAAUGUACUGUAAGUUACAAGCACCUUAUUAAGGGCUGGUUUGGUAUUGAUGUGCUUUGAAAAAAAGCUGCUGUGAGAUUAAGCGGCUGUGAAAUAAAUCAGCAGAGUGUUUGGUAAACUUUUUUGUAAAAGUGCUUUUGGAAAAAAAAGCAGUCUGAUAGUGGAUCUUUUCAUUAAAGGAGCACUGUAGUUCUAUGUGCUUUGAAAAAAAGACAGUUUUCCAAAGCUACAAAUUGCAGCUUCAACUUUUUCCUUUGAUUUCAGCUUAUUCUCACAGCAGCUUCCAAAAUAAGCCAUUUUUUUUAAGUUUACCAAACACCAAAAACACUCCCAGCUUUUUUUCAUAGGAGCUUUUUUUAAAAUCACCUCAACCCCAAACUGGGGCUAACUCCCAUCCAGCAUUUAAAAGGAAAGAAGCUAAUAUUUGGCAAGUUGUAACUCAAAGGUAACUAAGGGGUGAUAGGUGAAGUGAGGGUGAGAACUGAGGGCGAGGGUGAGUGAGGCAUCGAAGGAUUGAGGCUGUUCAGUAGGUGAAAGUAAAACUUAAUUGAGAAAUGCUCUCAUGCAGUCGUACUAGGUGAAAUUAGUUUGAUUUUGACCACUCAUUUAGUGACACAUGUAUAAAAUUAUUAUAUUUCUUUAUUUCUUUAUUUCUUUAUAUUCACAAAUCAGUUCGGUGCAGUGAAAAUCGGAACCGAAAACGGUAAGAAUGUUUCGAUCCGGUUCUUGAACCUAUGUUGACAUUUUUUUAUCAACAUGUUUUUUUUACGGUUUAUGUUGUCGUGGUUUGAUUCGGUUUCGUGGUCCACGGUUUUUAUGCCCACCCCUAUGGCCGCGUGAGACUUUGGUCUUUGAUCAAAGGUGUUAAGGAUGAUUCUUCUCUCACAUUAAAUGAUUACGAUUAAGCCAAUAUCUUAUAUUGAGUGAUAAAGACAAAAAGAAAAGUGUGAGAAAAGAGAAGGGAAUGAGAUGAGAAUAAGAAGGGAGAGAAUCUUACUCCUUGUUAUGCGAGAAUUAUUGUCUUUUAACAUUUUACAAUUUUUUUGUUCUAACUUUUAAAUAAUGUUAGUUGAAUGUUUUUUUUAUUUAAAUUUAAAAUUUUAAAGCUCUUUUCGUUAAUUUUCAUUAAAAAUGUACUAAUUAUGCAAAUAUCUUUUUCAUUGUUUUCGUGAUAUAAACCAAAUUUGCAUGUGACAUAGUAGAGGGAUGAAGUGUAAGGCCAUCUCCAACCGAAUGGUCCAGAUAGCCAAAAAUAACCCGAAAACUGUCUCCAACAGAGGGCUAGGCCAAAGGGCUCGUGGGCCUUACUGGACAAAAAAGGGUCAAAGGGCCAACCGGCUGGCCCAAACUAGCUAGCCAGCCAACCCCGGGCUGGGCCAGAAUUUCAUUAUUCCUGUCAGUUAUAGUCGAUAGCAUUGUACUUAUUCCUGUCGGUUAUAUCCGACACGAAUUGUAGGCCAAAAUUUGAAAUACAACGACUAGCUGACGUCAGUUACCAUUGGAUUCUUUUUUUUUUGUUGUUGGGCCAAUUUUUUUUGUAUAAAUUUAAAACAUUCCCUUUUUUUUCCCUAUAAAUACCUAAAUCAUUCCUACACCAUUUCUCACAUAAUUUUCAUCAUUCCAUACUAUCUCACUUCAUUCUAUUUCAAUUCUUCACAUUAUAUUUUCUUACAUCUUCCAAUAAUCUUUCCUUCACUUUUUCCAAUAAUUUUCAAAUGGCCUCAUCUACAAUGAAAGGUAGGGCUUGGACCCGAAAAGAAGAUGAAGCUUUUUGUAGGGCUUAUAGAUGGGUGUCAGAAGAUAGUGUGAGGGGGAGUUCUCAAACAAGUGAAGGUGUUUGGACUCGUUUGUCCAAAAAAUACUUAGAGUUCUACGAAUGCACCACUCCACCGAAUAUCCAAAACCACGAGAGUUGUUCUUCAAGAUGGAAGAAACAUUUUCAGCCAAGUUUGAACAAAUGACAUUAAGCACUGUUAGCAACCGCAAGUAGACAUGAAGGCGGCGCUAACUACUACGACGAAGUAAGUGUUUUCAUAAUUUAAUUUAAAUAUUUAAUUAUAUUACAUUUAAUUUCAUGAAUUACUUUUGUUUGUACCAUACUUGACCAAUCCCGAAACUACCGAGCACCGGCCAACGCUAUACUGUCAAGGACCCAGAAGAGUUCCCCUCCGACCAGGAGGCCAAUCACUACUCGACACGUGUCAAGAUUAGAAGCCAAUCAGAGCGCAGCACGUGUCGACAUCAAGAACCAAUCACAACAUGACACAUGUCAAUGUGACAAAGCUACAAGUUUUUCUAUAAAUAGGGGUCAUUCCCCCACAAUAUUGCCGAAUGCCAUUUUGUGUUAAAUCAUUCACAAGAACUCACUAAAUUGAGAGCUUGAUCCUUUCUACUUGUGUAAGCCCUUCACUACUAAUAAGAACUCCUCUACUCCGUGGACGUAGCCAAUCUGGGUGAACCACGUACAUCCUGUGUUUGCUUCUCUGUCUCUAUUCAUUUACGUACUUAUCCUCACUAGUGACUGAAGCAACCAAGCAACCAAGCGAAGGUCACAAAACCUGACACUUUCUGUUGUACCAAAGUCUUCGCUGAUUUUGUGCAUCAACAUUUGGCGCCGUCUGUGGGAAACGACACUUAUUCCUACUCUCUUCAGCUGUGUCAAGCUGGUUUCUAUCAUUCGUACACUUUCUUUUGAUCAGGCAUCCCUCUCCAACAUGGGAAGCGAAGGAAGCCACAGCACACAGAAUGACACCCCCCUUGCACAUAGUGCGAAACAACGAAAGAAGGAAGGAAAACGAGUUCUUCUUCAAGCUAAAGUCGAUGAGUUGGAAGCUCAGAACAACAAGAUAGCAAUGAGGAAUGAGGUCCUCCAGGAGCAAUAUGAGAAGCUCUUCGAGACACUCCACGAAGCUAGGCAAGCUCAGACACGCGAGCUUGUUGCCCCCGUGGAAGUCAACCAUCAACUGGGUGCCCUCCAACAUGGAGGGUCACAUGCAUUCGACAUAGAUAUCCCUGAUAGGGAACAGAUUACCCCUCGACUUGAUAAUCAACAUGAGGCUUCUCUUAACCCAGUUGCUUCGACCCGAACCAUGAGAAGUGGAGGGAGACACCUCUUUGCUGAAGGGGCAGAAGGAUCGAAAGCCGUCUUUCGCGAUUGUCGGGAUUUCCUGAAGCAACGUCGAGAGAAUUCCAUCCAUAUAAGCUCAAAGAUCAAUGACCCAAGGAUUUCUGAGAGACUCGGUCCCCUGCCACGGCCCGAGCCGGCCACCAAUUUUGGGGAAGGGGCAACAAGUCCUAGAGAGACAUGAGGGUACAGGGGACUCAGAGGUGUUCCGACAGACAUACCCUGGAAGCCAGUACAACGAGUCCAGGGAAAAAUCACAUGCCCUUGAUCAAACCUUCCUAAUUCCAAGAGGAGAUGGAGAUUUACGAAAGAAAGCUCCAGUGGCACAUAACUCCGCUCAGGACCCCCUUGUCCUACAACUUAUUGAGGAAGUAAACAAGUUGAAGGCUGAACGUCAGGCUGAAAUACCUGACUGGAACCAACCCAGGCCUGGCCCUCUUACAAGGAGGAUCCUCAACACCCCCCUUCAAGCAAAGACAAAGCAAAAGCUUGGCUUGCAACUUUAUACUGGAAAAGAGGACCCGAUUGAGCACCUUAACCUCUUUGAGUCCACCAUGGCAUACCGGAUGCACACCGACGAAGAGCGAUGUCUUCUCUUCCCCUCCACCCUCUCUGGCGGAGCUCUAAAUUGGUAUUGUCGUCUUACACCUGAGACGGUAGACUCAUUUGAGGAAUUGAGGAAACUAUUUGUUUCCCAACACAUUUUCCAAACCGAUCGCUUGCACUCUGCAGAUGACCUGUACACUAUCCGCCAGAAGCCAGACGAGUCAUUACGUAUGUAUGCUGGCCGCUUCAGCCAUGAAUACUCCCGGUGUGCCGAGGCAGACGACAAGACUGCCCUCAAAGCCUUCACGGCAGGCCUACGUGAUUGUUUCUUUAAAUACAUGAUCAAUGCCAAUACUUGGAAGACUUACUCUGAGGUGAUGGCGCAGGCUUAUAACCAUGCCUCCGCCGAGGCAAAGACAUAUCAGGAGAAACCCCCUACAACCAUCCUNNNNNNNNNNNNNNNNNNNNNNNNNNNNNNNNNNNNNNNNNNNNNNNNNNNNNNNNNNNNNNNNNNNNNNNNNNNNNNNNNNNNNNNNNNNNNNNNNNNNNNNNNNNNNNNNNNNNNNNNNNNNNNNNNNNNNNNNNNNNNNNNNNNNNNNNNNNNNNNNNNNNNNNNNNNNNNNNNNNNNNNNNNNNNNNNNNNNNNNNNNNNNNNNNNNNNNNNNNNNNNNNNNNNNNNNNNNNNNNNNNNNNNNNNNNNNNNNNNNNNNNNNNNNNNNNNNNNNNNNNNNNNNNNNNNNNNNNNNNNNNNNNNNNNNNNNNNNNNNNNNNNNNNNNNNNNNNNNNNNNNNNNNNNNNNNNNNNNNNNNNNNNNNNNNNNNNNNNNNNNNNNNNNNNNNNNNNNNNNNNNNNNNNNNNNNNNNNNNNNNNNNNNNNNNNNNNNNNNNNNNNNNNNNNNNNNNNNNNNNNNNNNNNNNNNNNNNNNNNNNNNNNNNNNNNNNNNNNNNNNNNNNNNNNNNNNNNNNNNNNNNNNNNNNNNNNNNNNNNNNNNNNNNNNNNNNNNNNNNNNNNNNNNNNNNNNNNNNNNNNNNNNNNNNNNNNNNNNNNNNNNNNNNNNNNNNNNNNNNNNNNNNNNNNNNNNNNNNNNNNNNNNNNNNNNNNNNNNNNNNNNNNNNNNNNNNNNNNNNNNNNNNNNNNNNNNNNNNNNNNNNNNNNNNNNNNNNNNNNNNNNNNNNNNNNNNNNNNNNNNNNNNNNNNNNNNNNNNNNNNNNNNNNNNNNNNNNNNNNNNNNNNNNNNNNNNNNNNNNNNNNNNNNNNNNNNNNNNNNNNNNNNNNNNNNNNNNNNNNNNNNNNNNNNNNNNNNNNNNNNNNNNNNNNNNNNNNNNNNNNNNNNNNNNNNNNNNNNNNNNNNNNNNNNNNNNNNNNNNNNNNNNNNNNNNNNNNNNNNNNNNNNNNNNNNNNNNNNNNNNNNNNNNNNNNNNNNNNNNNNNNNNNNNNNNNNNNNNNNNNNNNNNNNNNNNNNNNNNNNNNNNNNNNNNNNNNNNNNNNNNNNNNNNNNNNNNNNNNNNNNNNNNNNNNNNNNNNNNNNNNNNNNNNNNNNNNNNNNNNNNNNNNNNNNNNNNNNNNNNNNNNNNNNNNNNNNNNNNNNNNNNNNNNNNNNNNNNNNNNNNNNNNNNNNNNNNNNNNNNNNNNNNNNNNNNNNNNNNNNNNNNNNNNNNNNNNNNNNNNNNNNNNNNNNNNNNNNNNNNNNNNNNNNNNNNNNNNNNNNNNNNNNNNNNNNNNNNNNNNNNNNNNNNNNNNNNNNNNNNNNNNNNNNNNNNNNNNNNNNNNNNNNNNNNNNNNNNNNNNNNNNNNNNNNNNNNNNNNNNNNNNNNNNNNNNNNNNNNNNNNNNNNNNNNNNNNNNNNNNNNNNNNNNNNNNNNNNNNNNNNNNNNNNNNNNNNNNNNNNNNNNNNNNNNNNNNNNNNNNNNNNNNNNNNNNNNNNNNNNNNNNNNNNNNNNNNNNNNNNNNNNNNNNNNNNNNNNNNNNNNNNNNNNNNNNNNNNNNNNNNNNNNNNNNNNNNNNNNNNNNNNNNNNNNNNNNNNNNNNNNNNNNNNNNNNNNNNNNNNNNNNNNNNNNNNNNNNNNNNNNNNNNNNNNNNNNNNNNNNNNNNNNNNNNNNNNNNNNNNNNNNNNNNNNNNNNNNNNNNNNNNNNNNNNNNNNNNNNNNNNNNNNNNNNNNNNNNNNNNNNNNNNNNNNNNNNNNNNNNNNNNNNNNNNNNNNNNNNNNNNNNNNNNNNNNNNNNNNNNNNNNNNNNNNNNNNNNNNNNNNNNNNNNNNNNNNNNNNNNNNNNNNNNNNNNNNNNNNNNNNNNNNNNNNNNNNNNNNNNNNNNNNNNNNNNNNNNNNNNNNNNNNNNNNNNNNNNNNNNNNNNNNNNNNNNNNNNNNNNNNNNNNNNNNNNNNNNNNNNNNNNNNNNNNNNNNNNNNNNNNNNNNNNNNNNNNNNNNNNNNNNNNNNNNNNNNNNNNNNNNNNNNNNNNNNNNNNNNNNNNNNNNNNNNNNNNNNNNNNNNNNNNNNNNNNNNNNNNNNNNNNNNNNNNNNNNNNNNNNNNNNNNNNNNNNNNNNNNNNNNNNNNNNNNNNNNNNNNNNNNNNNNNNNNNNNNNNNNNNNNNNNNNNNNNNNNNNNNNNNNNNNNNNNNNNNNNNNNNNNNNNNNNNNNNNNNNNNNNNNNNNNNNNNNNNNNNNNNNNNNNNNNNNNNNNNNNNNNNNNNNNNNNNNNNNNNNNNNNNNNNNNNNNNNNNNNNNNNNNNNNNNNNNNNNNNNNNNNNNNNNNNNNNNNNNNNNNNNNNNNNNNNNNNNNNNNNNNNNNNNNNNNNNNNNNNNNNNNNNNNNNNNNNNNNNNNNNNNNNNNNNNNNNNNNNNNNNNNNNNNNNNNNNNNNNNNNNNNNNNNNNNNNNNNNNNNNNNNNNNNNNNNNNNNNNNNNNNNNNNNNNNNNNNNNNNNNNNNNNNNNNNNNNNNNNNNNNNNNNNNNNNNNNNNNNNNNNNNNNNNNNNNNNNNNNNNNNNNNNNNNNNNNNNNNNNNNNNNNNNNNNNNNNNNNNNNNNNNNNNNNNNNNNNNNNNNNNNNNNNNNNNNNNNNNNNNNNNNNNNNNNNNNNNNNNNNNNNNNNNNNNNNNNNNNNNNNNNNNNNNNNNNNNNNNNNNNNNNNNNNNNNNNNNNNNNNNNNNNNNNNNNNNNNNNNNNNNNNNNNNNNNNNNNNNNNNNNNNNNNNNNNNNNNNNNNNNNNNNNNNNNNNNNNNNNNNNNNNNNNNNNNNNNNNNNNNNNNNNNNNNNNNNNNNNNNNNNNNNNNNNNNNNNNNNNNNNNNNNNNNNNNNNNNNNNNNNNNNNNNNNNNNNNNNNNNNNNNNNNNNNNNNNNNNNNNNNNNNNNNNNNNNNNNNNNNNNNNNNNNNNNNNNNNNNNNNNNNNNNNNNNNNNNNNNNNNNNNNNNNNNNNNNNNNNNNNNNNNNNNNNNNNNNNNNNNNNNNNNNNNNGAAGAGCNNNNNNNNNNNNNNNNNNNNNNNNNNNNNNNNNNNNNNNNNNNNNNNNNNNNNNNNNNNNNNNNNNNNNNNNNNNNNNNNNNNNNNNNNNNNNNNNNNNNNNNNNNNNNNNNNNNNNNNNNNNNNNNNNNNNNNNNNNNNNNNNNNNNNNNNNNNNNNNNNNNNNNNNNNNNNNNNNNNNNNNNNNNNNNNNNNNNNNNNNNNNNNNNNNNNNNNNNNNNNNNNNNNNNNNNNNNNNNNNNNNNNNNNNNNNNNNNNNNNNNNNNNNNNNNNNNNNNNNNNNNNNNNNNNNNNNNNNNNNNNNNNNNNNNNNNNNNNNNNNNNNNNNNNNNNNNNNNNNNNNNNNNNNNNNNNNNNNNNNNNNNNNNNNNNNNNNNNNNNNNNNNNNNNNNNNNNNNNNNNNNNNNNNNNNNNNNNNNNNNNNNNNNNNNNNNNNNNNNNNNNNNNNNNNNNNNNNNNNNNNNNNNNNNNNNNNNNNNNNNNNNNNNNNNNNNNNNNNNNNNNNNNNNNNNNNNNNNNNNNNNNNNNNNNNNNNNNNNNNNNNNNNNNNNNNNNNNNNNNNNNNNNNNNNNNNNNNNNNNNNNNNNNNNNNNNNNNNNNNNNNNNNNNNNNNNNNNNNNNNNNNNNNNNNNNNNNNNNNNNNNNNNNNNNNNNNNNNNNNNNNNNNNNNNNNNNNNNNNNNNNNNNNNNNNNNNNNNNNNNNNNNNNNNNNNNNNNNNNNNNNNNNNNNNNNNNNNNNNNNNNNNNNNNNNNNNNNNNNNNNNNNNNNNNNNNNNNNNNNNNNNNNNNNNNNNNNNNNNNNNNNNNNNNNNNNNNNNNNNNNNNNNNNNNNNNNNNNNNNNNNNNNNNNNNNNNNNNNNNNNNNNNNNNNNNNNNNNNNNNNNNNNNNNNNNNNNNNNNNNNNNNNNNNNNNNNNNNNNNNNNNNNNNNNNNNNNNNNNNNNNNNNNNNNNNNNNNNNNNNNNNNNNNNNNNNNNNNNNNNNNNNNNNNNNNNNNNNNNNNNNNNNNNNNNNNNNNNNNNNNNNNNNNNNNNNNNNNNNNNNNNNNNNNNNNNNNNNNNNNNNNNNNNNNNNNNNNNNNNNNNNNNNNNNNNNNNNNNNNNNNNNNNNNNNNNNNNNNNNNNNNNNNNNNNNNNNNNNNNNNNNNNNNNNNNNNNNNNNNNNNNNNNNNNNNNNNNNNNNNNNNNNNNNNNNNNNNNNNNNNNNNNNNNNNNNNNNNNNNNNNNNNNNNNNNNNNNNNNNNNNNNNNNNNNNNNNNNNNNNNNNNNNNNNNNNNNNNNNNNNNNNNNNNNNNNNNNNNNNNNNNNNNNNNNNNNNNNNNNNNNNNNNNNNNNNNNNNNNNNNNNNNNNNNNNNNNNNNNNNNNNNNNNNNNNNNNNNNNNNNNNNNNNNNNNNNNNNNNNNNNNNNNNNNNNNNNNNNNNNNNNNNNNNNNNNNNNNNNNNNNNNNNNNNNNNNNNNNNNNNNNNNNNNNNNNNNNNNNNNNNNNNNNNNNNNNNNNNNNNNNNNNNNNNNNNNNNNNNNNNNNNNNNNNNNNNNNNNNNNNNNNNNNNNNNNNNNNNNNNNNNNNNNNNNNNNNNNNNNNNNNNNNNNNNNNNNNNNNNNNNNNNNNNNNNNNNNNNNNNNNNNNNNNNNNNNNNNNNNNNNNNNNNNNNNNNNNNNNNNNNNNNNNNNNNNNNNNNNNNNNNNNNNNNNNNNNNNNNNNNNNNNNNNNNNNNNNNNNNNNNNNNNNNNNNNNNNNNNNNNNNNNNNNNNNNNNNNNNNNNNNNNNNNNNNNNNNNNNNNNNNNNNNNNNNNNNNNNNNNNNNNNNNNNNNNNNNNNNNNNNNNNNNNNNNNNNNNNNNNNNNNNNNNNNNNNNNNNNNNNNNNNNNNNNNNNNNNNNNNNNNNNNNNNNNNNNNNNNNNNNNNNNNNNNNNNNNNNNNNNNNNNNNNNNNNNNNNNNNNNNNNNNNNNNNNNNNNNNNNNNNNNNNNNNNNNNNNNNNNNNNNNNNNNNNNNNNNNNNNNNNNNNNNNNNNNNNNNNNNNNNNNNNNNNNNNNNNNNNNNNNNNNNNNNNNNNNNNNNNNNNNNNNNNNNNNNNNNNNNNNNNNNNNNNNNNNNNNNNNNNNNNNNNNNNNNNNNNNNNNNNNNNNNNNNNNNNNNNNNNNNNNNNNNNNNNNNNNNNNNNNNNNNNNNNNNNNNNNNNNNNNNNNNNNNNNNNNNNNNNNNNNNNNNNNNNNNNNNNNNNNNNNNNNNNNNNNNNNNNNNNNNNNNNNNNNNNNNNNNNNNNNNNNNNNNNNNNNNNNNNNNNNNNNNNNNNNNNNNNNNNNNNNNNNNNNNNNNNNNNNNNNNNNNNNNNNNNNNNNNNNNNNNNNNNNNNNNNNNNNNNNNNNNNNNNNNNNNNNNNNNNNNNNNNNNNNNNNNNNNNNNNNNNNNNNNNNNNNNNNNNNNNNNNNNNNNNNNNNNNNNNNNNNNNNNNNNNNNNNNNNNNNNNNNNNNNNNNNNNNNNNNNNNNNNNNNNNNNNNNNNNNNNNNNNNNNNNNNNNNNNNNNNNNNNNNNNNNNNNNNNNNNNNNNNNNNNNNNNNNNNNNNNNNNNNNNNNNNNNNNNNNNNNNNNNNNNNNNNNNNNNNNNNNNNNNNNNNNNNNNNNNNNNNNNNNNNNNNNNNNNNNNNNNNNNNNNNNNNNNNNNNNNNNNNNNNNNNNNNNNNNNNNNNNNNNNNNNNNNNNNNNNNNNNNNNNNNNNNNNNNNNNNNNNNNNNNNNNNNNNNNNNNNNNNNNNNNNNNNNNNNNNNNNNNNNNNNNNNNNNNNNNNNNNNNNNNNNNNNNNNNNNNNNNNNNNNNNNNNNNNNNNNNNNNNNNNNNNNNNNNNNNNNNNNNNNNNNNNNNNNNNNNNNNNNNNNNNNNNNNNNNNNNNNNNNNNNNNNNNNNNNNNNNNNNNNNNNNNNNNNNNNNNNNNNNNNNNNNNNNNNNNNNNNNNNNNNNNNNNNNNNNNNNNNNNNNNNNNNNNNNNNNNNNNNNNNNNNNNNNNNNNNNNNNNNNNNNNNNNNNNNNNNNNNNNNNNNNNNNNNNNNNNNNNNNNNNNNNNNNNNNNNNNNNNNNNNNNNNNNNNNNNNNNNNNNNNNNNNNNNNNNNNNNNNNNNNNNNNNNNNNNNNNNNNNNNNNNNNNNNNNNNNNNNNNNNNNNNNNNNNNNNNNNNNNNNNNNNNNNNNNNNNNNNNNNNNNNNNNNNNNNNNNNNNNNNNNNNNNNNNNNNNNNNNNNNNNNNNNNNNNNNNNNNNNNNNNNNNNNNNNNNNNNNNNNNNNNNNNNNNNNNNNNNNNNNNNNNNNNNNNNNNNNNNNNNNNNNNNNNNNNNNNNNNNNNNNNNNNNNNNNNNNNNNNNNNNNNNNNNNNNNNNNNNNNNNNNNNNNNNNNNNNNNNNNNNNNNNNNNNNNNNNNNNNNNNNNNNNNNNNNNNNNNNNNNNNNNNNNNNNNNNNNNNNNNNNNNNNNNNNNNNNNNNNNNNNNNNNNNNNNNNNNNNNNNNNNNNNNNNNNNNNNNNNNNNNNCUUCACCUAAAAAGCUUCACCCAAAAAGCUUCACCCGAAAAGCUUCACCUAAAAGCUUCACCCAAAAAGCUUCACCCGAAAAGCUUCACCUAAAAAGCUUCACCCACAAAGCUUCACCUAAAAAGCUUCACCCAAAAGCUUCAAAAAAGCUUCACCCGAAAAGCUUCACCUUCACAAAAGCUUCACCCACAAAGCUUCAACACCAAAGCUUCACCUACAAAAGCUUCAACACAAAACCUUGCUCCAAAUAAACAAAUUUUGUUCACAAAACCCAAGAUGCCCUUGAACUUGUACAAAAAACACUUGGGUAAACAUAAACAUUUUUUGUUUUACACCCACAAGGGCCCAAAAUUUUCCUUCUUAUUUAUUCACUUAUAUAUGUUUCCCAAACAUAUUAUAAUAGAUCCAACAACAAGCCAAAGUCCCAAAUUUCAUAAUGGACAAAAGUACAAGCAAUUCAUCAAUAAUGAAGGUGCUACAAAAAUUGGAAUCUGCCCCAAAAUAGAAAUCCAACCCAAGAGACUUUUUCUCUCUCUCCCUCUUCCGCCUCCUUUCAUCUAUCAAAUUUCUGCAACCUCUGCUCUUCUCCAAUGGAGCUGAAUUUUGGACACCCUAUAGUUCUUGAGCAUAUGAACAACUUUCAAGAAGGAACCAUUUCUGUUUGAGCGACGGAAAUUAAAGUGUUGAAGCUCCAAACAUGAUAGUCGGCUUCUUGCAGAUUUCGAAGCUGUUGUGAUGUUUCGAAGAUCUGGAAAUAUUUAACCGUUAGUUCAUCCUGAAUUUUUGAUAUGUUAUGAAAGAGUCGAUGAGGAACAACUUCAAUGAAGAAAGCAUACCGAUCUGAACAAGAGAAAAUGGAGUUUCGAAGCUCACAACAAAUCUGACGGGUUGACAGACAAAUAAUAACCAGUCAUUCAUCAUACCUGAAUUUCUUGAGUUAUACAGCUCCGAGGGAUCUCAAAUUUGGAUAUGUUGUAGUUCACAAGCUGAGGAACAACUUCAAUGAAGAAAGCAUACCGAUCUGAACAAGAGAAAAUGGAGUUUCGAAGCUCACAACAAAUCUGACGGGUUGACAGAAAAAUAAUAACCAGUCAUUCAUCAUACCUGAGUUUCUUGAGUUAUACAGCUCCGAGGGAUCUCAAAUUUGGAUAUGUUGUAGUUCACAAGCUGAGGAACAACUUCAAUGAAGAAAGCAUACCGAUCUGAACAAGAGAAAAUGGAGUUUCGAAGCUCACAACAAAUCUGACGGGUUGACAGAAAAAUAAUAAACCAGUCAUUCAUCAUACCUGAGUUUCUUGAGUUAUACAGCUCCGAGGGAUCUCAAAUUUGGAUAUGUUGUAGUUCACAAGCUGAGGAACAACUUCAAUGAAGAAAGCAUGCUGAUCUGAGCAAGAGAAAAUAGAGUUUCAAAGCUCACAACAAAUCUGACGGGUUGACAGACAAAUGAUAAACAGUCACUCAUCAUACCUGGAUUUCUGGAGUUGUACUGCUCCGAUGGCUCUCCAAUUUGGAUAUGUUGUAGUUAAGGAAUUAACGAACAACUUUCAUGAAGACAACUUUGUGAUUCGACCUACAGAUGAAUGGUGUUAUGUUGAAAAAACAAUUCCGGUUGAUUAGGGGAAAUGAAAAAACAAUUCCACCAAAGAAACAUCAUUAUGAUGUUUCAAUUAAUUAUGAUGUUUCAUCAUUAUGGUGUUUUCAUCAUUAUGAUGCUUUCAUCAUUGUGAUGCUUCCAUCAUUGUGAUGCUUCCAUUAUGAUGUUAAUGCACCAACGGUUACACCUUCUGCAAUUCCACUUAUUUGGGCCUAGCAACCUUCAUCAACAAAAUCUAUGAAGAAAAAGUCCGGGGCUACCACUUAGAAAACAAAGAAUGAAGUUUUGGUACUUUACGACAUGACUAUUAGCAAGAGACACCUCAUUCGGCAACUCCCUCGACCUAGAGACUUGGGGGACUCCCACCAUAUGCUACUGCGCCUUGGUACUCAAAAGUCUCACGUGAACCACUCAGUGACUUGGAUUUUUCAAGUCUCCAACCGAGAAGUUUUCCUCACUCGGGAAAUUAAGGGAACACUACCUCAAACUACAUGCUUCACUCACAAAGCUUCAACAAUACAGGUUUCAACAAAAGCAAAAAUUCAAAGAACUUUAUGAAGAAGGCUUUGGUGUAUUUAACACAAUAUGUUGAAAUGAAGCAAAGCUUAUUUAUUAAUAUUUUCGAUAAGCCACAAAUAUGUACAUAUACAUGAGUCAAAAAUAAACAAACAAAAGGGAGCCUUCACAAAGGUUGCUUAGGGGAAGUCUCAGCAGUCGGUAGAGCCCCAGAAAGAGAAAGCACCGGAGGGUGGUUAUCCGGAGCCUCAGUACUUGACAAAACCCCAGAAGGAGGAGGCAUUGGAGGUUCAUCAUUUGAAGCUUCAUUACCAGGUACAGCCCCAGAGGACGAAGGCAAUAAAUGCCUUUGGAACAAACCCACAAACCGCUGAUGAUCAAGUAAAACCUUACCAUCAGAUUCCUUCAUCUGGUCAAGCUUCCUCUUCAUGUUUGUAGCAUAGUCAUGGGCGAGCCGGUGCAACUGCUUAUUCUCAUGCUUGAGCCCUCUAAUCUCCUGUUUGAGACUCAUCACUUCAGCAGCCAAUGAUUCAACUUGGCGGGUUCUAGCAAAUAGGCGUUGGGCCAUAUUAGACACAGAACCUGCACACUGAACACUAAGAGCCAGAGAGUCCUUAACAGCCAACUCAUCAGACCGUUUGGAAAGUAGUCUGUUAUCUUUGGGAGUGAGAAGGUUCCUGGCCACCACUGCAGCGGUCAUAUCAUUCUUCAUCACAGAAUCCCCAACGGUAGAGGACCAGUAGGGGAUAUGAAGGAUGGGCGCCAUAUGUUGUCUGGAGAAGGCGUGGCUGUCUCUUCUCCAAGGUUCAAGUCAAAACGACGGUCGGAGGGUCCAGACAUUUUUCAAAUGUGUUGAAGAAGGAAGAGGUCAGACAAAUCAAGAUCUUAGAAGUGCAAGAAAUGAGCUUCUACUGGUAGAGAUUCAAGUGUGCUGUGGAACUUAAUGCCAGCCUCUAUAAAAAUCUGCACUCGACGGAGCUUCAGAAAUCGAAGAGGCGUUUGCUUUCUCAAAAGCUGGGCUGCUCAGAGACCACGAGGGCCGAUCUCAGAAAUCGAAGAGGCGUUUGCUUUCUCAAAAGCUGGGCUGCUCAGAGACCACGAGGGCCGAUCUCAGAAAUCGAAGAAGCACCUGCUUUUUCAGCCUCGUCAGCACCUGUCACAUGCACACUCAGCUUUGCGGAAAUUACGGGCAAUCUGUCGAAGAUUUCUGGUGAAGUAGAAAGCACGUGAAUCUUACUGUUCAAUCACCGCUCUCCAUAUGCACCAUCAACUCCUCGGGUACCACAUAUAACUUUGUCAAAGAUCUCUGACAAAGUUUAGGCACGAGAAUUUCGAAGUUCCAGCUACCCUACUAUUACCCAUAAGGGUAAAGGAACAGCACCACUGCUUGACAACUGGAAAGUCCCUAUGUGUGUCGACCUCCGUGUUUUGCGGCAAGACAGGUUGGCAAGAACGUCCAACCUUUACUCACAUUCGAGAAAAGACUCCCAACAUAAUUACUUUCUCAAAAACCGGAGUAGCACCGCUUUCCGAAUCUCGAGAGUCAGAUCCUCGACGGGAUUGCUUGUUCGAAAACCGAAGAGGCACAACUCUCAGAACUUCGAGAGCCAGAUUUCCUUAGAUAAAGCUUGUCUGUAAUCUUCACACGUAAUAUCAGCUUUCCAGAUACCACAUACCACUUUUUCAAAGUGCUCUGACAAAAUUAAAACACGUGAAGCUGGCAGCUCCCACUACAUUGCUGUGACCAAGAAGGGUAAAGGAAUAGCAUUACUACUUGUUAUUGGGAAAUCCCUAUAUACAUUGACCUCCCUCCUCAACGGACAGGCAAACCUGCAAAAAUGCUCAACCCUUUCUCGCAUUCGAAAAGGCACCCUCAACAUAACCUCUCGAAAUACUCAGCUUUAUUUCCCCCCGAUAAUACCUCAGCAAAUAAGCCACACCAAGAACAAGAGUAUCUCAUAUCAUCAGGGUCGAAAGCAAGAGUAUCCCAUAUCAUGCUUUCUCCCUGUCUUUGUCUUUGUCCUUGUCCACACCUGCAGGACAAGGAGAAAGAGAGCAGUCAGUCGGAACCUGAAAUCAAACCUCCAAUUUGGAACUGACUGCCUGGAGCCUUUGCCUGGUUGCUUACUUAGCAUUGCUCUCGAGUACUCAUCCUCAACUGCUGUCAAGGUCACGAAUUCCACCGGCAAAUACCUCAUGACAGUUGAUCAGAUAUUGGCUCUUUACACUGAAGCUGCCAAGCGUGGAUGAGUCACUAUGAAGGAAUGUUCUGAAGGACCAUUUAAAUGCAAAGGUUGCACACCACUUCUGCCAUGCAAAAGAUUGAAGCAGAAGGUUCAACGGUGAGCUGAAACAGAUCACUACAGCACGACACCUUUCCAUACCACAUUCAUUAUUCCGUCAACAGCAAAAAGUAUCCCAUAUCAUCAAGGUCGAACGUACUCUAGAUUUGAUGGACUUGUUUUGACCCUCAAAUUUUUGAGUCGGCCUUAUACUCUGAAGGGCACCAGAAAACCCUCCAGCACAGUUCAAGAAUAAGCCUGUGGAAAGUUACUUCUUCAAAAGCAAAAGUAUCUCAUAUCAUCUCUUAUCCAUUUGCUUCUCCUUAUCCUGGCAGUUGAAUGAGAGACAAGGAGAAUGAGAACAAUCAACCGGAAGCCGAAGUCAAACCUCUGAUCCUGGGUUGCUUACUUGGAAGUUUGACUGCUUACCUUGUCUGUCACCUCUUUCGGCAGAUCUCCUAGCUCGGCGACUUGGGGGACUCCUACUAUAGGGUUUGUAUCGCACUUGACCAAGCCCGAAACUACAAGUAAGCUUCAAGUGAAAUUGAUACAUUACCUUGUGCGUCAACAUCAGCUAAAUACACCAUUCCCGGAUGGAGGAAAGGUACUUCCAGAGAAGGGCAGAUGAAGAUCAGACCACACUUCGGUACUUAGAAGUUUCGUGAUUACUCAAGGGAUUGGAUCUUGCAAGUCCCCAACCGAGGAGUUUCCCUCACUCGGGAACUUAGGGGAGCACUGUUUGUACCAUACUUGACCAAUCCCGAAACUACCGAGCACCGGCCAACGCUAUACUGUCAAGGACCCAGAAGAGUUCCCCUCCGACCAGGAGGCCAAUCACUACUCGACACGUGUCAAGAUUAGAAGCCAAUCAGAGCGCAGCACGUGUCGACAUCAAGAACCAAUCACAACAUGACACAUGUCAAUGUGACAAAGCUACAAGUUUUUCUAUAAAUAGGGGUCAUUCCCCCACAAUAUUGCCGAAUGCCAUUUUGUGUUAAAUCAUUCACAAGAACUCACUAAAUUGAGAGCUUGAUCCUUUCUACUUGUGUAAGCCCUUCACUACUAAUAAGAACUCCUCUACUCCGUGGACGUAGCCAAUCUGGGUGAACCACGUACAUCAUGUGUUUGCUUCUCUGUCUCUAUUCAUUUACGUACUUAUCCUCACUAGUGACUGAAGCAACCAAGCAACCAAGCGAAGGUCACAAAACCUGACACUUUCUGUUGUACCAAAGUCUUCGCUGAUUUUGUGCAUCAACAACUUUCCUUUAAUUUUUGUAAAUAUAUUUAAUAUUACAUUUAAUUUCAUGAAUUACUUUCCCUUAAUUUUUUUAAAUAUAUUUAAUUAUAUUAUGUUUGUACCAUACUUAUGGCCUCCGUAUUUUGAUCUUGUAUAAAUACUCGGGGGACUCAAAUGUAAUUAUGUAAUAAAUGAAGGGGCAAAUAUGUAAAAAGGGAGAGAGCCCUUAUUCUAUAAAAUGGCAUACUCACCCUCACAAACAUCAAGCUCUCAUCCUCACAAACAGAGAGCUCUCUCAAACUCUCUCUUUCUCUGGGGGGGACUCCCCCUCACCCUUGUAACCCAUUCAUACAGAGAAGAGAAAUACAAUCAACAUCAGUGUGGACGUAGCCCAAACAUUGGGGUGAACCACGAUACAUCUUGUGUUCUUUACUUUCUUACGGAUUCACGGUCGGAUUUACCAUGUUCCAAGACCUCCGGUUUUGUGCAUCAACAUUUGGCGCCGUCUGUGGGAAACGACACGAAAAACUAUGUCGGUUCUCUCUCAAUUUUUCAUACCUCUACCGUGAAUCUGCAAAAACCCAAGUUGUUUAAAGUGCUUAAUUACACUCACCGAAACCUCACCACAACAGUUCCCAGCAGAUUUGCCAUUGAUUUUCUAUCAAUUCGAAAAAGUGACGACCCACUCAACCCUCCACGUAGGCAUAAAUGUGGUGGGGAUCAGCCUCUUUCAUUCUCGACAAGCAGGACGAGGAGCGAAACGCCGCCGUCUUAGCCUCCAAACCUGAGUCUCGAAAAGGCAGUGAAAAUUCCAAUGGCUACUGCUGCAGUCACCUCAUUCUCACUGUUUAGGAAUUGUGCAGCAACAACUGUGAGAGCUUUUGUGACAAUGAAAGCCUCCAACACCAAUUUCACAACUUCCCUUCUUCCUCUGCACUCUCACAGAUCCAUGUGCCGUGUUAGCGCUACAAACAACGAGGAGGCUACUGCAAAGGUAGCUGCAGUGAAUGCCGACACUAGAGCUCCAAAAAUAUUUGACAAGAUCAUAUCUAAGGAAAUCCCAUCAAGCAUUGUAUAUGAGGAUGAUCUGAUCUUGACAUUUCGUGAUAUCAAUCUGCAGGCUCCUGUUCACGUUUUAGUCAUCCCAAAGCUCAGGGAUGGAUUAACCGGCCUGGGAAAGGUAAUCUAUGGCCCUUUUUUGUCACCUGGGCGACCAACUUUCCGAGCAGACCUCGAUCUUCAGCCUCCGUCUCUGGAUUAUUGUUGGGGCGCAGACAACCUCUCUUCUCUUUCUCUCAGUCCUUAAUGCAUCCAAAUCUAGAUGUGGGCCAAAAUCAGCAGCAACUGUGUCUGCUAAACAGUACACUGACUGAUUCUUCAUCACCCCCUCUUUCUAAGUCCUUCGUCAGUGAGCAUUGGGAGGGUUACAAGGAUUUCUGUUGCGAAUGAUUCUCCUUCGCCACCAACUACUCCAAGUUCGUUAAGUGGGACAAGCCUCUCCCUCCCUGGUCCGACUCCGACGUCGAAGCCUUCAUUGCUCUCGACCCUGUUCAUAGCCCCGUUUUGAAGACUGCUAGGGAAGCAAUGAAAUUUGGUCUUGCAUGAAGUGUUAUUAGAGCAGUAUGAACUGCCAGCUUUGUGUGGAGAUAUUCAAGGAGUUUACAUGAGACCCCGGGGAGAUCAAGAAAAGCAAAAGAUACCUUGGAAAGCAACAUGGGUGGACAGAGAAGGAGCGGGGAGAUCAAGAAAAGCAAAAGAUACCUUGCAAAGCAACAUGGGUGGACAGAGAAGGAGCGGGGAGAUCAAGAAAAGCAGAAAGCAAAAACAGAAAACAAAAAAAGAUAAAAAGAAACAGACAUAAUUGCGGUGGUGAUGGCAUGCAGAAAAUGGAAUUAUGGGCGUGACCCAUUGAGCAGAGGGUCGGAUUUAUUUUUGAAUGAUGUGAUUUAUUUUUCUUAUCUUUUGAAGACAUCUGUAUAACCCCAUCAGAGGUUAAUAAUAAAAUAAAUAAAUAAAUAAAUAAUGGCAAGCCCAAAAUAAUGGGCUGGAAUGUUAUGUGAAGGGCGAAACCCAUAUGCCCAAAAGAGCCAGGCCCUCUAUUAUCACCAACCAGGUGAUCAAAAGUACGUCCAGUACUACAAAAAAUUAUUCGGCAACCUGCCGCUAUUAUCACCAACCAGGUGAUCAAAAGUACGUCCAGUACUUCAAAAUUAUACAUGAGUAUCACUCAUGUCAAUCAUACAUAAACAUUCAUGAGCAUCAUUCAUGUCAACAUUCAUGAGCAUCACUCAUGUCAACAUUCAUGAGCAUCACUCAUGUUAAUCAGCUUCGAAAGCUUCAUUUACAGAGCUCCAGCUUCGAGAGCUCCAGCUUCAAAAGCUUCAUUUACAAAAGCUCCAGCUUCAAAGCUCCAGCUUCAAAGCUUCACUUGCAAAGCUUCACCUACAAAGCUUCAGUGCAUGGUAUACAAAUACCACCUCUGAACAAUCGCCACUUCGGCCCAUACAUGGAUUCAAUUUGAAGUCUCCAUCUAACAGCUCUAUUAACUGAAGACUUGGGGGACUACACUAUGUACCAUAUAUUGGGCUUCCACAACUAGGCCUCAUGAAAAAUGCUUGGGGGACUCUAGCCCAUCAUUUAUGUAUUGAGGAGCGAGCCCUUAUUCUAUAAAAAUGACUCCCUCACUUUCAUUAGAGAGCACCCAUUAUUCAUGUACUGAGGAGCGAGCCCUUAUUUUAUAAAAGGGACUCCCUCACCUUCAUUAGAGAGCAUCACCGCCAGCUGAGCAACCACAUCGACGCAAGCAUCAACUCUAGCCCAUCAUUUAUGUAUUGAGGAGCGAGCCCUUAUUCUAUAAAAGGGAUUCUCUCACCUUCAACGCCACAAGCCGAGCCAACCAAAGGCAACAUAAGCCACAAGCCGAGCAGCCUCGCAACAUGUGCUACUUCUAGUUGAGCAUCAUUUCAAAUUGAGCACCGCCUCAUAUCGAGUAUCAGUUCUAGACGACAUCUAGUUACUUCGGCCCACACAUGGACUGAAUUUCAAGUCUUCAGCCAAAAGACUCUCUUGAUUGAAGACUUGGGGGACUACUGUUUGUACCAUACUUAGGGCCUCCGUAUUUAGAUCUCGUAUAAAUACUCGAGUGACUCAAAUGUAAUUAUGUAAUAAAUGAAUGGGCAAAUAUGUAAAAAGGGAGAAUAACCCUUAUUCUAUAAAAGGGCUUCAUCACCCUCACAAACCUCAAGCUCUCAUCCUCACAAACAGAUAGCUAUCUCAAACUCUCUCUUUCUCUGGGAGACUCCACCUCACCUUUGUAACCCAUUCAUACAGAGAAGAGAAAUACAAUCAACAUCAGUGUGGACGUAGCCCAAACAUUGGGGGUGAACCAUGAUACAUCUUGUCUUCUUUACUUUCUUACGGAUUCACGGUCGAAUUUACGUUGUUCCAAGACCUCUGGUUUUGUGCAUCAACAUAUUACAUUUAAUUUCAUAAAUUAAUUUCCUUUAAUUUUUGUAAUUGUAUUUUCUAGGUACGCCAAGCGAAGGAAUUUUAUAUGGAUGGAAACUCGAAACCCUUUCAGUUUCACGGUUGUUGGGAAAUUUGUAAAGGAUUGGUGUUAUUUGAAGAUCCACCUCAACAUAGAGUAGGUCCUACGUUGGUGUUCGGAACUGCAUCCUUAGUUGUAGAUAUGGACGGAGAUGGAUCUCCUACCAUUCAACAAAGGUUUCAUACCUAGGGCUAUGGGACGAAACAAGGCCCGAAAGGUUGAAGGAAAAGGGUAAGGCAAAUGAUGAUUACGCCGCUCAACAGGAAGUGGCGGCCUCAUUGCGAUUAAUGGCGGAGCAAAAUGCCAUUGAUGCGGAAGAAAUGAACCGUAGGCAUGAAGAACGGGCCAAACAAAUACAAUAAGAGAUGAAUGAUAAGAAUAUGGAAAUGAACACUUCGAAUUACACUUCAAUGAGUAAGGCCUAUUUUGAUAGGAAAAAAAAAGAUAUUAUGAUCCGGCGGCAGUUGUUUACCUCUGACUAUACUCCUACAAUGGUGGAUGAUGAAGAUGAUAUUGAUUAUGGAUAUUAAAUUUAAGUUGUUGUAGUUUUUAAAUUUAAGUUAAUGUUGUUUUUAAAUUUAAUUUAUAGUUUUUAAAUUUUAGUUGUAGUUUUUAAAUUUAAGUUGUUGUUUUUAAAUUUAGGGUUAAACUCUGUUUACUACCCUCAUGUUUCGUGGUUUUCAACAUUUAGUACAUCACGUUUUUUUCGUCUCAGAGUCAUACCUAAAGUAUAAAUUUUGAGACAGUUUCAUACAUUCGUUAGUCAAACUGUUAAGUCUUCCGUUAACUGAUGACGUGGUACCCACACAGACAAUGACUUGUCGCCACGUGUCAUUAAAAAAAUUAUAUAAGAAAAAACCCCAAAAUCCCCUUCUUCUUCCCUGCAACCCGUACCCUCCCCCAGCUUUUUUUUCCUUUCUCUCUUCUUCUUCUUCUUCUUCUUCCUUUCUUCCUCCCCCAACCCUACUUUCCUUCUUCCUUGCAACCCACACCCUCCCCCAGCCUUCAUUCACCACUAGUCUCCCCCAACCUUCCCCCACCUUCCUUCUUCCCUCUGUAAUUUCUUCUACAUCCCUCUCUCUAAAAAAAAAAAAAUUGAAAAGCAAAAACACAAACCCUACUGACUCAAAUUGGAAAUGAAUACACAAUUGGGGGGAAGUGGAGGGAUGGGGAGUAUACCUCGGCACGUGCGAGAAUGAAAGCAAGGUAGUUAUUGAAAUCGGGGAACUAAGAGUAGUGCUAGAGCUGCUGCCAAAUCUGAGACUUGUCAGCGAAGGAAGCCGAAUGCAAAAUCUACUGCUCCAGCAGCCCGCAGAUCGCUGCGAACCCUUCUUCCUUGGGCUGCCACGGGGCGGUUACCGCCAUUAGAAUGGAGACAUAAGGUUUUGGUUUUCUGCAACCUGGAUGUUGGAAGCGCAUGCAAGCUUUGGGGGUUUUGAGCAGAGAGAAGAAGAAAAGGGGAUUUUAUGGCAGCUUUGAGUAGGGGUGGGUUAAAAAAAUCGAAAACCGAAAAAAAUCGAAAACCGAACCGAAUCGAAACCGAAAAAACCGAACCGAACUGAAUUCUUUUGGUUCGGUUUCGAUUUUAGUGAUCUAGAAACCGAAUCGAAUUAAUUAAAUUAAUUUUUUUAUUUAAUUAUUUGUUUUGAGUAUUAUUUUAUAAACCCAAUUUGUAAGUUAAAAUGUACUAAACCAAAUGUGUUGCCAAACUUUAAGCUCAAAAUAUUAAAAAAAAUGCCUAUAAAAACUCUAAACCCUAACCUAUUAUUUCUCCCUCAUAUAAGGUUCCGGAACCAAACCUCCUCCUGAAGUACCUACAUCCAUCUCCAUAGUACUAUCUACAUCUGCCCCAGCUUUCUUUUCCAAAUCUACUCUCAUAUAACAUGUAACAGAAUCCAUAAACAUUUAUUUCGAGUAGAUUACUUGCGUAAUUUGUGAUGGAAAAGAAUCCAACACACACUAAAUAAAUCCACCCAUGCAUUACUUUUACUAAUCAAGUUGUCAACAUACAGUUACAAGCAAACAACCCUGAUCUUUGAACAACAUCAUACAAUUUAACUUUUCUAAGUCAUUUGUACGAUUUUUUUGUUGUGAGGUUGUUAGUUUGGACUUUGGAAGGCUUGAUUGAUGAUUUUAGUUCAACUUUAAAUGUUUAUUUUCAUUGUCUUUGAUUCUAGUUAGAAUGCUUAUGUUAUGAUUGUGUUGGAGAUGUUAAAAUUUAAAAUUUCAAUGUUUUUCAGUUUUUGAAAAGAAAAAAAAAACAAAAAACUGAAACCGAAUCGAAACCGAACAAAAAAAAAAAUGAACCGAACCGAAAUUUCGGUUUUGGCAAAAAACCGAACUGAUUUGAACCGAACCCACCCCUAGCUUUGAGGGGUUUAAAAUUUGAUUGGGGGAGGAAGAAGGGAAGAAGAAGAAGAGAGAGGGGAAAAAAAAGCUGGGGGACGGUGCGGGUUGCAGGGAAGAAGGAAUGAAGGUUGGGGGAGGAAGAAAGGAAGAAGAAGAAGGGAGGGGGGAAAAGUUGGGGGAGGGUGCGGGUUGCAAGAAAGAAGGGGAUUUGGUUUUUUUUUUUAAUAUUUUAAUAUAUUUUUAAUAACACGUGGCGUCCAGUCAGUGUCCACGUGGACACCAUUUCAUCAGUUAACGGAAGACUUAACAGUUUGACUAACGGAUGUACGAGACUGUCCCAAAAUUUACACUCUAGGUAUGACUCUGGAACGAAAAAAACUUGAUGUACCAAAUGUUGAAAACCACGAAACAUGAGGGUAGUAAACAGAGUUUAACUCUUAAAUUUAAGUUGUUGUUGUUUUUAAAUUUAAGUUGUUGAAGUUUUUAAAUUUAAAUAAUAAAUUAUGUUUGGCCCUUUGACCCUCGAUUGGAAACAGUUUUUUGGGAUAAGGCUAAAACGAGUCAUAUGGCCCUUUGGCCCUUUGGCCCUCAGUUGAAUAUGGAAACAAAUAUGAUCAUGUAUUAUUUAUUAAAAUAUUAAUCUUAAAGAAUCAGAAAGCUAACCUUCGAUUGAAGAUGACCUAAACAAUCCAAUGGUAACUCUUAAGGAGAUCCAAGAUUAAAGAACCACCACAAUACUACCAAUAACUCAUUCCCACAAAGGCUUACACGUGUCAGUACCCCAACUCCCCUUCCUUGCUUGGCGCUACAAUGUCGACCGGAAAACCUGGAAUCGCCAGUCAACCAGCUACACAUCAUACCCAAAGUUCUCUCUCUCUUUUCUCCUCCAACGGUUCCCCCUUCCCUACUGCUAUGCUAUGGUCUUAGGCUCUCUGUUUUUCUUCCCACAUUUGUAUAUCUUUCUCGAAUUACUUCAUUUGGGAUUUUGAAUUCUUGCUUUUUUUGCUGAAUUCUUGAUCUGGGUUUUGGAAAUUUCGAUCUGUUUUCUCCGGAACGACUCGAAAAAUCAAAUCUUUUGGAAAAAAAAACAGAGGCUUGGAGUUGCAGGAGGAGCUUGCCUUCUUGAUCUGCUGUGUGAAAUUCUGCAUCUUGGGUCAAGCGCUUGAUGGUUUUUGACAGCUGGGUUUGGCUUUUGGAGGCAUUGAUUGUGUAUUAGUGCUUUUUCUGUGAGCAUAUGGGGGUUGUGUGACAGCUGCUUUUGGCUUUGGCUGAAGUUAUGGUGGUUUAGUUGAAAAGAGUUGUGAGAGAGAUUGAUGGGUUAGGAAGGAGAGAUUAAUGGCUUCAGGAACUGCAGAUAUCUCGCCACAAGUCACCGGAUUGGAUGGUGGGUGCUUAAACGGAGGUGGAAUGCCGAUCAUGGAAGAUCAAAACGUCGACGCUUUGGCCAAUUCGAACCACAUUCCAACCGGAAAGCCUCCGAGAAACCUCUCGGUUAUGCGAAAUUGCACUAGCUAUGCAUUGUUGACCGAAUCAGUAAGUUGAGCGAAGCCUCAUUUUUCUUCUUAAUCUGCAUUUUUUCUGAAUUGCGUAUGCAGAUUAUUGCACCUUAUAUGCAUUUAUGCACAAUGCACAUACUUCCCUCAUCAAAACCGGAGAGAUCAGAGGUAGAUACUGUGGGCGAAAAGGGUCGAUUUUACGUUGUUAAUUAAGAACAGGCAUUUGAUGGUUGUGUUUAGCGGGAACUGGGAAGUAAAUCAGGAAAGAACGAAUUGUACUACUGAUGUAUUUGUUGCAUUGUGGAAGAAUUUGAAUGAUAACAGCAGCAAUGAAUCUGGUUUUUGGUGUGUAAUAUUUAGAGAAUGCCAUGCUAGCUUCAAAAAGGAAACAAUUUUUCGACGUGUUGGAAGUGGUCAGAGAAUGCUACCAGCAAACUUGUUCAACUGUUAUCUUAAUAUGCCAACCCUGAAAUUUAAUGGGACAAUGUCUGCAAAAUAUCUGGUUUUUACUUAACGAAACUGCGCAGAUUGGCACGCCGCAAAUGGCAACCAAAGAAAUGCAUUGAUAGUUGUUCUAGAGGGUAAUGCCUUAUUGGAUCCGUAUUGAUCCUUGUAGCAUGCAAUGCAAUCCAUGUUUCUGUUGCAUAUAGAGAAACUUUCUGAGGUCAAUGAUAUAAUGCUUAACUGACACAAAAUGCUUUAAUUAGUAUGCUUAAAUGGAUUAAAAAUCUAUUCAGAAUAAGAAAAAAAAUUAACUAAUUAUUCCUCUGCGCUGUCCUUUUUCAUAGGAUUCAGAUAUUGGAAGUAUGGGAUUGAAGUCACCGGCAAGUGAGACAGCUGAGUUCGUAUUUGUAUUCCGUUCAGGAAGCUGCUCUGAGAAAGGACCUAAACAGUACAUGGAGGAUGAGUACAUUUGCGUAGAUAAUCUCCAUGAUCAUAUUGCUGAAAUUGAAAACUUGCCUUCUCCUGGGGCAUUUUAUGGGGUAUGUAACUUGGACUUGUUAAUUUCUUUUUGAGUGGUACUUUUUUGUGCAGGGACAACCAUGCUUAGAAUUUUCCAUAGUUUCUUUUUGACAAGGCCAUCUUAUUAAUUGAACUCUUACUGAAAUUUUGUUGAUUUCCACAGGUCUUUGAUGGACAUAAUGGUGUUGAUGCAGCGUCAUUCAUCAAAAGCAACAUCCUUAAAUUCAUCGUUGAAGACUCUCACUUCCCAUCUGGCGUUAAAAAGGCAGUUAGAAGCGCUUUUGUGAAGGCUGAUCAUGCUUUUGCAGAUGCUAGCUCAGUUGACAAGUCCUCCGGUACCACUGCCUUGACUGCCCUGAUCUUAGGAAGGUGAGCAAUUACACUUGAUCUAUCUGUCUAUGAUCAUCAACAUUAAGAUCUGUAAUUACGUUUUAAUCAUUGAAAAAGUCGAAACAAUAUGAUUAAACUUUGCAUCUACAAAUUUUUACUUUAUCUCGAAUGCUGCUGUAUGCUUUCAGGACCAUGCUAAUCGCUAAUGCUGGGGACUGUCGAGCUGUGUUGGGCAAGCGGGGAAGGGCAAUUGAGCUAUCUAAAGAUCACAAGCCUAACUGCACCUCUGAAAGAUUAAGAAUUGAAAAGCUGGGUGGUGUUAUCUAUGAUGGCUACCUCAAUGGCCAACUAUCCGUAGCGCGUGCUCUUGGAGACUGGCAUAUCAAGGGCUCGAAAGGUUCAAAAAGCCCCUUGAGCUCCGAGCCAGAGUUGGAGGAAAUUGUCCUAACAGAAGAAGACGAGUUCUUGAUAAUGGGCUGUGAUGGCUUGUGGGAUGUGAUGAGCAGCCAGUGCGCAGUUACAAUGGUGAGGAAGGAGCUCAUGCAGCACAAUGAUCCCGAGAGAUGUUCAAAAGCGCUCGUCAAGGAAGCGCUCCAGCGAAACACGUGCGAUAACCUCACUGUUGUCGUGGUCUGUUUCUCCGAAGAUCCACCUCCUAAAACCGAAAUAUCUAAAUCCCACAAGAGAAGGAGCAUUUCAGCUGAAGGGUUGGACCUUCUCAAGGGUGUCUUAAGCACCAUUUGAACAAAUGGACUGCAUAUAUACAGAUGGAGCUUACACCCCCUGUCGGGGAUUUUUCUGAGUCGCUCCUGCACCCUGCUGCGGCCGCACCUUCCAGAUUUCUUUUAACUAUACGUCCUGUACAAUUUGAGAUACGAUUAACAAUCUCGAAUUUGAUUCUUUAAAAUCAGAAUUUUUUUUUAUGUUAGAACUGCAUAAGUUGCUGCAAGGCUCUCUUGCACCAGUCAGCUUACUUUCAACUUGGUUAUAGGAUUUAAAUAGCAAACUCUACAAGUAGUCCUCUUAUAUGUAGAACUUUUAACAAAUAUGGAUCAUGUAUAAAGUCUUUUUCCCUUUCCCUCUCAUUUUCUUGUCCUUGAGUUACCGCUUAUUGCAAAGUCAUGCAAUUGAUAUGGACAUCAACUCCUUAACGAGACAAUAUUCUAAAUUACUCUAAUCCACUGUCAAGAAAAUUAAACUUUUUGCAUUGCAAGUCUGUUUUCUUUCCGACCACUUGGAAUAACAUACCGAAAACCUCAUAUUAGGGUUCUAAAAAACCUAAAGAUUAUAAAUGAAAUUUACACAUCUUACAACACAAGAUAAAAUAAUACACAAGAUCUACUUACCCCACUGAAUAAAAUGAAAGAAUUUAAUGUUGUGCCAUAUAGGUAACGAGGUUGAGCACCUGCUUACCCAAGUUUUUCUCUAUAUGUUUGGUUAAAAAAAGCACCAUCAACAUAAAACAAACUUUAGGCUACAAACCUCCAUCCGAAGAGACUACAAAUUCGUAGAGAUAUUGGUUUUCCUUUUGGUACUAGAGCAAGACAUGUUGGUCUUUGAUCGUAGAAGCAACUCCGUAAGCGUUAGCUGGGCCGCAUUCCUUACAAGGCGGCCAGCAGUGGGAUUAAAUCAGGGGCAACGGGAGUACAAUGGUCCCCAGAUCACUCCUAUACCCGACAGGAAGACCAUGGAGAGAUAAAUCCCGACCCUUGCUGAGAUGCUCUCAAAGGAGGCGGCCCUAGGACGACGGGACAGAAGAGGCCUUAACCGAAAAGCGACGGAAGGGGCUCGAGAGGUGGGGAAUAAGCCAGCCCCUCAAGAGAGCCUGCGAAGGGCAUAGAGUAGUAACAAGAUCAAUGAUGGCCCUGACUGCCCAGCGAGAGGAUGCAUGACACAUACAGGAGCAUGCAAAAAUAGAACAAAUCCGGGCAGUAUCUCUGCCGUACCCCCACUUUAACGUACCCCCUAUAGCAUCCUACAGGCGUUCCCAUCUGCCUACCAAUCAACCCUUCCAUUCGAUACCGCACGAAAUAAGAUAAGUAUCCAAAAUGAUAAGCUAGACUUGAGAGAAGCCACAGGAACGAAGGCGAGAAGAAGAGAGAAAAGAGAGGAGACCGGCUCGCUCCCGUACCCUAACCUAUACCUUACAUCACCCUAGCGAACUUCCUACAUCCAUCGGCCCAGUGGUAUCAUUGAGUCUGGGAUCGACUCCUCGAAUGAAGAGAGAGAAGCAAGGCCAACGCUAUAUGCAAAACGGACGGUCAAAUUGGAUAAAGAUAAUAAUAUUUUAUGGUUGAGAGACGGUGAGACCACACAAUGUGGAAUAAAUAAAUUAUAUAUGGAAAGAAGCAUUGACGAAGAGAACACGUGAAAAGGAGAUGAAAACGCCAAAAACAGAAGAGUAUCACCGAACUACGAGUGUAGUAGAGUAGAAAUCAAAGAGGAAAUGAGGAGAGGUGGCAAUUAGAAAUAAUAUGUCAUCACUAAUUGCCAGGGAGUUCCAAGGUAGAGUUGGAAGGAUGCAGAGGGACAUAAAGAACAGGAAGUUUACUACUUCUGGAUCUAAAGAAGUAAAGAGGCAGAGUAUUACAUGUGUCAUAUUUGUAGAAAAGAAAAUAGAAAGAAUUUGAAAAAAAUAAAAACGAAUCAGAUCAAGCCCCAAGCGAGAUUGCGCGACUGACCGAAACAGCAAAUCGAAGGGGGAUCACGACUAGGCAGGACAAGACGGCCGACGGUACAGAGGGGUGCCCGGAAAACUUAUCCAAACAGCAAAGAAGGAGGAGAGAGAGUCGGCGAAAGGAGAACAAGUUGCUCUAAGAAACACCUGAAGGAGCCCAAAUUACACAUAUGUUUUCUUAUACAAUCCAUAAUUUGGCGUGGGGCAUAAAACACAAAUUAAAAAACUAGAGAUAAGUGAAUGAUAAUGGUCCUACUGAGCAAGCCAAUGGAUGAAGAGGCGGAAAGCUCAAAACUAAUGAAGGAACCCAUACCAUAAAGUGACGGAAGGACCCCCAGGAACCAGCCACAAGCCAAAAGGCUGGUCAUUAAACCCUUGCCUCACUCUCCAACGUUUCCACACCUGCAAAGUGAGUGAGCGUUUGUAGUCGAGCAGCAAAACCCAUGGCAACCCUGAAGGAAAUCCUAACCCGACGACCCGUGGCGGCGACGAUCCGCCUCACAGUCCCGGCGGGAGCCGCCCGACCCGUAGCUCCGGUGGGUAGCUCUGGGUCAAUACAGGCUAAACCUAUGCCUUCUGCAAGGACUUCAACGCCCGGACCCAGAAGUACAAACCCGAAACCCCCAUGGCAGUGAUCAUCACCGCCUUCAAAGACAACACCUUCGAGUUCACUGUGAGGUCGCCGUCCGUCACCUGGUACUUGAAGAAGGCCGCCGGGAUCGAGUCUGGCAGCAGUCGUCCAGGACACGCGGUGGUCGACGCUAUCGGUGAGGCACGUGUUACGAGACAAGAGGGGUGAAGAGCAGUACAAACACCCGUAUUUGGCACAAGAUAACCAUGCCGAGUAUGGGAGUCCGCAUUUGUGAAGUCGUUGAUGUACGCGACGGGAAAAUAAAUUUCAGAUAGUGGAUUAAGCAGUUGUUAAGAGAAACAUCUGAAAUGAAAGCUUUUGGAGGAAAAAAUGAGUCCAACUUUCUGAGACCCGGUAACCGGUUAUGAAGUGUAUAAAAAGCGAUAAAGGCCAACAGACGUGUGGAAUCGGCUGUGGCUUUUGGGGAAAGAGCAAAUGUGUCGGUAUGUAUCAGUGGGUAAUUAAUCUUUUGAACGUUGGACUACCAUGUUGCUUGAAAAUUUGAUUAUCAAAAAUUAAACAUGUUGUGGUUAGGUUGAUGUUCUAUUGGAAGGUAUUUAAGUGAUAUGAAAUUGAGUAAAGCUCUUUUACUGCUUGUGAAUAUUCACAUGGUCAGCCAUUCUUGAAUGUUGCGAAAAUGAGGAAUGAGGAUCGGCUUUCAGUUCAUUACAACUAAGGCCUCAUGUAUAUACCUAUGUUUACUCGAUGGGCUAUCCCUGUCUAUGCAAACUCUGAGAGGAUGAUCCAGCACACAGCGAAGAAAAAGACAAGACGGUAAGCAAAAUGAACCACAACUGUGCGACUUUAUAAAACUUAAGAAAAUCAUCAGAAGAUGGUAUAGUAGUGAAACACAGGCCAUGUGCCGAGGUUAUCAAAUAAGUCAGAUAGUACUUAAGUCGAAUCCUAGGCGAGAAACGAGAAUUUUAUCCUUUUUCUGUUCAAACGAUGUUUAUGUCAUUUGGAUAUGGUAAAAAUAACACUUAAUAGAGGGGCCGGAAGGUUGGGACGUAGGUAUUCACCGGAGAGGGAAUACGAGUAGCUGAUGGCGUGGAAAAAUUAUCAUUUUGAAUGCAAAAAAGUGGAAUUGAUUGUAAUCUACGAUUAACUGAAGAGUUGUUAAAAGAUCAGAGACAAGAACAAAGAACACGUCCAAUGCCCGAACAAAUUAAUAAAACAUUCGUAUAGCAUAAUGUGAUGGAACUGUGCUAAGCCUUAUAGAGUUUUGAUGUAAAAGGGUGGGAUUGUGAAAAUGGUUUCGGAAAUUUAUGAAAAGUCAAUCUAGAGGGAGAACCAAAGGGGUGGUGUUCUAGUUUCAUACACUUAGUGUCUUUAUUCGUUGAAUGUAGUAUGGAAUAAUUGCAUUGGGAUGAAAGCGUAUUGACUGUUAAAUAAGAGUGGACGACCCAAGAGGCAUAUGGAAAUAAGUUGUGUUUUGAUAUGACGAAAACAAGACCGGAUAGACCGAGUAAGUUACAUCAAACCACCUUCCCGACGCCCACAACAAAACGGACUCCUGCCCGCUAACGCCAUUGAGGCAAACGAACAAGUCACCCACCCACAAACUACUAUAGAUUGAAGCCCUAGGCAGCUGAGCCACUUCACCCCAAGACCUGUUUCGUGAACCUCAGAUUUCGAGAGGCCAGCAGUUGUGUCAUGUGAUGAGGCUCGUUGAAACUGAAAGUGGAUAAUGGCCAGGGAGAAAGGUAUCAGGCCACUCUAGACCUUUUAUUUAUUCUUGAGUAGAGAGGUUUGGACAGGUGAAAUAUGGGAACAAUGUUCAAAGAAGAACUGCAAAAAACCAUACGUCUAGACUUCGGAUGAGGGAAGGACGCAAACCUACUAAGGAGGAAUAUAAAAAAUCAGGAUGGCUUGGGAGGGUAACCGCGGACAGUCCUACCCUCAAUCUUGUACCAGAUUCGAUACGCUAUUUCAUUUCAUAUCCCAACAAAAUCGAUGAAAUUCUGGUUGACCCAAAAAGGGAAUUAUGUGGGCCGAUAAGCACAACGUACGGAUGCUGAUGAAAGAGAUGAUUUAAUAUUACAUGGUCAAUUCUUUCCAAGGUGAUAAAUGCGUAUCAACAUUUGUUAUGUUGCGUAAGAUUUUGAUAGAAUGGGAUUUCUGAUGUGCAAGGAAAGUGAAGAGGUGGGACGCAACCAUAAGUAGGAAGAUAGAUACCUGGAGAUAAAUGGGGUUUAGGCAUCUGGCCGUUAAAGCGCCUUUCAUAACCAAGACCGAAAUUAUUUGAUUUCGCGCUAUAUCUUUCGUGUGAAUACAUGGAUUAGAGUUAUGCAACUGAUACUUACGUGGCAUACGCCCGAUGUGUCUCUCAUGGAAGACGCUCUUCCAAUAGAUUGUUAUAUUAAUGGAGUGAGAAUCAAGAUGUGACAGAAAAUGUUCAACGGCAUAACGAAUAACUAUAGUGUGUUAUUUUUUGUAGGUUCAAUUCAAGUUAUGUGAAUUCAACAGAAAGGUCCUAAAAUUAAAAAAUUAAUACAAUAAAAUUAAAAAAUAGACCAGUAGAAAUGAGACAAAAAUUCAAUUCUCCUAAUUCCUCCGAAAUGCUUGCAGUGACCCAUAUCAAACUGAGAAUAUGAGGACCAUACCGGAACACACCAAUUACCGAAAAAACAGACAACCUGUAAUCUAUAUGACACCAUCUCUAUAAUGAACUCCCCAAAACAAAAUAUACAGUAUACUGAUUCUACCAAGAAUUGUACAACUAUAGAAGAUCUCACCUGAAAUAUAUAAGUAACGUCAAAAGAAAUUAACCGUAUACAAAAAAAUAAUGAGGAUCCUAUGUUAUGAUAUUCAAAAUUAGAGUAACUGUAAGUAGACUGAAGAAUUUGAAGCAAAUAACAGUAAUAAUAUGGGCUAAUCCAAUGAAGGAAGAAGUAAGGGCACAGCUAAACUCAACGAUCCUUAAGAUUAUAAUUCAAUCAAUUCCAACACACAACACACAGUAAUCACAAAUAAGAUUCUGCUAAAUUGUAGAGAUUAUAAAAAAAAAAGGUUUGAUUACGCCAAAGCCCUAACUACAUUAACCCUUAGAACCACUCACAUAAAAUAAAUUUAAAAAAAGGGAUUCGAGUGGUUUGAUCUAGCAAAGAUUAGAUGAAUUGGGAAAAUGAAUUAGUUUAUAUUGGUCAAAAUUGAUGAAGGAGUUUGAAAAACAAUCAACCAUACACUCAUUCUGUCUGUUGAACCCAUCAACUAAACUACACCUUGGAUCCGAUUGCUCGCAUUGCAAGACUCCAAGUUUGUCCCACACUUUUUGAGUCUGGGCGCGGACACAAGUAAUACAUGAUUGUCGUCAGCUCGUGCUGGCAUUUCAAGACUCCAAGCUGUGUCCCACUCUUUUGAGUCUAAGCACGAACACAGGUAAUACAUGAUUGUCGUCAGCUCAUGCCGUAAGAGUGAGAGAUGUGAUACAUAGUGAGUUUAGUACGUCUCGUCAAAGCGGCUCCGAAACAAACAAAAAGGUGUGUGCCGCACUCACGAGGGUUUAGGUUACGAUUGGUAUGCAAAAACGAGAGUGCGAGAAUGGGAAAGUACCAUGAAGUGUGAAUUUUUUUUAUGGGAAAGUACUCGUAUUUUGGUUUAGUGGUUAGAUAUUUAUGCUAUAGUUUUUUAAUGUUGGUCUUUGGAUAAUGCCAAUUAUUCUCAUUUGGCUUUUUGGCCCCUUCCAAUAACUUGCUCAAGUAGAAAUAGACUAACCCAGCUACCCAUCCCCACACCCAUCAUCUUUCCCAAAUCCCAAUUUCCACCAAUUCGCCCUCCAAUCCAAUCUCCAAAUUCUAUCUACUCCCUCUUCCCAAUCAAAAUCCCAAAACCCAAACCCCCAAAUUUCCAAAUUUCUCACUUCCACCCCUAGAAAAUUAGGAACUUGCAAUUGUCCACCCAGCGACACAGAGCGGCAGCAGCAAUGGUGGUGUUCGACAAAGAAGCCAGCUCCUCCACCAACACCCUACCUCCCUUCCCCCGAGAAGACACUCCACUCCUCUCCAAACCCAGCAAGCUCUCCUCCCAACCCAAAACCUUCGCCAACGUCUUCAUCGCCAUCGUCGGCGCCGGCGUGCUGGGUCUACCCUACACCUUCAAGAAAACCGGCUGGGUCUUCGGCUCCCUCAUGCUCUUCUCCGUCGCCUUCCUAACGUACCACUGUAUGAUGCUCCUAAUCCACACCCGCCGCAAGCUCGACUCCCUCCACGGCGGCGGCCUCUCAAAGAUCGCGUCUUUCGGCGACCUGGGUUUCGUCGUCUGUGGCCCAAUCGGCCGGUUCUCCGUCGACGUCAUGAUCGUCCUCGCCCAGGCCGGGUUCUGCAUCAGCUACCUAAUCUUCAUAUCAAACACUUUAGCCUUCGUCUUCAAUUACUCAGGCCCCGACCGGAUUCUUGGUCUGACCCCGAAAUCAAUCUACCUCUGGGGCUGUUUCCCAUUCCAGUUGGGUCUGAAUUCGAUUCCCACCCUGACCCAUCUCGCCCCUCUGAGCAUAUUCGCCGACGUCGUCGACCUCGGCGCCAUGGGAGUUGUAAUGGUAGAAGACGUCAUAAUCUUCCUCCAAAACAAACCGGCUCUGCAGGCGUUCGGCGGCUUCUCCGUCUUCUUCUACGGCCUCGGCGUGGCGGUUUACGCCUUCGAGGGAAUCGGAAUGAUCCUCCCCCUCGAAUCAGAAGCCAAAAACAAAGAGAAUUUCGGGAAAGUCCUGGCAUUGUGCAUGGCAUUCAUAGCUCUGAUCUACGGAUCAUUCGGAGUUCUGGGUUACUUUGCAUUUGGGGAAGAAACCAAAGACAUAAUCACCACCAAUUUCGGGCAGGGCUUAGUAAGCACACUGGUCCAGCUGGGUUUGUGCAUAAACCUGUUCUUCACUCUCCCAUUGAUGAUGAACCCGGUUUUCGAAGUGGUGGAGCGGCGGUUCUGCGGCUCCACCUACUCCCUGUGGGUGCGGUGGCUGCUGGUUUUUGGGGUGAGCCUGGUGGCGCUGCUGGUGCCGAAUUUUGCAGAUUUUUUGUCGCUGGUGGGGAGCAGCGUGUGUGUGGCGCUGGGGUUUGUGCUGCCUGCUCUGUUUCAUCUGAUGGUGUUUAGGGAUGAGCUGAGUUGGUUUGGGAGCGGUUUGGAUGGGUGUAUUGUGGUGGUGGGUGUGGUGAUUGGGGUGUCUGGGACUUGGUCUUCAGUGGCUGAGAUUAUUGCACCCAAAGCUUGAUUUUGGUUGAGCCCCUUGAGGGGUUAAUCAAUUAAGUUUUAAUUUGCUGCUGCGGAAUUGUAUUUUAAUGCUACGUUUGCUCAUUAUUUUCACCAAUUGUAACAGCUUAAUGCAAUGUGUGAGACUCACUGAGAUAGUAGAUAUUCUUCCUUUUUUUUUUUUUGUCUGUUGAACUGCAUAACAUUUACACCUCAUCUCGGUGGAUUGAGUAGGUACUUGUUCGAGACUGUUUCUGAAAAGGUUAAAGGUCGUUGUUUGGGGUUUUACAUAACCGCUUUUUACGAGGGUUUUUAUUAGGGUUUAGGAUUUAGAGUUUUUCAUGAAUCUGGAUCAUAGGUGCUUAUUCAGGAAGCGAAUGCUUUUCUAGAAAGAACUUGGACUAACCGUUUUCUUAAAAAGCACUUCUAACAAAAACGUUUAUAAACAAAAUUGCUUCAUACCAUAUGCAAUUUCAAAUAGGAGGAAUUUUGAGUUUUUCAAUUUCAUGUUGGAAUCAAUAAAAAAUUGUCUUCGAUAUUGGGUAAUAUCAAAAAGGGUAUAGAAAAAAUGAGGAACAUCCUCACCGUUUUUGUGAGUAGAACUUUAAUGCUAUGUAGCACUAGGAUCUUUUAGCUUUUAAUUUGAUUUUCACUGUUAAAUUUUUUUAUUUUUAAUAUCGAAAAAGAAAUUCAGAAAUUGAAAAGUUUGGAAGUACUUGAUUGCCAUCGACAAGUCCACAACUUUAUGCACUCAAACAAUUUUUCUUUUGUGUUUUGCAUUUUUUAAAUGUAAACAGUGUCACAUCCCGACCCGAGCUCAAUUCCGCCGUAGCACGAUAUUACACUCUCACGGUUUUGUUUCUAGGAACUCACACGAGAACUUUCCAAUAGAUCACCCAUCCUAAGAUUGCUCUCGCCCGAACUCCGAAGCCAGUGUGUUCUCAAAAUGCCUCGUGCUAUAGGGAGGUAAGCAUGUACAUAUAAGGCAUAAAUGAUUCACUCCCUUGGACAAUGUGGGAUCUAACAAUCCACCGCGCCUUAGGGGCCUGACGACGAUGUGGGAUCUAACAAUCCACCCCCCUUAGGGGUCUGACGUCCUUGUCGGCACACUCGCACCGAACGACAGAGUGGCUUUGAUACCAUUUUGUCACAUCUCAGACCGGCUCCGCCGUAGCACGAUAUUGUUCGCUUUGGGCCCCGACCACGCCCUCAUGGUUUUGUUUCUAGGAAUUCACGCGAGAACUUCCCAGUAGGUCACCCAUCCUAAGAAUUCCCUCGCCCAAACUAGCUUAACUUCGGAGUUCCAAUGAAACCCAAAGCCAGUGAGUUCCCAAAAGACCUCGUGCUAUAAGGAGAUGAGCAUGUACAUAUAAGACAUAAUGAUCCACUCCCUGACCGAUAUGGGAUUUAACAAAUAAUACUAAUAUAUGUCGCAUAUUGAUAAUAUUAUCACUAUCUAAGUGCUCCUAUUUUAUAUUAAUUCUUUAUUUUUUUCAAGCUAAACAAUGCAAUUAGUGCUAAUAUUGUAAUAUUAUUCAGUCACUAAUUUAAUAACUAAGAUUAAAUAAAUUGGAUUUAACCAUAAAGCAAAACAAAGGGGUAAACCAUCAAAUGCAUUUUCAACAUCUACCGAUGAUAUGUGGACUGAGAGAAACCUUUUUGAAGAAUUUAAGAUGUAUUUUUACUCAUCAUCUUUAAGUAAUUUCAAAUUUUAAAUUUAUUCAACGGAUAUAAAUAGGAUGAGAAACAUCACAAUCAUGUUACUUAAACAUGAUGAGAAAAACUAUUUCCGAAGAAAUUACCCAUUGGAUUCUCGCGAUAAAAAUACACGUAGCUCGCCCGCAUGAGGCAGGUGAACCCUUGGAAUAUGGGCCAAUAUUGGAGACAUGCUACGGUUAAAUACAGCCCAAGAACCUUUUGAGCUCAAUAAGGUUUAAUAAGGCAGGAAGCCCAACAAGAUCAACUGAUGGACCAAUACUCUAAAAAUCCAGGCCCAAUCACAAGCCUAAUUCAUGACACGUGUAGUGAUCCAGAAAUCAUGGACUCUUAGUUACGUUGCGUAUCAAUCAUUCAAAUUACGAAUUGACUGCAUGGGCAGGAGAAGGUUCUUCUUAUCCAAUAUGGGAAUAGGCCAACAUUUUAUAAGCUCUUGUAAGGUUUUUUAUCUUCAUUCAUGUGAGAUUCUCUUAUCUUCAUAUCAUUGCACACCAAACUAAUACGGCAUACUUUAUUAGAUUUGUUGACACUUACGGUUUUAAUUACUCAACACAACAACAUACAACGAAAAUUGUAGGUUAACUCGUAAAAAAUAUUCACGUCGACAUCCUGAAUUGAAUUUCUACUCAUGAUCAUAUAUCUCUUGUUGGAAUAAAGGAUAAACCAAACAAGGACUUGUAACGCCCCAAAUGUUCCAGGAUUUAGACUUUAUUAGAAAGGGAAUAGCCAUAAAGAAAUAAAAGAUUAUUGAGCAGGUGGCUAACACCCAUCAAACCAUCAUCAACCCCUUUCCAACUCCACAUAAAAACCGAUCACUUCAAUCCACCUAACGAGUACAACCACCCGUUCCCCCUUAUAUUGGCCACCUCUUACUCAUCUUCUUUUUUAGUGAUUUCCCAUAAAACAAAACAAAAACCCAAAAUCUCCAAUUUUGCAAGUUCACACCAUCACAAUAAAAAAAUAGUGUAAUAUUUUAAAGUACAAGAUAUGGACCAUGACGUAUAUUUGUAUAUCUUUGUAGAUAUUGAGCCACAUAAAGAGUCAGCUAUUAUUUAAGGAGAAAUUUUAUUUGAACUCAUCUAACCUCUUCCUACACUCAAUUUACUGUCUUCACCCAUAUUAUUUUUUUAUUAAAGAAUUAAUAUAUCUUUAAACCCAAAUUUAUUACCUAAAAUACCCUCUCAAACCCAAUUCAAAAUGAAAAAUUAUCUUUACACUCAUUCUCUUUAUAAAAUAACAUUUCUAAUUGAAUUUUUUUUUCUUUCAAAGAGGCUUCCUUUGCCCCUCUAUAAUGGCAUAUGCCAUAUAGGACUAGUAUUUACAUGGAUGCUUUUUUUCUUUUUGCUACCACAACCCAUCCAUGGACUUGGGAUCCAAGAGAUCAUUUCAUAGACUUGAAUUUUCCAAGAGAAUGUUAUGCAAGCUCCAGUUCAGUCAUUUUAAAUGAGCAUUUUCAUGUACUUUUUAAGAAGUGACAUAGAGCUGGGUGCUUUGCUGCUAUGUUAAUAAACAACUAAACAAAUUGGAGCUAUUUUGAAUAAAAAAAGGUGCAAGACAUGGCACCCGCUAGUUCGUGGUUAAGGUUGAGCAAUCUUUAUUUGCACCAAAAAUCAAGUUUUAUGUCUUUGCAGUACUAAUCAAAAGUCUUUGCACUGGUGUUUUGGGGCGCAUAUAGACGGUAGAAAAAAAAAACAAAUAUAAUAUAAUAUAAAAAAAUAUGAAAUUUAAUCCAAAUAAGAAGCAAACAAACAAAAUAUCCAUAAAUCGAGUCAUAUCUUAGUUGGAGAAUUAAAAACUUCAAAAUCACCAUCCAUCAAUAGAAAAGCUUGUUUUUCUCUAUCAAAGCUAUUAGGGUUUUAGUCAGAAUAAACGUAAAAUAAACAAAGGGUGAUGCUAGAGUUUAAUUAUAGUAUGUGGGUCUAUUGAUAAAUUUGAUUUUUAUUAUUAAUUUCAUUUUGUACUUAAUAGUAAUUAUGCAAUAGGGUAAAAUAAACAAUUAACAUUUAAAAUUUAAGUUGGGUGUAGAAAAAUAUUAAAUGAGUUUAAAUAAAAUUUCCCUUAUUUAAGUAUUAAACUGUAAUACUAGUUAUCCCAACGUUUAUCCGUUAACAAUUAAAAAUGAGAAUUAUUAUUGACACUCUAAAUAUCUUUAUAGAUGUUGAGCCACAUAAAAAGUCAUCUAUUAUUUAAGUACAAGUACAAAUAUAAUACGUCAUCAUUGAGUUAAACUUAAAUAUCUCGUCUACAAUUAAAAAAAUAAUAUCGUAAUAUCACUAAACAACAGAAAUAAUUAUUCCAACGUUUAUCCGUUAACAAUUAAAAAUUAAAUUCGGUGUCAUAAAAAAGUCGCCAUCACGAAGGGGCAAAAUGAGAAAACACCCAUUUUCCUCGGAAAGACCCACCGCACCCAGGGAAAAUGCCAGCAAUAGCAACCAACUAGAAAGAAAAAAAAAGAAGGAAAGCAAAGAGAAAAAAGUGGAGAGACAUCAGAGGAGAGAGAGAGGAAGGCUUCCUGUUGAAGACCACACAAUCCUCCAUUAAUCCAUUUUAAUCUCAGACAUAGACAGAGAAAGUAGAGAGAGAAACACAAGGAAGAGUGGGUGAGUCUCCUUUCUCAUUGCAACGGAGUCGUCGAUUCAAAUCCAGCAAACUUGCCAUUUUUAGCUUUUACCCAUCAUUUCAAAUCGCCUUCCAUUGUCGAAAUCGCAGAAAAGGUCGUUGCUUUUCGAUUGUUGGGUUCGGAUUCAGGAAACCCAGUUCGAAUUUGGAUCGGGAGAGGAAGGAAACCCUGUUGAUCAAACGCCAUGUCGUGCUCAUCUUCAUCCGGGUCGGAGGAGGACGAUGAGGGCAUCGACUCCUACAGGAAAGGAGGCUACCACGCCGUCAGGGUCGGCGAUCAGUUCAACGGCGGCCGCUACGUGGCCCAGAGGAAGCUGGGUUGGGGUGAGUUCUCCACCGUCUGGCUCGCUUACGACACCACCACCUCUGUAAGCCAAGCUUCUUCUUCGUUUCAUUCAUUUUUUUUUUUGUGUCAUUAAAUGUUUCUUUUUGUUAUUAGUUAUUGGUAUGAAAUCUUUUCUGGAUUACAUGUAAAUCGGGAAAUUUAUUUGCUUUUCAUUUAUAAUUUACAUUUGUUUCUCGACUUUAGCAUUUUUCUGUAUAUUCUGAUACUUAAAUGUUUAAGAUCUUCCUUAAUCUAUUCGAAUUUGCAUUUUUCCGUGCAUUUUUUGUUGUUGAUGUAUGAUUUGAUUUAAUUUUCAACCCUUUUGGAUUGUUUUCGAUUCGAUAUUUGAUCACCUUUGGAUAUAGGCUGAAGAUUUGAUUUUUUUCAACAAGACAUUAUCUUCAUGUGUUCUGUAUAUGCAGUAAUGCUGAAUGAAUAAUUUCUCCGUGUUUUCGUGUUACGAUUGUAAAUUUUGGUUCAUCACUUCCAUUUUUGGCUCUUUCGUUGCUCCAUGCAUCUGCAUGAAGUAAAUGAUUCGUAGGAAAGAAUAAUAUGUUACUUCAGUUAAUCCGAUUGUUGCGUCAUCUUAUGUCUCUUUUGUAUUUUUUAGACGUACGUUGCUCUUAAGAUUCAGAAAAGUGCAGCGCAGUUUGCUCAAGCUGCUCUUCAUGAGAUUGCAAUUCUUUCCAAUAUCGCGGACGGUGACCCCACGCACUCCAAGUGUGUUGUGCGGCUGAUUGACCAUUUUAAGCAUGCAGGUCCGAACGGGCAGCAUCAGUGCAUGGUCCUUGAAUUUCUUGGUGAUAGCUUACUUCGGCUGAUCAAGCAUAACCGUUACAAAGGCCUUAAAUUAUAUAAAGUUAGGGAGAUCUGCAAAUGCAUAUUGAUAGGUCUCGACUAUUUGCAUCGAGAACUUGGUAUCAUCCACACUGACCUAAAACCCGAAAACAUCCUUCUUUGUAACACCAUCGAUCCUGCCAAAGAUCCAGUCAGGGCUGGCCUCACACCAAUUCUAGAAAGACCUGAAGGGAACCUGAACGGUGGAGCCACCAUGACUCUUAUUGAGAAAAAGUUGAAAAGGAGGGCAAGGAGGGCAGUUGCUAAGAUUUCGUUGAGAAGAGAUCUAUGGGAGGUAAUGAACCUCCCAAGCCUGAAAGAAACCUAGAUGGGAUUGAUGUAAAGUGCAAGGUUGUUGAUUUCGGAAAUGGAUGUUGGGCCAACAAGCAACUUGCGGAAGAGAUUCAAACAAGGCAGUAUAGAGCUCCUGAAGUUAUACUGCGAUCUGGUUACUCAUACUCAGUUGAUAUGUGGUCAUUUGCCUGCACUGCAUUUGAACUUGCGACUGGCGACAUGUUGUUCGCUCCAAAGGUGGGACAAGGCUUUAGUGAGGAUGAGGUAAAGAUGGUUUCACUUUUACACCAUUGUAUUAAAGUUUUAUGACAAUGUUGCGAAUGUUUGUAUAGCAUACUCACGAAUUUGUCGCAAAAAAAGUUAUAAAUAUUAUCCGUUUUUCCAUAUUUGAAAAUUGAAUAAACCCUAUUUUUUGCCUUAUAAAAGCUUUGAACCCCAGCUCCCAAGAUAAUUCUAAUAUAUGUAGACGGGAAUUUCUCUCUACGAACAAUUUGACAUUUUGAAUUUGGUUAAUGUUAUCGACUGUCUUUAUUUCUUGUGAAUUACUUGGAGUUUGUCAAAUUUGUGCGAUUGGUCAUGUUUUGUAGAGAGUACCCUAUUUUCCACUGCCUUCUGCUUACUGGUUUGCAAUCGAAAUAUUUGUUGGAUUGAUUGCAGGACCACCUUGCGUUGAUGAUGGAACUCCUUGGAAAGAUGCCUCGAAAGGUGAUAUUCUAAUCCUACAUCGCACUUAUAUUUCUCCAAGACAUUUAUCUGAUGCCAUUCAUAUCUUAUGCUUGGGUUUUCAGGUAGCGAUUAGCGGAGCUCGUUCCAAGGACUUCUUUGACCGACAUGGUGAUCUAAAGAGAAUCCGAAGGCUGAAGUUUUGGCCACUUGAUAAAAUACUGAUGGAUAGGUACAAAUUUUCAGAGACCGAUGCUCGGGAGUUUGCAGAUUUCCUUUGUCCAAUUUUCGACUUUGCACCAGAGAAGCGGCCAACAGCCCAGCAGUGCCUGCAACAUCCGUGGAUCAAUCGCAGUACUUCGAACCAGAACGAGAUGAAAAGCAAGUCAAAUGUGGAAAAGGUGAAUGUUGGGAUGAGCAACCCGCAUAUUAAGGUUGGCAAGUGAAGAAAAAGAUUGAAGGAUGACGAUGCUGGCAACUCCUACCGCACCCUUUCUAAGGCUUCCGAACAACUCCACUCCGCACGUACGACCCUAUUGAUUGCGAUUUAAUUUUGUUUGUUACUCGACUAAUAAGAAUCAUUAUUUUUUUUAUUAACUAUUAACUAUAAGAGUUGUAAAUUAGUAACGAUUUUUGUGAGAAACGACGCCGAAAAAUUCGGAUAGAGAAUUCGACUGUCGUUUUGGAUAUAUGCCCCUGGUGGCUUGUAAACACAUGUAUGUGUUCCCCACACCCUGUAUACUGAUGAUGAUUGAUGACUUUCUUGAUUGAUAUAGGGUUUUAGGUUUCUUAAUCCCUUCUUGACUUUUGUUUUGCUCUCUAAUCCUAAUCCUAUUCCCACUUUCUUGAGAAUGGAAGAUGAAUGCAUCUUCUGUACAGAUUCCAGAUUCGUGCUUAACGGGAACAUAAUUCAAUGGAUUGUGAUGAACCUAUACUCGAAUAGAGAAUGUGUGAAUUGUCGAUUUAACUACUACAUUUUAAUUGGAAUUUGGUUAUUCACCGUGUACAAGAAUUCCUGCUAAGCAUCCAUGGUUGAAUGGUUAAAACUCCAAUAUAAGAUGGCGUUAAGAGUUUGAUAAGAGCGCACAUCUUCAGCACGAGGGAAUAUUUAAUCAAAACAUUAAUUAAUUAUUGCUGUAACAAUUUAAACCCUAAUAAAGAACAGUGAAUAUCUCGAUCAAACUCCUUACCUACUUUUUUUUUAUUGUGACAUAACAGUCCACCAAUCCGUGUUCGUUUAUCUUUUCGAUUGUUCGAUCAGGUGGGAAGUGGGCGGGCUGGUCCUAAACAUUAAUAAAUAAACUGACUUAUAACAAAUCAAUUGACAAAUGAAAUGAGUUUUUAUUAUUUUUUGCAUCUGAAAGUUAAGUUCUACAUGCUUAACUCAAGUAGUCAGUCUAAUGGUAUUCAUGUUCUUUUAGAAAUGAGAAAUCUUAGAUUCGAAUCAUCGUAAAUGACAAAUUCGAACCAAUUUAAACUGCUCAUUAAAUGAUUUUAUUGAGCUCUCUCUCUCUUUAAUAUAAAAAUAUCAAUGUACUAAAAACAAAUGAAACCCAAGUGUGAUCACCGCCCCCAACAUACAGCGGGCCCACUUCGGAAAAAUAAAGGUUUCAUGCCUCUGUUUUUUGUUACUGCAGACGUACAACAGCAACUUCUGAAACUAUUGACCAUGGCAAUGUACUGACAUCAUGAUUUUUUUUUUAAUUUUUAGUAUACGUUAGGGAUACGGAGAUGCAAAAUGUCGGCUGAAAAGCUUUUAUAAUGAAAGAGUAAAAUAUUUAUAGGAUGAUUUAUUCACACACUUAUUUUAAUUUCAACACUCUCAUAAUUUAUGGUAUUGGAUUGAAUUAGUUGAAGAUGAUCAAAAGAUUUCAACACUCUCUCAAUUUUUGGCGUUAGAUUGAAUGAGUUGAAGAUGAUCAAAAGACAUAAAUUAACAUCAAGCGUGAAAGGUAAAAUGAGUAUAAUAAAAUGUAAAUAUAAAUCUUUUUUUUAUCCAUUUUUAGAAGAUAAGCCCCUUGAGUUAUAGAGAAAAAGAAAUGAUCUCAAAUUUACACCAUUGGAGUAGAAUGAAAUAUAAAUGUGAUUUUGAUAUUUCGGAUGCAUCUUUCUACUGGAGAUGCUCUAACAAUAUAUCCAUUUACUGUUAGGUGUGGUUACUAGGUUGUUGAUUAAGGAUCUAACUGUUAACAUUAGCCCUUUUAGGCCCACACAACGACAUAAGCCCUAGGAAAGACUAAGAAGCCCAAGGCCUAUAAAGUUCAAAAAGAGGGCCGACCCUAGUGCUUAGGCCAACUGAGAAAAAGAAGGAUUACACGACCACGCAGAACGCGUGGGCAUGCUGACAACUUAUGGCACAAGUCUUCAAUGACAGAACAACUCAAGUGCUACUCAUACUAUUCAACAUUGUGCAGACAAUAGUAGAGACCUAGGAUGGGACUUAAGGGCAAUUAGGGUAGUGCUUAGCAAAGCGACGCAGAGUAACCGAGGUUCGAGUGAGAUGCUCGGGCGACCUGGGUGUUGAAAAGACGUGUCAUCUGACUGCUAGAAUGUCACUUUGCUGUCGAAGGCAUGGCCAAAUAGGUGAAAAGUUGUUGGUAAGUUAGUACAAGCGGUUGGCACAUUGAAUGUUAGUUUGAGAGACCUCAAGAGGGUAAGGCCUAUAUAAAGGGGUAGAGACCUCCAUUAUAGGGGUCAGACGAAUUGGAGAAAAUAGAGUUAAUGUAUUAGCCGAGCACUAUUUAUCUUUGAAAUCAAUAUAUAAGAGCAAUACAGUGGAUGUAAUUUAGUUUUGAGGGGUAAACCACUUAUAUCAUUGAGUCCAUUAAUUUUAGCUCAUCUUGCAAGGCCAUUUAGUUUCAUUUAGUUAAGUUUGUUAACCUUAUAAUUUGAGUGUUAACACUAACAAUUGAAAAUCUCAAUGUUUAAAAUGUACCCAAACAUACUAGAAAUUUUCAAAGUGAAAAUUUUGAAGGCUGAAAAAAGGAAGUGAAAAUCUUCCUACAUCUUACUCGCCAGUGAAUGAAACACCUACAUUUGAGUUCCUUUCUGGCGGGUGGAUGCCACACCCGAACUCAGCUCUCUCCAGUGAGCUCGUGCCCAAUAUUUUUUUGAGAUUUAGGUGGCUGUUGGAUUGGUUGGUAGCAUAGUAUUUUAGACGUUUUAGAAGUAUUUUAGUUUUGCUCUUUAAGGUUAGUUUUAGUUAUUUGACUUGAAAAGUUCAAAGGAUAUGUCAUGAAAAGGUAAAUGAUUCCAAUUAAUAUUUGGCUCCGAAAGCUUUAAAUCUCGAAGUAAGAUUUUCUCCUCUCUCAUCCCCUUCCCUUCUAUUUCACUUUCAUUUUUGUCUCUCUCUAUAAAAAAAAGUCAAAACAAGAUGUUGAUAAUCGUGAUUGACUGUUCAAAAAGGAGGAGAUUGAAGGAGAGGAAAAUUUGAAAGGAAGAGAAUCCUACAAUAUGGAACUGUACUACUAGUUCAAUAUGGAAUUUUCCUUUUUAGCAUAGACCGGCUGAUAAUGUAAAUCGAGAUUCAUAACUUUUAAAUUUUUAGUCAUUCAAUUAUUGGUUAAGGGUUCAUAGUUAUAAAUCUCGAUCUGUUCUAAAAUUUUCAUUCAUUGUAAUAUGAAAAACAAGACAGUGUUUAAAUUGCUGCUUUCAUGAUGAAUUUAGGGUUCGAAUUACCGGAAAAAAGUCGGUAUCAUACGAAGUUCAGUUGCCGAAAACUGAUACUGCCAAAUGUCGAGAACCGAUCGUCUUUUCUAAUCGAAGGACAAUCAUUGUUCUUUUUUAUAUUGCAACAGCAAAGUACCUAAGUUACCAGAUCACAGAGGAUUAGUUCAUUGAUUUCAUGAAGAAUUUACCCCAUUUAUGGAAAGAAUUAACCCCCUUCAUUAGUUUCAUGAAACAACAAUCUCAGACAGUAAAAAUUUCAAAUGAAUAUAAUUACCGAAGACAAUGAGAGUUGUUUACAUCUAUGAGCACACCAGCAGUAAUUAUUGUGCAACAUAUCAACAAAACACUAGACAUUCUAAUUGCAUCCCUGUUAUCUCAGCUUCCCGAGCAACAGGCGAUUCGGACGAGCGGGUAAACCACGACGGAUGCAAGUAAUGUAACAUCUAAAUUUACAAGUAGUCAGUUUCAAGUUCAUUACAAACCCAGACGGAGCGGAAGAAAAAAGGGUAAUGAAAUAAGGCCGUUUUCUAUAAGACGUGAAAUCGUGAAUCCUACCUCAGCUAUCCAAUCCUAACUCAUAGCUCACCACAACAAUAUCGUUUCGACAUCAAGAUUGCAUGACUUUGUUUUGAUUCAUGCACGCCGGAGCCUUAAAAUCCUUGCAUUUCCACACCGGUGUGGCUUCAAUUGGCAGCAUACUAUCGGCAGAAGACUCCACAGGGAACAAAGGCUUCUUUGCGGCAGUAGGGUUACCCAUGUUCAUGUCAAUCAAUGGGGAGCCUCGUGCAUCCGUAUCUUCUUUCAGAUUUGCUUGAUCCCUGAAGGUGCAAUUGCUCAACGGCAACUUUUUUAGCUUCACUCUUCCCCUCUUUUUACCGGUGGUACUCGCAGCAUCCCAAUUUUUCUCCGUACGACUUGAUUCUGCUUCUCCAUUAUCCAUCUCCAUUCGACCUGCUCUAUCAGGUCCACCAUUUUCGUACAUGUCUUGGAUGGUGCCUUCAACGUUGACCUUAUCUGCUACAGAAUGUCCAUUGCAAGUAGACGCUGGGCCUUGUUCCAAUACAAUUACCCCAUUGGGAACCCUAACUUUCUCGGAACCAUGUGAAAUUUUAGGCUUCUUGUGUUUAUGACCCUUGCCAUCAGCACUUGAUGAAUUCUUCGUAAUUCUCGGAGAGCUAUUUAUAGCUCUGUGCAAUUUCCGGGCCAACUCUUCGUCCUUCUUACAAUUUUCAAUUGGUUGGUAUUUUUUGUACAAGAGCUGAACUGGAACAUGCUUCUUCAGCUUGUUCUUUUUCAGGUGUUUUUCCUUGCCUGCUGCCUCUUCGGAAAAAGAGGCAACCAAAUCUAAAGCACUCUUCGCUGCAGCCACUGCCUUUGCAGCUAUUGCAGCUUUUUCCUCAGCUGCAGUUCUCGCAACCUCUGCAGCCUUUGCUGCAGCAGCAGCAGCCGAAUUCGAGACCUCUACCAGCUCCUCGGGCGAAAGAUUAGUAUGAGAACUCAAUAUACUGUUGAGGCGAGUGUUAAAUUCACUUGAAGAAUGCGAAGAAGAAGAAGAUGCAGAAGCCGAAGCUGAUGCUGAAUCUGCAGCUGCAACUGAAGUAGCAACUAGAGACAGCCAUGCAGCACUAUCACCCUCCGGACUCUGUUUCUUCAAUCCAGCAAGCAGACGCUUUCGUGGAGGUAGAAGGACGUCAGCGUCCAAAUGAUUGACAUCACAGAUGUUUGCCUCCAUCAGUACGCUUCCAGUAUACCCCUUUUACACUGCAAUGAUAAUUACUCUCCACAGAGGGGAAAUGACCACACCAUCUACAUAACAAUAAGAAUUCAAUCAAGUUUCGAUGAAAAGACAAGUACUUGAUAUAUGAAAUACCCAAAUAGAAAAACCCUAAAAAUGUUGAGGAAUACUAAGGCCUACUAAACCCAAAACCGAAAUCAAAUCAACAUACACAAAUCGUUUGUUUACUGGUGAAAAAACCCGGAGGAAAAGAAAGAAACUUCAAAUCAAAAUACACAAAUUGGUGGCUUCAAUUUUCGAUAAAACUUAAACCACAAUAACCUCGACUAAAUCCUGGGAGUUUACAUAGCUAAAUUGAGUUCCUUUCUUCUUCCUCAAUCAUCCUAGUAACUUAAGAUAAUGAAAAACAACCGGAAAACCACAAAUUACCUUGCCCUUAUCCAACCCUCAAAAUUUUCCUGAGAAACAAACAAAACUUAAUCAAAACCGCAUCCAACAAUUCAACAACAACAACAACAAGGCAGCUGAAUCAUAAGCAUCACAAUCACAGCAAAAUUCAAACACACCAACUCAAAUUAAUCACACAAACAAGAUCGGAAGCAGGCAAACAAACGGACAAUAAUCCGAACCAAUCCGUAAUCCCAAAAAGCUCAAUUCACUAGAAUUCAACAAAUCAAUGCAAGUUUCAACUGCCAUUACCGAUAAUUCUAUCAAAAUUCAAUACAAAAUGAUCAGAACAGAGAGAGGAGGGCAAGCAAAAAAAAUACCUGAUCUUAUUGCUAAAAAUUUGUCCGUCUCCUUGAGACAAAGGAGAGAGAUAAACGGCAGAGCUGUAAUUAGGGUUUUCAGGGGGAGAGAGAGGUGGAAGAAAAAUCAGGGUGGUGGAAGAAAAAUGGAAGAUGUUGUUUGUUCCCCCUAUAUAUAAAUAAAUAAAUAAAUAAAUAAAUAUAUAUAUAUAUAUAUAUAUAUAAUUUCGAUUGGUUCUGGUUCUAGAAUCCCAAAAUCCCCACAAUUAAACCCACCAUUUUUAUUUCUUAUUUUUACCCCCAAUUUAUUCACUCUCUCCUCAUCUCAUGCCACCAUGGCAUCACCAUGCAUUCAUGCUUUUGCUUAUUCAUUCCAUGACAAAUGCUAAAUAAUGUAUUCAAAGUGAGAUUUUUUAUAAAUUUUUUGUUAUUUUAUGUUUUUGACAUAUAUUUUAUAAUCUUGGAACAGAACAGAAAAUUAACAUUAAACUGUGAAGUAACAGAGAAUCUAUGGACUAAUGUUAAUUCAUUUAUGAAUGCCAAGUUCAUCUUUUCUCAAGUUUGUUAUUAACUGAAUUAAUUAUUUUCCUUUUUAAUACAUUCAAACUCGAACAUUAACCAACUGGGUUACAAGUGAUUGGCCGACCUAAUUAGCCGUAAGUAAUUUGGAUUGGACCGACUUGGAUGGAUUAGCUCUUUUUUUUUUGGUUGAAAGGGUAUGUAAUCAUGACUGAUUUUUGUUUUAGGUGGUGGUUAAUUGAGUUUUAUAUUGAAUAAUGUUGUAUUGUCCAAAUCCUAACUUGAUGGACAUUGGAUACUAACUAAACUUAAUCUUGAGCAUGUUAGGUUUAAGUAAAUUACUCCUCUACCCGUUGUCCUAAUUUUUUUAAUUUUUAACAUGGAGAGCUUGCUUAGUGUUACUCUUAUUUAUUAAUUUAGAUAUUUAUUUUUAUCGCAAAGAGCUUGGUUAGUGUUACUCUUAUUUAAUAAUCAUAUAUCUAUUUAUCUUAUAUGGAUAUAAAUAAAUAUAGGGGUAGAUUCGUAAUUUACCAGAAGACAUCAGCUUCAAGUGAAAGGGAUAACGACUGCUUGAAUCUGUGAAUUACAUUACCUGCGGGAUACUUUUACAUGUCGCCUGUCAGCCUUCUAUAAAAGGACAGGGAUCCUCUCCCCGCGAGACCCUUCCAUCAACUUCAUCAAAUCAUCUAAUUUAGAUUUUUAAAAUUUAAUUUAACGGUUAAAAUUAUUAUAAUUUUUUAAAAAUAAUUUUCUGUUUGUAACCGUUGAAUCAAAUUUAUAAAAUCUAAAUUGAUUGAUUGGAUAGAUUUUGUGGAAGAGAUUUUCCUCCUAUAAAAUAAAUAGAAGCAGACAUAUACCGCUCAAGCGCCACGUGUUAGGGUUGCUACUAUCAGCCAAUGACGUUCCAACUGUGAUUCACCUAGGCCAUGCCGCGUGUACGAUUAUCAAAGCCCGCUCAAUCUUCACGGGUCCUCACACUCGCGCAAACGGCGGUUAAAGAUUCAGUUAACUGGAGUCUGACACUGAACCGCCUUUUUUUUGUCCAAACCCGCGAAAUCGGAGGGCUCCGAACCGUCGUCUGAUCAUCCAAACGACGUCGUCGUACCUAAAGCCCAAACCCCUAAUUUUUCGAAUUCGUUCUCGCAGUUAAGCUACGGAGCAUUUCAAUUCGCCAAUACAUUUUCCUUGUCUCUGUUUGUUUGCCGAGAAAGUGCGGGAAAAUUGAACAAGGUAACAAUUUUUCGUUUUCUGUUAGUUAAAUGAUUGGAAAUUGUCGUCGUUGUAGGUCUCGAUGAGGGGCGUAAAGCCGUUGCCGGAGGCGGUGCGUAGCUCGAUGCGCUCUGGAGUUGUUCUGCUCGAGCUGACUAGCUUUGUGGAGGAGCUGAUUUUUAAUAGCUUGUAUGCCGGCGCAACGAAGGUAAUUGCUUUAUGCCAUUUAAAGGUGUAAUUAAGUCGUUUUAAGUAGUAACGAUGGCAAAAAAGUUAAUUAGCUUCACAACUGUUUGUUUAUGGUCUCAGGUAUCGGUUUUCGUAGGUGUUGGGACAUGCUAUGUAAAAGUAGCGGAUGAUGGUCAGUGCUGAUCUUCCUCUUUCGGUUAUAAUCUAAAGAAUGUUAGGUUUUAGGUGUUGUUCACAACAGAAUUGCUCUAGGCCUUUGUGCAAGUUUUUCUCCGGUUGACUUUUCCUCUAUUUUUCAUAGGGAUGCAAAUGUUUGUAUCUUGGAAUGGAUGAUAACAGGAAGGAUGUGGGUACUACAGGUACCGACCUAUUACUGUUCCUAUUGUCUUCAUUUAAGCUUGUCAAACUUUCUAACGUUGCAUCUUUGUUUAUGGAAAUGAUUUCAUUGAAGGUUAUCAACCAUGAUCACUUUGACGGGUUCUGUUACAUUACCAGGGAUAAAUGCUUAUUGGCGUUUUCCCUGGAUAAUUCCACCUACAUUAAGAAUUUGAUUAAUCACUUGGUUGUCGUUGUAGUUGUUGUUCGUGAUCUGUUCUACAAUCAACCAGUUCGGAGGAAGUACAUGCAAUCCAGGUGCCAGUCCUGAACCAUUUUGUUUUCUUUAUGUGGUUUAUAUAAGAUUUUUUUCAGCUGCCUUAAACAUGAUAGUGCAAUGAAAUAAACUGACUUGAUCUGACUUUUGAUUUCCAUUACAAACUGGAAGCCCCAAGAAAGUAUUGCACUCUGUCAAUAAAUGUGUACAUCGGAUCGCCCUUGUGCACUCAAAUGUUUCCUUCAAAGUUGUAGACAUUGAAAGGUUUCUUCUAAACACAUUUUCUUGUUGAAAAAUGUAUGGUUGUUGUUAUUUAUUUCUUUGUUUAUUAACUUACUUACUCCAGUAUGUAUGUAGUGAGGAUGAGCUUCUUCGUACAACUCCUUCUCCCUCUCCCUUGAUACUAUUGAAAAGGACUUUUGGGACUGAGAUCUCCAAUGCUCUUCAUGAAUUGAACAUAAGUGAUGGCAGAUUAGAGCUUUCUGGAUACAUAUCUACUCCUUGCAAUAACCUUGCUGAUAAGGUAGAUUUAUAUGAAUGAUGCAGAUUAUUUUGUACUUUUUUAAAUAUUAGUAUCCUUGUUUCUUAUUCUUGAAACAUCUAUUUUUCAGGCCUUCUAGUAUGUCUGUAUCCAUGUCCAUAUUUUGGAGAAUAUUUACCAAGUUAUAGAAGGAGUGUGUUAGGUCUGAGAUGAGUUAUAUUUUGUUCUUGAUCUUGACGCUGGUAGAUAUUAACUCACGGUUCGUUUGCAAAGGGCCAAUUCAUAAAUUGCUUAAUCAGCUGGCCAAUAGUUUUGAAUUCUGGGAUCCAGGGAAGGCUAUUGAUGGGUCUAAAAAUAGGAAGCAAAGUAGGCCUAAGGCAUUCACAGCUUAUGUUUUGAAUUUAAGCUGUCCCCGAACAUUCUAUGAUUUAACCUUUGAAUCAUCAAAGACAUAUGUGGAGUUUAAGGUAACUUUCCUUUUUUACUGUGAGUUGUGAUCUAUGUAUCAUAUACGAUCUGCUGAAUGUUUUAUGCUUCUUGUUCUUCUCUCACUUUGGCCAGGAUUGGGUUCUGUACUCACCUUUAUUGAUAAUGCCAUUAAGAACUUCUGGACGAAAAAAUGCCUGAUGGUACACCUUUACCCCUGGCUUGUUUCUGAGAGCUUCUUUCACUUUUGUUGGUGUGAAGACAUAUUAAUGGAACAUUAUUUUGGUAUAAUGUUUUUUUUUUUUUAAAGCGUAUUAACCUCUAGGAUAUUUCUAGGGAAUCUGGUUGUCAUGGAGCUGAUAUUUUAGAAGAAAAUCAAAUGCGGAAGAAAGGUGGCAACAUUAAAUCUGCAGAUGAAAGUAAGGAACAGAAUUUUUUUUCCCAUUUUCAUUAGACACUGUGAAAUGAAUAUGAGUCCUAUCUUUUAGUUUCUUCAAUUCAUUUUUGUGCUACGGAAUUAAAAGAUGUUACUUUGGUUCAGUUUUUCCUUGGCUCAUAUCCUUUCUCUUGCUAGAUUUACUUGAUGGAGAUUUGUCAGAACUCUCUAAGUUCGGGAAAAGAAAGAGCAGGAAAAGUUGUCAGGCUUCUCCCGACCUUAUGGAUAUGUUAAUUCAAGAAGACAACCAUACAUCUCAGAAGAGAUACGUCAGAAAGCCAUUUGAAUAUACUGAAGCCUUCAAUUUCCAAGGGCAAUAUAUUGGGAUUGAAUUUAGUUCUCAUACUGCAUAUUCUUUUCAAUCACGGGAUGAUACUCUAGACAAAUGCGUGGUAACAACAACUCAAAAGAAGGAAGACCAUUUUUGGAAGUCAGAUAUCAAACGUUUCUCUGGUGAAGAUUAUAUCCUUGAGAAUAGAUCCCGUGGUGGAGAAAGAUCCAGUAAUGUGGAGGACAAUAUCUUUAGCUCAGAAUGGCAAGAUGAACCCUUUAAAGUUGAUUCCAGUGUUGGCAUUGAUUCAGCAACUAGUAGAGUAUCUUAUGAUCAUCAUGAAUUUGAUAGCGAUGUAGAGUAUUUAGUACAGCCGUUCCUCAAGAAUUGUUCCUCAAAAGAAAGGUUUCUAUGUGAGAGGGAUUUGUGUGUGGAUGAUGGGUCCAGAUAUCAAAAUGAUGGCUUCGGGAACAAGAGAAGGCGGGGCGGAUCUUAUAACUGUGUACGAAUUCCAGAAAUUGAUGGCAGCAAGGGUUUUGAUUUCUUUUCAAGGACUUUGUGGCCAGAAAAGGAAUCUACUGCUCGGCCCUUGACCAGAGUUGUAACAAAAUUUGACCUGCCUACAGAGUUCAAUUCUUCGUCAAGACCUUUAAUAAAGUCGCUCCCACACUAUGAGGAGCUGUUUUAUGAAGAAGGUUCAGUUAUUGAUGUAGAGAACCUUGGUUCCUGCCAAAAGACCUUAAAUAAUGAUUGGUGCUCUUUGACCUCCCUAUCCCAAAACACCUAUUUGGAUUUUGAACCUAUCUCUGAUAUUAAUGCAGUUUAACGGCAUUAUAGAUAUGUUAAAAGGGCAACUAAUAAGUAUUUUGUGGAUAGUGAAGAAAAGAACUGCACAUUUAGUUAUGAUAUAAUAUCAAAGAGGUCCUUCUGAGAGCACUGCACUACAUAUAAAGACCAUGGACUGGAUGUUAGUGAUUAUUUAGAUUCUGGAAAAUUCUUUCAACUGCACAACUUAGAUGGUGAGUUUUCUCUUGAAUGCCCAGAUAUAUUAGCUGAUGAGACGGAUUGGUCAUGUUUGCAUCCGUGCAGCAAAGAUAACAAGGGUACUGACUUGUAUAAAAUACAAAAACAUAAGUUUAGAGUUCAAGAUUGUCUACAAAAUCAAUCUUCCAUAGGAAGAUUGAGAAGAAGCCAUUCUACUCCACCAUUUUAUAGAAGCCAGAGGAGGUACUUUACAUUAAGUCAUCCUUUGACAACAACAGCCAGCAAACCUGAUGCACAAACCUUUCGUGAUGCACCUACUUAUCCAGGUAUUAUCAUGUGAUUUUCCCUUUAAGCCUUGGCAGCUGAUAUCGAUUCAGACUAGCUAAUACACCUUUUUGUGCAGAAGUUAGCAAGAUGAAGGAUCUCCAUCAACCUUCUGGUGGUUACCAUCUAAAUUUGAAGCCAAGUUCUGUUGAGGAUUUCCCACUAGACACCAGGUACUUGAACUUCAAUUAUUUUCCUGUCACAUCAUAUUUUCUUUUAAUUUAUUGACUUUAUCCUCUCAACUGUCAAAUUUUCUUUCAGGGCAGAUAUUGAGAAAUCUCAAGAUAUAGAGGCUGGUGUAAACAAGAGUCACGAAGUUGAAAUGUUUGAACAGUCCACAUGUUCUGAGAUUCAAGCUACUGCUCCAAUUAAAGGUAUCUUGUAUGUUUUUUUUUCUUUUUUUUUUUUUUUUUUUUUUGUUUGUUUUGAACAAACUAUAUUAUCUACACUAAGGGGGAGGGGGUUUAGCAAUAAUGAGGUUCAAAUUCGCCUUUGGUGAGAAUUAAACCUAAGACCUCUCACUUACAAGUGAAGAGGAAUACCACUUGACCGCAGUACUCAGUGGCCGGUAUCUUGUAUGUUUAUUAUGCACCAAGUGCAAUCAAUACUUGAAUGCUUAUUAUAUAAAAUUACUUCUGAGCCAAGAUGGGAUCAUCGCUAUAAUUGCUUGCCACAAAAGUUUGCAUCCACUUAAUCAACUUGUAAUUAUAAAUGUAAUUUUGUAUAAUGCAGAACUCAAGUAAAACACAAGCUCUUCAUGAUCAAAACAUACUCAAUCUCUUCUGGAUUCUUGCUUCUCUCAGCUGACUCGUUAGUUCCUCAAUCUAUCAACAAGAACUGCCUCAGUGAUUGCGGAGUUCUUCGGCAGGUGGAUAAGAAAUAUAUUGCAGUUAUGGCCGGUACUACACUUGCUGUUAUUGACCAGGUCCGUUUGUUGUGUAUUUUUUUAGGGUGGUAUUUAAGUUUUGGUUUGGGACUUGUGCUCUUCUGUAAGUCAGCACUAAGUUUCUUGUUAAAUAAGGGGCACCUACACUUCACUUAUAGAUUACAGCAAUAGGUAUCUGAUCACUUUCUUUACUUGCCCAAAAGUGGCCUUCAGAGAGGAGGAAAUAAACUUAGGAUGUAAGUUUAUAUAUGAAAAUAAGAGAAAAUUGUAUGUCUUCAAAAUAGAUGCAUAAGCGUAAAUAUGCAGUACAUGCAGCUGUUCAUAAAACAUUGGCUACAUUCAUACUAAGUGUCACAUGCACACGAGUGCAGCUGGAGUUCCAACUUUGACCGCAAUUCUUUUCUACAGCAUACUGCAGAUGAAAGGAUUCGGCUGGAGGAGUUGCAUCAGAAGGUAUUAGUAUCUUUCCUGUUUAAACUGUUGGAAAUGAUGUUGCUACUUUGGCUUACAUGACUAGUUGGACUACCUAGGUGUUAUCUGGAGAAGGAGAAGCAAAGGCAAUUACUUUUCUGGAUGUUGAACAAGAGUUGGUAUGUAGUGUAUCUGAUGCUAAAUGAAGUUUAAUGGUUGCAUUCCUUGACUCUUUGGUUCUUAUAAUCAUAAUUCAGGUGCUGCCAGAGAUUGGCUACCAGUUACUGCAUAACUAUGCUAAACCAGUUGAAGGGUGGGGUUGGCUCUGCAACACACUUGCUGAAGGUUCAGGGUCCUUCAAGAGGUAUUUUACGUCCCGGCAUAUUUCUUAUUUAAUAAUAAUUUAUCAUUUACAAAAGAGUAUGAUGUCCAGCAUUAUAAAGUUAUGAAUAUAACACUAACUUGGUAGGCUUCUGCAUUGCUAAUUUGAGUGUCGAUAGAUAAACUCUACAAGAAUAUUGGGCUGCACCUAAGGAUUUGAAAUUCUUGUAAUAGCAAUCUUGAGUUUUCGGUUACACAAUUGUGUUAUGAUUCAGCGUCUAACGUGCAUGUACUAGUGUUUGAUUUCACUGUUAUGUAUUCAUCUAUUAAAUGUUGUUGCUUCUUUUACCUCAUUUUGCUUUUCAUGCUUGGUGUUACAAAAACGUGAUAAGUUAGACACUACUUACAUGGUUCAUUUAUGAAAUUGUAUUGUAUUUUCUGAGACCUUAUUAUUUGUGUACCCUGAAUUUUGGGAUUUAACCAUUUGGCAGGCAUUUGAAUCUCCUCCACAGGCAGCCAACAGCUGCCACACUUAUUAGGGUGAAGCACCCAUCACUUCUCAAUUAUAACUCUUCCAUUCACCUUUUUUAUUAGUUCAAAGCAUGUUGAACCAAGAUCAUUUACCCAUCUCGAUUUCAUUUGUUUAGUUCGAAGUAAUGACGAUAUGAAACUGCCUCUCACACGUUCACGUUAAAUGGGAUGCAGGUGCCCUGCAUCCUAGGUGUCAAUUUAUCUGACUCGGAUGUUAUGGAAUUUCUUCAGCAGGUAAUGUAAAGCGUGCCUUUAAUUCUAGGACUUCUUUCCUCUCUUCUUGUGUUGAAUUUCUUUAUCAUUCCCCAACUUUAGUUAACUAAUGCCUGACACAGCUUUCUGCUCAAUCUUCAGCUUGCUGGUGCAGAUGGAUCAUCCACAACGCCGCCAUCAGUUCUUUGAAUCCUAAAUUCUAAAGCAUGCAGAGGUAAAUCUGAACCUCAAGGCUCUCCCUUGAGGCAAACUAGCCUUGUUCGAAUAUAUGGACCUAAAGAUUCUUAAACUUGGUGCCAUUAAGGCCUUUCCACCGAGUGUAUUUUCAUUCACAAACUGGAAAGUCAACCUUUGAGUUGGUAUAAUUAUACUGACAAAAUAACCUUUUACUGUUUUUACCUCUUUACACAGUGCAUGCCUGAUAUCAAAUUUCCAGACAAGUUUUUCUUACAUAUGAAUUUAGUGCUUGUAUAUAAAUAAUUAUUUAUUUAUAUAAUUUCCUUCUCUUGUUAGGUGCAAUUAUGUUUGGGGAUUCCUUGCUUCCUUCCAGAGUGUAACCUCAUCGUUGAAGAGCUAAAGCAGACUUCUCUAUGUUUCCAAGUAAGUGAUCUUUAGAGGCUAAGAGACAGCUUAUGGAUGUGAGUGUGAAUUUGUAGUGCCUGGGAGAGGCUUUUAUGUUGGCUUAUCGAAAAACUAUGAAAAUUUUGUAUUUCAGUGUGCUCAUGGUCGACCAACAACUGCCCCACUUGUCAACUUGGAGGCGUUGCAUAAGCAAAUAGCUAAGAUUGCAUCGUUGAAUGUUGACGCAGAUCAUUUGUGGCAUGGUUUAUGUCGAGAUGAACUUAGUCUUGAACGUGCAGAAAGACGAUUAAACUUGGCUAGCAGGUAGAGUGAUGUCGAUCCAAUUUUGGUCCAGAGUCAUACUGCCCGGUCCCGCCUGUUCGGAAUUGACACAUUCAAGCUGUAAAUUUGUUCGCAUUCUAUACCUAGUGUAAGCAUGCUCAAAAAUUGAAGCCCCAUUAAAGAAAAACAAUGAUCGAGCUUUUUCAUCAGAAGAAUGAUGAUUCUGUUGUGUGAGCGCUUGAUUGAUCAUGUAAUUUGCUUUCUUCACAUAAUAUCAAUUAAUUUUUAAUUUUCGUUUAAUCAGUCUGGUCUCUACGAAGGGCUACGACAUUCUGUCAUGUAAUCUGCUGUCACCGGGGCUUGUGUUCCUUUGUGUCUACAUCACUCAUUGUGCGAGUAAAUUCCGGGUUUUCACGAAAACACAUAUUCAUGAUAUCUGUGGGGCACCUGGGAUUUUUAAUCAACUUGUGGUUGGUCUAAUCUUUGGUGUCAAGGUAGGCAUUUGGUAAGCAACGAUUUCAAUCAUCUCUCUUGAAUAAAACUCAAAUGUUAUCUACCAAUUUCGGAACUUAUUUGGCUCCAAAUAUAACAAAGUGAGAAACAGGGCCAGGGAAGCAGAAGCGUAAACUCGAAUAAAGAACGAGGACAAAUUUUGAAUUUACAUUGAUUUUGGCUACAAUUAAUUGAAUCAGCAGAUUGUACAAUGUGAUUUGUGUAACUGAUUGCAACAGGAAUCCCUUUGAAUCUUGUUCGAAUCAAAAUUUUCUCCGUUCAUCCUCCGAGUCGUAUCAAUGCGAACUCUAAACAACCAAGUGAUCAAAGAGGAUGCAAUUAGCUCUGCAAAUUAUUCUGCGUUACUUGAGCAAUGGAGGUUUCUAAUGCACAAUUGAAUUAAUCAUCUCCAUCAACCAUCUUCCGUACAUGUGUUUGAGCUUCCUUUAGUACCAGUGGCAGCGCACAAGGCCUUCCAGAUGGGCACCAACAUUUUCAUAGGCGGACGCAAGUCCUGGAAAACAAAGUCAACUUUCAAAAGCCAAGUAAUAAAUAUAAGAUCGGCAGUUUCACCACAUUUAUGCCUCCUAAUACCUUGCGCCAAGCAAUAGCAUGAAUUGUACCUUAAAAACUAACACCAAUUCUGCUUCCCCGUGCACAAUCAAAGACAGGCUCCAGUAACAUGUAACUGGAGUCACACAUUCUAGUAGCACAGGUUUCAAAAUCUUGUCCAUAGGAACGAACCGGCGAAUAACCUUUCCACUAUAAGAGUAAAACACGGAAGGAAAAGAAAAGAGACUAUUGGAAAAACUGAAAAAGCACGGAACUUAAUCAACAAGGAAUACCCACAAAACAAAAAUAGAAGCUACCUCGCAUAGUGAGUUUCUAGUUGAACUCCAAAGGCUGGCAUAAUCACUACGGACUCUGUCAUUAAUACACUAAACAAGGUGAGCACAUGAAGGUGAACUAACACAGGAUGUACCAAUUCAGAGGACAAAAAGUACCAUCACUUGGGUGCUCACCUUUCUCAACACUCUUCUGAAGCAACUUUACAAGGAAUGCAUUUAAAAGGAGACUCCAUAAAACGAUGACAACUGAUUUCUCCUGUUAUUCAUAUCAUCGUUAUGUUAAGUUCCUGAGUUAUGAUGGAUUUAUAUAUAACCAAUAACAAAGAAAACAGACAUAAAAUUAAGAACAAAAUUAUUAUCACGAACAAGUUUCAUCAUCAAUAAACCAAUCCGAAAUCCUACAAUGGUGAAUGGCAACUAAAAGUCUCUAACCAAACUAAACUCAAGUUCCUAAUAUCCUAGUUAAGCUUGGAGCCUUGGAUGUUGGCCUAAUAAGUUGGUAGACAUAAAUUAAGAGGAUAAAAGGCGUACCUUAACCAAGAAAAGAUAGAAGGCGGUAGCUAGAAUAACCAGAGAAAAGAAGUAUCUGAAGAAACCCUUUGCACCACUCUUUUUUACAAUGAUGUGGUGCACGUCAACUGCUUCACAAGGCCACUUACAGUCAUGUAAAUACGUAUAUUUCGAACUAGUUAUAGAUGAACGCAUAUUCCCCCAAACUAAUGAUUCAUAUAAUCGCCCCUUUAUAGCUUCAUCUGCAUAUUCACAAAAGAAACAAUUACUAAUAUUGCAGGGUUGGAAGAAAACUUUUUCAGGAUAAUUGUGUCAUUCAGCGAAGCAAUUGUUACAAACAAUAUUCUAAAAAUUACUCUAAUAUACAGCGAGGGUGAUUCAAACUAGGUUGCAACGGGGCAGGCACGAUGUCCAACUGACGUAACUCACAACUGCAUCUUUCAGUGAAGCUUAAUUUAACAUGAUAGGGUUUGUUUAUUUCACACUGUAAAGCUCACACCUUUAAAACAAUGGCUUAGCUACAUUUUCGAAAUCAAACAAUUUGAAAGCAUUUCCAACAAAUACAUUGCUGGAUUUUUGCCCAAAUUUUCCAUGAAACAAUUAAAAACCUACAAAGAUAAACCCUAUUUUCACAAAUUGGUAAAAAUAAAAGCUUGGCGAUUUCUGUGGAUUAGGUACUGCAUUGACAUUGGCCAACACAAUGCCGAAUCCAUGGCAAUUACGGUUUGAAGUUUGCACUGAAUUGGGAAUUUUUUAUAUGCCCGAAAUCAACUUACCCGAGACGAAGUCCUCUUUCAGCCAGCAAUGGCGAUCGGAGCUAAGGCCUAGAAGCCUCUCAAAUCCUCUUCCUCCUGCCCUUUUCUGCAAACCCUAAUUGUGAAAUCAUGGAAGACGACGACUGCGAUGCGCAGGUAGAAGUGAUGCGUUCGAUCAGAAGAGUGAGUCUGCUGAAAACCCUAAUUUUCGAAAAUUGAUGGAGCUGGCGGAGCACUCAACCUUCGUACUUUCAGCUGCCAAUUAGUGUAGAGAAUACAAACCAACUGGGGAAGUUGUAUGAUGGUAAAGUUAAUUAAACAAAUUACUUUCAUGGUAAAAAUUAAUUUAACCCAUGGCUUAUUAAUUAAAAUGUUAUCUGAAACUACCAUUUAGUCUCAAUUUAUCCUUUAAAACUGAUUUUGUCUCACUUUGCCAUAUGAAAUCUAUAUUUUAAACCUUUUUAGUCUCACUUCACCUCAUCCCAUUAAAGAAAUGUUAAAAAUAAAAAUAUAUUAAACAUUUCACUUUUUACACACCGCAUGAAAUAUGUAAGUUAUCAAAGUUUUCAAGCCUUUUUAUUAGCUUUUCUUUUUUUUUUAAAUUCUAUUUUGUGCGACUGAUCUAAGAUCAUUUUUUUAUGGGUGAAACUCAUGGUUAGGCCAAUUUCAGUUAGAAAGAGAUAUUGGAAUAGGCUUAUCAUGUUUUCUUUCUGUCGUAAUGAGUAUUUUCAAGUGCAAAGUUUACAUUGUCCAGUAUAUGGAUGCCUUACAAGUGAAAUGAACAGACUUGUAACCCUUAUUUUAGUUGAUAUAAUGAUUUUGUAGUCAGAAAUUUUUCUAUUGAUUGAAUAAUUUAUUUUAAAACAAACCCCAAAAGUCAUGGGUUUGAAUUAUAGUUGUCAAAAUAAAAUUAAGAUUAGUUUGUAGACUAGAGGUAAAUAGAUGUUUAACAAAUAAAAAUAUUUAAAAUAUCCUUUAAUUAACAUUUCUUUAAUGGAAUGAGGUGAAAUGAGACCAAAAUAGUUUAAAAUGUUUGUUUCAAGGGGGUAAAAUGAGACAAAACCAGUUUCAGGGAUAAAUUGAGACUACAUGGCAAUUUCAGGGGCAUUUCAAUUAAUAAACCUUGACCAAUUAACAAUAGUUAUAUAACUUAUAUUAGUAUAAUAAUAGUUAUUAAUGGAUUCUUAUCGACAUACGAGAAAUUUUUCAAUCUACCGGAAACAUAACCCGGUACACCAAAUGUCAUUAUUUCUAAGAUAAACUCAAAUUCCCCCAACUCGAUUUUUUUUUUCUUUUUGUCAAAAUUUUGUAACUCAAAUGAGUAUAUCAAUUUUCUUUUGUUUAUAUACAAAUGAUAUUAUAAAUUAUGCUAAUCUACGAAAUAGAGAUUCAAGUUCAAGUUCAAAAUGAGCACACAAACUGUCUUAGUCAACGAAUCUAACCCUCAUUCUAUUAGUUACUGUUACAUUUUGCCAUUUUAGCAAGGGUUUGUGCUUAAGCCUUCCUCGUAAUUACAUAAGAGGAGAUUAAACUCGUAGUUACAGUGAAAGAGAUCGAAGAAUUGACAAUACAAGUCUUUAAAUAAUGCAUUAUAAAUGUAAAUAGAAAUACCAUCUAUUUAAACCAUAUUUUGUAAAUCAAUCUCUUAUUAAAUUAUUACUUAAGUGUUAAUUAAUGCAGAAAAUAAUUGACAUAUUUUCAUAAUUGCACCAAACCCCUCAUGCUGGUGAAUGCAAUGAGUGUAUAGAACCUUCAAUUUCAAACACAAUGACCGGCUUUUCUCUUUUAAGACCAAACUAUAUGUCGUCAUUUCCAUCAUUCCAUCCCCCCAACUAACACAAACACCUAACCUUUCCUUGCAAACAAAGAUAUAAUAAAAUCAUAAAUUAAGCACGCAAAUGCAGAUUAAGCCAGUUGGCAAGAAUAGUGUGCAUGUCCUUUUAUACAAAGAUUUAAAUUUGCCUCCACACAAAUAAAACUUGUUUAAAUUAUCGCCUUGCCAACCAAAAAAGGAAAAGAAAAUAAGUGCAUGAUCUAUUUUUGGCUUCCCAAAAGAAAAUAUUUAAUGUUCAUUCUACUAACAAAGCAAGAUUGAAUAGCCAAGGCUCAAAACACAAAAACCCCAAAGCAAAUUUGCAUGUCAUACUAGUAUAAUAUAUAUCACUAUAUCUAUCUAUCUACUCUCCAUUCUCCAAGUUAAAUUCAGUUGGAGCCACAGCUCUCUGCUAGGGUUAGGCUUGCUAUGUCUCCAUAUUCAAACAGGACCAAACUCACUCUCUCACUCAGGGAUCUACUUCACAAAAUAGCUCAUCAAACAGAACAAAAACUCAGACAUUCCCUAAUGAGCGUCAACUCGUCAGGCCGUAGUCUUCUGCCUCCUGAAAAAGAUUAUAAUUUCCGGCUUCCAUCUUUCCGGUCAUCAGCUCAUGCCCUGAAAAAGUAGAUGCCAUUUGUGUUAAGAGUUUCACAAAUCUUAAAAGUUCCAUACAUAUUUUGCAAGUGUGUAAAUGAGAGAGCAAGGGAAAGGGAGAGCACUUGUUUAACAUCGUUAACCAAGUCAAUUACCAAAAUGCACUCCUCGUCUUUGUUCAUCCAAAGCCAAAAAAAUCAAAUUACAGCCGUUGCUAGCUCAUUAAACGUUUCUAGCCAAUUCUGUAACUUCAAAUUUAGGGGUGCGGCAUUUGUCUAACAUUCUACGCUAUUCACUAGACUAGGGAAUGAUAAAAGCUCUAAUCAAACUGAUAGAAACGUAUAAAUGGUUAAACAAGUAAUGGCUAAUUUGGUUCAUGGUGAAAGGUGUUGUAAGAAUCAGAGAGCUAAAACGAAUGAGGUUAAGAAUUCUGUGAUAUUCUUCUGCAAGACAUAUGCGUGCGCAAACUUAGAACCUAUUUAGAUUUUCAGCUGUUGGUAUUUUGUUUGCUUGUUGAGUAUCUUGCGGAAAUGAUAAAUUAUUGACAUAUCGGAUGGGAAGCCAAGAGCCAGAAGUAAUAUAUGGUUAAUAUGAUAACUUACUUGAGUUUGCAAGCACUUCAUCAUAGAAUGACAUUUCGCUUAAAUGCCUAGAACUUCUUAAACCGCUGUGUGACGGGAACAUUUUAUCCACCGUAGUGGCAUGUGGAUCCAAGAAAUGCAGGUCAGAACUUAUCUCCGGGCUCGGGAAGCACAAAUCUUCGGUCCUUUGAGCUGAGUGCUGCUGGGACUGAAACGUUUCCUCGGGUCUAGUUUUCUUGUCCUUGGGUGAGUCAACUUCCGUCUCCACUUCUGAUUCAGCAUGGUUACAUGCUGCAUUUUGCUGCUUCCUUUUUGAUCGAGCGCGCCUGUUCUGGAACCAAUUGUACACAUUUGUUUCGGAAAUUUGUCCGUGCUGGCUCAGCUCAGUGGUGAUCUCCUUGAUCUUCUGCUUGCUCGGAGUUCCAUUCCCUUGCUCGAAUAAACGCUCAAGAAUUUGGAGCUGCACUGGUGUUGGCGUCCACCGCUGCCUGGCGGUAAUUUUGUGGCCGGUGGAUGUCAUCAGCGGAUCGCAGUACAGAUUUCCCAUCCUGACUCCUGAGAAAGCAAAUGCAGAUGGUUUUGUUCAAAAGCAUAUAUGGUGUCAUUUCAGAUACCCUAAACUAAUAAAUUGUCCUCCUUCUUGAAAAAAUGUAUUAGUGAAUGAGCAAAUGUAUUAGUAGAUAUUUAUUUAUGUAUUAAAUAUUAAAUUUAGUAAAAUUAAAAAAACUGCCUUGGCGCUAGGCCCUGUCCGCCGUCCAAGUAGCGUCUAUCACCUUUUAGAACCUUGCCUAAAGUGCAGACGUGGGGUAGCCAUAUUGACUAUGACAGAUGUUUAAGGUAGAAUAUUACUUGUACAAAAUAAAAACCCGAAUCAGUUCAAUUUCCAGAUCACAAAGAGCUAAAUCUGACCAAACAGAGGAACCCAAAGAAGUGAAAUUCAACAUCUCAAGUUAGGAGCUUUUACCUACGCCACCAAUUUCGGAGGAUGAAAUUCUUAGAACAAACACCAGAAGAAGAUAGAGAUCAAUGGUAAAAAGGACCACCCAAGUGAGUAACCCUAAAGAAAAGUGAGAAAUGAGACCGCAAGAACUUUCCUGGAACUGGAAUGUCUCAAAUGAACGACCGCCAGGUGGAAAAGUUAUAAUACAAAAAAGUGCGAGUGGCUUGAAAAACCGUCACCGUGGCAUGUCAAAUAUAGAUAAGCCUUCAACUCCAAGGAGGACAAACUGCCGGGCAUGAAAUGAACUGGAAAACUACCCAAAAAAAAAAAAAGGCCAAAGCUUUGGGGAAAAAUUACAAAAAAAGAAGAAUCCUUCAUUUGGAAAACAACAAAUCAGAAAAAAAAUCAUCACAGAAAACAAAGAAAUGAACCAAAAUGACCACUGAAAGAACCCACAAACAAGAACCAUAUUGCAAACAAAUGAAAAGUUGGAAGGACUAAAAGAGAAAAGUGAGAAGAAAAGAGGGACCUGCAAGAUCUUGCUGGGAAGUGAGGUUCUUGUGCAUCUCAACAAGCUGCUCACAGAUGGUGGCAUAAACUGCAAUCUGUUUCCUCAGAGUCUCCAACUGCUCAUCAGUCAUCACCUUCACAUACAUCACUCCUCCAUUCCCAUUAUUCCCACUCCCGUUCCCGUUCCCCUCCAUCUCUUGCUGCUCUUUCAGUUGCUGCUUCUCCCACUCCAUCAUCUCUCUCUAUAAAUUUCUCUCUCUAGACUCUAGAAUCCUCGGUCUGUGUGUGUUGAGAAACCGAAACAGCGAUGCUUGUCAAAGCAGGAUGGAGAACACAAAGAUAACGAGAAAGUAAAGCGAGGAGACGAAAAAAGGGAGAGAAAGUAUAUAGACGGGGGCCAGAGGAUGUUGAAAAAUCAAAAAAAAGAAGGAAAAUAAUUGGUGGGUUGGUGUAUUGUUCCCAUGUUUGUACGUUAGUGCAGUCCUUUUGCUAUACGUGAAUGGAUACUUGUUCAUAUUCGCUCAUUAAAUUUUGAAAUUUUUUUAGCACAUAUCUAAGCCGUUAAAAUCAAUAAUAUAUGUCAUGUAUUUUAGAGUUUUUGACGUUGGAAUUCACGUUUGGAUCCUUAAGAAAUCUUUAAUUGAUGGUAAAAAUGAUUUACCUUCCAGUUUAACCUAUGAUAUUCUUUAUGAAAAAGUAGGUUUGAAGCAUCACAACUCAUCCUAUCAUUAAGGUUUGAGUAAAAUGCAACCCAUUAAUUGUGUUUAUUUGCUUAAUUUCAUCAUAAAGGAUCCCAUCAAUAAAAAGAUAUCAUGAAGAGAUUUAAAAGAUUAACACGAGGGAUUUAAAAGAUAUAAGUAAAAUGUCACUUGGAACUAUAGUCUACUGGUAUUUCUCUUCAUUUAUAAGCGAGAUAUUUUAGGUUGGAUUAUCGCCAAAGAAUAAUUUGAACCACAUUAUUGCUAUCUAACUGUGAGGUUUAGCCCAUUCCUCUACCUCUUUAGUGUAGAUAAUAUUAUUUAUUAAAAAAAAUUAGUUUAACACAAGGGAUAAACAUGAGAAAAUUUAGACAAAAAAUAUUUAUUCUUCUUGUAGUUGGAUUUUUUUUUCAAAUGCAUUGAGAUGAUUUUUGCAAAUGUAUAGUUAUUUAUAUUACUUCAUUACAAAAUGUUAUUAUUACUUUAAGCUACACUAUCUGACAUAUCCCGACUUGGAAUGUCCAUUAGAACUCCGAAUCGAGCUAUGAUGGCCGACACUUAGAAGGUGACGAAGCCAUAAAGUGUGAUGAUGUGGAAAAAUAUGAAUAAAUUUAAACCUAAGAAUGCCUAAAUACCAGGGUGCGCUGGUGAGCGGGAAUGAAUCCCCUUCACAUGUGACGUUAGAGCAUUAGUAAGUACAGUAUAAUGAAUUAAGAAUCAUACCAUCAAAGGUAAUCUUCAAUACCAAGACUUGCCAUGAAUCCUCGACGAUAAGAAGCUCAACUAAUAAAACCUAGAAGGUGAAAACCAAACAAGGGUGAGUGGCCCUGGAAAUACAAUUUUUAUAGAAACCAUAUAAAACUAUGGAUCAUCAUAUAUGGAUCUCAUCUAGGAAGGUACGUACAAGAUCAGCACAUAUGCUCCAAAAAUGCUAACUCAUUUUUGCUAACUCAUCACAUAUAUCAUUACAUAUGCUAACUCAUCACAUAUAUCAUUACAUAUGCUAGCUCAUCAUAUAUUUCAUCACAUAUGCUAGCUCAUCACAUAUUUCAUCACAUAUGCUAGCUCAUCACAUAUAUCAUUACAUAUGCUAGCUCAUCACAUAUUUCAUCACAUAUGCUAGCUCAUCAGUCGGGAGUCACCUCUAAUGACCUGUACAACUUAUCCAUAUCUCAAUAAGUAUACCUGCACACGAGUCAGAACCACAUAAAGUAGUCUGUACGACAGGACUGGGUGUAAAUAAAUACGCUCGAGUGCUACGAUCACGUAAAGACUGUGUGAAUAAUCACGGGUCACCUACGAGUCGGAAUCACCUAUAGUGGUCUGUACAACAGGCAUGUGCACCUACCUUGGAUCCAAGGUGAGCGUAAGGUGCGGGAGGUGAACAUCACAUGAAGGACUGUGGCCUGGCCAUGGGCAGGAGCACUAACACCGGGGUGUAGGGUUAUGAACUCUAAAUGCAUCUCAUCAUAUCUCGCAUACUAAAGCAAUCUCAUAUGACAUAUACAACUCAUAGACAACAUGUACGACAAUGUCGAAGUUGCCUAAAACAUAAAUGUGAUCAUGCCACAACCCAAUCAUUUCAACUAAUACCAUAACUCACCUGAACUUACCUGAGUAUUCUACGUUCAUCUUUGUACUUCAAAACAUUCACAAUAAUUAUGUGCAGGAACAUAUACAUAUGGAUAUGCCAUAGUGCAAGUCUAAAACUUAACCAUAUCAUAGUAUUUUUCCAAUAUAUAAAUAUAUAUAUAUAUAAUGUGGUGUAAAAUACACAAUCUAUAAUGCCCUACGCCCGAAUUAUUUAUUCUCGGAAAUAAUUAUCGAGGAUAAGUCCAACUAAACACUAGUUUAAUUAACUAUCGUUACUUAUGUUUCCUUAUUUCAAUUUCUUGAUUCCUUCCACAUUGAUUUAUGACCAAUAUCCAAUUACUAAAAACAUAAGGUUAAAUCUCAUAUUUUCACCAAUUUCCUUCACAUUGCUCAAUUCCCAUACAAAUUUUUUGUUUCAAAUAAUGUAUGGCUGAAUCUAACGUCUAGUUAGACUGCCUACGUACCCUAAACAGGGAUCAGCCAUUUGUAGUUCACUUCAGUACUUCUAAGCAUUCACAGUAAUUAUAUGCAAUAAUCAAUUUAUAACCGUUUGUGAAAUUAUCAAUCAUAUAUAUAUAUAUAUAUGUAUAUAUGUAUAUAUGUAUACGUAUACGAUAGGAAGGAAAAGACUCAAUCACCUGGAGUUUACACUACAACUCCCUAGCACACACAAAGAGGUGUCACGAACGAUCGGUGCCUAGAACAAUUAUCAAAUCACAUCUCAAAAUUCUUAUCAAUAGAAUACAUAAUUUACAUAAAACAUAUCACUACGUAAUUCAAUUCAAAAGAUCUGCAUCAUGGAUUUCCGAUCCGUUGCUUCCAAAGAUCCACAUUAUACUUGUAGAACAACAUCCUAAGGUUUCAUUACGAUCCAACGGUUUGAUCUCCGCCAAUUGCCAAAACCAAAUGGCGGUCAACAUUUUAUUUUAUGAACUUACAACUCCAAUUCGAGAAGAUCCGUUAGUCGAUUCCCAAUCUGUAAGUUUCUAUAGUCCUCAAAUAUUACGUACUAUAACAUAUUAAAGUUUGGUGACGAUCCAACGGUCGGAUCGUCGAUUCAUAUUUUUACCAAGUAACGUAUCGUAAGGGAAUUUAGUUUCAAACGAUCAACCUACGUUAUAAAAUUUCCAAAACUGAACUCAAGGCCUCUAAUUUAGCCUAAGAAUGACAUUGGCGGGCCCCUGGCCACGCACCGACGCACACGCCGCCGUGGGUGGCAGUCGGCCGCCCAAACUCGCCGGAAAAUCCAACUAUUUCCAAAAAUUACCAAAAAUUGCAGGAAUGAAGAUCUCAAUGAGUAGAGCAAACUUUAUACAUGUGGCCAAGUCCAAUUUGGCCUGGAAAUGCUCCAAUUUGCCUCGAAUCCGUCGGGAACCCUAGAAGUGGGUGUUCUUGAUUCGUCCCCAAUUCGACUCUGACGCUCCAACCAAUGAUUGGGCAUUGUUCUAGGCUUCAAGGGAAGUCUAUUGGUAGUGUCAAUUGGAAUAAAUUGCUUCAGAAAUGGGAGAAUCGACACAAGACCCGUCGGUGUCACCAUUGCCAAAUGUCACGGAUUUGACCCAAUUUCCAUCGAAUCUUGAUAGAAGAAUGAAGGGGAAGAGUGAUGCGAAAUAUAUAAGCACACAAAUUUAACCCUCUUUUUGACAAUUGUAGUAUAGAUGUAAGCAGGGAUCGUUCUAAACCGGGGAUUAGGAGGGAUUGCUAAAUCACUUGAAAACUAAUUUAAAAACAUAAAAACAAAGUUAAAAAUGUAAACAAAAGAUUUUAAAACAAGAAAGUAAAAAGGGGAUUUGAGUUUGGUGAAGUUGAAAGUAAAAACGAAUAAACUAAAAACUUAAAUAGAUUUUAAACAAAUUUGGGUUGAAUGGAUAAUGGAAGGCUAGCUAAGGGGUUCUUCUCCACACAUGUCUUGCUUGCAUACACAAUGAUUUCCAAUUGCAUUUCAAUAACUUAUUAAUUCUCAACGCCCCAAAUUAACCGUGAAUUGCACUAAUUAACCCUCAGUUUUUCCCACAAGUUAUUGGGUUGGAUGAUUGCAUACGACAACCCAAAACAUUCCCUACAAGUUCCCUACAUGAAUUGCAUAAUAGAGAUACAAGCAAGAAUCAUUAAGUUCUAUGAAAAACAUAAGCAUUGACGAGGCACUCGUUACUAUGAUUUGCAUGAAACUUAUGCCAAGGAUUUACUUAACACAAUCGUGACUAGCGACUUUUACUACUCAUGAAUAUAAGUUCAUAACGAUUAGGUGAAAUUCCCUUAUACUCUAGCAUCAUAUUUAUGCAUGCAAACUAAGUAUGCAUCCCUAAUCAACAUACAUAAACAUGUUAUCAAUCAAAUAGAUAAGUAAAUCGAAUUCAUAACUUAUGAAACGCAAUUAAAAGUAAUCAAAUCAUAUUGCAAGCAUUAACAUGGUUUCGAAUCCCCCCCUAGCCAAGGGGGGGUUUAGUUCCUCAUUAUUACAAAACAAAGAUAAACAAAUUUAAACAUUGAAAAACAAAGGAAAGAAAGCACCUAAACGUUCCAACGAUCCAUGUUGGAUAGCAAGUGCGUCUAAGGACUUUUCUCCUUCUCUUUGCCGCAACAACAAGGUUGGAAUGAUGUUGAAGGGUUGGUUAUUUGGAGGAAUGGAUGGGAAGGGGUUUAGAUAUGUAGGAGAGGCAAAGAAAGGCUUGGAGAAUGGUUAAUUUCUGGAUGAUUUGAAUGAGGUUGCUGCCAUGGUAUUUAUAGGAAGAGGAUGGACAUGUUUAAUACAAAAAUCUGGUGGAAUGAAGUAGGUAAGGCAUGGCAAGGUGGAGAAUUGUUGGUGAGGGUAGGUUUUGAGUCAUCCACUCACAUGUCAUGGUGAGUUAAGCAUUGCAUCAUCCACUCAAAUGUCAUGGUGAGUUAAGCAUUACAUCAUCCACUCAAAUGUCAUAGUGAGAUAGGCAUUGCAUCAUCACUAAAAAAAUCUGGUGGAAGUAAAACAAAGGGAAGGCCACGGCAUUGAUGAAUUUUUAUGGGGUAUGCAUGGUUUUGAGUGAAGUUUUGGCCAAUCCUUCUAGAAAUUUAUCCCUUCUUGCAACUUGUAUUUGUUUCACCAGAUUUUUAGCAUGUUCCUCCUAGCCUCUUUUGUCUUCAAAUUCGUCCAUCCAUCUUGCUCAUAUCAUACAUAUGUAAUCCAUUACAAGCUCAAAACUGCUCCAAAAUGCACCAAAAUGCACUUUCUUGCUACCUUAGCCCUUUGGACCUACAAACACACGAAAAUGGCUUAAAGUACUAAAAUAACUAAGAACUAAUAACGUAAAUGCAAGAAAACUAGUUAACUAAGUCGCAUAAAUAUGCGUCUAUCAAAUUCCCCCACACUUAGCUAUUGCUAGUCCUCGAGCAAAAUAAAACAAAUAAAACAUAACCUAACCUUCCAACAUUUGCCUUAGGGAUUUUCAAUGCAACAUGACAUGCAAAAGAUCAUCAUAACCACAGAUUUUUUUUUCCCUACCCUUGAGCACAUACUUAAUCAAAGUCACCACAUACUAGUUCACAUAUAACCAAUUAAAACGAUGUUUUGAAUGUAGUAACAUGCCUUAGAGAAUUUGCUCAAUUCCUUACAAGAUACACUCUUAUUUUCACUCUGAUUUUCUGACUACUUACCCUACACUAGAUGUAUGUGAGAAGAUUGAUGUAAACAUGAAAACGAACACUCACAUAUGUUUAUAGCAAAGAAAGCAAUUUCUGGAGUUAUUAAGCAUGUAUAGAUAUGAUCUCAUGACUGAAAUGCUACUACUUAGAUGCGAGAACCAGGGACACCAUAUGCUCGUACCAAUCCCAAACUCCACAUAUUGAAACACAUAACACUCAAGAUUGAAGUUAAGGGUUGUAACGGGGUUAGGGGUGAUUGGCUAACAAUGAAAGGUAAGGAAACAAACGUUUUUAAAGCAUAAUAAGCAAAGUAAUGAAAUUGAUGCUUAGAAUUCCCUUUGAAUGCAGCAACUAACUUUAAACACAAUGGGGUUAUUCAUUCAACUUUUUAGGGCCGAUUUCAACUACAAACAACACUUGUGAGCCUUUCCUCACUUAUUUCAAACUCUUUUUUUUUUUUUUUUUUUCUUUUUUCUUUUCUAACCCGUGCCUUAUUACUUUCUUUUGGCACACAAAACAUAAAAAUCUCAUUCCCCCACACUUGUUUUCUGCAUAAGGACAAUCAAAAGGAAUUCAUUUUAAGUCAUGCUUCAUUAUGCUUUAAAAACAAGGGUAUGGAUAGUCCUAAUCUAGGCUAGGUAAGGGAAAUGUGGUUUAACAAAGAAAACAGGCUAAACAAGGCUCAACGGGGUUAAACUUAAACAAAUAUGCACGGGAUAAGCUUUUUGGCUCUAGUUCACUACACAACUUCAUCUUGAAUAUGUGUUAUGCAAAUCAAUGUCAUGCUUUGAAUGGAACGGGCAUAAGUUCUAGUAUUUGGAACUAAAUGAUGAAACGCCUUCUAAGUAGCAACCAAGCAAAGAAUGAUGAGAUCAUGCAACGACUUUAGAAAACAAAAAUGCACAGAUUAAUAACUCUCCAAAGAACGUAUUAGGCUCAAGUCUCUCAAGGUUGUAGUGUUAGUUUGAGUUCCUUCCUUCAAGCAUGUUACAAAAACUGAUUUUUUUCUUUAUGAUUACAUGUGAAUUCGUAAACUAUAACUAUAACCAAGCAUAAAUCAAGAGCAUAUCAAACUUCCAUCCAUGUUUAUAACUUUCUUUAACAGUCAUGCAAUUAAAAACCAAAUCCUCAUUAUUUGUGUUGGAAGGUACCCUAAGACACAAACAAACACACAAAAACAACUCUUUUUGGCUUUUUCAAAACAAUUUUUUUUUUUCAAAUUUUUGUCAAAUUUUCGGAUUUUUAUGUCAAAACAUACUAACAUGCUUAAAAACACACUAAAAACACUUAAAACAGCAAGAAACAACAUUGUAAGUGAUAGGUGAAUAAAAUCCCACGAAAAUCAUGCAACAGCAACUUGUUUACCCCCCCCCACACUUAAAUAUAACAUUGUCCUCAAUGUUUCAAACAUAAACUCACACGAAAAUCAUGCAACAACGAGGAAACAUGAUAAACAUGGCAAAGUAAAAGCAACAGAGAGGAGGGUUAAAGAACGCAAACACCUGGUUUUGGAGUCGGAAAUUCCUAGGUCUUCUUUAUUUCCAUGGGUUGCCUCCAUCACUAAUGAGAACUCUAGGCAUGCCAAACCUAGCAAAGAUAUUAGUUUUCACAAAAUCUGCAACAACCUUUGAAUCGUUAGUCCGGGUGGCUUUGGCUUCCACCCAUUUGGAAACAUAAUCAACAGCUAGCAAGAUAUAAGUGAAACCAAAAGAUGGAGGGAAAUGACCCAUGAAAUCUAUACCCCAAUGUCAGAAAACACUAUAAUGCAAAUAAAAAUAAAAUAAAUAAAUAAUAAGAAACAAAAUAAAGCAAUUGGACUGAAAACUUCCCUAGUUUGCAGUAAAACCAAGCGAUGACCCCCCAAGCUAAAAUUCUGCAAUCAACUUCAAGGGUGGAAAUAACCAAAAGUUCCUGCAAAGAAAAGAAAUAAAUCAGUUUAGUAACACAAGAAAAUAUAAAAAAAAUUGCAAACGAAAAAUUGAAAAUCACGAUAAAAGACAAUGAAUAGAACUAAUAAGUGAUCAUUGGUCGUGCUUGUUGACUUUCCACAGCUUUCCUCUUGAACAGGGUGACACUUAGCUUUUUACUUGCAAGUGAUGAUUUGAUGAUAUUGUACGGCGAAGCUUUGCUCUUUGGUGAUGUUGCAGUUCCUUAUUUGUUCUCCAAGCAGAUGUGGCAUCUUCUCUAGUUCUUCAGCUCGGACUCCUUCCGCUGGGAUGAUUGUGCAAGCUGCAUUCUUCUCUGCUUGUUUCUUCUGUACGUUGUCUCCACAUGCUGUUGGUAUCAUUUUCGCUUGCCUUAUCUGUUCUUCAGGUAGAUGUGGCAGCUUCUUUGGAAGUACAUCAGCAGUGGAAGACGAGUACUCGAGAGCAAUUUCUCCAUGUCCUGCAGGUUAGAACAAAGACAAGGAAAAGGACAUGGAGAAUGCAUGAUAUGAGAUACUCUUGCUUUCAACCUUUAUGAUAUGAAAUACUUUUGCUCUGGAUGGGUUGUUUACAGGGGUAUCCCAGGGAAUGAGGAAUACAGUGUGACUCGAGAGGGUUCUUUGGGAAUGCAUUCUCGGAGAUGAAGAAGUGCUGAGAGGGUUUGCCUUUGCUGUGGAAGGCAAAGGUAAAUACUUAUAAGACUUUUCUUCACAACCGGAACUAUUCUCUCACUCAUUGUCGGCAGCCGGUGGAUGGAUGAAUAGUACAAAUUACGCGUUUCUGACAAAGCUGCCCGUAAUUUCCGCAAAGCUGCCAGUUGCAUGUGACGAGUGACAACACGUCUGGACAAAUUGAUCUUUUGAAAUCCGGGGUUCGGCUCGUGGUUUCUGAGCAAGCCCAGCCUUUAAGAAAUGAAACGCCUCUUUUGAGAAAAGAAUCCGACUUUUGAGAAAGGAGCCCCGACUCUUCGAUUUGCGAGAGGACGCUUCUUCGAUUUCUGAGGAGCGCCUCUUUGAUUUCUUCUUUUCAUAGAGGCGUUAAUUUUGUUCCACAACACACUUGAGCUCCCUCCUGUAAACACUCCCUCCUGUAAACUUCCAAAAUCUUAAUCAGUCCGACUCUCUUCUUUCUUCACCACCUUCAGAAAAUGUCUGGCCCUUCCGAUCGUCGUUUUGACUUGAACAUUGGUGAAGAGGCAGCUCCGCCUUCACCAGACAACAUAUGGCGCCCAUCCUUCAUAUCCCCUACUGGUCCUCUUACCGUUGGGGAUUCGGUGAUGAAAAAUGACAUGACCGCUGCGGUGGUGGCCCGGAACCUUGUCACCCCCAGAGAUAACAGACUGCUCGCUAGACGAUCUGAUGAAUUGGCGGUUAAGGAGUCUCUGGCUCUUAGCGUGCAGUGUGCGGGUUCUGUGUCCAACAUGGCCCAACGCCUAUAUGCUCGAACCCGUCACGUUGAAUCGUUGGUGGCUGAAAUACAGAGUCUCAAAGAGGAGAUUAGAGGACUCAAGCAUGAAAAUAAACAAUUGCAUAAGCUUGCACACAACUAUGCCACAACCAUGAAGAGGAAAAUUGACCAGAUACAUGAAUCUGAUGGUCAGAUUUUACUUGAUCAUCGGAGGUUUGUGGGUUUGUUCCAACAGCAUCUGCCUUCGUCUUCUGGAGCAGCAUCGCGUAGUGAAGCUCCAACUGAUCAACCUCUGUUGCCUCUUCCUUCUGUGGCCCCGCCGACUGUUGAAGCACUGCCGACUACUGAAGCAUCACCUGACCAAUGAAUGCUAUUAGUUUACAUAUCAUUGUAAAAUAUUUUUACUUUAAUGUUUUUUUUUUUUUUAAAUCAAUGUAAAAUAUGUAAAUCAAUGUAAAAAAACCUUUGUUUAAUUUUUUUUUUUUUUUUGUGUUUUUUUUUUAUUUUUUUUUAUUUUUUUAAAUGUAAAUUAAUGUAAAAAGACUUUGGUUAACCUUCCCCCACACUUAAACUAAAUAACACAAACUCACAUAAAUCAACCAAAUAACACAACUAACUAAACAAAACAAAAUGAAAGCAGUAAAGAUAAGGGUGUAAGAAUGCAAAUCUGAUUGGGUUAGCGAUUCCAAAGUCUCCCUUCGUUGAAUGCUUGGGUUGCCUCCCAAGAAGCGCUUGAUUUAACGUCUUUAGCCGGACGAAUCUUUCCUUUAAAUUCCCCUCAGCUCCAAAGCAUGGAAUUUAUCUUUUAAUGGGAGGUGAUACUUGAAAUGAUUCGGCAAUGGUUUAAAUUCAAGAGUGGGUGCCUGAAUCAUCAAAAUCAGAAACAUGUUAGUAUAAAUUAAAAUUGAAAUUGGAGAAGAUGGCUUACUUUCUUUUUCCGACACAAACUCAAUGACAAACACCACAUCUUUGAACAUUUCCGGGAUUUUGAACUUGGCCAGGUUUACUAUGAUGGUUGUGGCUUGUCCCGUGUCAUCAAACUCAACUGCUUUGGGCUUGAUUGUCUCAUGCACAACCUCUUGGAUGUAUUCUUGAUAUGCUUCAACCACUUCAUUCUCUUGAAUCCCUUUUCUUGGUGUGCAAGGUUCUUUGAACGUUUCAAUACCAUCGGGAAUUUGUUUUGGUGCACCAAGAAUUUGGAUAUCACUUUGCACCUUUGGAAGAGCUUCCACAAUGUCUUUUUCACUCUCUUUGAUAUUUGGAAUCAAAAACCUGCAAGGACAAAGGACAUUCGGUGGAAUAAUGUUGGAAUGAAGUGAAUUUAGAACUUCCUCACCUGAGUUGGAUGACAUAGGGAUUUGAGGAGCUUGCAGCAAGAAUUCUUCUAAACUGCCCAGGUCGUCCUCCUCCUCUUCUGCUUGCAGCAGCAAUUCAUCCAUGUUCGGGCUGUGUUUGGAUGGUUCUGGGACAGCUUCAUCCUUCAUAGCACUUCCCAAAGUGAUAGCAUCGUGGAUUUCAAAAUCUUCCUUCGAAUUUUCAACAGUUGAGUUGGAGAGUUCACUUUGCUCUUGAAUUUGUACCAUGAAUUCCAUAAUCUCUCCCAUUUGACUCUUCAAUUUAUCCAACUUCUUGUCUUGAUUUUGUUGGUCCUGCGUCAAAGAGGUUAGUACUUGAAGAAUUUGAUCACUAUCCAUGGACAUACUUGAAUUUGAUUGGAAUUGUUGUGGGGUAUGCGGUGGUGGCUGUAUAGGUGUGGUGUAGAACUCCUCAUAUGGCUGCCAAUAUGCAUCUUGUUGAGCCUCCUUGGCUUGAUUUUGUGAGCCCUGCACCAAACAAUUUAAUUCAUUAAGAAUUUGAUUAUAAUUUAUUGACGAACCUGAGUUUGAUUGAGCAUAUUGCAUAGGUUUUGAAUAGAACUCCUCCUCUUGCUGCCAAUAUCCCUCUUGUUGGAAUUGUUGAGGUUCCCCCCACAUAUAAUUUGAAUGAUCUCUCCAAGCCGAAUUGUAAGCGUUGGAAAACAUGUUGUUGCUUGGUUGAUCAUAGCCUUGAUAACCCCAAGCAUCUUCGUUCACAGUGAAUUGAGGAUGUUGGUAUCCUUGCCCAUAGGGCACAUCAAAUGUAGGGACACUUGGCAUUGUGUCCGUUCGGCAUUAUGAGUCAAUUGAGCAGUGAGCUGUGCCAAUUGAGCUUGAAUGGUCGCAAGUGCCAUGUCUUGCUCCAUUUGUACCUAAAAUCAAAGAAAGAAAAAUAACUCAAAUAUCAAAAGUAACACAAAACAAGGAAAACAAAACUAAGUCAGAAACUAAAACAAAAACAAACUAAACAAAAAGAAAAGAACCAAGGGAUUAGCAAAGUUGCUAAUCCCCGGCAACGGCGCCAAAAUUUUGAUGCGAAAUAUAUAAGCACACAAAUUUAACCCUCUUUUUGACAAUUGUAGUAUAGAUGUAAGCAGGGAUCGUUCUAAACCGGGGAUUAGGAGGGAUUGCUAAAUCACUUGAAAACUAAUUUAAAAACAUAAAAACAAAGUUAAAAAUGUAAACAAAAGAUUUUAAAACAAGAAAGUAAAAAGGGGAUUUGAGUUUGGUGAAGUUGAAAGUAAAAACGAAUAAACUAAAAACUUAAAUAGAUUUUAAACAAAUUUGGGUUGAAUGGAUAAUGGAAGGCUAGCUAAGGGGUUCUUCUCCACACAUGUCUUGCUUGCAUACAAAAUGAUUUCCAAUUGCAUUUCAAUAACUUAUUAAUUCUCAACACCCCAAAUUAACCGUGAAUUGCACUAAUUAACCCUCAGUUUUUCCACAAGUUAUUGGGUUGGAUGAUUGCAUACGACAACCCAAAACAUUCCCUACAAGUUCCCUACAUGAAUUGCAUAAUAGAGAUACAAGCAAGAAUCAUUAAGUUCUAUGAAAAACAUAAGCAUUGACGAGGCACUCGUUACUAUGAUUUGCAUGAAACUUAUGCCAAGGAUUUACUUAACACAAUCGUGACUAGCGACUUUUACUACUCAUGAAUAUAAGUUCAUAACGAUUAGGUGAAAUUCCCUUAUACUCUAGCAUCAUAUUUAUGCAUGCAAACUAAGUAUGCAUCCCUAAUCAACAUACAUAAACAUGUUAUCAAUCAAAUAGAUAAGUAAAUCGAAUUCAUAACUUAUGAAACGCAAUUAAAAGUAAUCAAAUCAUAUUGCAAGCAUUAACAUGGUUUCGAAUCCCCCCUAGCCAAGGGGGGGGGUUUAGUUCCUCAUUAUUACAAAACAAAGAUAAACAAAUUUAAACAUUGAAAAACAAAGGAAAGAAAGCACCUAAACGUUCCAACGAUCCAUGUUGGAUAGCAAGUGCGUCUAAGGACUUUUCUCCUUCUCUUUGCCGCAACAACAAGGUUGGAAUGAUGUUGAAGGGUUGGUUAUUUGGAGGAAUGGAUGGGAAGGGGUUUAGAUAUGUAGGAGAGGCAAAGAAAGGCUUGGAGAAUGGUUAAUUUCUGGAUGAUUUGAAUGAGGUUGCUACCAUGGUAUUUAUAGGAAGAGGAUGGACAUGUUUAAUGCAAAAAUCUGGUGGAAUGAAGUAGGUAAGGCAUGGCAAGGUGGAGAAUUGUUGGUGAGGGUAGGUUUUGAGUCAUCCACUCACAUGUCAUGGUGAGUUAAGCAUUGCAUCAUCCACUCAAAUGUCAUGGUGAGUUAAGCAUUACAUCAUCCACUCAAAUGUCAUAGUGAGAUAGGCAUUGCAUCAUCACUAAAAAAAAUCUGGUGGAAGUAAAACAAAGGGAAGGCCACGGCAUUGAUGAAUUUUAUGGGGUAUGCAUGGUUUUGAGUGAAGUUUUGGCCAAUCCUUCUAGAAAUUUCCCUUCUUGCAACUUGUAUUUGUUUCACCAGAUUUUUAGCAUGUUCCUAGCCUCUUUUGUCUUCAAAUUCGUCCAUCCAUCUUGCUCAUAUCAUAUGUAAUCCAUUACAAGCUCAAAACUGCUCCAAAAUGCACCAAAAUGCACUUUCUUGCUACCUUAGCCCUUUGGACCUACAAACACACAAAAAUGGCUUAAAGUACUAAAAUAGCUAAGAACUAAUAACGUAAAUGCAAGAAAACUAGUUAACUAAGUCGCAUAAAUAUGCGUCUAUCAAAGAGGUAUGGUGAUGAUUGCAGGUGGAAAUGGGAUGAAAUUUGCCUGAAAAACGGCUCAGAAUAGCCGGAAUUCCACUAGUUUCGAAACCGGGUUGGGUGCGGGUGAACAGAUCACGGAAAGGGUUCGGUUUGGGUGCUCUGCACCUUUCUCCUUUCUUUCCUCUCUCUUCCUUCACAUUGGUCCGUCUCUCUCCCCUCUUCUCCUAACUGGUCCGUCUCCCUCAACUCUAAUUGGGCAGCCAAUGCCCUGAUUUCUUUCUUCUCUUCCAUUUCUCAUUCUUCCUCCAUCAAAAUAACCUUCUCUUUUUUUUUUCUUCUUUUUCCCUUAAUUUUUCUAACCCCUCAAAUAAAAUAAAACAAACAAAAUAACAAUAACUAUAAGAAAUGAAUAGAAUAAAUAACAACCCUUACCAACGUAGUUUUGAAAUACGGUAAAGUAAUAGUUCAUACGAGUCAUGAACUAGCGAUUAACGAAAGUCAAUACCCUCGCCUCUAAGGUAUUCUCGUGAAUUCAUAUUUUAAAAUUUAUAAACUCGUAAAAUUUGGGACGGGUUGUCACACUAUCCAUCACAACAAUGAAUUAAAAAGAAAUACAUUAUCUAUCACAUCAAUCCACAAGUAAAAGGCGGACCACAAACAAAUAAGGCUCCUCACUUUACGAGGGUCAAGGGCGGGGAGUGGAGGGGGGACGCCUACCACAUCAAUCCACAAUUAACAGAUAUAUAAUUCGUUUAAAAGCGUUUUUAAAAUGGCUGAAUGAGCUUUUAAUAAAAAUACUUUUCAAACUAAUCUUUAGUAAAAAUGCAAGUAAAUCCUAUAAAAGUAUUUGAAAUGCUUUUGGAACUCCAAAAUAUUUUUAAUAAAAAUUAUUUCAGUCAUUUUAAAAACACUUUCAAAUGAGCUUAUAAUCUAUCAAUAAUAUUCUUCUGUAGAAAGUGUGUUUUUGUUAGAAAUGAUAAUACUACUAAAAUUUUAUCAAAACAAAAUUAUUUUCAGCUUCAACGACACAAAACAGUUUUUUUUUAAUUAAUCAAACAUGCCUUAAAAUUUGAUCUAUCAAAUUAUAACAUUAAGUAAAAGAAAAAGGUUUGGAGGAAUUUACUCGGGUUUUCUUUUUGUCAAUGGUAAUUAAAAAUUAGGGUUAAUUCUGUAUGCUGCCCAAUUUCUAGGAUGAUUUAAAUUAGUCAUAACAUUUUAACUAAUUAUCUAAAGUUUUGAAAAAUAAAUAUAUAUUAGUUUACUUGCGUUCAGUGAUGAUAUGAAUAAAUAUUAAACAUAUUUUAACUCUAAAGUCAUCUAUGAAUAUUUGAAUCUCCAAAUUGACACUAUUUAACUAAAAAAUUAUGGUUUAACUUGGCUAAAAUGAGUCAAUUUGAGGAAUUAGAACUCAAAAACGUCUAUUAGUGAAAACCAACUUUAGUAUUUGUUCACCUCUUCAUUUAAUGCUAGUAAUAUCAUAACUUAAUGUUGAUAAAGUAUUCGGUGACCCAUCAAAUGUCUAAUUUUAAAAACGUUAAGUAAUUAUAUAAAAUAUUUUAUAAAAUUAAGACUAAUUUAGAAUAUCAAAAAAUGUUGAGUAGGUUUUUUUGUACUUAAUCCUAAAAAUUACUCCAUGAUAAGUGGUGGUAGGCCCCAGUACCAUCAGAGGGCAAGUUGAAUGGGAAAAUGAAUCUUGGUUUUGGAGCACCGCUGUUACAGGGUCAAGUUGUGCUGGCUGCUACUGUAUUUUGUCAUUAGUGAGAGCAGUUCCAGCGGAGGGCAUUUUGCCCAGCACCCAGCUGAAAAAACUGCCCAGCACCCUGUGAAACCCCUCCACCCGACCCAAUUGACUGGCACCCAGCUCAAGCCGGUCUCUAGCCCAGUCCAAAAUUGACUGAGGUGUUGCCCGGUAUGUCACAGCCCGCGCCCGGAAUUUUUAAUUCCGAGGACAUGAAAUUACGGAAAUGUCCCUAAUACGUGACUAAGGUAUAAUUUUCACGUUCGUUAUAUCUAAGCUCCAAAAAAAUUUGGUAAUUGGAGUGGAGACUUAGACUUAAAUUUUAUGAUGGAAUUUUAUGAAAUUGGGAUUGGUUUGGACAUGUGGGAUCCCCACACCUCAAAACCCUCCCCAUUUCCCGUAUACUGUCCUUCAUACUCUCUCUCUUCCUCAGCUCUUCCUCAGAAACUCUCAUUCUCUCUCUUCUUCUCGAACGCACGGGCAACCACCAAAACCACCUAAAACCUAUACCAACGUUCCAUUUAAGACCACCAUCGUGAUCCUGGGGACUUCACGAGCACGGGGAUACCAAUUUCAGGUGAGUUUCACUUCGAAAACCCUAGUUCUAAAGUUGCCGUGAGAUGACACUGUUCAUGAGCUUUGAAUUGGUUACGUUUUAGGCUAAAACAAGAUCACAGCGAGUUUAGUAAGGUCCCAAGGAAGCUCGGAGUGCUUCGUUGGAAGUUUUUGGACGUAAGAACACGGAGAUCGACAAGUUCAAAGUUUGGCCGGAGCUUUCGAGGCGUUUUCCGGCGAAUCCCCGGAGAGUUAGGAGUCGAGGUAGGUGUCAAUCUCUUCGUCUCGUCAAGUACUACAACUUUCCUUUUUUGUUUCACUCAAUUUCGUUGAGUAUUGAAGAAGUUAUACUCAUUUUGAAAAAUACCCAGUUUCCGGCGACCUCCGAGGCUUUCGAGGCCGUUUCCGGCCAAACCACGGCGAACUAGGUGUUGUGCAAGGUACCAUUCUCUUUGUCUCUUCAAGGGCUACAACUUUCGUUUUUGAAUCACUUGAUUUCGUUGAGAAAUGACAAAGUUAUGGCAAUUUGAAAAACUGCCCGGAAAACGGCCGCCGGAAAAACCAGUCCGGCGACCCAAGGAAGAAGAAGGUGCUACAGUAAAAAUAAAAAAAAUAAAAAUAAAAUUAUUUUAAAAAUAUGUCGACGUCCGUGACGUCGAGUAGAUCACUGUGGUAUAUUCAUAUACCUAAAUUGAACACCGUAUGAGAAAGUUAUUAAGGAUUGUUGGUUAGGUGUUCAAAUAACGUUUUAUAGUUUUCACAUUAGGUGAAAAUGUGAAUUGAUGAUCCGACCGUUGGAUCAUCACCAAACUUUGAUACGUUGUAAUACGUAAUAUUUGAGGAUUAUAGGAACUUACAGAUUGGGAAUCCGAUUUGCGGAUCUUCCGAAAUUGGAGUUGUAAGUCCAUAAUAUAGAAUGUUAACCGUCACUUAGUUUUGGAAAUUGACGGAAAUCCAACCGUUUGAUAGUAAUGAAAUUUUAGGAUGUUAUCCUAGAGAUAUACUGUGGACCUCUGGAAGUUAUGGAUUUAAAAUCUGAGUGGCAGAUCUUCCGGAUCGAACUACGUAGUGACGUAUUUUAUAUAAGUUAAAUAUUAUAUCGAUAUGAAUUCUGAGGUUGGAUUUGAUUUCUAUUCUAGGCGGCGAUCGUCGUGACGCCUUGAUGUGUGGUGCUAGGGAGUUGUUGGAUGAACUCCAGGUGAGUGGGCAGUUUUGUUUUCCGUAUAUAUAUAUAUACUUAACGUUUUCCCAGAAAUUGAAAAUGCAUGAAAUUAUGUUUAAAAUGAAAUGCAUAUGAGUUAUGUGAGAAAAAACGGGAAGUGAAAUACCAUGCAUAGAAUUGAUAUGAAAAGUAUAUAGAAAUGUGAGUUGAAAUGCCAUGCAUGAAUUAAUAUAUGAUGCAUAUGUAUGAAUUGGUGCGGUGGACGCACAGGUAAGAAUUGAUUUAUGAUGCAUAUGUAUGAAUUGGUGCGGUGGACGCACAGGUAAGAAUUGAUUUAUGAUGCAUAUGUAUGAAAUGGUGCGGUGGACGCACAGAUGAGUAUUUAAUUACUGUUAUGAUGAUGAUGAUAUAUAUUGAGCUCAAAUCCUGCACCAUGGUUUAGUGCUUAUAGUAUUCACCGCAUCGCACGCUCGCCUUGGAUCCAAGUAGAUGCUAGUCGUACAGUCCACGCGGAGUGGGUACGACAGGCCAGUCGCGAGAGUGUUAGUGAGAUUCCGACUGGUGGGUGACCUUAGAUUAUGUGCACAGAUGAUUUAUGAGAAGCACUAGAGCGUAACUUGUGUGCAGAAGGCCGGACGGGUCACAGAGGUGACUCCGGUAGAGUGAUAAUGAUAGAUUUUGAGCUCUAGGUUCAACCGUAUAGGGCUAUUAGAGGGCCUACGGUUGAUUACUUUCUUGCACCUGAUAUGAUUAUGUUGAUGCAUUCAUACCUUAUUACUGUUGAGAUAAUGUGGCAUGGCAUAAUUAAUAUGAGAAAUGUUGAGAUGACAUGGCAUGGCAUGAUUGAUAAAGAGAUAAUGUUGAGAUAGUAAAAAUGAAGUUUUGAGAAUAUAUAUGUAUAUUUAUAUUUUACAUUUCUGGGAAAGUAUACAGGUUUUACGGAGAGGGGUUACAACGUUUUGAGAAAUGUUUGGAUUUGGAAAAGAAUUGUUUUACUGACCCACUCAAUUUUGGUUUUGCGCCCCUCCAGGUUCAGGAAUCACAAAGGUGUGGUGACUACGAGGAAUUCGACGGUGUUCUGACAGAUUGGACAAAAUUAGGACUCACCUUCGGGUGUAUCAACUUAUAAAUUGUAUAAUUAAAGCUUCCGUACUGUGCAAAUGGUUACGUCACUCUCACGUGACGGCCAGCAUGCCCUCCUUCGGGACGGGGUGUGUCAGUUGGUAUCAGAGCAUGGUUGCAAUCUUGGACAUCUUGAGAAGUUUCUAGUGAAUUCUGUCAGAACUACACCGCCUCGUAGCAAGCCACUUAGUUAGAGGAAUUUAGUCUCCCUAAUAUAGCGGUUUAGGGAAAACUAUUAUUAUGGUGAUUCAGUCUAUUAUAAAAAGGGACAUUUUAAGACGGAUUAUGAGUUGAAUUUGAAUCACUUAAGAGAAAUGAUGAACCUGAGGGAACAAAGUGACGGAUUAACCAAUUGGAAAAGAUGUUUCGGAAUAUGCAAGUCAAAGGAAUCUUCCUUCUGACAGGGGGUCGAGACGACUACCUGGUUUUGGGUAUGAAUUUGUAUCCUGGUGGAAACAGGAGUAUGAUGUGUUGUCACCGGAGGAACAGCCGAUUUAAAAUUGUUUAAGGACUUGUUUAAGGGAAAAGUUUAUCCCUCCGGCAUUUAUCGAUGGUAGUAAACAAGAGUUUACAAAUAUGAGACAAGGAAGGUGAUGAUCGAGGGAUAUUAUAGAAAGUUUUCAGACUUGCCUCGUUCCAUCCAGAUAUGGUUGUUAUUGGUGGAGGUGUUAUGUUGUUUUUAAGCUGGGUGGCAAAAAGGGAAGUGGUAUUUUUGGGUGACCACUAUCCAUUAUACUUCUUACCAGGAAUAUACGAGAUGCUGUUGAGUCUUGAGGACUCUGAGAACAUGAUCAACGAGAAUAAAGAAGAAUAAGAAAUGAAUGGGAAUUAAAAGAAGACGAUAAAGUUAAUGAUUCGUCUUAUCAAGGAUAUAGAAAGAUUCAGAGCUUCGAAAGAAGUGAAGCUAGAGUUAAUUCUUCCAGCUGAGGUUUUAAUGUCGCUGGUCAGAGUAAAAGUGAUGGAUAUACUAGUAAUCCCAGAUAUUUGAGACAAGGUGUCUCGAGUAAAGGAAAUGUACUUUGUGCAGCAGGUACAAAAUUAACACUUUGGGAAGUGUGAAAUUAAUGAAUGUGUUUAUGUGAACAGAGGGGACACAGAAUUGUGAAUCGUCCCUAGAAUCAGUUGUACUCAACAGUUUUCUAUGACAUCGUAGUGUCGAUUCAGCAAGUUUAUGAACUUAGUAGUUUGGUCGGAUUGACCGUGGGUACAGAGAGAUUUGAUGAGUUAUAUGUUCAGCCGUACAGACCAUGAGAGGUGGAUCUGGCUGACGCAUGAGAAAUUGGUGAGUUAUAGGCUCGGCCGUACCGACCACGCGGAGUGGAUCCGGCCGACGUAUUAUUGAGAUAAGAGUUGAAUCAACCGUAUUGGUCAUUCUAGUUGACUUCGGCUGAUAUAUUUCUUAUUAUGUAUGUUAUACCUAGAGAGUAGUAAAUAAAUGUAGUUGAGACGAGUGUAUGUAUUUUGCAUUGAGUGACAAAAUAGUAAUGUUAUAUCUUUGUGAGUGGUUGCCUACUUAUCGAGACAACGAUGAUUUAUCAGUAUUGCGGGCUGCAGACCGUAAUAUUAAUAACUCAUUCGUGGAUUCGUUAAGCAAGCAACCCGGUAGAUUAUUUUAUGUUAGUAUUGUACUUAUUUGGAAUGCUUAAUAAUAAUAGAAUAUAUAUUGUAUCAGUUAAUUCUGUUCCAUUAGAUUGGUUGGUUAUAAUUGUGACAAGACGAAAUGUUAUGGGAAACCAGUACUUUCCAUCGAUCUGGAUGAACAGAGAUUACUUUUGUAAGUAUGCAAAAUGGAUUGAGUCAGGCUGUUAUUUAUGCUGUGAGAGCAAAGAGAUUGUUUUCGAAAGGCUGUCAAAAAUACUUAGCUCAUGUGGUGCUAAAUGAUGUUGUUUGGAGUAGUGUGAAUAAUGUCGAAAGAGUUAGACUUUUCUUGAUGUCUUCCCUGAAAGUAUACCUGGAUUGCCUUCAGGCAGAGAUAUGAGGUUCACUAUUGAUUUGUUGCCAGGUAUAAAUUUAUGUUAAAGAUUGGUUCAUGAUGAGUUAAGGGAAUUAGAAAUUCAGUUGAGAGAAUUGGUUGAUAAAAGUUUUAUUCAACCAGUACAACACUCUUGAGGAGCACCAGUUUGUUGGUGAGAAAGAAAAUGGAUCUUGAGACUGUUCAUUGAUUAUAGACAAUGGAGUCGGGUAACGAUUGAGAACCGUUAUCCAUGGUGAUGUACUGAUGUUUAUUUAACCAGCUCAGAAGUAAUUGCGAAGAUUCAAAGAUUGAAUUGAGGUCUGGUUAUUACCAAUUAAAGAUUAUGAGCGACGUUGUUCUUAAGAUUGUUUUAUGAAUUAUGGUGAUGCUAUAUGGAUACUCAUGCUGUUUUAUGAGUUAUUGGAUGAAGUAUUCCAAUAAUGCCUUGAUAAAUAGAUAUCAUUUUCAUUGAAGAUAUUCUGGCAUAUUCUGAGCCAGAGCAGAGCAUGUAAAUGUAUUAAGUCGGUGGAACAAAGAUUGGAAGAAUGUCGGUUGUAUGCUAAGUAGCAAAUGCUAAAGUUAGAUGAAUCAGGUGGCAUUCUGAGAUUUGUUAUAUAUUCUUAAGGUAUUCAAGUGAAUCCUUAAAAGAUAGCAGAAAUUGAGGAAUUGGAACAACCACGAACUGUAAUUGAGAUUCGGAAUUUCUUAGCUUACCAGGCUAUCUUGGAUGGUUGUGAAAGAUUUUUCAGUCAUUGCUUUGUCAUUGACGAGACUGUUGAGAAAGGAGGUUAUGUAUGAGUGGGAAGGAAAUUGUGAGCAAAGGUUUCAACAACUGAAGUAUUUCCUCACUCAUGCACGUAUUUUGGUAUUCCCAAAGAAUAGUGGUAAUCAUAAAUUUUUAGUGAUGUUUCUUGAAUGGUAUUGGAGGCAUGUUGAUGCAAAUGUUAGGGUGAUUGCAUACGUUUCACGAUAAAUGGAAUCUCAUAAGAUGAAUUACCCUACGGGUGACUUGGAAGUCAUGAUUACCAUUCUUGCUGUGAAGUUAUGAAGGCAUUAUAUUUGGUAAGAAUGCAAGAUUUUUACGAAUCCAAAAAGUCUUCAAUAUCCAUUACUUGGAAGGAUUUUGAUAUGAGGCAGCGAAAGUGAAUUGUAUUGCUUAAUGAACAUGAUUGUACGAUCAGGGUGAUCGUAAAGUUUGUUCUAGCUCAAGCACUUGGUGAGAAGACUACAGUAAGAUUAAUGUCUGGCACGUUUGCCAAGAGUAUCAUCUUGUGGAUUGAAAACCAACGGAAGAAAAAUUAAGAAUGGAAGAUCGAGAAGAAGUUAUACUUGUUAAGUAACAAGUUAGUACAUUUACUCCAGUGUUGAGUAACAACCUUUCCCAGACAGUGCAACAUUACUUAUUUGUUUUAUGGAAAAGAGAAUUGGUUUACGGAACUGCUGAGUUUCUUAAGUAUGUUGGUUGUGCAGUUUCCGAAGUAACGCCAUAAGGAUCAUGAAAUGUGUCAUGUGAGUCGGUUUUUGAUGACUUGUGAAUGGAAUGUUUCUGGGUAGAGAAGGAUUCGAUCAAGAAAGAGUUUUAGUAGACCUUGAGACUAUGGAUGAGUUUCCUCAAAGUAUUCAGGUGAUUAAGUUAACCUGAAGUAACCAGGAAUGGCAAAAGAGAUCAACAGAUGGAUAUGCCACUAAUCGAGUGUGUAAGGUAAAUGGUUUGAUAUUUUUGGAAAAUUCACCGCGAACAGAAAUGACGAGAAUUGGAAAAGAGACAAGAUAAGAUUUAGACACAUCAGACCAUUUUUUUUUUCUCACUAAAGGAAUCAAUAAAGUUGCAUACAAGUUUGUGAUGCCUUCAGAAUUGGCUAAGGCACAUAAUGUAUUUUGUGUUCGAUGCGUUGUCACUAAGUGGCAGGGUCGUUACAUGGGACUUUGGUGCAACUAUUGAGAAUUAAGCCGGAUAUGAUUGGUGAGGAACUAAUGUCGACUUUGGAUUGGAAAAAGAAGGUCCUAAGAAUUAAGACAGAGUAAGUAGUAAAAGCUUUGUGAAGGAAAUCAUUCAGUAGAAAAUUGUGUGGGAGAAAGAGAAUCGGAUGAGAGAGAUUUAUCCGAGGCUAUUGUAUGAGUAUAGAUGAUUUGGUUGGUUGCUGGAAUUUCGGGGACGAAAUUCUAUAAGGAGGGGAGAUUGUCACAGCCCGCGCCGGAAUUUUUAAUUCCGAGGACAUGAAAUUACGGAAAUGUCCCUAAUACGUGACUAAGGUAUAAUUUUCACGUUCGUUAUAUCUAAGCUCCAAAAAAAUUUGGUAAUUGGAGUGGAGACUUAGACUUAAAUUUUAUGAUGGAAUUUUAUGAAAUUGGGAUUGGUUUGGACAUGUGGGAUCCCCACACCUCAAAACCCUCCCCAUUUCCCGUAUACUGUCCUUCAUACUCUCUCUCUUCCUCAGCUCUUCCUCAGAAACUCUCAUUCUCUCUCUUCUUCUCGAACGCACGGGCAACCACCAAAACCACCUAAAACCUAUACCAACGUUCCAUUUAAGACCACCAUCGUGAUCCUGGGGACUUCACGAGCACGGGGAUACCAAUUUCAGGUGAGUUUCACUUCGAAAACCCUAGUUCUAAAGUUGCCGUGAGAUGACACUGUUCAUGAGCUUUGAAUUGGUUACGUUUUAGGCUAAAACAAGAUCACAGCGAGUUUAGUAAGGUCCCAAGGAAGCUCGGAGUGCUUCGUUGGAAGUUUUUGGACGUAAGAACACGGAGAUCGACAAGUUCAAAGUUUGGCCGGAGCUUUCGAGGCGUUUUCCGGCGAAUCCCCGGAGAGUUAGGAGUCGAGGUAGGUGUCAAUCUCUUCGUCUCGUCAAGUACUACAACUUUCCUUUUUGUUUCACUCAAUUUCGUUGAGUAUUGAAGAAGUUAUACUCAUUUGAAAAAUACCCAGUUUCCGGCGACCUCCGAGGCUUUCGAGGCCGUUUCCGGCCAAACCACGGCGAACUAGGUGUUGUGCAAGGUACCAUUCUCUUUGUCUCUUCAAGGGCUACAACUUUCGUUUUUGAAUCACUUGAUUUCGUUGAGAAAUGACAAAGUUAUGGCAAUUUGAAAAACUGCCCGGAAAACGGCCGCCGGAAAAACCAGUCCGGCGACCCAAGGAAGAAGAAGGUGCUACAGUAAAAAUAAAAAAAUAAAAAUAAAAUUAUUUUAAAAAUAUGUCGACGUCCGUGACGUCGAGUAGAUCACUGUGGUAUAUUCAUAUACCUAAAUUGAACACCGUAUGAGAAAGUUAUUAAGGAUUGUUGGUUAGGUGUUCAAAUAACGUUUUAUAGUUUUCACAUUAGGUGAAAAUGUGAAUUGAUGAUCCGACCGUUGGAUCAUCACCAAACUUUGAUACGUUGUAAUACGUAAUAUUUGAGGAUUAUAGGAACUUACAGAUUGGGAAUCCGAUUUGCGGAUCUUCCGAAAUUGGAGUUGUAAGUCCAUAAUAUAGAAUGUUAACCGUCACUUAGUUUUGGAAAUUGACGGAAAUCCAACCGUUUGAUAGUAAUGAAAUUUUAGGAUGUUAUCCUAGAGAUAUACUGUGGACCUCUGGAAGUUAUGGAUUUAAAAUCUGAGUGGCAGAUCUUCCGGAUCGAACUACGUAGUGACGUAUUUUAUAUAAGUUAAAUAUUAUAUCGAUAUGAAUUCUGAGGUUGGAUUUGAUUUCUAUUCUAGGCGGCGAUCGUCGUGACGCCUUGAUGUGUGGUGCUAGGGAGUUGUUGGAUGAACUCCAGGUGAGUGGGCAGUUUUGUUUUCCGUAUAUAUAUAUAUACUUAACGUUUUCCCAGAAAUUGAAAAUGCAUGAAAUUAUGUUUAAAAUGAAAUGCAUAUGAGUUAUGUGGAAAAACGGGAAGUGAAAUACCAUGCAUAGAAUUGAUAUGAAAAGUAUAUAGAAAUGUGAGUUGAAAUGCCAUGCAUGAAUUAAUAUAUGAUGCAUAUGUAUGAAUUGGUGCGGUGGACGCACAGGUAAGAAUUGAUUUAUGAUGCAUAUGUAUGAAUUGGUGCGGUGGACGCACAGGUAAGAAUUGAUUUAUGAUGCAUAUGUAUGAAAUGGUGCGGUGGACGCACAGAUGAGUAUUUAAUUACUGUUAUGAUGAUGAUGAUAUAUAUUGAGCUCAAAUCCUGCACCAUGGUUUAGUGCUUAUAGUAUUCACCGCAUCGCACGCUCGCCUUGGAUCCAAGUAGAUGCUAGUCGUACAGUCCACGCGGAGUGGGUACGACAGGCCAGUCGCGAGAGUGUUAGUGAGAUUCCGACUGGUGGGUGACCUUAGAUUAUGUGCACAGAUGAUUUAUGAGAAGCACUAGAGCGUAACUUGUGUGCAGAAGGCCGGACGGGUCACAGAGGGUGACUCCGGUAGAGUGAUAAUGAUAGAUUUUGAGCUCUAGGUUCAACCGUAUAGGGCUAUUAGAGGGCCUACGGUUGAUUACUUUCUUGCACCUGAUAUGAUUAUGUUGAUGCAUUCAUACCUUAUUACUGUUGAGAUAAUGUGGCAUGGCAUAAUUAAUAUGAGAAAUGUUGAGAUGACAUGGCAUGGCAUGAUUGAUAAAGAGAUAAUGUUGAGAUAGUAAAAAUGAAGUUUUGAGAAUAUAUAUGUAUAUUUAUAUUUUACAUUUCUGGGAAAGUAUACAGGUUUUACGGAGAGGGGUUACAACGUUUUGAGAAAUGUUUGGAUUUGGAAAAGAAUUGUUUUACUGACCCACUCAAUUUUGGUUUUGCGCCCCUCCAGGUUCAGGAAUCACAAAGGUGUGGUGACUACGAGGAAUUCGACGGUGUUCUGACAGAUUGGACAAAAUUAGGACUCACCUUCGGGUGUAUCAACUUAUAAAUUGUAUAAUUAAAGCUUCCGUACUGUGCAAAUGGUUACGUCACUCUCACGUGACGGCCAGCAUGCCCUCCUUCGGGACGGGGUGUGUCACGGUACAUUUGACCAGAAGCAGAAAGAAAAAGGAGGGAGGGAAGUGACUGACCCAAAGGUGCCUUGGGAGCCAGCAUCAUCGCCGUGAACGUCGGGAUGGUUCAAUCGAAGAAAACUGUUGUCGCCGGCGGGCGUGGCCAUGGUCUGCUCACUGCGGCUGGAGGGCGAGCCCACGCUGCCGCUCAUCGAGACGGACUGACCCCUGGCCAUGUCGUCGUCGUCCUGCCCUGCUCGCUCUCGUCCUGGUUGCUGCUGGGACCUUGUCCCCAUCCUAAUUCCAACCACACCACACCACACCACACCAAUGGAAUCUUGUCCCCAUCCUAAUUCCAACCACACCACACCACACCACAUCAAUUUAGGCGAGCUGGUCUUUGCAGUUUAUAGGUGUCUGUGUGAAUCUUGAUUCUUCAAACCUCUUUCGUACCCGUCUAAGCACUGAGAAAGAAAUGGAAGUAGAGAGAAAGAAAUUAAAUGAUAAAAUAUUAAUUAAUAUGAAUAAAAUAAUAUAAUAUUAGAUUGACUGGGUGCCAGCGCAUUUUUAGGAAUGGAGAUGCUUUGGUCUAUUACUGUUCAUUGUGGUCUAUUACUGUUCAUUUGAGUGGAUAAAUGCGCUGGGUGCUGGCACAAAGUCUUUAGGGGUAGACUUGCUCUGACUUCUUCAUGUCAGAACUUUGGAGAGAGGAUUUUUUUGUGAGGAUUUCAGAUAUCCUUCGAUUACAUUCGUUCAUCGUACAUUGUACGGUCAUAAAUUAUUAUAAAUUUUUUUAUUUAAUAUUGAAUAUAAACAAUAACUGAUUAAAAUUGACCACAUAAUGAAUGAUGAACAUAUAUAAUUAAAAAAAAUUUAGAGUCCUCACAAUGAAAAUCCGGCCAACAUUCUGAUUCUCAACUCUGUUCUACUGUCCCUUUAUACAUCUGACUGACAUCAUUUUACUGACAAAAGGCAAAGAUGACCCAUCACAUAAACUAAACUUGGUCGAGGAAUUUCUUUUACUCAGGAUUUCACUGACUUCGUUUGACUGAGUUACCGUAUGGGAAGUGAAUACACCCUCGUUACUCGAUAGGUGGCAUAUUUGAUCAGUUAAUAUUAAUAAUUAUAGAUAUGUAAUUGGUAAGACUUUUUAGUUAGAAUAGUUUGUAAGAUUGUUAUAAUUUUUUAUUUUAGUUUUAGAAAUUUAAAUUUGAUGUAACUGCUUCCUGAGUUUAUCUUUCAUUAAUUAUUUUGGUUCUUCCGUGAAAAAUCAUCGUUAAAAGUACUCUUAAUUUUUGUCAAAUUAUUUUGGCUCAUUACUGAUGAAAUUGAGAGUAUUUUUGUUAUUUUACUCCUUAUUUAAAAAAUAUAUUUCAUGGAAUGACCAAAAUGAUUGACGAAUGACAUACUUAGAAACCAUUUUUGUUGAUUUCAAUUUUUAGAGAUCAAAGUGGAGAGUAAUUCUAAUCUCAAGAACUAUUUUGGUUAAAAUGCCAAAUUUUUUGUUGUCUAUGAUCAACACUGCGAUGAUACACUUAUGUUUGUCUAUGAAAACUUAAUUGAAAAAUAAAUGACAAUGAGUUUGGCAGGCGGUCAAACAAACCAGUUGAUCAAGAAAGAUCAAUAAACACUAAAACAAUCCAAUUUAUUUGGGAAAUUUUUUAACCCCAUGGCAACCUGAAUUCAUACUCGACCCCAAUUAUAAUAUAUAAACAAAAACUAUUACAAAUUGCUAAAAGGAGUUCUAAAUUUGCUAGUCAAAGUAAAAAUUGCUUAAUACUACUUCCAACUAUAAUAUGCAUACAACGAUAUAUUCGUACUAAUGAAUUUGGGUAAGCUACAUAAUCUCAAACUAUAAUAAUUUAGUUUGCCAUCCAAGAGAGUUGAACUUCAUACUUUGUACGAGCUUGGCUACCUGUCACCAUAUCGGUAUCUAAAAGCGUGUUUACAUGCUGCACAUGCAUGUGAAUGUGAUCCAAAAUUCAUGUGUGCCAUGAUAGAAGAAGAUAUAAGCAUUUGAAAUCUAAAUGAAGUGUAUUUGGAACAUAAUCCGUGUUUUGAUGCUGGCAUUUUUGACAUUAAAACUUAGACUAAUGCAUGCAUGGAUGGAGUAUUUGUGGUAAUCAUUUCUCUUCCCUAUUCAUUUUUCCAAAAAGAAAUUGACUUGUUAGAUUAGUGUAAACAAAUAUUCACAAGCACAUUAAAUUUAAGGUUGUAGUAUUAGUAGCAAUUACACGUAAACACGCGCACCUGCUUAUCAAGGAUGAUUAAGCUAAUUUUGAAUAAUUAAUGUGACAAUUAGCAUGAUUAGGAGAUGGCAUGUGCCCCUCCAACUUGUGGAUUUGAUAUCAUUUAACAUGUAACUUUUCUUCUUUAGUGGGUCUAAGUUGAGGAGUCCAAACAAUUGAUCGUUUCAAAUAUUUGGAUUUGCCAUUUAUAAGCCCCAGUGGAUUUAUGUUGUUUAUAGUGUUUUAUUACCUUCUAUAGAUCCAAGUUCCCAAUUUUGACCAAGAAAGUGUUUCGGCCAUUUGGGCAAAAGGAGCAAUUGGUUCAAGUUUUGGUGCUAAAUUCAACACUCAUUUCCGUCAUGGGCUGCUAAGGCUCAAGUUAAAGCGAUGGACAAGUCAUGUUAGUGUAAGAAGAGUGGGAUCAAUCUUAUCUACUAAGUUGAAAAUUUAUAGUCGUGAGGGAAAUCGAACAUAACUUCGAGUGAAAGAACAAAUACUCGAUCAUUUGAGUGACGUGUCUCUUGAAAAAGGAUGCAAGACAGAAGAAACAAAAGGGCAAGAGACAAAAAUAUGAUUAAUCUUAAGUAAGGGAUUAACUAGUCCCAUUAUUAAUUUAAUUCAUGCUUUCUGUAUGGAAUUAAUCAUAAAUUAUAACGGAGAAUCCACACUGUUGUAGACUUGUAAUGCGUCGGCAAACACAAAAAACUCAAAAAAUCAAAAUUAAUUCCAUUACUUAUUUGAAGUUGGUAAGCAUGCCAUGACAGGCCUUCACAGUAUUGAAAGCAAUAUACAAUAAUCAUAUUCUACUUGUAAAUGUUAUAAAACUUUCUAUUGGUAGAGAACAUAAAACCAAACAAAAUGCCCCAACAAAUUGGAUAUGAAAAUUCAAAAGUACAAACAAAAAACAUGCAUCAAAAUGUACACUAAGUAUAACUCCAACCACCCAACCUAUAUCUCCUAAUCUCACAAACCACAAAGAAGAACACAUAUAUAUACAAAAACACAUGCAAUAAUCUCCCAUCAACACUCACUUAUUUAUAUAAACACAAACAUAUUUACGUCCUUCCAAUAUAUGUACUCAACCCAUUAAUAACUGCAUAUCAUACAAAAUUUCCUGAACAAGAUCUCCCAUGAUCAGGCUUUCGAUCUCUUGUCCCACUGCAUUAACGUCCUCGUCCAUCAGUCCGGACCAAGGAACUGAUCCAAGAUCCCGGGCGGCCAUAUCAUCGAGUGAGUAAUAGGGUACAUUAGUUGGAGGAUAUAGGCAUUCGCAGAUGAUUCGCCACACACAAUUCAACAACUUCUUGCCUCGUAAUGGUGGCAGCGCAGAGGAGUUGAUCAUUUUUCUCCGGAAGUUUGGCAUGCUUAUUGCUGGUCCGAGAACUGUUGAAAGAGAUUCGUUCAACAAGUCGCGUAACACCUUGUGAUUUACCAUCUCCUUGUGAUCUGUUGCUGAAGGAUCUUGCUUGUUGGCCAAGUUUUUAUACGAUUCUUCCACUUCUUCGAACACUGAGUUGCUGAUUGGUUUCGCAAAUGUGUCCCAUCUCGAUAGUGAUUUAUCAAAUGAUCCAUCGUACAAACCAGAAACGACAAGCAAAUCUCGUAUGUAAACCUCUGCUGGGUUGUCUAAACUAGCCAUUUCAGACUCAACCGCUUCCUCAACUUUAAUCCCCUCAGGCUCAUUAGACUCGAGUUGGUUCAGUUGCCUUCGUAGCUCUGUAGAAUCGACAUUAGACAAUUAGAUGAUUAUUCACGCGUCAGUUUAUACUCUGGAAUUAUAUGCAUCUUGAUAACAACAAAAUUGGCAACGACGCAACAGUCAUGUAUGCUACAUAAACACAGGCACAUAUACGCCUAUACAGUCACAUAAAACAAAUUUGGGUAGACUGUUUACUAAGCAUGUACGCUUUCAUACUAUCAACUCAUUUGUCAUGCCGGAACAAAACAUGUUCAGAAAGCAUUCAAAGAAACAUACGUACCACUCAGAUUAUCGCUGAUGUCCCUAAAAGCCUGUGGCACGAUACUAUCUUCUCGUGGAGUUGCACUCGGAGUUGAUAUUGGACUAAGAUAAUCAGUUGGCCUCCAGAACUCUUCCCGAGCAGUGCUGCAUGCAGAUGCAGGACUAGGAGGCACCUCGGUGAAAUUAUCCUAAAACAACAAAAGAAGAUAUUAAGAUAAAUAUAAAUUGAACCCCCUACAUAAUGAAUAAUUCUCAGUAAAAUGAAUAGAUCAGAUAAAGUAUCUGCUUACAUGUCUCUCUCCAGAGUUUGUAAUCACUGUUGGCCCGCUCAUGAUAUCCUUCAUAGGAUACCGUUCAGUAUGACGUGAUUCCGGAACUGAUUGGUUUUUUUUGCCAAAAAGUCUCCCCCUAAGCAUAAAACUGUACCGGAGAUUGGAAACUUUUUCUUUAAAAUUAAACCUUUCUUUCUUCUGAUGUUUCAUCUCCAUGGACACAGGUCCAAUGCCUUCAUGCUUCCUCUGAAUGUGAGCACCGGUUAAAACAUGACGGUCCUCCAGAAGAAGUUUCCCAAAAGAUGUUCCGGGUACUGGGGCGGAUAAGGACCUAAUGAGGUUUCUAGGGGACAACUCUCUAUCAAGCACUUCAUCUCCAUGUGAUCCAUAUCUGAAUGAUCUUGUGUUUUCAUGUUCAUCUUUCACUACUCCCCUUUCCCUUUCGUAGUCUAAAGCAGAUAACCUAGAUCUCCCAGAAACUAAUGAAGGAUCACGAGGUUCUGUUUCUAUUUUUGAAACAUUUCUCGGUCUCUCUAACAAAAUUCUUUUAGUAUCUCUAUGCAUAAAUUCCGGGGAACCUGAUCCAUUGAACUGCAUUUCGCUUCUGUAUGAUCUUGUCGAUUCUGAUCUCAGCAAAUUCAUGCCAAGGUCCCUCGUCGCACUUUCCCUGACCUGGUUUGCAAUGUGUCGAGCAAUCUGCUUUCGAGAUGAUGGCUGUUCGCUAAACGGGGUCUCAAUUCCACUUCCUCGGACAACAGAACCCCUUUUAUGCAUUUUCCCUUGCAGCUCAGAUCUUAGUCGUUCUUUCACCUCCUCGAGAAAAUCUUCUAUGCCACCCUUCCUCUCUAGAGUGUUUGAAGAACCUGUCCAAGUCUCUUCAUGGUUGCAAAGUCUAUCGGGACCAGGUCUUAAGAUAACUAUCCUUGUAGGAGGAGAAGACGCGUCGAAUGACUCAAAUCUCUUCUUAGAACUCACCAGGGAAGAUUGCUCAAAGUCUAAGCUCAUGGUUCUUCUGCUUCUUGAAGAAAAAGAACCCUUUUGCUCAGCUGGGAAUAAUUCCGAAAACUCAUUUCCUCGACGUUGUAAAUCACUUUCUUCAUGUGAGAUUUCUUUUACUGCGUGGUCCUUACGUUCUAAAGUUGUCUGAGUUGUUCUAUGCCCUGAAACUGCCAUCUUUUCCUCGUUGAGGUUGCUAUCAAUUUUGAGAAACCUUGAGCAUUCCCUAAACCUGGAAGCUUGCCAUGCUUCAAAUUCUUUCUUGAACUUUUGUAGUUCCUCCUCUUGAGGAUGUUCUCUACGCCUUGGAUUUUCGAUUUUCUGGUCAUCGCUCCACCUAGUGGCAUCUCUGCCAUUACUGUGAUAAUAAGAAUCAAUAUCCAUCUGCUUGGAGGAAUUUAAGUUAGAAGAGACGCGACCGACUGAGCUCCUUCCAUUCAUUUCCUUCUUUGAAGAUUUCGUUCUCCUAUUUUCACCUUUUUCUUCCACAACUACAGAUUUUGGUUCCACUGGCAACAUAUCCAUCCCCAUCAGUCGGGCCACAAUGUUUGGUGCAUUUUGUCUGGUACUCGAAUGUUUGGAUAUUUCCUCAUUAAUCAAUUUCUUCAUUGAACUUUCCGAUGGAUUAUUCUUUCUAGACCAGUUUUCUUCAACCUGAUAUAUGUAAUGAAAAUUCAUCAAAACUAAAAUACGAUGAGAGUGAGGGAGAGAGAUGACUCAAAAAUUCUGAUGUGAUGAAAUUUGGUAGAAGAAAACACAAUAUGAGAAUGGCGUUAAUAUAUAAAGCAAGAUCACUGAUAUCUACAAGAAAUCAGAUGCUGCUAAUGCAAUAGCCGAAAACUCCACAUCUUCGUAGCUAAGAGAGCACAGAAUCCACAGAAAUUAACCACCCUAGGCCACAGGACAAGCAACAAGAAGGAAUGUGAUGAAUCAUUACCGGCAAAUCUCCUGUGUCACAAUAGCUCUGAGGCUCUACCUGCAUCUCCAGGCUAUUUCUUGGAGCAUCAAGGCCUGCAAUAUGUACAAAACAACCUACUUCAUCAGCUGAAUAAGCAAAUUGACACAAACAACCCAACUGUUCAAGCUAUUUUCAUUCGUCAGCGGAGAGAUACAAAGUUUUUUUCUCAGUUAUUGUUCGAAAGAGAAUUGUUCGUGUCAUCCACAAACUUUCGAAAUUUUCUUGUUGCGCAGAGAGAAAAGUAAAAACUCACCGCCAUCAUGCUUCUUAUGUGUAAAAAGCUUUCUGGCCAUGCUGCCCUGGUUGAAAUCAAAAAGGUGCGAUAAGCCUCCCAUGCAGCCACUGGAUCUACCAGAAGGAUGUCAUUCCCUUUUCCACUUCUCUAUAUCUCACCCCAUUCGUACCCGAAUCAAACGCCUUUUAUACACCGAAAGAACACGGUGACACCGCAACAACCGGAUAUAACCUGCAAAAUGAAGAAAGCCUGAAUUUCACUUGCUGAUCAACAGACAUUUGAUUAAGUAAAAUGAUGUAGGUCCAUCACAUAUGGACCAACCAAGAGUUUUCUCCUUGUGGACUAUUUGUUGUACACUACAGAAAGCAGACUUUACAGCAAAAUAUACAAAAGUCGUUGAAAUAAUGGAGCAAUAAUUAAACAGGAAUUCAAUAUCUCAGUUGCAUUUCCUGCAACCAAAAAGUUAAGAACCUAGAGAGAGAGAGAUGGUAAUUCUAAUCCCAACAAAAUUAAUCAGGAGCAAAAAUUUAGAAAAACCAAAUUAACAAGCAGUAGAAUUUAGCAUUUUCAUAAAUGCACAUUUUCUGUAACCACACCAACCAAGUUAGUUUGAGGCGGAAAAUGAUUCCGCACUCUCAUUUUCUCUCCAUGCACUCCUCAAAUUAAUCAAAACGAAAUCAAUGGGCAGAAACAAGUGGAGAAGCGCGGAGGAUAGGAGAAAACGAGAGUGCGAAAAUCACUACCCUUCGACUGAACAGGCAAAAACAUGAAAAAAUUGAACUUUUGAAUUCAAAACCAUAAACACAGAAAACCCAGAAACAGUUUAGCUCUGAGAAAUGCAGGGAGCCAAAGAAGCCAAAAAUCCUGAACUCAAAGUAAAGCACUUUUCUUACCGUUUUCUGGGCUUGUUUUCUCGGCUACCAAACACGCCAACUGGGCUUCUGACGCUCCGGGAGACCAGCAGGAAUGUCAGGUUUCAGAAAGCGAACUAUGAUUUGCGAUGGAAUUAUAUGUGAACAGUGAAUGGGAAAUUUUAAGACGAUGGAGAAAAAGCCUUUUUCCUGCUGCAAACAGAAGUGAGAGAGAUUUCGGAAAGGAAAAAACAAGAAGGCAUAGGGAAAUUCAAAGAUACGAGGGAGGAAGUUGAGUACGAUUGGAUCGUUUGAUAAAAUAAUGGUAAAAAUAUCUUGAAUGAUUAGAAUAAUGUGGAACAGAGAAAGGUACUGCCUUGGUAUUGCUGGAGUGGAAUAACCGACCAGAAAGGAAAGGUUCCAUCUUCUACCACGUCUUCGCUAAAAUUGGCCAAAUUAAAAACACGACGAAAAAAUGAGUUAAAUAGUUAUAAUUUAUAAGGAAAGUUAAUAAAAAUUUUGAGUUUUAACGAUAAGGACAAAAUAAAGGGUAAAAUGAAUAGUACUAUGAUUGAUUUUUUAGUGUAAAAAUAUGGUUUUUCAUUAAAGUGAACUGUACCGAGAGUUUUUCGUUGAAGUUCCCAAAUUUAUAACAUGGAAAUCAUUUUAACAUUUAAGUCUAAAUUUUCAAUAACAUUUUAGUCUUAAUUACAUUUCCCUUUCUGGCCGAGACUAAUAACACAACCAUGUGCCUAAGUUCGACACAAAAGUAUUCUAAGUAUUAUAGUCUAAUAGUUUUUAAUCUUCAUUAAUAGGUAAGAAGUUUUAGUUUUGACAUACUUAAAUGUUUGAUACCUGAUUAUUAUUUUAGUUAGAACAUCGUUGGUUAAAGAAGUACGGCAUAUAAGUGAUCAACUACACAACCGAGUGCUAGUUAAAUAGUGAUCUCAAUACGUUAUUCUUGUUAAACAACUAAUUGUUGACAGCUCAACGAGAGUUUCUUUUAGUUAGUUACCAUAUACACAUGUUAGAGGUUUGUGGCUUAAGUGGUUGGAGCAUUUACUCAUGUACUCGAGAUUCACAUGUUAGGUUUUUGGCUCAAAUCGUAUGAAAAUAGAAAAAGUGCAUGCAGCUUACAGUGUGAACAAAUGGAUGUCUCCUAACAUACAUGGUACAUCAUCCAUGUCAAUUUUUCUUAGUUAAGUUCCGUCUCCAAUCAUGUUACGUGAAAACCGGACCUCAAAAUGUGAUAAACACAAUUAGAAUUAUCGUCCAGACAAAUAAUUGGUGACACCUUUCAUGAAUGGGUUGUAUGCACUUUAUGAAUUUGUCAAGUUUAGAAAUUUAGGUAACCCAAAAAUUAUGCAAAAAAUAAAUAAAAGGCAUUGCCUAAGUAGACAUUAACCAUGUGCAUUGGUAGCCUCUAAUCUGUAUAGCUUGACUUUAUAUACAAAUUGGUCGGUCCACAAAAUUGAAUGUGACAACUAUUAAGUGGCACCACCUAUUUAUUAAUAUUUACCAAAUCUCUUCAAAAUUACAAAUUAGAAAAAUAGAAAAUAUUCUCUCGUCUUCUUGCUAACCAUAGCCAUAGCCAGUCAUUUUCCUACUCUUUUGUCAUUUAUUAGAUAUUCCAUAUUUUUUUUGUUACCGUUCCCUUUCACAUCCCCAUAACAGUAAAAGAAAGAAUUAAUUCAAUUUUAUACUUUUUACAUUGCACCCGAAAAUUAAAUUUUGUAUAAUUUUUGUUUGUUUGGAUAUCUAAUAUUUUAUUAAAUUUAUGAUUUUUUUUGUUAAUAUAAUAAAAAUGUGACUUUUACGUUAGCUGGCUUAUAUAUAUUUCUUAUGUUUAUCAUAUCAUUAAUUUAAAUAAAAAAUUAAAUAAUGAAUCAAACCAAAGGAAUAAAUUUGAUACAUUUCAACAUUUUAUGUUGAAAUAUGAGAAAUUAAAACGUCUCGAUCCAUCAUGAAUAUUACCACAAAUUUAAAGAGUGAAAUAUAAUUAAUUCAAAAAGAUAUGAUGGAAAUUAGAAAAAUAAGAAAGAAAGAAAAAAACCAGAAAGUUGUCGUUGUCUCACGUAACGAACAGCUCAGAGACAAUUGCUUUUGAGGCGCACGAUACCUCCAUUUGGCGCCAGAUUAAACGGCCUUUUAUACCAUCACAUCAGAAGAAAAAAAAAUAGAAAAAAAAAGAAAAAGAAAGGGAAUGUGUUAUGCAAUUUUUUAUUCUUCUACUGCGUGCAUCUGGCUGGCCUUUUCCAACCGUCACGCUCGAGAUUGCUAGCGUUGCCUAGUCCCGCCGAUUAAUUGCUCUGCAAAAUGAACGCCCCAGUUUUAAGCCUAGCCAAUUUCUUAUUAUUCUAGCUCACUACUAUUAAGAGCAAUUUCACUUGGUCGUCUGAAUUGUUUUAUUGAUUUUAAAUCACAAAAAUCAAAGUAAGAAAUUAUGUCAAUUUCAAUGACUAUUUUGGUUAAAAGGCCGAAAUAGUAUGUUAUACUCAUCUAACGACUUGCAAUUAUGAAAGUCUCCAUAUGUCAUUCGUAAUCGUAUGACAAAAAUUUUCUUAUUAAAAAAUCAUAAGAGAUACACACCAAGAGCAUAAGUUAAAGGCUAACCAUUGGCAAUUCUACUCCUUGUCCAAUGCUUGACUGCUCUAUGUCCUAUAUGAAUGUACUCUACAUGACCCAAAGAACAUUCAAUAUGCAAUGUUUUGGACUAGCAUUUUUUAGUUUAAUUUAUUUGCUUCACUUGACCAAUAUUAUUAUAUCAAACAAGAUAUCAUUUUCCUUUUUAUCCAUUAAAUUAUUAAAAAAAUUAUUAAAAAAAAAAAAAAAAAGAGAAGCAAAAAGUGAUAGGAAAGCUUAAGCUAACAUGUUAGAAGCUCCAACUCAUGAGAUGGGAUGAUGGGUUUAGCCGUUCAAGUGGGGCAUAUGUGUAUAUAUAUAUUGAGCUACAAAGCGUAAGGCACCCCCUUUCGUUCCAUGCAAUGAUGUUGACUGCGCAUUGUCAUGUGCCUCAAAGCUUAAGCCUCCACAUGACAAAAUGAGAUGAAAGCGUGGCUCAAUUAUAGAGCUUUUUGGCAACUAAAAGGGUCGCCCAAAAUACCAAGUUGGGGGGCCAAGGGUUUUGCCAAAUUUUCAACACAACCCACCUGGCAUUCUCAAAUCAACUUUGACACCUUGUUUGGUGGUGUUAAAGUCGAACCACCUUUCAUUAUUUGGGGCAGCUCUCCGACAUUAUUAUGGAGAGAUUACCGGGCGGGCGAGAGUUUCAAUGUCACGUCACAUGUUUGCUUAAGAAACACACAGAGAAACUUCCUACAUUUAAAUUCCACAUGAGUCUAUUGUGGUACCACGAAUGCAUCAGAGUACUCAUUGUGUGUUCUUGGCUAGAUGGGAACCUUGACACCGAAAUCCUCUAUCAAAUGAUAAAUUUUUAUGUGUAUCCAUAACACAGUACCACAAGGCGGCACACUACAUGUACAGUAUAAGUGGAUAUGUCCCACUUCUAUGUUACAAUACGUAAUGUAUUGCCUUAUGUUUCAAGUACAUUAAAAAAUCUCUUGUAUCAUAUAUUUUCUUGUUUAUAAACACAUGACCACUUGUAAGUGUGGUAGAGAUUGUAAUGGUAAUUGGGCUUCUGGCAUACAAGACCGCAAACUAUCUCAAGUAUGCAGACAUGGGCUGAAUUGGUGUCCGGCUUCUGGCCCUGAGCAAACUAUGUGUGUUACUACAAAACUUGAUGAUUGUGUUGGGUGUGGAAAUCUUCACCGGAUAUGCAAAGUUGUUAGAUAUGCUCAAUGAGUUUUGAAUUAUCAGGUUCAAUGGCGAUGUGCUUAGAUUGAAAAAAGAGAAGGGAAAAUCACCCUUUUAUAGAAAAUAAAAAUUUCUCUAAAAAGGGUAAAUUAUCCUUUCAUAGAAAAUAUAUUGCAUACUUUUUUUGAGUUGUCAAUGAUGAAUCUUGGUAGCUAGAAAAAAAUUGAAAGUUUAUCAUUUUAAACUAGUCUAUUAACAUGAGAAUUUACUUAUUGACAGUUGUGACAAUUUUCUUACAGUAAUAACAACUAGUUAGCUAUUAGAUAAUUUGUGUUGCGAUUGCUAUGAAUCUCGAGUUCCAACUUAAUGAGAAAAAAAAAUUUGAUUCCUCUUUGACAUGUCAACGUUCUACUAGUUGGCUUUCUUUUCCAUCUCAAAACUCGAGACUUCGCAUUCGUACUUGUUUCUUUGCUUGGAAAAUCGUAAUGCCUAGACAAGUAAUUUGCAUUAAAAAAAGGGAUAAUAUUGGACUUUCAUAAAAAUAGAGUUAUCCCAUAAAGUUUGAAAUCACAAAACGGAUUCUUCAAUAUUUUCUGCAUGGCCUCUCUGUACAUUGACGACUAGUUGAAGCUAAUUUUUUGGCUUUGUAUGAAAGAUGGAUAUCAACUCUUAAUCUUCAAAGUUUUUGCAUGGAUUCUCGUGCUUGACCGACCGUCUAAAACUCAUCUUCCUCCCUACCAUAUUGGUCAUAUUUCAUUUUCUCCAGAUCAAUUGUAGAGGUUUAACUUUACAGUAUUCGUUAAACUUUUACGUAAUCAGAUUAAAGUUCAGUCCGCCAUAUUCAUAUUCCUGAAAACUCAUGUUCUUACUUUCCAUAUUAGUUGAAUUUUAUUUUCUCUAGUUCAAUUGCACAUGUUUAACUUUAUAACAACCGCUUAAUUUUUACAAUGAUCAAACUAAAAUCCACCCCGCCAUAUUUACACCCUGAAAAUAACUCUAAAUUAUUAAAAUUCCAUCCACCAUAUCUUCAUCAAAAUCUACACAGAAAAAAAAAAAUUUCCAAUAGGUUACUAAAAAUCAUUGCACCUAAGCACUAUGAAUCUCUUGAUUUGAACAAAAAUAAAAAUUGAAAAAUGUAGGGAUUUUCCCUCCUUGUUUUCCAUAAAAGAGCGACACUUGGGCCAAAGGUUGCAUCUUCCCGCCUAUACGUGUUCAUCCGUACUCGGUUCAAACGGCAAUAAAUACACCCAGGUAGAGAGAGAGAGAGAGAGAGGAGAGAGAGAGAGAGAGAGAGAGAGAGAAAGCAUCAGUCAUUCAGUCCUCUUCUCUCUCUCCUCUGUUCUGUCCGCAUUCUCUGAAUUCUAGGGUUUCGCUGGCGAUUAGGGGGGAAAUGGGUUCCGCCGCGGAAGCAGCGGCGGUCUUGGAGACCAAAGGUGCCAAUGGGGCUAAGCCACCGGCUUCUCUUCCUCAGGUACUUUAAUCCCUAAUUUACCCCUGUGAUUCUUGUUCUUUCGAUGCUUUAGAUUAUAUGAGUCUAAUGGUUUCUUGAUUUUGUGUUAAAAUUUUGACUGCAAUUUUGUUGUGCCGUGAAUUUAUGAUAAUGGGUUGUAAUUAUAGGGGUUUUAGAUUUAGACUGCCCCUUUUGUUAAAUUAUGCAUUUGUGAUGUUGUAUCAUUAACCCCAUACGGUUUCUUUUGGUUUCAAAAUUUUGACUACUAUUUUUCGUGUUGUGAAUUUAUGAAUUUAGGGGUUUUAAGGUUCGUUUGGAAUUGCUUUGAAAAUGAUUGAAAGUAGUUUUGGUGAAAGUGAUAUUGGGUUCUAAAAGCAUUUAAAGUUCUUUUUUGAAGAAGCACUAGAUAUGUGUUUCUUGAAGGAAGCACUUUACGUGCUUUCCUAGAAUUCAUUUGGAUUUUUAUCAAGGAUUGAUUACAAAACACUUUCACUAAAAGCAUUUUUAGUCAUUUUAAAAGGGUUUUCAAUGAUCCCUUAGAUUUGAACUGUUAUUAAAUUAUGAAUUUCUGUUGUUGGAUUUUUGGUCCAACAAUAAAAAAAGAUGCUGGAUUUAUUUUUUAACAAGCGAUAUUGUAGAAGGGGGAAAUCGAACUCGAGACCUUGGGUGCAAGGGUUCAAAGAUGUUGGAUUUUUGGAUAUUUUUUAAAUGGUUUUUACCACCCCGUUUAUUGGGUUGGGAAUUUAUGAUUAUGGGUUAUACUUAUGGGGUUUUUAGAUUUAGGCUGCCUCUUGUUAAAUUAUGAAUUGUGAGGUUGGAUUUUUGGCUAUGGUAAUUUUUCUUAAAAAUGUUUUGGACUGCCCCUUUUAUUGUAUUAUGAAUUUAGAUUAUGGUUUUAAGGUUCUGACUGCCAUUUUAUUGUAUAGUGAAUUUGUGGUCAUGGAUUUAUGUUUAUGGUUUUUCACAUUUUCGAUGCCGUGUCAUCAUGUUAAAGAAUUAUGAACAAUGGUUUACAUUUAUGGGGUUUUUAGUUUACUGUCAUCAUAUUAUAUCAUGAAUCUGUAAAUAUGAUUUAUGAUUAUGAAUUUUCAAUUUUUCACUAACCUUUUACAGUAUUAUGAGUUCAUUAUGAUGGUUUCAGCCAAAGGCUACGUGCUUUCUCAUGAUUUUGUUUGCUUAAAUUUCUGUUUCUGCUUUGGAUUUGAUCCAGUUUCCAAAUCAAUUUAGAGGAUUAGUACAUGGAUCCUCCUCCUUCAUUGUCUUGCGCAUAUAUAUGUCUAGGUUCCGCCAAAUCUUGGCCUGGGUCUUGAUUUCACUUUUCAGUUAGCUUGUCAUUCCUUUGCCUAAUUUCUCUAAUUUUACUUUUGUGAUAGGAAUGACGAAGAAGAAGAAGAAGGGCAAACCAGCUUCCCAAAAGGCAGCACCUACUGGCUCCAAAACUAAGAAGCGAAAUUUGCCUCAGAGCACUGAAGAGCCUUCCAAGUCUCGGAAAAUGCCCAAGCGGGCUGCUGCAUGCACAGACUUUAAAGAGAAGUCUGUUCACAUUUCUGAAAAAUCUAAUCUUAUUGAAAGCAAGAAGGAUCGAGUAGUUGAUCAAGAAACUGAUGCUAUAGUCCUGACUUCUGGCGAGGACCAAGAUGCAGCACGCCCAAACAGACGGCUGACUGAUUUUAUUGUGCAUGAUGAAAGUGGGUUACCCCAGCCUCGUUGAGAUGUUGGAAGUUGCUGACAUGUUUAUAUCUGGUACUAUAUUGCCUCUCAAUGAAAGUUCUGACAAGGACAAGGAAAGAGGUGUUAGAUGUGAAGGUUUUGGGCGAAUAGAAUCUUGGAACAUCUCUGGUUAUGAAGAGGGCUCUCCUGUGAUAUGGCUCUCAACUGAUGUUGCUGAUUAUGAUUGUCGUAAACCUGCCAGCUUCUAUAGGAAAUACCAUGAUCAAUUCUUUGAGAAAGCGCGUGCUUGCAUAGAGGUUUACAAAAAGCUGUCAAAAUCCAAAUCUGACACUACUCUUGAUGAAUUACUUGCUGCCAUUGCUCGAUCAAUGAGUGGAACCAAAUUCUUUUCCGGUACUGCAGCUAUCAAAGAAUUUGUUAUAUCUCAAGGUGAGUUUAUCUAUGAUCAACUGGUAGGUUUGGAGGAAACAUCAAAGAAGAAUGAUCUGCCGUUUACAGAGCUGCCUGUUCUUGCUGCCCUUAGAGAUGAGAGCAGAAAGUGUGGAAGUUUUGUGCAAUCAAAACCGGCAACUUCAAGUGGAACUCUAAAGAUUGGUUCGGAAGUUAUAGGCGGAGAGGAUGGACUGAUUUCAGCCGGUUCAUCCAUAGUUGAAGCUGAGGAAAAUGAGGAUGUAAAGUUGGCAAGACUUUUGCAAGAAGAAGAGUACUGGAAGUCAAUGAAACAGAAAAAGCGUCAGGGUUCUGCCCCUGGUCGAGCAAAUACUACAUCAAAAUUAAUGAAGAUGAGAUUGCCAAUGAUUAUCCUCUACCUGCUUAUUACAAGAAUUCCAUUGAAGAAACUGACGAGUUCAUAGUUUUUGACAAUGACUAUGAUAUCUUAAAUGUUGAUGACCUUCCUCGAAGCAUGCUUCAUAAUUGGUGUCUGUACAAUUCAGACUCAAGAUUGAUUUCGUUGGAACUUCUUCCAAUGAAACCUUGUGCAGACAUUGAUGUUACCAUUUUUGGUCGGGGGUUAUGACUGGAGAUGAUGGAAGCGGCUUUUUUCUUGAUUCUGAUGGUUCUUCAAGUGGUCCAGGAGCAAAGGAUGCUGAUGGAAUGCCGAUUUACUUGAGUGCAAUAAAGGAGUGGAUGAUUGAAUUGGGAGCAUCAAUGAUCUCAAUAUCAAUCCGAACAGAUUUGGCCUGGUAUAGACUUGGACAGCCAUCUAAGCAGUAUGCUCUGUGGUAUGAACCAAUUCUAAAAACAGCAAAGGUUGGUAGAAGCAUAAUCACUUUGCUGAAAGAGCAAAGUCGAGUAGCACGGCUUUCUUUUGCAGAGGUCAUUAAGAGAUUGUCAGGGUUUCCAAAGGACCACUGUGCGUACAUUUCUUCUGAUCCGGCAUUUGUUGAGAGAUAUGUGGUUGUCCAUGGACAGAUAAUACUGCAACUGUUUUCAGAAUUUCCUGAUGCGCAGAUUAAAAAGUGCCCAUUUGUGGUUGGACUUACAAAGAAAAUGGAGGAGAGACACCAUACUAAGUGGUUGGUAAAGAAGAAGAAGGUUGUGGAGAAGAGUGGAUCAAACUUGAACCCGAGGGCAUCCAUGGGACCUGUGGUUUCCAAGAAGAAGGCAAUGCGGGCUACAACAACAAGGCUGAUCAACAGAAUCUGGGGGGAGUACUAUUUAAAUUACUCUCCAGAAGAUUCGAAUGAGGAGGAAGCUAAUGGUGAAAGAAAGAGGAGGAAGUUGAAGAAGAGGAGGAUAAGGAGGACAUAGAAGAGGAUGAUGAUGAAGAGAACGAUAAUGCAGCAGUAACGGAACAAGCCCAGAAGCCUAGUUCAAUUUCGAGACAAACUAAAUCAUGCUCCAACAACAAGGAGAUUCUGUGGGAUGGGGAGCCUGUAGGCACAACAUGUUCUGGCGAAGCUCUUUAUAUGCGUGCCAGUCUUCGUGGAGAUGAAAUUUCUGUUGGUGGUGCAGUCUUGGUAGAACUUGAUGGAUCAGAUGAACUUCCUGCCAUUUAUUAUGUGGAGUAUAUGUAUGAAACAAGAAAUGGAAGCAAAAUGUUUCAUGGGAGAUUGAUGGAACGAGGAUCUCAGACUGUUCUUGGCAACACUGCCAACGAGAGGGAGGUAUUUUUGACAAAUGAGUGCACAAACUUGGCAUUAAAGGUUGUUAAAGAGACAUCAGUUGUGGAUAUCAAAUUAUUGCCGUGGGGGCAUCAGUACAGGAAGGAGAAUGAGGAAGCUAGCCAAAAAGACAGAGAAAGGGCAGAAGAUAGGAAGAAGAAGGGAUUGCCAACUGAAUAUUACUGUAAAAGCUUGUAUUGCCCCGGGGAAGGUGCAUUCUUUAGCCUUUCCUGUGAUACCAUGGGUCUGGGUUCUGGUGCUUGCAACUCUUGCAAAGUGAACGAAGCUGAGGAGGCCAAGGAGAUUUUUAAAGUGAAUUCAUCAAAGACUGGUUUUGUAUACAGGGGAGCCGAGUACUCAGUUCAUGAUUAUGUCUAUUUAAGUCCCCAUUUGUUUUCUACUGAAAGGAUGGAAACUGAAACUUUCAAGGCUGGUAGGAAUUUGGGUCUGAGAGCUUAUGUUGUGUGUCAAGUGCUGGAGAUAAUUGGUACGAAGGAAUCUAAACGACCUGGACCAGAAUCUACCCAGGUUAAAGUGAGAAGAUUUUUCAGACCAGAGGACAUUUCGGUUGAGAAGGCAUACUGUUCUGAUAUUAGAGAGGUCUACUACAGUGAAGAAACACACCUUGUGACUGUUGAUGAUAUAGAAGGAAAAUGUGAAGUCAGAAAGAAGAGUGAUCUUCCAGUAUGCAAUGCUCCUGUCACUUUUGAGCAUAUCUUCUUCUGUGAGUAUCUGUAUGAUCCUUCUAAUGGGUCUAUCAAGCAGUUGCCGGCGGCCACCAAACUGAGGUACUCAACAGGAGGAGGUGGUGCGGAAUCUAGGAAGAGGAAGGGGAAAAUCAAAGAAGGAGAAGAUGUUUCAGAAGUUGAGAAACAGAGAGUUGAUGCUGAGCAGAAACGUCUAGCCACAUUAGAUAUAUUUGCCGGGUGUGGUGGCUUGUCUGAAGGGCUGCGUCAGGCUGGCAUUUCAUUAACCAAGUGGGCAAUUGAGUACGAAGAGCCUGCUGGUGAUGCUUUCAAACUGAACCAUCCCGAGUCACUGGUGUUUAUCAAUAACUGCAAUGUGAUCUUAAGGGCUGUAAUGGAGAAAUGCGGGGAUACAGAUGAUUGCAUCUCGACUUCCGAAGCUGCUGAUUUGGCUAAAUCACUUGAUGAGAAGGUUAAGAAUGAUCUGCCACUGCCGGGGCAAGUGGAUUUCAUCAAUGGAGGACCUCCGUGUCAGGGUUUCUCUGGAAUGAAUAGGUUCAACCAAAGCACUUGGAGUAAAGUUCAGUGUGAAAUGAUUUUGGCAUUCUUGUCCUUUGCUGACUACUUCCGGCCAAAGUAUUUCCUCCUGGAGAAUGUGAGGAACCUUGUGUCUUUCAACAAAGGACAGACUUUCCGUCUGACUCUGGCUUCCCUUCUUGAGAUGGGUUACCAGGUGAGGUUUGGUAUUCUGGAAGCUGGAGCUUAUGGAGUUUCCCAGUCACGGAAGCGAGCAUUCAUAUGGGCAGCUGCGCCCGAUGAGAUUCUCCCGGAGUGGCCAGAGCCAAUGCAUGUCUUUGGGUGUACCAGAGUUGAAGAUCAAUUUGUCAGGGAACUCAUAUUAUGCUGCUGUUCGAAGUACUGCAGGGGGAGCCCCUUUCCGUUCCAUAACUGUCAGAGAUACAAUUGGAGAUCUCCCAGCUGUAGGAAAUGGAGCUUCUAAGGUCAAUCUGGAGUACGAAGGUGACCCCAUCUCAUGGUUCCAGAAGAAAAUGCGAGGGGAGAUGACUGUUCUGACUGAUCACAUUUCGAAAGAAAUGAAUGAGCUGAAUCUCAUUCGCUGCCAGAGGAUUCCAAAGCGGCCAGGUGCUGAUUGGCAAUGCCUUCCAGACGAAAAGGUGAAGCUCUCUACUGGACAGAUUGUUGACUUAAUCCCGUGGUGCCUGCCCAACACGGCCAAGCGCCACAAUCAGUGGAAGGGCCUGUUCGGAAGGCUUGACUGGGAAGGCAACUUCCCAACCUCCAUCACAGAUCCCCAGCCAAUGGGAAAGGUGGGAAUGUGCUUCCACCCUGACCAGGACAGAAUUCUGACAGUUCGGGAAUGCGCUCGGUCUCAAGGAUUCAGGGAUAGCUACCAGUUUUCGGGCAACAUUCUUCACAAGCACAGGCAGAUUGGAAAUGCAGUUCCUCCUACUUUGGCCUAUGCGUUGGGACGAAAACUCAAGGAAGCAGUGGACAGCAAGAACAAGGCAGAGGAGUAGUUCGUGGUCGUGUUUUUCUAUGUUGUUGUAAAUAUGUUGUUCCAUUUCGUGGCCGAAAAACCACAGUUGUCUUUCAUCUUUUUAUUUGCUCUGGCUGUUUACUUGGCCUUUGAACUUGUAGAUUUCAAUUUCAAUACACACAGGCAAUUUACAUAAAGAAAAAAUUUAUUUGAAUUCAUAUAACCUCUUUUUAUAUCCAUUUUACUCUCUACAUUCAUAUUAUUUUUAAUUAAAUUACCGAUAUCUUUUUAAACUCAAAGUCACUAUCUAAAUUAGUAUGUAAAUUUAUUUUUACAUCCAUUAAAAAAAAAAAAAACUCAAAAUGAGUAUUAAUGAAUGUUUGGCAACUCAUUCAAUUUUAAAUCUUUUGGUUGAAACAAGAGAGUAGUAAAAUGAAUGAUGUUAAUUCAUCCACGCAAAGGUUCAGUAUUAUACUCUUACACAAAAUUAUCUUCAGAAUAAUCAAGUGCUGUUUGUGAAAGUUUAGAGAUUACUGUGAUUGUUAGUACUAUAAACUCUUGAAAUCAAAAUUAUUUAUCAUUCUAAUGCUUACUACUGCUUAUCUACAUACAUAUAAAAAAAUUAAAAAAAUACGAACUUUUGUUUUAUCUGAAGUCUUAUAGUUGAAUUCUCAAUUGCACAUUCAACACUUGUUCAUCGGGUGCGUAACAUUCAACUACGAAGCAGAAAUUUUAAAGUAUCCAAAACCGUGAAGUUAGCUGUUUCAGAUUGGGCCGCGUAGCACGGCAACAUCGAUUGGCAAGGAUCAUGUGUGGUGGGUCCCGGGUUGAAUCAUGACAUGUCACGUGUCCACGUGUCCUUUGCUGAAGCUGUCCCAGGAAGGUAAAUUUUCUGUCAUGUGGUACAAAUCUUGAAAGAGAGUGAGUGAGUGAAAGCCAAGUCAAAGCGUCAACAAUUUUUUUCACCUAAUGGUUUCAGAUCUCCUAAUCAACGCCCACGUGUCCACACCAGCAGUUAUUGUAUUUUGUCCUUGAAAAACCGCUUAUAAUCUUGUCCCGUUGCUCCGCUCUUCCAACGUAAAUUGGAAAAACGGCAAUUAACGGCUCAUUUCUUACGCUUUCCACUCUCUCUCUCUCUCUUUCUCUCUUUUCUUCUUCUUCCUCCUUGGCCUCUCUCGUCGUCGGUUAUUUCAAAGCAGGUAGAGCAAUUUGGCUUCUCAGCCGUGGGAUUUAUUUUUGUUGGUCUGAGAUUCUGAGGACAGCACAGAUCAUCAUCCAUGUUUGUCAGAAAGCUUGUGGAGAAGGCUUCCAAGAAGGUAAGUGAUCAUCUUCUUCCCUCUCUUCGUUUUUUAAACUUAGAUCUCAACGUUUUUAACCAACUGAGUUACAAUCGGCUUGUAAACGUUUUUUUUGAGUACGUGAUGAUUUUGAUCCAUUCUUCUCAUCCUCCCUCUUCUUGUUCUUGUUUUUGUCAAAAAGGAGAAAUAGGGUAUUGGAUUACAAUUUUGAUUAAGAUAAUAGAUUGUCAGGCAAAUAAAGUUGUUUGUUAUCAUAUAUGUUGCAUCUUUUGCCGUUGGAUGCACGUUGCUUCCCAAUUUUUAAUAAUAAUUUUUGAACUUUGGUAGUAGUUGAGAGUUUAGAUUGUUUCAAAAUUGUCAGUUGAUGUGUGAGUGUGUUUGUUAGUAAAAAAAUGAGGUAAAAAACAUUGAACAAAUAGUACACUUCCAUAUUUAGAGGAAAGUUUUCUAUGGCUACAUAUAUGCACAAAUGGGAUGAAAUUUAUUUUAGAAUUUUCAUGAUUAAUUCGCAAUUAAGUGAUUGGAUUUGUUUUAAUUUCCCAUUCGCUUGAUAUAGACCAAUUUUUUAAAUCAAAUUUGUGUCAUCAAUAGAAAAUAAGUACGUUAAAUAAUAUUUAAGUAAUAAUUCAAUUUUUAACAACCACGUUAUAUAAUUUACAAAAUUUAAUAUAAACAGUUAUUCAGUCUCUCUAGCAUUAACUAAUAGAAAAAGACCAACUCACAGAUGGAGUGUGACAUAUAAAGGUAUAUGUGUCGGUUUGGUGGAUGAGAGACGUUACUAAAAUUAGUAUACUGUAAUGCGUUGCUUUACCCAUUUAAUGAGUCAAUAUUUUGGGAAAAAAAGAGUGAAUUUUAACUAAAAGCACCGGGUACUGUUCACUUUAACGAAAAAUCACAUUUUUACACUAAAAAGUCAAUCCUGGUACUAUUCACUUUACCCUUUAUUUUGUCCUUAUCAUUAAAAUUCAAAGUUUUAGAGGUCGCACUUGGUGCGAUGGCAAGUGCCUUCGCCCAUGAGCGGUAGGUCUCGGGUUCGAGACUUGGGAGCAGCCUCUUCAUAAAAUGGGGGUAAGGCUAGCCGACAUUCACCUCUCUCAGACUCUGCGUAAAGCGGGAGCCUUGUGCACUGGGUACGACCUUUAUUAAAAUUCAAAGUUUUCAAGCCAUUUUCAUUAGUUUUCCUAAAAAAAAACGUUUUUAAUAGGUGGGGCCUUGUGAAGAGGUGGCCGGUUGGAUAAGAAACAAGCCAAUAUGCUUUCAUUUUCAUACUUUUCAUAACAAGAAUAUGUAGAUAAUACUUUAAUUAAUUGAAAAUAGUCCAUAGUUUUAACUUUAAUGUCGUUUUGGGCAUUGUCUUAUCCAAUUUGGCAUUCAAUUAGACAAAAGCUAUUCGUGUGCUUUUAGGUCACGAAAAAAUCUUCAAUACGAGCAUCCUGACUAUGUGUAUGGUCCGUAUGCACAUACAUAAAAGCACUUGUUUCACUAUAAUCUUUCACACACACGUAAUUUUCACUAUUUCUAUUUGUUACAGUGCGUCACAGCCUCACUGAAUACUUUUUGCUAAAUAUAAAUAACACUUGUGAAAUUGUAAGCAUCAGUAAGUUUCGUUUGAACUUGUUUUAUAAAAAAAUCAUGAUAGUAUUCCUAUAUCCUAUUGAGUUUACUUGUCUUGAUAUCCUUCCUCUUUUCCUUUUUGACUCCUCCUUCUUACAAGGGGAAUGAGACCUUAUUAGAAACCUCACCUUUUCAGUUGGUUUCAACACUAACUUAGGUCUCAAGUAUUUAGCUCCCUUUUUAACUUUUAUUAAAGGCGUUCAAAAUCCCCACCCUAAUGUAAAUAGCUGCCACGUACCCACCAUAAAAAAAAAUUCUUAUCCUUAAUAGAUCAAUGACAUAGGUCAUAUCGUACUAAAUCACCGUCGUAAUUUGAGUGAUAGAGUAUUUAUCUCAAUUCAUAAGACAAGAGUUCAUUUCCCUUCUCAGAAUAAAGAAAUUACUGCUACCCAAAUAAAUCUUAUAUUCUAAUGUGUGUCAUCUUUCGAUAUUUCUCAUGUAAUUAACAAGUAACAAUAGCCACUUAGUACUACGGUCUAAUAAUAUUCUUCUUUACUGGGAAGCGAGAUGUCUUAGAUUCGAUUUUUGCCAAAGACGAAUUUGAACCACAUUAUUGUGAGGUUAAGUCCACCUCUUCCACUUAGUGUAGAUAUAACAAUAUAUCAAAUUUCUUUGCUACAUAUUUUAUUAAUUUGUCUUUAUGCAUGUUUUUUAAUGGAUAUAUAUAUAUAUAUAUAUAUAGAAUAGUCAACUUAUAGCAAAUAAAAAAAGGAAAAGAUUAAUAAUUUUGGUAAAUAGUAAGGAGUAAAGAUCUAAAAGACGUCCAUGUGAUGGGCGGUGGAUCAAAUAUUUAUUUAUCUACAAAAGAGAUUUUGUGGGCCCAAAUUUAUAUCAAAGUGAGAAAAUGGGCCGGGAUGUGUGUGCCCAUUACGAGCCCACGAGCAAACUGGUCCAAUUACUCUCCUCUUCCAUCCACUGCCCAACGAGUUUCUACCGUCCGAUUUGUCGACCCAUAUCAUGCUCAAAGAGAGGGAGAAACUCAAUGACACACUAUUCAAAUUUACCUUUUUUGGGUAAAACAACGGGGCUAAACGCCCAACAAAGAAAAACUAAAGCAAAACAUCAAGAGGUUUGGAGAUUCCAGCAAUGUCCGACACUAGGAAAUGUCGAUAUUCAAACUAACUUUAUUACUCACGUAAUAUAUCUGGUAAACUCUUUAUCUACUCGUACUUGUGGGUUAGGUCAAUUUCAUCAGUGCAGUUUACUUGCCUCCUUGCAUUUGAAUUUGAAUGUAUUUUUUGUAAAAGGAGGCAAGUAAACUGCAAUAAAGGGACCCUUUUGAAAUACAAUAGAUGUGAUUUUCUAGUGGAAAAACACUCUUUUUAGACUCAAAGUAGUUUUUUAGGGAGGGAGAAGGUUGAACAAAUACCUUAAAUAUAUGAGCGAAGAUUCUAAACCGUUUGAGCUACAAGUCACUUGGUAUAGACUAAAACUUUGUCCUUUUUGUUGGUUUUGAGAGUUUAUGUUGUUGCUUUUGUGGCAAUGAACAGUUGAUGACAGUAUUAAAUUAAAAAUCAGAUUUAUCUAUUUGUCUCUAGAGGCAGUUUAAGAGUUAACAUUACUUAUUUGUCAUCUAUUUUGUAGCCUGGAGGAAAUUCUGAUGGUGUUAAAGGCAGUGAUAUCGAUCCACGUGUAGUAUUCCAUCAUGGAAUACCAUCAGGCUGUAACUUGUUGGCUUAUGACUCCAUCCAAAAAUUACUUGCAACUUCAACCAAGUGAGUCCAUUUCUUCUACCAAAAUUAGUAUUACCGGCUUUCAGAAAUUUUCUCUGCAAGAUGCCGUUCUUUAAUACAGAUUGGGCGUGGCAUUGAUAUUGUCAAUAAUCAUCGACACAUUAUCAAUGACAUAUCAUUAGCUAGACUGUAUUGCUGUUCAUGUUUUGUCCAAAUAUUAGUCUUCGUUUUGAUUACGAUAAUUUCUUUGACAUUUUCAGGGAUGGCAGAAUCAAAUUGUUUGGCAAAGAUAACACUCAAGCUCUACUUGAGUCUGUCAAUGCAGUUCCAAGCAAGUUCUUACAGGUGCUGUACAAAUAUUACGUGUUGCUUUCUUUGAUUUCCAACUUUUUUGUUUUGGUUUUCAUGUUAAUGUAAUGCAAUUUAGAGCCCUUCUUGUUUGUCUCGAAAUGUUUAGCAGUUUUUUCUUUCAUACGUUGUAUUUGUAGUCUGAUAUUAUUGGUGAUGUUAUUAUCCAGUUUAUGGAGAACCAAGGGAUCCUUAUAAAUGUAAAUAUUAGAAACCACAUUGAGGCAAGUUUCUGCACUAUGCUUUCCUCUGAUAUAUUUUUCAUUGUUCGAUGAAUGAAUGAUCGAAACUUAGCUUUUAGCUUUGUUUAUCUUCCGCAUUUAAUAGUUAUUUUGCAACGUUGUGCCUAGGUUUGGGACAUUGAAAAGAACCUGUUUGCUGAUGUUCAUCCUUUUCAAGAAGAUAUAACCUCGUUCACUGUUAUGCAGCAUAGCCCAUACAUGUAAGUGUGUCAUUUUUAAUUGUGAUAGAUCAAGCAGAUAGGCAGGUUCAUUUGUUUCGAGUAAUUUGUGUAUUGGACAACUGUGUUUGCAGGUAUGUUGGAGAUUCUGCUGGUAAUGUUACGGUUUUGAAGCUUGAGCAAGAACAUAUAGUCCAAAUGAAAUACACUAUACCCUACUCAGUUUCUCAUGGUCAGAUGAAGUCCUUCCCUAUUCCAUUUUUUAUGCUCAGUAGUCACAUACAUAGAUUUUAUCGUCUUUGUUUCGUUCUGAAAUUUGGGUAUGCAAGCAUUUUCUUUCCUGUCCUAACUUGCUGAGUCAUAUCAUCAGGGAAUAAUCCAACUGAAGUUGCUGGUGAUACUGCUGUGAUGCAUAUACUGCCUCAACCAACAGCUGAAAGUAAGAGGUAGCCUCACCAAACCUUGCUCCUCUCUCUCUCUCUCUUUAAGCGGUAUCGAAACACUUGGUUAUACUUUAAUUCUUGAGUCAUGUGUAUCAAUGCAGGGUUCUGAUAAUUUUUAGAGAUGGCAUAAUAUCAUUAUGGGACAUUCGAGAAAGCAAAUCUGUAUACACAGUGGGAGGAAAUCCAUUGCAAUCACUUCAUCAGGAAGGGAAAAAGGUGACCUCUGCAUGCUGGGCAUGUCCCUUUGGGAGUAAAGUUGUUGUUGGCUACAAUAAUGGAGAGAUUUGCAUCUGGAGUAUUCCAAGAACUGAAUUUCCUUCAGAGUCUAGCACGCAAAGUGCUCCAAUAUCCAAACUCAAUCUUGGAUAUAAGUUGGACAAAGUGCCUAUAGCAUCACUGAGAUGGGCUUAUGCCGAUGGGAAGGCAAAUCGGUUAUAUGUUAUGGGCGCGUCUGACACUGCAUCUUCAAACUUGUUGCAGGUAUUUGGACUUUUAAAUCAUUAGUAACAUGUGCAUAACUGAGUGAGGUGAAAAUUUGACUUUUUUGUUUUGUUUUGUUUUGAUGAGGCAGGUAAUUCUGUUGAAUGAGUAUACCGAAGGUCGAACUAUCAAAUUAGGGCUUCAACCGCCGGAGCCUUGUGUUGACAUGGGGAUCAUUUCAAGCUUUAGUGAGCAAAGCAAACAUAGGCAAGACUGUUUUCUUUUGCUUGGUAACUCAGGACAUCUUUAUGCCUAUGAUGAUCGUUCCAUCGAGAAGUAUCUUGUACAAAGCCAAUCUAAGUCUUCGCCUUCGUUACCAAGGGAUAUCAUGGUGAAGAUACCAUUUGUUGACUCAAAGAUUACCAUAGCAAAAUUCAUCACACAAAAUACCCACAUGCUAAGUUCUGCAGAUGAGGUAAUAGGACCGUUUAAGAUUAUGUACCGAAACACUCUUUUAUUUAGCAGAUUAUCAUUAGUCUGGAAAGUUUGUAAUGUGGUACUUUGAUUUCUUUGGUUGCAUAGGACUACCUUCUGCUGGCGAAAAGCUUUCCAUCUCUCCUUUCUUUCGAGACAAAACUGAAAGAUGGGACUCAGUUAAAUGCAUCCCGUUUUACUGGAUUUUCAAAAGUCAAAAAUUUGUACAUAACUGGACACAGUGAUGGAGCCAUAAAUUUUUGGGAUUUGUCAUGUCCACUUUUAAUACCAAUUAUAUCAUUAAAGCAACAGGUAACAACAUUCCAUCUGUUAUUGCUCAUAUUAAUACAUUAUGCUUACAAAUCGUGUAGUAUUCGAUAUCUUUGGACUACUGUGCUUACUUGCUCUCCUGUGGCCAAUCCCAUUAAACAAAAUGCAGAGUGAGGAUGAUCUUUCUUUAAGCGGUAUACCACUCACAGCGUUGUUUUUCGAUUUGAACUCCCGGCUUCUUGUUUCUGGAGAUCAGAGUGGAACAGUAAGUACCAUCUUCGAUUCAUUUGGUGACUUAUGAUCAAUUAAUUUAACCACUUUCAGAAAAAAAAUUUGGACUAUAUUUUAUAUAUAUAUAAGUGAUUUUCAGGUUCGAAUCUUUAGACUCAAGCCAGAACCAUAUGCCAACGUGAGCAGUUUCCUGUCUCUUCAAGGUAUGAUUAAGAAACGGCCUUAUGAAUGUCACAUUUUUACUGCAAAAGAAGUACAUUACAAAUGUCCUUAUGACUUUCACAUACUUCUGGGCAGGAAGUACAAAGAAAGGAAACGAUCACAUCAUCCAAAGUGUGAAACUUUUUAAGGUUAAUGGUUCUGUAGUUUCUGUGAACAUAAAUCACAGCACAGGACAUCUUGCUGUCGGGUCUAGUAAAGGAUAUGUAAGCUUGCUAUCCUAUAACUACUUUUAUAAAUAAUUUUCCGAUCUUCUCCUCCUUCCCAACAUAUGCUUAUUAUCAGGUUUCGUAGAGCUGGAAUGUAAUUCUGAUCCAUGUGAGUUUGUUUUCCUCGCAGGUUUCGGUUAUUGAUAUAGAAGGGCCAACUCUGUUAUAUCAAAAGCAAAUUGCAAGUGAAAUAUCCACCGGCAUUGUCUCCCUGCAUUUCCAAACCUGCAGUUUUCAUGGUUUUGACAAGAACAUCUUAGCGGUUGCAACAGAGGACUCAUCCGUUUUGGCUCUUGAUAGUGAUAAUGGAAACACAUUGAGCACCAGUUUGGUUCAUCCUAAGAAACCCACCAGAGCACUUUUCAUGCAACUCUUGGGUAAGUUCUACACACUUUUAAGGGUGAAAGUAUGCGAUUUUCAAGUCCUGAAGCAUUGAAAAGUUGCACAACGAGUAAAUUUUUUGUGAUUGUUACACAGAUGCGCAUGAUACACUGGUAAACAGAUCGAAUAUAUUGAACGGUCUUGAUUUGAUCAAAGGGAGUAGUACAGUUGACGACACCACACAAAAGCAGUUUCUGCUACUGCUGUGUUCUGAGAAGGCUGCAUAUAUAUACUCCUUCACACAUAUCAUGCAGGUAACUAGUAGUUUAGUUUAUGCAGGCACUGUGAAUUGUAGAACAGUUUUAUCUGAUUCUUUCAUUUUCGACUUUCUUUCUUUUAUCUCAGGGAGUUAAGAAGGUAAUCUACAAGAAGAAGUUCCAAUCAUCUUGCUGCUGGGCAUCAACAUUUCAAACCUCCAAUGAUUUAGGCCUUAUUCUCCUUUUUACAAGUGGAAAAAUUGAAAUAAGGUAGUGAUUUUCGUAGUCUAUUUUUUCGAUUUUUUUUUUUCAACAGUAGAUUAUGACCCUACAAACCUUCUUGUGAAAUGUUAGGUCCUUGCCAGAUUUAUCCUUCAUAAAGGAGACUUCAAUAAGAGGCUUCACAUACUCCACUCCAAAACCAAAUUCAUUUUCUGACAGUUCGAUAUGUUCUUCGUGCGAAGGAGAACUUGUUAUGGUAUAAAAGCGUAAUCUAACCUUUUUAGUAUCAGUUUCUUGAGAGACAAUUCAGAGAUAUAUUCUUCAUUUGCUCUACUUUAUCCUUGCGCAGGUGAACGGUGAUCAGGAAAUAUUUCUCUUCGCUCUUUUGCUCCACAACAACAGCUUCAGGUAUAUAUAUAUCAUAUACACAUCCUUGAAAGUUUCUUAUACUUGAUUGAAUAAUUCUUACUAAAAUGUGAGUUAUUCUAGGCUGUUAGACUUUUUGAACUUGACUUACCAGAAAGAUUUGAUAGUUUCACAAGAAGAGCUUGUCGCUGGAUGUGCCACUCCAAAGGAGAAGAAAAAGGUAUACAGGGAAAAGAAACCAUACCAAUUCUGCCUGCUGUGUUUUGGAAUGAAAUGUUUCAUAAACUUUGUUUUCUUGGCAGGGUAUAUUUAGCUCAGUCAUUAAAGAUAUCGUGGGAAGCAAACCGAAGAAUGUACCUGAGAUAGAAACUGCAGAUACUAGAGAAAGUAUCGAAGAACUUUCAGCUAUCUUUUCAACUGCUAACUUUCGAGUUGACGCUGAGAAUACAAAUCACCAGGCUGUGGAUGAUGAUGAUCUUCAGCUAGACCUAGGUAUGCAUAUGACUGACAUCAUACAAUAUUCUAAGUGAAUGAUUAUCUGCACUUAAAUUCAAGAAAGUUUAGCAUUUCAAUCCGAAUGGAUAUCGGGAAAAGUCAUUUAAUGAAUUUUAAUUUUUCCUUAAAGAUGACAUUGACAUCGACAUGGACAUGGACAUUCCUGGAGAAAAACCGAAAGAGCAGAGUAUGUUGGCAGCUCUGAACAAGGAGAAGUUGACAAGCAAAUUUAUGGCCUUUAAAGGUCAGUCCAACCUAGAUGACAUGAACUCAUCGAUCAGAUUUUCAUACGCUUUCUUACUUGAUAAACCUUUCAAUCUACAGGUAAAGUGAUGAAACAGAUGAAGUCGAAAAAUGAGAAGAACUCCGGUAAGCAGGAAGAGCAACAGGAUGAGAAGGUUGGUCAAGUUGACGAAAUUAAGAAGCGAUAUGGAUUUUCGUCAAGUGUAAGCACACAUCCUUUUGCAUGCAUGUCUCUCGACUAACGAAUAUUUUGCUUACCACAGUAAUUGCACGACGAACUUUUACCCUAACCAUGCACAUAGCACUGAUAUUUUUCACCUUGGGCGACGAAACAAUCCAUUUACCUAGAUGUUGUGGGGUUUUACUAUUCUGCAGGAAUCAAACGUUGCUAAAAUAGCACAAAGCAAGCUGCAGGAGAAUACGAGAAAGUUGCAGGGCAUUAACCUAAGAGCUACAGAUAUGCAAGACACAGCUCAAUCAUUCUCAUCCUUGGCGAAAGAAGUGUUGCGAACCGAACAGGAUAGGCGAAACUCAUGACCCCGACUCAGCUCGUCUUUGAAAUCGAACUGAAAUUAUACGUUCUUGUUCAUUUGGUUUGUUUUUGGGUUUGAAAUCUAUCUUGUUUGUUUGAUACACAGUUUUCUUUAUUUCUUUGCACAUAAUGGAUGUAAAAAACAAAGAAACUUCUGCAUAUAUAAUCAGGAAAUUUGAGUUGCAUGGAUGAAAUUAUUCUCUCAGUCUAGCAGCCUUUUGCGCUCUUCUUUUUUUCUUGGGGAUUAAGCAGCUAACAUAAAGCCGGAAGAUGCGAUUUUGUAUAUUUGAAAAGGCAUAAAAAUGAUGGGAUACACAUGCAAACAUAACCAGUUAUAAAAUUUCAAUAAAAAUUAGACAUUGAGAGACAUUUAACUGGCAUUAAGUUGCAUAUAAACCACACGUUGUGACCCUUUAUUCAUGUCUUACUGUCCUCGAGUUUAAUUUUUUAUUAUAAGUUUGUGAACUAAGAUCAUGCUGAAAUUCAAAAAGAAGAAUGCACUAUUGAUUUUUACUUCACAGUUCGUACGUCUAAUUAACUCAUUAAAAACGCAAAAAUAAAAAUUUGCACACAUAUCAAACUGCGAGUGCAAACCUCAAUCUACUUCAAGUUGAACUGAGCCGGGCUUUCUUGGAGAAGAAGUUUCUCUUUGCUUAUGAUGAUGUUUGGAAUCAAAAUUAGGACCAGUGGGGUUCCUUAACGUGUCUGUUUCAAUCUGGAUGUACCGCAGCAAUGAUUGGUACAUCGCUCCUUACCAUCUAGAGGGAAUAUCUGACGCAGAUUGCUGGUUGUUAUUUUCCAGGCAUGCGUUUACAAGUUCAGGCAUCAACAAUGCUCGUCUGCGCGCAUUCUGAACAUCUUCGGGAUGUUAAAAGAAAAAUUGUUAGCAAGUGUGACGGUCUUCCUCUUGCGGCCAAGUCACUUGGGGGUCUCCAACGGCGUUAACCAAAUGUGAAGAUAUGGGAAAGAAUAUUGAAGAGUGAUAUAUGGGACUUGUCAGACCAAGAGAGUAGCAAUCUACCGGCUGCUCUCUGGUUGAGUUACCAUUAUCUACCUCAACAUCUCAAGCGUUGUUUUGUGUAUUGUUCAUCUCAAACCGCAUGCGUUGUUUUGCAUUGGCUUGUGACCCGUUACUCAUGUCCUACCGUCCCUCAAGUUCCAUUUCUGACUAUAUGUUGGUAAAAUAACAAUAUCAUGCUGAAUUUCGGAAAGAAGAUGUGCACUAUUGAGUAUUUAUUUUUGAAAAUACCAUAUGAGCUCCUUCAAGUCUUACAAUUGAGGAUGAUUAACGACCACAGUUAUUGUUUACUCAACAAAGCUACCAAAUGGGAGUAUAUCUCUUCUUUAACAGCAUCCCUGUUACCUUUGCUCAGCGUAAACAUUGUUGCCCCCGGAUGAUUCUUCAACCUUGCAACUGCACAAGUUCAGAAACCCUGGUCAUAUACAAAUUAGAAACAAAGAACAGGAUGGCUUAAACCUAACAUCAACUUCGCCAUUGUCUAUACUCUCUAGUUUUGUUCGGUCACCAACUCCACCCCGUGUGACAAGCAAUACAUAGUGAAAAAACUCGCCCAAAAAGAAACAGAUUUUCCACCUUGAAUUUACUAUGUUCGGAUGAAAAUCAUACAUAUCAUCAUGAUUCUAAAACUGUUAGAACAUAAACCAAAAUUAGAGCAAUUGUGCAGUACAGCAGUGGUGUAACAAGCCAAGCAAAAUAAUGGAAUACUUGAGGAAAGUGCACCUGCAGGUAUAUCACGACCGAAUUUUGGAAUUGGGACUGUGGCCAAAAACGGGACAUUGGACUCCAGAAUCCUUAAAACACAAGGGAAGAACGAUGAACUGAACAACUCCAUCUUCCCAACUUCAUCAACGAUGAAUAGAUCGGUAUCUUCUCUUACCUGAUAACACAUCACAAAAGGAUGACACAAUUCAAAUAGUCAAAUGCCAUAGCCGCAUGAUGCUUGAAAACAAUGUGACAAGAAAAAAGUUUCACAAAAUACCGCAAACGUGAAGGCCUAAAAGUUAACUAAAUAGCGAAGAGGGGGUGGCGAGAGUUGAUCAGUAAGCAAUGAAAAAACUCAUCCCACCUGCAAUUCAGGCAGUGCCAGUGACUCAAACGACGCAACAUCUACUUUGUACUUCCCCACGGUAGGCCAUCUCAAAGACUCUGGGCUGACAUACAAAAACUUGUUUUAGGGUUUAAUGCUAUGUAGCCGAAUAAUAUGAAUGAAUGUAUACUUAAUUAGUACAGUAGAACCCCGCAUAUUGUUAAUGUUAGCGAAAAACACUUACAAGAAUAAAACUAUGAAAAUCCAAAAAGCGCUCGACUAUCAACUGUUAAUGUCCGGUGCGGUAACAAUCGGGCGCAACAACAGUUGGGUCGAUGGAUUUCAUCUUCAAAAUGGUUUAUGAAGUGUUUUUUAACUAGGAAAUGGAGUUAUGGAAACUGAAGCAACAAACAUUUAGAAUGGAUGAAAAGGAAGACCUGGAAAUGGUGGAGGAUGAGAGGGGAGCUGUACGGCCGUCCAACGUGACCACCUGGAACCCCACUCUCUCACUUCCUUCUCUAACCUCACCUACGCAUUACGAUUACAAAAAUCUAUAUGAUGUAAAUACAUACGAAGAAAAUUGAAAAUUAAGAGAGAGAGAGAGAGAGAGAGAGAGAGAGAGUUACUAGUGUAGAAACCCUGAAUUUUUAAGUUUGGAUAUGAUGCUUUUAGGGUUUCAAACACUCUCAUUACUAAAGUGCUUUUGCCCACACCCUGCACCAGGAAUCAGCAUCAUCAUCGCCAACCGAAAGCACUUUUGAGAAAAGCAUUGAAUAAAUAGAAAUAUGAAAUCAAAAUUUGACUGGAAAUUGCUUAGCUUACAGGAGGUCCAGUCACCAGCAAGCACUUUCCGGGGCCGGCCAUCUCCUCCCUCUUCCACUGUCGUUCGUUUCUACCCCCGCUCGAUCGGCCAACGUGACUAAGUUUACAGAAAGAACGACAGGUCGUUGCGGAAGAGAGGGUACUGAGUUGAUUUCAUUACUGCAUUGGGCUGGGUGUGUUGGAGGAAGAGUUAAGGUCCGCCCAGGCCUAAAUAAGCCCAAUAAACUUGAGCUUACCGAGGGGAAUUAUUAUUUUUUUAUUUUUUAAUCAUAGAGUAAUCAUAAUAAAAUGGGACCUUUAAUUAAAAUAUUUCUAACGAAAAAUCAUAUUUUUACACUAAAAAAUCAAUCAUAAUAUUAUUCAUUUUACUUUUUAUUUUAUAAUUACCGUUAAAACUCAAUAUUAAAACACACCGACAAUAAUUUGGAGGAUUACUAAGUGCUUUGAUUUGGGGAUCUGGUUAUGGAGUCACGCGAUCUGUUAUCUUUUUAGCAUAAUUUGGGGAUUUAGUUAUAGAGGAUCCAAUGUAAUUUAAAAAAAUAUAUAUAAAAUAAAACAGAGGAUGCAGCAAAUAUAUAUUUUGUCGGCCACAAAUGGAAUCAAAUACUUUAUAUACUGAUUUUUUUGGUUAAUUAUUUUCUCCAUCUUAUGAUUUGCAUAAAGUCGUAAUAUUUAAUUAUUUUCCUUUAAUUGACUCUCCUCAUGUUGGUUGCAUAACCUCAAAUUCAAAUCUCAAGCGCAAAAGUACCGUUUAAAUUAUCCAAAAGCGUUUUUAACACUUCCAAAAUGCAUCUACAAGCAUGCCCAUUCUCAUCACGAACAACGCCCAUUGGUAAAAACUUUUGCAAGUGGUCAUGUUAAAACUCACGGUAGCGACAUCAGCUUGUAUAACACAGGUUCAUUGAAAUCGUGGCAUCUCAUGCCAUUGUAGGUCAUCCCUCGUUCUAUAGCACGAGUAUAUUGCAAACGUAGCAUCCCGUGCCAAUGUCGAUCUCUCCAAGAGAGUUUGAUUGAGAGUGAAAUACCGCCAUAUUAACAUCUCAAUUGUCGUCUAAGACUUAUCUCAAACAGUAAUCAGACCCCAAUGGGAGAAUUUCUCACCCCAAUUGUUCCAUCAUCCAGAGGCAAAGUAAAUCACCAUCCCCAAGAUAAAGUCAAACACUACAAGAAGGGUAAACUCAAACACCAAAAUCAUCCCAUCACAUACAACAAGAUGAACAAUGACAAACAUUCAUACAACCCAAAUCCCCAAAUGUAGACUAAACAAAUCAUAUUACCAAGUCAUCAAGCAUACUAAUCACGGCUUAAAUGCUAAUUAAACGAAAACCAUACACCAAAUUGCAGAACAAGAAACUAACAAACGCGUUAUAUAACGAAGGCAAACUGAAAUUCAUUGAACAUAAGGAGGAUCAUUAAGUACAGAAAUGACGACAUUGGAAUCGCGGGGAGAAGACGAUCCUGAAACUGAAUCCGAUUUUGUUUUUGUGUUUUCCUAAAAACUAACCCCUAAAACAAAAGGUAGAGAGCCAGCAACUUAUCCCAUAGUGAAGAAAAGGUGCAGGCAGGCCUUUGAAUUAUCUUCUAAGCAACCCUACACAUAUCGCUUCUCCCCCUCCAUUCAAUUCCCGUUGCUCUACUCAUCGUCGUCUUCCUCCUACAACACAGCCAGCAGCCAACACAAACAAUUAAGUAACUAAUUCAACUAACUGAACAUGCGAAACAAUGAAAAAAAAAAAACCCACAAUGUGAACUCGAUUAAUCGAAAACACAACUGACCUCGCCGCUCUCGUCCUCAUCCUCAUCAUCAUCAUCAUUUACCUCAGACUUGGACUUGUCAGACUCUUCUUCGUCAGCUUCAUUAGGUCCUUCAGCCUAAUUCACAUAAACAAACCAACAAAGUCUCACAAAUAUCCUCAACCCGAUAACUAAACGAAUUAAACGAAAGCUGGAACAACAGCGCUUACUAAUUGCUUGUUGUAUGCCUGAAUGUUCUUGUUAUACUCAACCUUCCUCUUAUCUGCCUUGGCUUGAUAAGGAGCUUUCUCCUGAUUAAUUCAAGGACAGAACAAUCAAAUCAAUAAAAUCCAACACCAAAAUUCACCAAAUAAUUUCGUAUUACUCACUAAUCGAUGAAAUUAAAACGAUAAUUGAACACUCACAGCAUCUGACAACGAUUUCCAUUUCUCACCGCCAGCCUUACCGACCUGUUUGGUUUCGAUUAAACAAAAUCAAAUUUAAUUUGUAUAAAUUUAAACUCUAAUUAAUUAAUUAAAUAAUCAAAUCAACUAAUCAGAGAGUAAAAUCCAGAACAAGUUCGUAGAUCUGAGAUGAUGAGAUUUGACUUACAGCAGCAACCGACUUGUUGUUUGGAUGAUCCUUCUUGUACUUCUCUCUGAACUCCUCCCUGUUCAAGUACGAAAUAAAAGUAAAAUUCAGUAAAACAAAUCUAAAAAAAAAAGAUAGAUAGAGAAAAAGUCAGAUCUGGAAAUUCAACCGAAGAGAGAGAAAGAUAGUUGACCGUACAUGAAGACGAAGAAGGCACUCGCAGGCCUCUUCGGCUUGUUCGGAUCCUUUCCGGCUUUCUUCGCCGGCUUCUUGCUCGCUCCGGUACUCUUACUCUUCAACCUACCAAAAUUUAAAAAAAAAUCAAACACACGAACAGAGCAAAAAUCAAAGCACGAUACAACAAAUCGAAGAUCUCCGAUCAAAUCGAUGUAAUCGGAGAGUAAUCUAAGCACGAUAGAGCCCAAAACUCACUUCGUAUCGCGUUUGGGAGCAGCUGCUCUGGCUUUCCCCAUGGCGAACCUGCAAACACACAAAAAAACCGUAAAAAACGGGCGAGAACGAGCGAGAAUCGUUCAGAAACGGUAAAAAACGGCGCGACUCGGACCGAGUCAGAGCGGCGGAGGCGCGAGUUUACCUAGGGUUUUCGAGAAGGAAAUAAGACGAAGACGCAGAGAGAGAAAGAGCAAAUACGCCUUUGUUUUUUGUUGGGCGGUGCGUGUGUGAAGGUUUGGGAGAGGAAAGAAGGGUAGGGGGAUAAGAAGGAAUUAGGAAGGGGCAAUAUUGAAUUUCGACUAACCAAAAAAAUUGAAGUUUUGGGUUUCGGCGGGAUUUCAAAAAUGUUUUGCCGCGUCAGCUAUCCGUGCGCUAUGCCUUCAUUUGCUGAUGGACUCUCCCUUCUGUGCUUCCUUGUGUGCUUCUUCGCUAGCGAGGCCGCCACGUGGGAAUGCACGUGAUAGGGGUAGGGGUGAAAUGACGGAUUUGGGGUUUGAUUUUGUGCUUUGGGGUUCUAGUGGUUGAGGAUGAUCGAAUCGGUAGAAUAAAACGUGUUGUACGCAACAACUAUAUUGGUGUGGGAUAUUAUUGAGGCGGGGGUAAAUAGGGAAAUUUGAUGCCUUGAUAUUUAUGGAGUUAUGGAUUUUUUUUUUUCAAAAUAUUUGGAGAUAGGGCCUCUAAGGCCUCCUCCUCCAACCUGGGCUAAAUGCCAAAUUACCCCAUUUAUUCCCCCCCCCAAAACACCACCCAACCCAAGCUAAAAUAUUGGGCUAAAGGUCAAAUGCUAAAGUUGCGCCAAAUACCCCCAAAGCCCACCCCCCCAACGCGUGGACUCACCUGCAUUUGGGCCACUCUUGGCCCGCCCACUCACUAACACGGCCCGCAUCAAUUUAGCUCCCGACAGCUGGGGGGCCCACUGUCAAGGCCAUUGUCAGCCACUUCCCUGAGCCCAACGACUCUUUUCUGCAUCAAACGGCCACAAUUUAAGGAUCGUUGGUUGAUCCUACAGUCCAAAUUCAAAUUUUAUUUUUUUAAAAUAUAUUAUUUUAAAAUACAUUGAAUCCAACGGUUGAGAUCGAAUAUAAUCAAAUAUAACGGUAAAACAAAAAGAUCUAAUGACCCAAAUUUAAAUUCAACGGCUAAAAUAAUUAAAAAAAAUAUUUAAUUCAAAAUUCACCCAUGACACUCUUCUCUAUCACGUUGCACAAAUGCACGUCCCGUGACAGAACCACGUUGGCUAGAUUCGCCAUGGUGCUCAUACUGCAUAAAUGAGUUUACAAGUUCAGCUUCGGCGUUGAUCAAUUCUGCAUCCUCAAUGUCAAGCCUUACUUGGUAUUGUGCCAUCUGCAUUGCCUUGCUACGCCUUAUUCUAUCACCCAUCGAUGAGAUAUUGAAGAUAUUUAGGAAACAAAAACUCUUUCAAAGUUGAAAGAUUGGUGAAUAUAGAGGAUGAUUGAAGGUUGAAAGAUUGUGUGAUCAACUAAUAUUGGACAUGUAUUUAUAUAAAGGAUGAUUGAUGAAAGUUUAAAGUUUGGUAUUAAACGGUUAGUGAAAGUUGAAAGUUUGGUGAAAGUUGAAAGAUGUGAAAGUUGAAAGAUUGGUGAAAAUUGAAGGCUUGUUUGUGGAAAAUUUAGUGAUUUUUUGUAAUAUCUCACAUCGCACAGGGGAGUGAAUCCUGUAAACCUUAUAUGUACAUGCCCAUCUCUUCCUAGCACGAGGCAUUUUGGGAGUUCACUGGCUUCGGGUUCCAUCGGAACUUCGAAGUUAAGCGAGUUUGGGCCAAAGCAUUUCUAGGAUGGGUGACCCAUUGGGAAGUUCUGCUGGGUGAGUUCCCAAAAUCAAAAUCGUGAGGGCAUGGUCGAGGCCCAAAACGGACAAUAUCGUGUUACGACGGAGUCGAGCCCGGGAUGUGGUGGGGGCCCAAGCGGGGAUGUGACAUUUUUCAAUAUUUAUUAGAAUUUAAACAAUUUUAGAUUAAAAUGUUUAUAAAAUUAAUUUACGAUAGUCUACAUUUAAAAAAAAAUUAGCCUAAAUUCAUUCUUUAAUCAUCCCGGGCUAAAAUUUUAGGUUAGAAUGGUUGCAGCAGAAAAGCUGUUUCUGGGUUAAAAGCUAAAUUUUCCGGGCUAAAAAAUAUGAUUGUUAGUUCGAGGGUUGGAGAUGGUCUAAACGAGCUGGGUUAAAUUGAAAUACAUUGUGCUCAAGCUUGGCUAGUUAAUUUUUUUUUCCUCACCUUAGCUCUGUUUGCCUUCGUUCUUACACGAACCGAGCUCGAGUGAGCUUAAAAGUUUUGAGUUCGAUACCAAACUCAAGUUGUUUCAACCUAUUUUUUAUAAUAAGUUGGUAGGAUUGUGUAAAACGCUUUGCAAUAUCAUGAUACGGUUUAGGCUCAAGACCCGAUUACUAUAUCAAAUCUUUUUAAUAUAGUGUUUCAUAGUAAUUAUUAAUCAUGAUAUGUAUAAUAUAAUGAUAUAGUGUUUAGUGUACACUACUAUACAAUUUAGAGUGUUCAAUUUAUAGCAAUAUUUUACUUCUUAAAUUUUUUGAAGUAGAUACUAACACUGGAAACAAUGAAUAAUCCGAUAAUUAGACUUUGUUUUUGCUUAUUUUGUUGUAUGGUUUAGGGUUUUUUUAACUAAGAAAAUUGUUAUUGCCACUCAAAAAAUCUCAUUUUGAAUUCCAAACUUUCUAUAAUUAGAAAGAAAAAUACAUUUAUAGGCAAAUACCUCAUCGGUACGACUAAUAACAUCGAUACAACAACCAAAAUCGAUACCUUACCGGAGACCAGCACUUGUACUCGGGCCAAGAAAGGCAGAAUCCCUUUCCUUGGAUUACAUUGCAAAUUAAAAAGUAGCGGCAGUUUUCAACACUCCAGGUCCCGAAAUCCCGAAAAUGAAACCAAAUCUAGUCCAAUCUCAAAAUAUGAAAAUUUCUACUAUGCUUCGGUGCACUAUAUGCCAAGAGGAUCCUCGUCAAAUCCUCUUUAUGAGAAUACUCUAGUUACAUCCGUUCAUCGUACAGUUAUAAAUUAUUAUAAAUUUUGUUAUUUAAAAUUAAAUAUAAAUAAUAUCUAACAAAAACUAACUGUAUGAUGUACAAUAAACAUAUUUAAUUGAAAGAUCUUCAAAAUCUUCACAAAGAAGAUCCAGCAAGGAUCCUCUCUCCACCAUAUGUACCAAGAAAUUUGGCCGUUAGAUCUUAAUUACUAAACCUAGAAUCUGACAAUAAAAAAAUCUCAGGCUGACAUUCAUACCAUGCUAAAAUACUGACAGGUUUGUCAUCCAAAUGAUGUUGAGAACCAACCAACAGAGGAAAAUCCCAAAAGCAAUCCAAAGGAGCCAAAAGGAGAAAGUCAAAAGAGAAAGACACAUAUUGAAGUCAAACCAUCAUCAUCACAUAAAACAAGAUGGAGAGAAUUGAGAAGAAUGGUACAUAAACUUAAACCCAGAAGCAGACAAAGCCAUUCUCACUCCCAAGUCUUUGGAAGCCUGAAACUAAUUUAAGCCAGACAGCUUUCCUAAACCACGAUCACUGGUUGCCGGUACUCCAAGCUAAUCACAUGCUCUUACUAGCUCAAAAUACGAACAACGUGACAACCAUGUUCUAGGUAAGUUCAUCUCUAAAGGUCAUAACCAUUUCAAAAUGCUCAAGGCAAUUUAAUCCGAUCAUAUAAUAAAAAGGAUAUUAACUAGAGCGAAAUAGAAGUCAUUUGAACAUAAAAACGAUCACUAAGUACAGAAACGAUAUGGGGAAUCAGGUGGAUGAGUCCCGAAACAUUAACCCCUUGUGUUCUUCUUUUCCCUUCCCUAAUCCUACAAAUGUGGCUAUCUUAUCAUCAGACACAGAGCUUUAGUCAGAAAAUGCAGGUCAUUCAAUAUCUUUUAACCAACAACCCUAACACAAAUUGCUCCUCCUUCAUUCCGAUACCUGACUUUCCUGCUCUACUCGUCAUCAUCUUCUUCCUACAAUUAACCCAAAACAACACAAUUCAACCCAAUUCAAUAAACUAAUCACGAAACUAAGAAGACACAGUUGAUCAACAAAACAACGAGAGCCAAUCAGAACAAACCUCUCCACUCUCGUCAUCAUCUUCAUCCUCGUUUUGCACCUCAGACUUGGACUUAUCGGACUCUUCAUCAUCCGCUCCGUUACCUCCCUCAGCCUAAUUUCACAAUUAAGCAACAACUCUCACAACACUACUCGAAUCAAUUAAACCGAAAACUCAGGAAUCAAAACAAGGGCACUCACUAUGCGCUUGUUGUAAGCAUUCAUGGUCUUGGUGUACUCAGCCUUCCUCUUUUCUGCCUUGGCAAUGUAGGGAGCUUUCUCCUGAAUAAUUUAUACAAUAAAGCAACCAGUCAACGAACAGUUACGGAAAAUUCAAGCAAUUCACAAAUCGAUAAACAAAAUUUAUUGGGAGAAAUACUCACGGCCUCUGAAAGUGAUUUCCAUUUAUCACCACCAGCUUUACCGACCUAUUCAAAUUUAUCGAAAAUCAGAAUAAGUAUAAUUUUGUAAAAUUAAAUAAAAAAUUAUUCAGCAAAACGAAAUUAAAAACACAGAUCUGAGAAGAUGAAAUUCACUUACAGCGGCCACAGAUUUGUUAUUAGGAUGAUCCUUCUUGAAUUUCACUCUGAAAUCCUCCCUAUAUAUAUUUGAAAGAAAAAUUCAUACAAAUAUGAUAAAAUAAAUAAAUAAAUCAAAGUAAAAAACGAUCGAUCUGAAGAAAGAGAGAUAGGGAGAGAGAGAGAGAAACAGAGCGUUGGCCGUACAUGAAAACGAAGAAGGCACUCGCAGGCCUCUUAGGCUUGUUCGGAUCCUUUGCAGCCUUCUUGCUCGCGCCAGAGCUUUUGGUCUUCAACCUAACAAAAUUAAAAAAUAACACAAAAAAUCAACAUAAAUUCAAAAUCGACGUUUCACAUCGAGAUCUCCGAUCAAAUCGUAGAUAAUUCACAGAAAAACGGAAAACGAAAACGGAAGCUCACUUCGCAUCGGCUUUUUUGGGAGCAGCAGCUCUUGAUUUCCCCAUGUUCAGCUAAACCUGCACACAAAACCGCAAAAAAACCGAUAAGAGUGGUUGAGAAACGGCAAAAAAUGAUUAAAAUCGUUUAUAAAUGACCAAAAACGACGGGAACCGCUCGGAAGCGGCGAAAAACGACGUGUAUCGUUUGGAAUCGGCGGAAAACGAAGAGACUCGGUCCGAGUCGGGGGGCGAGCUUACCUUUGUGUGAAGGGAGAGGAUAAGGCGAGAGAGAGAACAAUGAGAGAGAUAAGCCUUUGGGUCGUUUGCUUUGGUUGGUGCGGUGUGCGAGUGUGUGUAAAAUUUGCCCCUGGGGUGUGAAGGGAUAGGAAGGGAAGGCCCGUGGCGCAAAAAUAAAAAUGAAAAAAAGGCGGAAAAUUAAAUUUUGAUUUGUUGGAAGGAUUGAAGUCCGGGUUUGGGCGGGAUUUCAAAAUAUUUGUCCCACGUCAUGCAUCCGCGUCAUGGGGGUCGAUUGGUUGGGGUGUAUUUGCUUGGAUCUCGCUUGUGCUUCCUUGUGUUUCUUUGUUCUAUUUCUGCUGGCGGUACACUGGAAACCGGUGGGAAAAGGGGCACACGUGGAGGAUGUGUGCGUGGGUCAUGGUUGGCACGUGCGGAUAUUAUUGGCGAAAUUACAAAUUUGGGGUUUGGGCGCGUCUAGAUGGUUGUUGGGGUUGUGGUAAAAUUUGGUGCACAAUACUUCUGUACUGCUUUGGGGGUAUAUAUGUCAAUUGGUUUACUAAUAACAAUUUUUUUCCCUUUAUUUAUUUUUUCCUUUUUCUUUUGUUUUUAUAUUAUUUAAAUUAAAAGGAUGGAGGAGUAGGCUAAGUAUCAAAAUAAUGUGGUUUAAAUUUACUUUUUGCUACAAUCGAAUACAAGACCUCUUACUUACAAAUAAAAAGGAGUAGGCUAAGUAUCAAAAUCAUAAUACUAAAUAACUUCCUUUUUUUAAUUAUAUCAAAUUUGAUAUGAAAAUGUAUUCAAUUAGAAUUUUUAGGAAUUUUAAUAAAUAACUCUUUGGAAUGAUUUUAUGAAAUAUGUCAAUUUUACUCUCAUAUGUGGCACAAACGUGAUAAUUUCCACAACAAACUAACGGUGUUAUGGAUAUUCUCAUAUUGCAACAACUAGAAAACUAAAUGAUCAAAUUCGAUACAAAAAAAAUACAGUGAACAAAAUUGAAAUUUCGGCUUGAAUACUAAGUUUUACUUAAUUUUACAAAUAUUUUAGAUAUUAGAUUUAAUUAUCAGAAAUGUUCAAAUCUCUUAUUUUGUAUUAACAGAAAAGUUCAACUACAAGAACUAAAACUCUCUUAUUUUGUAUUAACAGAAAAGUUCAACCACAAGAACUAAAAACUCAUGAAUUUAUCAGAUUUUCGCAAAAUUGGGCUUUAUUUGAUUGGAACAUUGUCGAACAAUUUAUCCCCAACAGGUCCAAUUGAAUCGGGGUUACCCAAUACCCAGGCCCACUGGAGUUUUAGACUUGGGUCUCUAGCAACUGACCCGGUAAAGGAAACAAUCAGACAUGGGAGAGGUAAUAGAAACCCUACCGGAGCACCGGAGCUUGUUAGCAGCUCCGAUUGUAUUCAUUAUCGUCGUCGCUUUCCAAUUCUUCUCCAGGUGGCUAGAGCAGUUAAAGAAGGUAAUUUGCUCAACGAUUUUUCACUUGCAUUCAAACAAUUUACCCGUAAUUUGGUGCGAAUUUAAGCUCUUAAUCAUUUGUUUGAUGCUUUAACUGCAAUUGUUGUGAAAUUAAAACUAUAUUUUGGGUGAUUUUUUGUGUUGGCAGGGAGUGAAGAGUGCUACGGCAACCCGAUUGCGGGGAGAAAUUAAAGACAUCUUAAAGGAGGCAAGCUACUCGUCGCAGUGAGUGAUUUUUAUUGGUCAAUCAUAAUUUUCCCCAAUUUUUCAAAAGGAAUUUUAUUUUUUUGGAUUGGCAGAAUUGUUUUGAUGCUUGCAAGUUGCAGCUACGCAUUGUUUUAGCUUUACAGUAGUAGGCGAUAGUUUGGAUUCUUAGCAGUUGUGUGAUCUUCGUUUCGUUUGAAUCCAGGCCGUCGACAUUUGCGCAAGCCGCGUAACUUCGGAGGAUUGCAUCUGCUAAGGAGAAAGAACUUGCAAAUUGCACUAGUUUGCAACUCCAUCCUUUCAAUUAUGUUUUUAUUCUGAUCAUAUAUACAAUUACAUACCUGCAUUCUUGGGGCACAUGUAUAUAUCCAUAUAUCGUCACAGAGGGUAACUAUAUGCAAUAUGCUUGGGAUCAAAGUUGUGUUUGUAUAGUAACAUAUACACUUUACAGCUACGAUGUUUUUAAGCGAAGGGUUGAAUGGCUAAUAAAGUUUAUGCAGUUUUCAAUGCCAUAUUAUUUCCAUGUAUUUACAAUAACCAUUUUGUUUUCGACCAUUAAUUUAUUUUAUUUUCAAUCAUAAGAAUCUUGUGUAGUUGUUAUGAGUUGAUUGUACGUAACAGGUACUUAGGUAAGCCUGACCCACCAGGUGAAAGAUUCUAACAGUGGUACCUGCCUUCCAGAUCAAGAGUUACAUGGCAAGGAGAUAAAACUUUCAUACGACGUGUAUCUGAGAAUUUUGUUCAUCUUAAAGGUAGGUCUCAGUGUUUUAGAUUUUGAGAGUCUUUAUUAGCUUAUUCUGAUAAAAAAGAAAUUAUUUCAGAACAAGGGUUCUUAAUAGAUAUAUUUGGUUGUCCAUUUAGGUCUUAACAUAUGUUGUGCUGGUUUGCUGGUUUUGGAGGGUUCCUGUUGGGUCCAUAUCGCAACAACUUGUGCAACCAUUUGGUAACGCGUUCUUGUUCCGAAUAUACUGCCCAAGUCCCCUCUUCUUUCUGUUUGGCUAUUUUUAGACUGAGCAUUGAGACAGUAAAAUCUAUAAAAUGAUAGAAGUUCUGAUUUGUAUAUCUUGUUGCUGUGCAGGGAAGAUGAUAUCAUGGAGGGCUGGAGGAGUUGUAAACGAAAAUGUUAUGGUAAAUAAAGUUGGGAUUACUUUUGAUUGUUAAUUCUCAUAUCGUUUAGGUGCCAUAUUGUGUUCUUGUAAGCAACUAAAUGAUGUAAACAACACUAGGUACAAUGUUACUUCCGUGUGUUGAACGCUGCUGAUGUUUGCAUAUUACUUAUCUUGGGUCCGAAAGAACAGAGAUGGUCUUUGAUUUGCAUGCGAUAUAAAUCAUCUUAAAUAAAGUUUUGAACAUUGCUUCUGAUUCUUUUCUUAUGUGGUUCUGCAGGUAGGAAUAAUUCCUUGGUUGAUAUUAUCUACCAGGGUCAGCAAGUUCAUAUGUCGACUUGCCAAGUUCUAGAGGUUAGAUGAUUUCUGUCCUGUCAAGUUUUUGUACACAUGUUAACGUGGUUUUGUUUUGACUAUUACUUCACGAUAUCUUUAGUCAUGAACUUAGGAUUGUUACCUGCUAAUUUAAUUUGUAUCAGUGAUGUGCAUUACUGUUUUGGUCGUCUGUGUAGCUUGAGUUUAUUGUUUAUCUUAAAAAACUAACCUCUUGAAAAACCCAUUCUUUGAAGUUAUUUAUUAAAAUCCAGCAAAAUAGUGUGAUGCUUUUUGUGUUUGGUAAUCAAAUGCCUAUGCGAUCACCGUCAACCAUGCCCAUGAUGGAAUUAAGAGUGGAUCCAAGAGAAAAUAAAGAAAUAUGAUACUUGGAGCUCAAGACUUCAAUGCGAACUCAAACUCACAAAAGAGAAGAAAGGUAUGACAAAUAUUAUUUAUUCUCUAGUACAAUUGACAUGAACGCUCUUAAUUAAUUGAGCGCUGUGCCAAUUGUUCAUAUCGCAUUGAAAGUAUGACGCGGGUAAUCCCAUGGUAACAUGCAUCUCAUGUACUUGAAUAAAAAAGAACGAGGAAAUUUAUGCCUGAACAUUAUUCUUGGCACAUCUAAUACUAGUAUUUUGACGACCGGAAUAUUCAUAGAUUUAGCCAAGGCAAAGAAGAAAAGGCAUCCUAGCACACAAGUAGCGAUGGCAAGUCCUGGCGAACGACCACUCAGUACCACAUAUGUGCCGGUAAUGAAUGCAACCACCAUUGCCAUUAAGGCAAACAAAGUAAAGGAUAACGCGUUGUGGAAAUUUUUCUGCAAUUUUCCGGUCAGACUUGUGUAAUUCCUGCAAAAAAGGAGCACCAUGACAGAACAACUAGACAUAGCCAUGGCUAUUGUAUUUGUUAUCACAAAAGCUUUGAAAGCUGCAUUUCUGGAUAGAACUGCGAAGCCCUGGUCUGGUCCUUUUUCGCCUUGGUAACCACCAGGCAUGGUGAAACCAGCUGCGAACGUUACGGUUGCUAUAAGUGUAGCCACAACCAGAUGGGAGUCUCUUCCUUCCUUCACUUCGAUGCCAACACCUCUGUUUUUCUCUACUUGGCUGCCACCUAUGUUUUCCUCGACCUUGCUGCUGCCACCAUCCUUGUCGCUUGAAAUCCGAUGACCUGGUAUGGCACCAAUCUCUUUCAAUGUGCUUUGAAGAUAUAUCUGCAACACAUAGUUGUAAUGUUGUAUUGGUAAACAAAGGAUCUUAACCACUUAUAUCACAAGGGGAAUGAUGUGCUGUCCAUACUUGUUGUUCUGAAUAAGGCAAAGCUUGAACGAUGUUAAGAGCGUUGAGAUUUUCCUUGUUGAAUGUCAUCUUAUCAACCCUAGCAUCACGUAUGAACCCAGCGUUGUUGUACCAAGCGUAAGCCAUAAGAUGGAGGGGUGUGUUCCCAUCUUCGUCUUUGCCAUUCAAAAGGACGUUGCUGAGCCAUGGAUCUUGUCUCACAAGUUGCUCUACUUGAUGAUGACGCUUCCUAAUGCAGAAGUGAAGAGCGUCGCGACGGCGCCUGUCCACCAGUUCGCAACAAUCAGGGCAACAGGCAAUAAGCUCUUUCAUUACGUCUGCAUGGCCUCCGAGUGCUGCAACGUGAAGAGGUGUAACCUUCUCAUUGUCGCCGAUGUAGGCGGCGGAUUUAUCAGCUGCUAGUAAGGAUUUCACAAUUGAAGUGUGACCCAUGGAUGCAGCGUAGUGUAGCGGAGUCCAUCCCUUUUCGUCGAUUUCUUUCGUCGAUUUCUUUCGUCAAAGCCUUUUCAGUGUACUUCAACAAAUCUUUCGUCAUUUCUUGAAGAUAAAACCACCAAAACAUACAAUUAGAUUAAAGAAAAAGCAGUUUGUUGUUGAUUCACUAAAUGUUUUGCUUAUAACUGAAUCCGUUCAUAUUCUAAUUAUUAUAAAAAGAUCAUAUAUGAAAAUAUUUAUAAAUUAUGAGAUUGUUGGGUCAUCAUGCUAUAUAAAAAUAAAUUAUGAAAAAUUAAAGAAAAAACAGUAAAAAUAUGUCUAUCUCCAUAUUAUAUACGUAUUGGUACCUAUGCCAUUGAUUGUGACUGCAGCAUGCAAAGUUGUUCUGCCAUUAGGGCCUUUGUAAACGGGAUUUUUGCAAGUCUUCAUCAUCUUAUAAACUAAAACACAAUACCCCCUCUCGACAGCCAUGUAAAUUGGAGUCUCGCCGUCACCAUUAGCCGUGUACAGACUCUGGAUCUUCCCUUGUCAAUAUCUCCACCACUGCAAAGUGAUUAAAUCGAACCGCCUCGUGCAAGGCCGUGUCCUUGCCGUUGUUGGUUGCCCUUAUGAGCAUCUUCCAUGCUUCUUCCGAUAAAACCCCUUUCUCGAGGUCGUCAUGACGAGCUUUUGCAGCUCGGAUUAGAGCUCCAACUAUUCCAGCACGCCCAUGUCUCGCGGCAAUGUGUAACGCAGUCUCACCACUCUCAUUCUGCUGCAACAGCAGUGCUGGACAAGUUUUAAGGAUAUCCUCAACGAUGUUGGUUGACUCGAUUACUUGUUUCUCAGAUUCGUUGAACGUUGGGCUGCUUGAGCACGCUAUGUAAAUAUGGAGCACUGUGUUUUUUGUUGCAGUGAGCUUUAUGUCAAGAUGCUCCCCGUGUUCCCUUAGGGCAUCGACGUUGCCUUGUUUCGCAGCGUUGAAAACAUCAAGAUCUAUGCCCUCUGUAGGUUCCUCCUUGGUCUGAUCUGCUUGCUGAGUAGCCUGGCAAUCGACACCCGGGGAUGCUAAUGGUAAUGGAGCAGCACUCUCAAUCUGACCAGUCGAAUUGGAGGAAUCCAUUCUGAUUUUUGCACGUAUCCGAAAUUACUUGCAAUCUUUGAGAGAGGAUGGAACAUCUCCAUCAACAUAUUCCGAAGAGCUUUAUUAGUCAAAUCCAGUUUCGAACGUUGACUUUUAGGUAUAGCAAUUUCGUCGUGGUUCCAUUUCGUAUAUUUAAAUAUGAUUUUUUUUUGGUGUUAUAUUUACAAGUUGUUAAUUAAUAAACAUAGUUUAUUGUAUAAAUCAAGAUGGCAUUUCUUAAUUCACGGCCUGUUUGGUGGGUAGGAUAAGAUAGGUUAUUUCUAAUUAAAUUGGACUUGGAGCCCAACUAAUGUUUAAUGAGAAAUUUUUUAACACGGACUAAAUUGGCUACAAAUCCGAAAUAAAAGAAAAUAUGAUGGGUUAUGUAACUCAACCACACACAUGGGUUAUGUAACUCAUCCCUAUCAAUCCAAUCCUAUUCUAAAGCUUAAUCUCAUCCGGCGCACCAAGCGGCUGGCUGAUGACUGUCAAGUGUGUGAAGUGAGGAUCACCAACUCACUACGAAAGGUGAAUAAAAGAAGUCGCUAGUGGGAGAGUACGUAAAACUAUCUAUACCAUUUACCACCACAGCCGUGUAGAAGCAUAUGUAGCAGCCAUAUAAGAGAGGAAGAAGUAGACGAGUCUCCUUCCAUGUGGUGCGGGAAAAGUCUACUUUACCCCAAACAAAUAAUGUAAAACAAAUAAGGUCAGGAUCUUUCCGAGAGGAAGACAACCUCUGAGUUCGUCGUAUUUAUGAACUAGGGAGUAUUGAAAGAGAAAUAUAAGAGUGUCUGGCCGAGAACCUUUUCAGUAGGCGGUACACUAAGCAUCAUAAUAUAAUUGGUUGAAAUUUCUAACCAAGUAUAUUAUUACAUUUGGUGCAUUGAACUGUGUUCCUGACACACUGAAAAAUCUCUCUUUUCCGAUAUUGGGGGAAUGAGUUUGAUGCUUUGUAUAGGCGUCAGCAAUGAAUUGAUACAACAAUAGCGUGAAAAUACAUCAAAUUAACAUUUUAAACCGUUCGAUGGUCCUCCUGGUUCCUGCUCACGUGUUUUACUGCUCAAGGUUCUAGAUUUUCUUGUCAAAUAAUAAAAAUGGUCUCCUUCAAGGUUCUAGAUUUCCUUCUCAAAUAAAAAAGGAAAAAAAAACCAAGUUAUUCACUUUUUUUUAUGAGCAUUGAAAAACCAUUAGAGCCAUAAAUAAAAGCAUUGAAAAAUCAUCAAUAAAGUCUUGAACAUUGCUUUUGAUUCUUUUCUUAUAUGGUUCUGCAGGUAGGAAUUAUUCAUUGGUUAAUAUUAUCUACCAGGGUUAGCAAGUUCGUAUGUCGACUUGCCGAAUUCUAGAGGUCAGAUGAUUUCUGUACUGUCUAGUUUUCAUACACGUUAACGUCAUUUUGUUUUGACUAUUACUGCACGAACUUUAGCCAUGAACUUAGGAUUGUUACCUGCACAUUUAAUUUGUAUCAGUGAUGUGCAUUUCUCUUUUGGUCGUCUAUGUAAAUUGAGUUUCUUGUUAUGUAAAAAAACUAACCUCUUAUAAAUCCCGUUCUUUGAAUGUAUUUAUUAUUUGAUUUUAUUUAACAUAAGGAAAAUCCAGCAAAAUACUGUGAUGCCUUUUGUUUGGUAAUCAAAUGCCUAUGCGAUCUCCGGACUACCAUGCCCGUGGUGGAAUUAUGGUGGAUCCUAGAGAAAAUCAAGAAAUAUGAUACUUGGAGCACAAGACUUCAAGGCAAACUCAAACUCCCAACAAAUGAGAAGAAAGGUACGGCAAAUAUUAUGUAUUCUCUAUUACAAUUUACCUGAACACUCUUAAUUACUUGAGCCCCACGCCAUUUUCCUACAAGCUUUCCUAUAAUUAUUAAUCCUUAUUCAUGACUCUUCUCCUUCUUCAUGAGGAAACCUACUAUUGAGCUAAUUAUAACAUUUAACGAGUAAUCUGUCAGCAACUUAAAGUCGCCAACCAUGUCGUCCAGGAAAUGUGGAGCAUUAAGUAUUUUUCUUUCAAUGGAAAGAAGAGAAUUUGCAAAGACAGAGAAGAAAAUGCAGCCAAGCACACAAGACGCAAUGACAAUCCCUGGAGAAUGACCACCCAAUACUGCAUAUGUGCCGGUAAUGAAUGCAACAACCAUUGCAACCAAAGCCCAAACUAGACAUGGCCAUGGCUAGUGUAUCAGUUAGAACAAAUGCUUUGAACGCUGCGUUCUUGACAGAAGGGGGGAACCCUGGUCCGGUCCUUUUUCGCUUUGGUAUCCGCCGGGCAUGGUAAAACCUGCGGCGAAGGUUACAGUUGCUAUCAAUGUAGCCACUACCAGAUGAGUUUCUUUUGCUUUCUGUAAACUUUCUCCCAUGACCUUGUUUCUUUGAGUUCCUGGACUUGGUCUAACACCCGUGGCUCGAAGUAUUUUUCCAUACAGUUCCUGCAAAGCCAGAGAAGGACUAUAAUAUUAUUAUUAUCUUGGCAAACAAAUUCAAGCAAUUUAAUGAUCACAAGGUGAUACGUACCUGCAAUAAUAAUGUGUUUAUAUCAUUGUGAACACGGAAAUUUCCUGAAACGAAAGAGACAAGAACAAACGUGCACAAACAAAUAUUUGUAUUUGAUGAUUUUGGGUUACAAUCUCUCUCUAUUUUGAUCCUCUGAUUCGAUCUCCGUAAGGUGUGUAUUUGUGGAUGUGUGAUUGAUUCAAAGGGCCGUUGGGCUUGAUCUAAGGAUGAACGUUCUUCAAGGGCCAUGGACUUGAUCUUGAAGGUGGAUUUGAGCGGAUCUUCAAAGGGGCUUUUGGGCUUUUGGGCUUGAUCUUUGAAGAACAGUGAUGAACGGAUCUCCAAGGGCUUUUGGGCUUGAUCUUGAAGAACAGUGAUGAACGGAUCUUCAAGGGCUUUUGGGCUUGAUCUUGAAGAACGGUUGGAUGUGUGGAUUUGUCGACGUUGUUGAUCCAAAGGGCCGUUGGGGCUUGAUCUUGGAUGAACGGAUGAUGAACGAUGGUGCUUUCUUUAAGGGCCGUCGGGGCUUGAUCUUGAAUUGGUGGAAGUUCUUCAAGGGCUUUUGGGGCUUGAUCUUGAAUUGGUGGAUUGUUGAUCCAAGGGCCGUCGGGGCUUGAUCUUAGAAGAACGAUGAACGAAGAACGAUGAACGAAGAACGAAGAACACUUUCUUCGAGGGCCGUCGGGGCUUGAUCUUGAAUUGGUGGAAGUUCUUCAAGGGCUUUUGGGGCUUGAUCUUGAAUUGGUGGAUUGUUGAUCCAAGGGCCGUCGGGGCUUGAUCUUAGAAGAACGAAGAACACUUUCUUCGAGGGCCGUCGGGGCUUGAUCUUGAAGAAUGAUGAUGAACGGAUCUUCAAGGGCUUUUGGGCUUGAUCUUGAAGAUGGAUGAUUGUUGAUCCAAGGGCCGUCGGGGUUUGAUCUUGGGAGAACGAUGAACGAAGAACGAAGAAGGCUUUCUUGAUUCUUCGGGAACCUGGAUGCUUGAGAGCUUCGGAAUUUCAGAGCUUCAGAGCUUCAAGGUGUAAUAUGAAUUGGUCCUUAAAUGAAUGAAGUAGCCUUCUAUUUAUAGAAUUUUCCAAGGCCUAAUUUUGAAUAUAAUAUUCCAGAUGAAAUAAGUCGUUUCUGCCAGGUGUUGACACGUGUCCUGUUUGAUGACUUUUCCAACUUAUUUCGAUUUUUUGUUUAGACACACGCUACGUGUAAAAUUUAUGUAAUACAUGAGCGUUGAAACUUUGAUUUAUCGGUCAACAUUUAUUUACCGAAAUUUCGAUGUCUACAAUCAUCAUCGUUAGCUAGAACUAUUUCAAAAGCGUUUAAGUUUUGCUUGUUGAAUGCCAUCCAAUCAACGUUAUGACCAUCUAGUAAGUCUAUGCUUUUGGGAGAAUGAGUAGCUAGGUGAUGGAGGGGUGUGUUCCCAUCAACAUCCAUGCCAUUUAACAGGAUGUUUCUAAGCCAUGCAUCUCCUAAAACAUAUUUUACUAUUUGGUUUUGUUUGUUCUGUAUGGCGUAGUAAAGAACAUUCUGAAAUUUGUUGUCGACCAGUUCGCAACAAUCAGGACAUUGAGAAAUAAGCUCUUUCAUUACAUCUAGAUUGCCUUCGGACGCUGCAAAGUGAAGAGCUGUCGCGCCAUCUUUGUCAGCAAUGUAAGCAGUAGAUCUAUCAUUUGCAAGCAGUUGUUUAACAAUUGAAACGGAACCAAUACGUGCAGCAAGGUGUAGUGGAGUACAUCCUAGUUCGUCUGCUGCUUUGCUCAAAGUCCUAUCGGCUUUUAGCAGUUCCUCCGUCAUUUCUUAAGUAUAAACACAAAACACAAACAAAUAUACAUAAAAUUAAAAACAUAUAUACGUACCUUUUUUUAGUGUAUAAUCUAUUUACUUUUGUAUAAAAUAUACACAUUUUAUAAAAAAGUACUCAUUUUUAUUUAAAAAAAUGUUUUUUUUUAAAUGUAAAAUCUAUUUAUUUUUUAUUUUUAUGUAUCCAUGUUUUAUAAUAAAAUGUACCUUUUUAAUGUAAAAUAUACACAUAUUUAAAAACAAAAAUAAAAUAAAAAAUCUGAUCAUAUUUAACACAAUUCAAUUUCGAGAAAAUAAUUAAAAUUACUAUUUGGUAUUAAUUUUUGCAUAAUUUUAGGGAAGAAUAUUAAUUUUAGUUAUUAAAUUUCUUAAUCAAUCAAAGUAUUCAUAUUAAUAAGGCUUUAGCUUAAGAUUUUGGUUCUUUAGAGAUAGACCUUAUAACUCCUAUUGUCUAGACAAAAUCCACCUAGUAUUAAACAUCCAAAUAAAAUCCAAAAUUUAAAUAGUCUUCCAUGUAGGCAAUGACCUAUUAUUAUAAAAUAUUUACAACGUUUGCCACAACGCCUUAAAUAUGUCAAUAAAUAUUAAUUAUUACUCACCCUUAAUUGUGAUCAAUGAGUAAUGAGCUCCUAUUUUAAAACCAAGUAUUACAGAUAUAAAAAAAUAUCUAUAACUACUAAUAUUUAUUUAUUUAUUUUUAAAUGGCUCUAUAACUACUAAUAUAUCUACAUAUGAAUUAAUUUACUAAUUUACGUACAUUCUUUUGAUACAACUAAUUUACCUAUAUUUUGAAAAUUCACUAAUUUACCUACAUUCUUUUGAUACAAUCUAAUUUACCUGCAUUUUUGUAGUACAAUCUAAUUUACCUACACAUUAAUGCACCUAAAGAGCAAGAAAAUACAAGUAAAUCAAUUUUCAAACACAAACAUAUGUAAAGAGCAAGAACAUGUGGAAAAAAUUAUAAAAUUUGAAAUUUUGAUAAAAGAAAAGUGGAAAAAAUUGGACUAUCAUCUCAUGGUGUGAGAUUAUACAUAUCAAUCAAUUAGAAAAUGUAAACACCGUUAAUGAAAACGUUACCAGAUUUGCAAUAAAUUCCACCAAAUUUGUUUUAAAAUAAUGAGGGGCAUUUUAGGACAAAAGUUUAUAGAAUACGAGUCAUUAAGUUGUAAAUGAAAAUUUGGUUAGUUGGAUUAUAGUCAUUGGGUUUAACUCUGGAAAAAGAAAUGGAACGGGUUAAAGGUGAGAAGAUAUCAGUUUCAAGGGGAAAACUUGAUCAACCAGAUGUCGGAACCAAAGUUUCUCUUAAAAUAUGUAGUGGGUUUAUGUCAUGUAAAUAAGAGGAAAAGGAAACAAAUUUAGUUUUAUAUGCACAUAUACCUUUAUCCAUUUGAAUCACUGCAGCGUGCAACGCCCUUCUACCAUUUGGGCCAGUGUAAGUUGGAACACUGCAAUUCUUGAGCAUUUUAGAAACCAAAGGAAGAUAUCCCCUCUCGGCAGCUAAAUAAAUUGGAGUUUCACCUGAAUCAUUAGCAGCGUAGGAAAACUCGGGGUCUUCUAUGGUCAAUUUCUCCACCACAAAACAUUGAUUAAAGCGCACUGCUUCGUGCAACGCUGUAUUCUUGUUGUUGUUGGUUUUCCUAAUGAGCAUUUGCUUCUGCAAGCAGGCUUCUUCUUCUGUUAAGAGUCGGCCUUGCUCAAGGUCGCCAUGGUGACGAACUUUUGUUGCCUGAUCGAUAAGAACUCCAACUAUUUCAAUUAGCCCCUGUCUUGCAGCUAGGUGUAAGGCAGUCUCACCGCUCUUAUUGUGCUGCCAUAGUAGUGCGGGACACAUUUCAAGGAUAUCCUUCACAAUCCCGGCUGACUCCAAUGUGUUUUGUCCAGAUGUCGGCCUGCUUAAGCACGCUAUAUAAACAAGAAGGACCGUGUUAUUUGUUGCAGUCAGUUUUAGGUCAAGAUGUUCUGCAUGUUCCCUGAGGGCAUCAAGGUCGCCUUGUUUCGCAGCACGAAACACAUCCAGUUCCAUGCCACCUAUCGAAACUGUAUUAUUGGCUUCUUUAGUAGCUCCCUCCUUAGUCUGAACUGCUAAGUGGUCAGUACUACUAGCACUCUCGGCCUGAUCAGUUGAAUGGGAAUGAUCCAUUUUUUGAUAUUUCGUUAUUACGUGCCUAGACAAGGGGAACUUUUGGCCUAAUACAAGUAUAAUCAGAAAGAACUUGCUGAUCUUUGACUGGAUGAUGGGAAUUUAAAUGAAAAGGAACAAUGGAUGAGAUUUGAGAGACUCAAGAGUGAAGAGUAAGCAAGGAAUACAAGAUGAGAUAAUUUAUAGAGCAGGAAUCCAAUGCAAUGCCACACUUCUGCAAAGACUGCAAUAGUACUGCAAUAGUACUGCAAUAAUUGGAGUGACUUUAUCUUUAUUGCGCAUGUCGUUUUCAAUUUUUUUUUUAAUUUUUGCGGGUAAUGUAGGAAGAUUAAUUUAGUUUUUUUCUAGUAUUACUCAUAUUGGUACAUGUCAAUUUUCAAAUUAAUUAAAAAAAAUCUUUGAUGUAUGUCAGUUAUCAAAUUAAAUGAUACCGAAUCUUUAUAUUUUAUUAAAAAUUUAUCUUUGACGGACCCAAAAAAAGAGCCCAGCAAGCAUAGCACUUCCACAGCAAAAGCCCCACUCCCACUGCUUGCCAUGGCUAGGGGUGGAUUUUUUUGCCAAAUUGCCGUGCCAACCGAAUUGCCAACUGUGUCAUACCGAUUUUGUGCCAAAUUUUUUGUACCAAUCGGUAAUGAUACGGUAUUGUACCGUAUCGAAAUUUCAUGGUACGGUAUUGGUAAUGGAUACCAUUACCACGGUAUUACCGUACCAUACCGAAAAUACAAUAUAAUAUAUAAUUUAUAAAUUAUAAAUUAUAUAAUAGAUAAUUAUAUAACACAUAUUUAUAAUAUUCCAAUAAUUUGAAAAUAAAACCCUACUUAUAUUAGCAUUGUUGUUGGUGACUUUGAUCUCUUGAAAUUGUGGAAAUCAAAUACAAAAGAAUUCCUAAUUGUUUCACAAAUAGCCAAAAUAUCUUUCUAACCCCCACUUCUACUGUUGCUAGUGAAGUUGCUAGUGAAAAUGCAUUUAGACUAGGGAGGAGGGUUGUGGACCCUUUUAGGGUAUCCUUGACUCCUAAAAUAAUGGAGGUACUAGUGCAUACUAGUGGUUGGCUUAGGGCAGAUGAAGUAAACUUCUACAAGGAACCAACGGAAGAUAUGCUUCAAUUUUACAAGAAAAUGGAAGAAGAGAAAACAAGAAAGAUAUGCUUUAAUUUUUUUAGUAAAUUUGUUAUUAAAUGGUUUUCAACUUUAAUUCUUCUUGCUACUAAUUAAUAUGUUUUCUUUGUUUGUAAUGUAGGCUUGACACAAACUCAAUAUUCUACAAAUUCAAUGCCUCCUCCAAAAGCUUCGACAUCUCAAGCUUGAAUAAUUGAUCAAUGAAUUCUCCUUUUUGAAGUUUACUUCCAAUUUUCAUUUGGUUUGAAACUUUAAUUUCUAAUUGGAUUGUUAACUUUUAUUUGUUUUGGUUCGUAACUUCUAUUUGGAUUGUAAGCUUAAUUUUCAUGAUGAAUCUUGAUGCAUCAUUUGAAUUAUUAUGUGUGUGAAUUGUGAAUGAUGAAUUUAAUCUAUAAUGUAUGAGAUAAAGGUACAAAAAAAAAAGUUUUGCCCUUGAAUUGGGUUAAAAAAACAAAAACAGAUUUUGUCCCAAAACAAAAUGGCAAUUACCAUUGCCAUACCAUGCCAACCGAACUUUUGACAAUACCGAACUUCGGUAUACCGAAAGUUUGGUACGGUAAUGGUAAUAUAUUUUACCAAACCGAAAGUUUGGUACGGUAAUUAGUACAAGGGUUUUGGUACGGUAACCGUACCGAACCCACCCCUAGCAAUGGCUGCCGCCCCUCCUUACCCAAAAUUUUUGCUUAUUUCCUCAUCUGAGUUGCAGCAAUUUAUUAGGUUUUCUCCAUUUUAGUUUAUGGAAAAAAGAAAGUGAUUGGACUUUAAAUCAGAUGAACCAUACAAAUCUUAUUUUUAUCCAAUCUCAUCAUCUUCAUCAACAAAAAUGUUCCAACAAAUUCCACGUAUCAGGAAGAAAGCGAUGGUGAGAAGAUUAUGGACAUCAUGGUUCUUUUUCAUUGGAUAAUACAAAUUGGCUGUUUCUACGCCUCUAUUGAACCUGAAAAUUUUGUACAUCUCAAGCACUUGGAAGGAGACUAAGAUCAUCUCCGGAGAUUUGCCUCCAGAGCCAACAUACCCAUUAAUUAUGGACACUAAAUUUAAUCGUCUAGCCAUGAAACCAGAGGGGAAAGGGUGCAGGCAAUGAGAGGAGGAGGACACGGGGAUGGGGUUGGAUAAUGGUAGUCAUGGAGGUGGGUGACUGCUUUUUUUUUUUUUUUUUUUUUUUAAAAGAUACGAUAGUUACUUUCAUUUCAUCAUAAAUUUCAUUACAAGAGUUUAUCCAUUUCUAAGCAUAGAGCUAGCACAGUCAUCCACAAGUAUAUCAGUUAUAAUACUAGGCGGAGAAUCAAUCCAUUCACAACUUUGCAUCAGAGAUAGUCUAACUUUGCAAGGUAGUGAGCAGCAGCGUUCGCAUUACGAUGAAUGUAGGUGAUAUUUGCUUCAGUGAUUGUGUUGAGCAGAGCUUUGUAAUCCUCCACAACUUGCCCAAUGAUUGACAAAUUAAGAGUAAGAUCCCUCAGCGCCUCUACAAUCUGAAGCGAGUCAGUUUCAAUAAUAAGGAAUUGAUAGCCCCUAUCAAUUGCCCAUAGCAAACCUACCUUCAUUGCCAUAGCUUCGGAGAGCAAUGGGGAGCAUAUAUCUUUAAAGCUUCCAGUACGAGUAGCCACAAAACACCCAUCGCUGUCUCUGAUAAUGGCCCCGAAUCCUGCAAUGAGUCUUCCUACAUUCCAGGACCCAUCAAUAUUCAUCUUGAUUCGUCCAUGUGGUAGGACACUCCAUCUGGGGGUGUUUCUCAGCCUACUAUCCUGUUCCGAGCCUGCGUUUUUGGUCCUAGUAAACUCCAGCCACCAUUGGAUGGCACGAUUAGUGCAUACCUCAGGUGGUUCCAGUUUUUCCUCCCAGAGUUUCAUGUUCCGUGCCCUCCAUAAUGUCCAAUAGACCAUCAGAAAAACAUUGAAACGUGCCUUGGGUAUAAGGUCAGCCACUUCAUCGAUCCAUAUCAUAAAGGAAGGAGGAUGAUUGUUUCUCAAAAGUGUACCCACCCGCGAGCUCAUCCAUGCACAUCUCGCAUAAUGGCAAUCCUUCAUUAGAUGAAUGGUAGAUUCAUCAUAGGCUCCACACAAUACACAUUCCAUAUCCAUGGUAAUAUGUCUUGCCACCAAAUUGGCCCUAGUAGGAACCAAUUCAUUGGCAAUUCUCCAUACGUAAAUUUUGACUUUUGGUGGUACCUGUGCAUUCCACACCUUCACCCACACCUUAGCUUCAUCACCAUUUGAGGACGAUGCCCCACAAUUUGUGGGUUGUAGCCAAUUCCUUGCCACAUGGUAAGCCGACUGGACCGUAAAUCUUCCCUGUCUUUCAUGGUGCCACAACAAGUGAUCCGGUGGGUUUCGUACACUUAAGGGGAUUGUCUGGAUUAGAUUUACCUCAUCUUCAAAGAAGAGGCUUUCAAGCACAUCAAUUUUCCAACACUUUGCAACGAGAUCAAUCAACUUGUUCACCAUUGUCAGCGUGCAUCCUACCGGUUUGGGAGAAUAGGGACGAAAUCGAGAUGAGAUGGGGAUCCAAUGGUCCUCCCAGAUCCAAAUGGAUAGCCCAGUACCCACCUGCCAUCUUAGACCCAAACUUAAAACAUUUUGUGUAGUGCAAAUACUUUUCCAUACAUACGAUGCUUCAGGCUUCAAUGAAGCUUCCAUAAAAGAGCUAGUUGGAAAAUACUUUACCCUUAGGACCGUUGCAACCAGAGAAUGUGGAUUAGCCAACAAUCUCCACCCCUGCUUUGCUAACGUACCCAAGUUGAAUGCAUAUAAGAACCAAAACCCAAGUCCACCCUCAAUUUUGGAUUACACAGGCGUUCCCACGAGCACCAAUGCAUUUUCUUUUCUCUUUCAUCGCCACUCCACUAAUAGGAUGCAACCAGCUUGUUUAGCUCAUCACAAAAUAAUUUAGGCAAAAGAAAACAGCCCAUGAAGUAGUUGGGGAUUGCCUGUGCCACGGCCUUCACCAACACCUCUUUCCCUACGACACUUAGCAACUUUCCUUUCCAACUCUUUAAGCUCUUCCAUAGACGAUCCUUAAGAUACCUUUAUCAACCCCCGCCGUUCCCGCUAAGCGAUCAACGUAACCAGCUUGUUUAGCUCAUCACAAAAUAACAGAUGAUUAAUCGAUGGUAUUUCUGGACAAAUUGAGAUGCCAUUUAUCAACCCCUGCCGUUCUCGUUGAGCGAUCAACGCUGACAGUCCCUCUGAACACAUAAUAAAUAUAUAUGGUGAUAAAGGAUCUUCCUGGCGUAAUCCACGUGAUGGGAGAAUAUAAACCCCGUGGGCAACCAUUUACCAGUACAGAAUAUGAAAUCGUAGUCACACAGAGCAUGAUGAGUUUAAUCCAAAGCUAAGAGAAACCCAUCUUAGUAAAGAUUCGAUGUAAGAAUCCCUACUCAAUCCGAUCGUACGCCUUACUUAUAUCUAGUUUUAGUGCAAAACCUUUCUUCCCUCGGCACCGUCUAAACAGAUAGUUAUCAAUUUCUGAUGCUAAUAUGGUAUUGUCAGAGAUAUUACGACUUGGCACGAAGGCACUUUAUGUUUGUGAGAUGAUCUUAUGGAUAAUAACCUUAAGGCGAUUCGCAAGUACCUUAGAAAUGAUUCUGAACAGGACAUUGCAUAGACUGAUAGGCCGAAACUGAGUUACUUCCUCUUGUUGUUUUGUUUUAGGAAUAAGGUUGACAUAUGUAAAGUUUAUUUGCUUCAACAAUUUCCUUGAUGCUUGGAAGUUUUUAAUCGCAUUUGUAAUGUCAUCCCCAACGAUAUUCCAAAAUUUUUGGAAAAAGAAAUGAUUCAUUCCGUCGGGGCUCGGAGCCUUAAAUGGUUGCAUCUGAAAGACCGCAUCUCCAACUUCCUCAGUCGUAAUUACUCCUUCUAGUAUGCGAUUCAUUUAUGCCGUUACCUUUGAAUCCACGGCCUCAAUAACUUCAUCAUCCUGAUUAUACCUAGUAGUUUGGAAAAUAUCCUGAAAGUAUUGAAUUAUAGUGCUUUCGAUCCCCGCAUCAUCAUAGACCAAGCGCCAUUUGUAUUUUUCAAUCGUUUGAUCGAGUUCUUUGGCCUUCGGUUCCUAGCACAUUGAUGGAAGAACCGUGUAUUACAGCUGCCAACCUUAACCCAUAAAGCACAUGAUAUCUGCCUCCAAUACUUCUCCUUCUGACCCUAGAGUUGAUCAAGCCGCUACAUUAGCCGGUGCCGUUCAACCAAAACAUCUUCUGUAAGUGGCUGGGCGAGUAUGAAUCCCAUCUUUUGACGCAUUCCAUUAAUUUCUUCUUGUCUCCCUUUAAAUAUUGAUUGCUGCCAUUUCAGUAAAGUUAUUCUAGUGGCUUUAAUUUUGUCACUAUCUGAAACAUCAACACACCAGUACCUGGUUGGUUCCAAGCAUCACGGAUAAUACAUUCACAUUCCUCAUGAUCAUCCCAAAAAUUUUCAAAUCAAAACAUCUUGCUUUUGCGUCUAACAUGGCUAUAUGUUCCAUAUACCUCUAGAAGAAUAGCAUAUGGUCAAAUUUGCUAGGAUUACGUUGCUGAAUAAGUCAUUCCACCUAUCUGUCGCAAGCAUCUUAUCUAGCCGUUCUUUGAUACCCCAUGACCUAGUAGUAAUCCAGGUGUAAGGAGUACCCAAGAACCCCAUAUCAUGUAGAUGGCAGUCGCACAUUGCAUUCUGUAAUGCCAUUAUUUGGUUUAUAGGACGAACUGAACCCCCUUAUUUCUCGUGGAUACUAAGUAAUUCAUUAAAGUCCCCUCCAAUUAACCAUGGAAGAGAGCAACUCGUGACCAAUCGCCUCAUAAUAUCCCAGGAAAUUUGGCGUUCCUCAGUUGCUGAGUGCUCGUAAAAACCAGUGAAUCUCCAAUGAACUGCAUAGCCUAUUGCUCAUAUUUCAGAGUAAAUAAAUCUCUCAGAUGAAGAAAUGAUUCUCAGGUUAAUGUCCCAUGUCUAAAAUAAUCCAAGACCUACCUGACUGUCCAUUUGAACUAACCCCGAACACUCUUCUAAAUCCAAACUUCAUCCUCAAGCCAUUUAGUACCUCCGCCUUGCACUUGGUUUCAUAUAGGAAAACCAAUUUGGGAACUUUUUGCCGGAUAAUAUCCUGCAACGCUUGAACUUUCUGAGGGUUCCCAAGCCUUGGGUAGUUCCAAACUAGUAUAUUCAUGGCUGUCAGUGGGGCUGAACAUCCUCAGUUUCCACCGAUGAUACAAGUCUUGUUGUUCCAUUUCCUCUGCCCAGUAACCCGCAUCUCUUUGCUUCUUCCAUUUCUUUUGAAGGACUAACCACCACCUCGCACCUUUGGCUUUCCUGCUGCUCGAGGUCAGCAUAAUUGGUCACCGUGGAUCUCCCCAUUCGAUUACCUCAUUUGAGUCUAGAGUUUUUCUUCUUCAGGUUUGAGAGAUGUAAUGGGCGCCCAUAGUUAUGGUAUCUCAGUGUCUUUUGCUUCUUAGUUGGUGGAGUAAGGAGCUCCACGUCAUUUAUCCCUCCUUUUUUUGGAUCUUCCUUUUGCUGGGUAUUAACCUCAUCCAUUGGGCCUUGGUUAUUUUCCCCAGUAUCCAUUACUUCCUCGCUAGAAUCCACCUUACUCCGGAAGUCAACAUUUGAGGCCUGUACCAUUUGGGCUACCACCACUAGGCUUUAAGCGUUCACAUCCGAAAUGUUUGUUCCUGGGGGGAAACAAUCCUUCACAGUAUAUUUUGUGGGCUUGGCUCGCUCCGCAGCCAGGAGUAACCCAUUAACAUUUUCAAAAGCCCAGGGGGGAAUCCUUUUUGGGUCACACCAAUUUUUCUCCAGAGAGAGCCCGUUAAUAGCAAUAGUAAGAGUUCCGUUUGUAAAAUAGGUCUCAUCACUGUCUAGGUGCCACGUAUGCCUAUAGUCAGGUCGUGUAUCCAAUCGCGUUGUAGGAAUAUGCAUAGCCUCAGAGUUUGUCCCCGCCAAGUGUAGUGUCAUUUCCUGGUUAGGGUGGGAGACUAACCCUGUAGACUUACCUACCACGUCUAUGCAAUUCGGCCUCGUGUCAGUACUUGUUGUCGCCAUGUUGACUUAUUACUCCGCCAUUCGACGUUGCAAGUAUCUGUUCGCCGGGAUAUCCAAUACCGUGUCCGGCAGGCCAUAGAAACCACCAUAAAAUUGUUCCUAUUUUAUUCUCCAAUGGUUCUCUCGGGCCUCGAUCGUCGAUGCUCCCUUUCUUUAUGGAAAUAACAUAGAAUUUGCCCUGGAUGCAGGUGAGGCCCGGAGGUCACUAGUAAAUUGAGUUCCACCUGCCGUCGAAAGUGGCACCAGACGAGGACGCGUACUUGAGUGGCCCAAUCUCCCACAUUGGUAGCAGAAAAUUCUCAAUCCUUCAUAUUUGAAUCGGAUCGUAUAGGAGCCCUAAGCUGGGCAUGACACCGAGCAAAAUGUAAUCAAGGGUCGACAAGCAUCAAAGUCCACUUUUAUUCUCAAGAAACCCCGAAAGCCCACCUCUGCUAGAUCUUCAACUUCAAGAACUACUCUGAUUUUUGCCCCUAGACUUUUAACAUUUUUCAAUGUACAGUAGUUCUUGGGUAUCCCAUGAGCUUGCAUCCAAUAAACAGCUUGAUCAGCUUCAAUGUCAUCAAGAGAAUGAAAUGAUGGCCAGAACUUCACAGAAAAUGUAUAAUCCCUGAUAAACCAGAGGUUGCCUUCCAAAAUUUUUCUAGCGACAUGCUCCUCUCCAACUGUGAUGGCAUAUAUAUUCGCUUUGGCCCUUUGAACCCUGACCACCCCUAUUUUGUUCCAGGCUAACUUGAAAGUCUCCUUUACCACCAUUUGGGAAGGCUCAUUAUCAGCAAUUAAUCUCCCCACCAAAUGGAUGUUGUUAUCAAAUAUUUCCUCCAAGUCUAAACUGUCUUCAAAGGUAAUAUUAAGGCAGUCCAUCAUCUCUUCCUCGAUAUCCAUAUGAACUUUGAAAAGAAAGACCACCUAACCCACAAAUACUCACAGUAGAGAUAUCAGAAUAAGUAUAAAACUCACAGCACGGAAGCUGGAGUUAGUAAGAACCCACGACCUGGAGCCAGAGUUAUAAGCCAAUAAUUUUGCAAAUUUCAGCUACACAUUUGAUCAAACAGGUGGUGUGCAUGCGCGGGGGAAUUGUUCUUCACCACUUUCUUCUACACCAAUGUUCUCUUAGACAACACUAUUGGAGUGUACCCUUUUCCUUGCUCUACUUCUCACCACACCUAGACCUGCAAUUCCUCUCUGGAGGUGGGUGACUGCUGAGUGGUGAAGAUGUUGAUAGGAUUAAAAGCACACCACAAAGUAGUACACAAAUGUCCUAUUGAUUUUCCUUAUUAACACUAAGAUUUGUCAAUUGUAGCAUAUGAAAAAUAAGGGUAUUUCCCGUAGAAGAUUGUUUUAUCUAACUACUUAAAAUGUCACAAAAACUGGGUUGCUGUUCCUACUGACCAGCUAUCGAAAAAUAAUUAUUAGACUAACUUACACUUAUCUAAAGUCUACGAAAUUUUAUAUGAAGACACUAGACACACAGAGCUACAAUCACACAAAUUUUUGGAGAUGAUUUACUAUUUAAAUUAAAUCGAACAAAAACAGGACAGAAACAAAUUUCAAGUAGUUCACAAAUUAAGACAAACAAGUUAGGGGAAUUACUAUCCACCACCAAAUAAUCAUGCAAACAUGUUAUGUUUCAUUCAAAUUCCUUUUAUUUCCGAAUGAAGAUGCUCAAGUUGGCUCAAUGUUAAAACUCAAUCUAUUACUCUUUCUUAUGUAGUAUGUUAAGAGAAUGUCGUUUUCAACUUAACUUAGUCCCUAACAAGCAAUCUAGAAUGACGUGUUCAUAGAUUUAACAAGUAGAAAUCAUUAAGAACGAAAAGAGUUUGAGUCAUCACAAUGCAUCGUAAGUACUGGCGUUGUCUUACUUAUCCUAUAAAUUGGUUCACAUGUUAAUCGCAAUUAACAAGUACUACUCUAGAACAUAUGUAGGUCCUCAUUCGACAAGAGCAGGCACACAAAUAUUCAUAGCAUUAGAAUCAUAGAUAUGCUUACUAAGUAUGCAUCUGUAGAAAACACAUAAAUAAUUCAUCACUGAGACAAGUAGUGAACCAAUUUUCAUCAUUUCAUAAAAGUAAUUCAAACAAAAUGUCAUAACAAACUUACAAUCAUAUUCGGGGCUUCAAAACAGCCCCUAACUACUAAAAAUUUAGUUACACAUAAUUCUCAAAUAAAACCAAAAGAAAGACAUGAGUUUGAGAAGAUAAAACCGAAAGAAGAGAAUGCCAAGAUAUCCUCCUUUCCUUUUCUUCCUUCCCCAACGCUGCUGCCUUGCCUUUUUUCCUUCCUUUUCGUUGCAACCUGCAGCCUUGUUUUUUUUUCUUUCUUUUUUUUUCAAAAUUAUUUCUAUAAAAACUGCCCUUUAUUUCCUCCCCUAACGCUGAUUUUAAACCAAUUAUUGCUACAUUCUUUUUUUCUCCAUAACUCCCCCCACUAAUAGCAAUUUCGUGAUGACAAUAAGUGAGAGAAAAUGGUAAAACAAUUGUAACUCUUUGGGCAACCUUUAUGCCAAUUACUCCCACUUAAUCCUCAUCUUUAAUUCCAUUUCCUCUGAUAUUUGAAUAAGUGUCAGCUGGCUUGUUCUUGACUGCAUCAGUUUUGGCUGCUAGAUUUAUUGAGUUUAUUGCUUUCAUUGCAGUUACAAACUGCUCUGUCUCUUGUGACCUUUUUAGUGUUAAAACGGCCAUAACUUCUUUCAGAAAAAUGAUAUUAGCAAUCCAUGAAAUGCUUCAGAAAAUAGACAUCGGUAACUUUCCAAGCAUAUAAGGCUCAUUCUCUAAUUCAUUCUGAGCUGUUCGUAACUUGCUUCCAAAGUCAGCUGAUCUACAUAGACUGUUUAGACGAAUUUGUUACUUAAAAUCCCACUUGUGCUAUUUUUCUUUUCUUUGCUUGACAAAUCCCACAAAACACAAAAACAAAGUAAAUAGCUAAAAAAUAUAAGGAACUAACUAAGAAAAGACAAGUGAAUUUGAUGUAAAAUAUAUAUAAAUAUGAGCUUAUCAGAUGUGAGAGAAUUCAGAGAUGUGAGUGUUGUGCGUGAAAAAGUAAAGAAUUUUUUUUGCUGUAAGAUCUAAUUUCAAACGAUUUGGAUUUUAUUGAUCCUCCCCUUCUGGAAUAACAUUGAUCUGAAGGAUCCUCCUCCCUUGAAAGUAGAGACACCAUCAGAAAAUACUAUCGUUACCGCUCAAAAUUUGCAAGUCAAACUCAAAUGGGUGUGCAUGCUCACAUAUCGUAAGGUUAACAUAGUGAAUAUAAUCAACAACUGUAGUAAAAUGAACACAAGAAUAUGUAGUGGUCUGCCCAUAACAGGGCUACGUCCACUGCAAUUUGUUUAAUAUAUUUCCUGAGAUUAUAAACAGGACUACAUCCGCUACAGUCUAUUACACAAGACUUAGGGGUGGUUUGGGAGUGAGGUGCUUAAAAAAAAACACCCAUGAAAAAAAGCUGUGAGGAUUUUAGGUGUUUGGUAAACUGAAAAAAAAAGAAGGCUUAUUUUGGAAGAUGCUGUGAGAAUAAGCUGAAAUCAAAGGAAAAAGCUGAAGCUGCUAUUUGCAGCUUUGGAAAACUGGCUUUUUUUUAAAGCACACGGAGCUACAAUGCUCAUUUAAUGAAAAGACCCACUAUCAGACUACUUUUUUUUUUUUUUCCAAAAGCACUUUUACCAAAAAAGUUUACCAAACACUCUGCUGAUUUAUUUCACAGCCGCUUAUUCUCACAGCAGCUUUUUUUUCAAAGCACAACAAUACCAAACCAGCCCUUAGAGUUUUGAUAACUCAUUGGAAUGACUUUAUGAAAUAUGUCAAAUUUACUCUCAUUGUGGAACACACGUGAUAAUUUCGCACGACAAACAAACUAUGUUAGGGAUAUUUUCAUAUUGCAACAACUAGGAAACUACAAUGAUCAAAUUCGAUACAACUGAAAAUAUAUUAAACAAAAUUAAAAUUUUGGGUUUAAUGCUAUGUAUUAUUCAUUUCUACGGAUGUUUUAACUGUCAAACUUUUACUAGGAUUUUGAAUCUCAACCAUUUAUUCCGUAAUUCAAUUAUACGAUAUUUAUAAAAAAAUCCAACUCAAGAACUAUAGUCAUGAAUCAGAUUUGGAAUAGGGCUCUAUUUGAUUGGACCAUUUGGUUUAUCCCAACUGGCUAGGGGUUACUGGAUUUUUAGAACUUGGGUCUGUAGACUUACCCGGUUGCAGAGAAGCAUCGAAAAUCCGAACGAUAAGGUGUUUUUCAGACAUGGGAGAGGUAGUAGAAAUACUGCCGGAGCACCGGAACUUGUUCGCAGAAUACUAUAUGAUCGUCGUCGCUUUCCAAUUCUUCUCCUGUGGAUGAGUUAAAGAGGUAAUUUUUCCAAAAUUUUUCCGUAGAAAAAGCAAUCAAUCAGAGGGGGCGAAUCAAAGGUCUUAAAUUAUUUGUGAAUUAAUAUUGUGAAAAGAGUGUUAGGUGCCUCACAUCUUGAAGGAGAAGCUCCUUUGAGUAAUGCAGUGGAGAAAUUUAGAAUUUUCCUCCGUGGAUUUUUAUUUGAUUUUAGAUUUUUGAGUGCUUGCAAGCAGCUACUACGCUCCCAGCAGUAGGGAAUAGACCCGGUAAAGGAAACAAUCAGACUGGGAGAGGUAAUAGAAACCUAAACCGGAGCAACCGGAGCUUGUUAUCAGCUCCGAUUGUAUUCAUUAUCGUCGCUCGCUUCCAAAUUCUUCUCCAGCUAGAGCAGUUAAAGAAGGUAAUUUGCUCAACGAUUUUUCACUUGCAUUCAAACAAUUUAAUCGUAGUUUGGUGCGAAUUUAAGCUCUUAAUCAUUUGUUUGAUGCUUUAACUGCAAUGUUGUGUGAAAUUAAACUAUAUUUUUGGGUGUUUUUUGUGUGAUUUUGUGUUGGCAGGGAGUGAAGAGUGCUACGGCACCCGAUUGCGGGAGAAAUUAAAGACAUCUUAAAGGAGGCAAGCUACUCGUCGCAGUGAGUGAUUUUUAUUGGUCAAUCAUAUUUUCCCAAUUUUUCAAAAGGAAUUUUAAUGCUGGCAAGUUUGAGCCUUGCAUUGCCGUAGCCAAAGUAGCUUUUCGAGUAGUUUGGAUUUUAGCAGUGUGGUGAUCUUCAAGUUGGAAUCCACAUUUCGUCGAGCAGUUGCGCAGUCUGCGUUUUCUCGGAGUUUGCAGUUGCUAAACAAGGAAAAUUUGCAAAUUUAUUGCAUAUAUUUCAAAUAACUUAAAUUCUGGGGCAAAUCUCAUCCAUUUGUUUUUAUACGAAAUAAUGCAAAUAUACAUAACUAUUUGGGGUUUGUAUGUAUCCUUUUCGUCCCACAGAGGGUAAACUAUAUUUAAAGUUGGGUCAAUAUUUGUUUGUAUAUUAUACACUUUUCAGAUAUUUAUUUUAAUAAUUUGAAUCAUAAUAAAUAUUUUAUGCAGAAUUUUCUUGGGUAAGUAGUUGGUUCCAUGGUCGAAAGAUUUACAAUACGACCAGAUUUGUUUUGCUUAAUUUACUUGUAGGAGAUUUUUCAUAGACUUUGUGUAAUUUUAUGUUGAUUGUAAGUUAAAUGCUAAAGUUGGAAGCCUGAGCUUAUUUUCUUAUUUCUAUACAGGUUGGACAUAUGUUGUGCUUCUAAAUGUUGUGCUGUUACCUGGUUCUUAAGAUUUCUCUGUUUACAUCCAUUUCUUGCGAUUGUAUCUGGAGGGCCUGUAAAAAGGAGUUGGUAUUUGUACCGAAGUCCAGCUCUUCUUUUUAAAUUUAUUAUUUUGAAAGACAGUUUAUGUUCUGACAAGGUACUGUUCUGUGCAGGCAAGAUGUUGUGCAUACUGGACAUGCGGGGCUGGAAAAGUUGUAAAAGCCUAUGUUUAGGCAAAUGAGCGAGUUAUACUUUGGAUUUGUUCUUGUUUCAGCAAGAUGAUAUCAUGGAGGGCUGGAGGAGUUGUAAAAAUAUUUGUUAUGGUAAAUAAAGUUGAGAUUACUUGAUUGUUAAUUCUCAUAUCGUUUAGGUGCCAUAUUGUGUUCUUGUAAGCAAGUAAAUGAUGUAAACAACACUAGGUACACUGUUACUUUCGUGUUGAACGCUGCUGAUGUUUGCAUACUACUUAUCUUGGGUCAGAAAGAAAAGAGAUGGUCUUUGUUUAGCAUGCGAUAUAAAUCAUCUUAAAUAAAGGUUUGAAUAUUGCUUCUGAUUCUCUGCAGGUAGGAAUUAUUCCUUGGUUGAUAUUAUCGACCAGGGUUAGCAAGUUUGUAUGUCGACUUGCCAAGUUCUAGAGGUUAGAUGAUUUCUGUCCUGCCAAGUUUUCAUACACAUGUUAACGUGGUUUUGUUUUGACUAUUACUUCACGAUAUCUUUAGUCAUGAACUUAGGAUUGUUACCUGCUCAUUUAAUUUGUAUCAGUGAUGUGCAGUACUAUUUUGGUCGUCUGUGUAAAUUGAGUUUAUUGUUUAUCUUAAAAAACUAACCUCUUGAAAAACCCUUUCUUUGAAGUAAUUUAUUAAAAUCCAGCAAAAUAAUGUGAUGCUUUUUAUGUUUGGUAAUCAAAUGCCUAUGCGAUCACCGACAACCAUGCCCAUGAUGGAAUUAAUAGUGGAUCCAAGAGAAAAUAAAGAAAUAUGAUACUUGGAGCGCAAGACUUCAAUGCGAACUCAAACUCACAAAUGAGAAGAAAGGUACGACAAAUAUUAUUUAUUCUCUAGUAGAAUUGACCGGAACGCUCUUAAUUAAUUGAGCGCUGUGCCAAUUUUGUUCAUAUCGCAUUGAAAGUAUGAUGCGGGUAAUCCCAUGGUAAUAUGCAUCUCAUGUACUUGAAUGAAAAAGAACGAGGAAAUUUAUGCCUGAACAUUAUUCUUGGCACAUCUAAUACUAGUAUCUUGGCGACCGGAAUAUUCAUGGAUUUAGCCAAGGCAAAGAAGAAAAGGCAUCCUAGCACACAAGUAGCGACAGCAAGUCCUGGCGAACGACCACUCGGUACCACAUAUGUGCCGGUAUUGAAUGCAACCACCAUUGCCAUUAAGGCAAACAAAGUAAAGGAUAACGAAAGCAUUCAAUCAAAAAUUCAGAAAUCACACCAAUUCCCAUAAUCGAAAGCAUUCAAUCGAUAAUUCAGAAAUCAUACCUUUAAUCAAUCAAUCAUACUAGCGUCCACUAGCUUAAGUAUAGCAUGCAAGGUAUGCUAGCAUCAACUAGCUAAACUCACUACUGGUAAUAAUCAAUAAUGCUAGUGUCUACUAGGUUAAAAUAUCACUUGCAAAUAAUCUGUGGCCGAGGAUAGUUAUACAACAUAUAUAAGAGAUCAUGUGGUGAAAAUAAAUCACCAAUGAUCUCAAGAUAUCAUCAAAUAUCAGCAUAAGUCUCAUCAAAGACCAACAUAGUAAUAUGCAUCCGCAUAUAAGACAUAUUAUCUAUAUACUAAAACCCGGUAGAAAAGCACUGUUCAUGAGCAGUGUAAUGGCUAAAAUGCCCUUUGAUAUCUUCUUUGUUGCCCUUCGUCUUGUACACAUCUAUAUAGUGUAAAAAUGUUUAGUUUUUCAAAGGGGUCCACUAGCAGGUAAGCAGAGCCUCCUUCCCCAAUAGGCUCCUUGCCUAUAUCCUUCAAAUGGCACAUGCAAUGGUGUGGCUAGGUUCCUCUCAUCCUAGAGAUUAAGAUUUCGAGUUUUUGUAGUUCGAUUUGUGAAGGAAUUAGGGUGGUUCUCUCUCACGGUGGUAGAAAGAGAGUUGAGUUCGAGAGUGUAAAGAGAGAAUGGAGAGAGAGUGAUUUCAGCUGAGGAAAAGAGAGAGGCCGAGAGUCAUGUAAUCUCACUUAAACCCAUUUAAGUAAAAUUACAAAAUUGCCCUCUACUAGUUAAAAUUACAUUUAGGCCCUCAUGAUUUCGUUUCGAUUUACAGCGCUUCAACGUGUAAAACCUACUGUACGAUAUAAUAAAGGUUAUGGAAGAUCACAAUAUCAAAGUACGCCAGGAUUUCAGACUUUCUGAGUCGACUGCUAAUAAAUUAUUCUUAAGUGGCAACCCACCCGUUCGUGGUCAAAAUGGCUCAAGUUCAUAUUGGUUUCAGGGUAACUAAAUAUAACAAGACUUGCUUAGGAUCAACGUGAUAACAAAGUUCUCUCUUACACAGAAGAAUACCGAAUUAAUUGAGGUGCGUUACAACUUAUUACACAUGUCAACCGAGUACCUCAGGUCCAGCAACUUCCAAGUUGCUCGUUACUGCAUGUCCUCCAUGGAAUAGGUGUUGGCGACGCCAGUUAAGUAUUUAGUUUCUUAUUUCGGAAGUAGAAAAUGGAAAAGAGAGAACUUUGCAAAACGCCAAUACAGUAGAAGAUGAGAAAGGUGCAGCCAGGAGUCAGCAGCAAAGCUGCCCAAGGUGCUAUCCCUGAGAUGAUAUGGGGGAGCUGAGACCCAUGUUAGGUGGUGCAUAUUGUGCGCGUAAAUCUUGUUAAAUGCACCAGACACUCGAUUCCUGCCUAAUACGCAAGAUGAGGCCCAUCUAGGUCAAGAGACACUGUUGCCUAUUGCACAAAUCUGUGUCUCCGUCUUGGUACAAAUGUGCGUCGAAAUGGAUGUGUAUUUUUGUCACGGCAAGUAAACUCCUCACCGUUAUGAAAAGGAGUCAUCCUAAGUUGGAAGCCAUGAAGCAUCGUAGAAAUCGAUAUCUAGAGAACAUAGGGCCAUGAUUGCUAAGUGCUGAGUUAUAUCCACAGCUUCGAAAAACUAGAUAUGUUCUUUAGAACAAGGUUCCUGUCGUAGUAUUCUUGGACAGACAAGGUUAUGGGGGUAAACUCGUGGGGCUAUCCGGUCUCCUUUUUUUUCGCAUCUUGGGAUCCACAUCGGGGCAAUAGUUAUGAGGAACCUGCUGAGCCAUUGACGCUCUGAGUUCUUACCGAGUUGCUCGCCUCCCUAAUUCGUAGCCCACGAAACUCGGAGUUUUCUUUUGCUUUAGAGAUAUGACACUUUCCUCUGCAUGCAUCCUUGCGUGACUAUCUAUAGAGUUUUUCGCUAUCGUUCACCUUCUAUGCCGACUAUGGGCACAUUAUUUGUGGGUGAUUAUUCAGAGUAUUCUUGAGCUCUUGAAAUGGUUCUACUCUAGUACCCUGUUCUGAAAUUCGAAGUAGAUGUCCAUAAAAUUUCCUCAAGUCAGCACGUUAGGAACACUAAAAAUACUACUUUAAUUAUUAUCAUUGGGUUCAAAACAAACCCAUCUCCGAGAGCAAUUCAUAUACAGUGUAUGUUGCGGACAGAGGUCGACCAAACUGAAUGGCGUGAGCACAGUGCAGAGAAUGAUGAUUUUAUAACCGUUCCACAAACUACGGUGCUGAGUCAUCGAUGAAUGUAGGCAAUGCGAGAAAAGCGGUUAAGUUUGUGUGCAUCUAAGAUUGACACCUGAACACCAAUUCCAAUCAGAGGCUUUCACAGUAUAGUCUCAGCUAGAGUCCACUAUCGCAAAUAUGGGUCAGUAAAUGUAGACAAGCUAAAGAGCUGGCUAUAGGGUGAAUGGAUGGGUGGUGUGAUCACCAUGCCAACAUCAGCGCUUUAGCCCAUUUCCAAACACAAAUGACCAAUAAGUUGCAUAAUGUACCGGUUCACAUGCAAAUGGAAAAUUGCCAAUUUGGCAAUGUAUUAACAUGAUGUGGACUUUUUGGCCUAAAUUAAGUGUGCCAUGUGUGGGUGGGAGAACUAUAUCGUACAUGAUUGAUGUUAUGGCGGAUUAUUGGUAAAGAAGUGCUGAUUACGUGACUAUUGUAAUUACAAAUCUAUUCCAUUGCUUCAGAACAGCGAAAGCAGCUGCAGUGUUGUAACGCUACGAAGACUAUGGCAAUUCGGAAUGCAGAAGGGCAUCUUGAGCAAACGGAGGGCCGUGUGGCUUUUCAACCAUUUGGAGAAAACAACAUACAUCCUCCUCUUCAUACCUUUAAUUUGGACACUGGAUCGUAUUAACUGUGCCUGUACGGAGCCCUUGUCAAAGAAAUAAUGACCCAAGAGCACCGUACUGACCAUGAUUUCGGCUUGUUCUCACCUGGAUCUUGUUUGAUUGGGUCAACAAGUACAAGUAGGGGCGUACGAAAACAUGAACAUUGUAGCUAGGAUGAGAAAAACCUGAACCACCUGAGGUACUAUGCAGACUAAGUGUCUUAGACUGCACAUCCAGAUUGGGCAGUGGAGUCAUUACUAGCGGACAGACAAAACGUGCUGUUCGAACCUGUGAAAAGUAGGCCUAGAUAAGAGACACCCAGACGAGUUGUCCUACCCACAUGACGAAUCAAGAUAUUGAAUGUCUGAAUUAGAAACUCAUUCAGAUCGUGGGCAUUAGAGUCAGAACAGCGAUGGUUGUAUGUGUGCGGCUAUCGGGACGGAACUUUAAAGGAUAUACUCAACCAUCUUGCUCAUCCGACAAGCUAUGGCAUGAGUAUUCUGCUAGGGCAAUUGUAGAUAGGGCUAUCAGGUUCACUUAGGUUUAUGUGGAACACUGGACUCGCUUACGAUGUAGAGCGCUAGUGGAUUUUACUCUAAUUGUCGAAUGCAUUGGAAAGGUUGGGAGGCUACAAGCCUGCUCAAGCAAAACACUGAACAAAUAUCACCUACAUUCAGUCGCGAAGCGUAUGCGAACUCGACGAUGGCUGAACCGGAGACUCACUACCUUGCAAAGUAGACUAUCUCUGAUGCAAAGUUGUGAAUGGCAUUGAUGCGCUCCGCUAGUAUAUACCUGAUAUACUUGUGGAUGACUGUGCUAGCUCUAUGCUGCGUUUGGGCGAAAAAUGGGCGACAAGACUGAAGGAUUCCUUGGUGAUAACUAGGAGUUUUAUGAUGGAAGACAUGAAAAAAGGUGUGUGAAGUAAGUGGCAAGUUCUUUCGCUAAAACUUGACACAGAUAACGAAUAAAAAAAAAAGCAGUCACGCACUCCAUAGACCUGAACGAUUAUUCGAAAGACCCAUCCGCCGCCGAAGUUCACUCCGCCUGUUACAGCUUCGCCUCAGAGCGCGCUCCGCCCACCGCCCGUGUGCUCAGUCACGCACGUGGACGCCUGGCUUUCGUCUAUUCUGGGCUCAAGAUCCAUUCGUUGACUCCCCUCUGGUUUCUGCGAUUUGGUCUUAGUCUAGUAGAUUAAUAAUUUCUCUCCGAGUCUCAGUUCCCAAUUCUUAAGCAUAUGAGACGUAACAAUAUACACGUGGAAACAACUCAGGAUAGGCAAUAAAUCCCGGAAGAGUAGAUAACAUUAUAGCUCCACCUAUUACAACAUGUGAUUUUAGAAAAAUGUACAAAAUUUGUAUAGUUCAAUAGGAGGGCAAGUGUAAACAAGCCAUAGCCUUGUAACUUCCAAUGAAUAAAGACAACAUUGUACGUAUCAUAAUUUCUCUCACCUAUUUGGUUUUUUCAAUAACUGUAUAUAUUUUAGAUUGGCACACUAAUUUGUUUUGAUCAAUAGAAUGAGAUUUGGAUUAAAAAUAAAGGACUUGAUAUGGUUCAUCUGACUUAAAGUCCAAUUCUACUAUAUAGACGUUUAUAUUGAAAAUUCAGCCAUAAAGUAUAAAAAAUGUGAGAAAAAUAUAUCUAUAUAUACAAAUAGCACCCAACACACUCAGGUAACGAAGGAGCAAAGAAACUGAAUGCGAUUAAAAAAUAUGUAGGUGUAGACAAGCAGGGGUGUGACAGUGACCCAUUGGGCCUUAGGGGUUAAAGAAGAGAUUCGAGUACGCAAUAUUAAACCGUACAAACCCUUGACAAAUUUACCAAAUCUUGAAAUUUGUGACCUAAAAACAAUUCUAGAGGUGGAAGAAAAAAUUACUAGGAUACCUAUACCUCAUCCCACAGGCGUGAAGAUUACCAUCAAUUAGGAUACAAAACUUUCGUUAAAUAAUUUAAACACCGCGAAGCGGCUAUUGUAUAAAUUCAGUUUGAAGCAAUGGAUACUGGCAUGAGUAACUUGCCCAAUUAUUGGUUUGGGGAAAACACUGUUUUGGUUUUUUUUAACCCAAGUCUCACAAGGGAAAAUCUUUUAAUAUUUAUCUUUAUCUCAUACCAUUUAUCAGACUUAAAAAUUUCUAGAUUUCACUAAAUUACAAACAAUAUAAAUACAUAAGAUGCUCAUAAGACUUAUCGAGAAAAUUAGAGGCUUACAAUCCAAAUAGAAUUUACAAUAAAUACUAAAUAGAGGAGUUAUCAAGAUACCCAAUAGAAAUUAAUAAAGUUUUUCAAAAUCACAAAUGAUAAAUUGGAAUAUACAUUACCCGAAUAAGGUAGAAAUUCAUUGUAUCACUUACAAGCUGACAGAGUCGGAAGCAUAUAGGAGAGAGAGCAUUGAUUGUAGAACUAUUGAGUUCUGGGUAAUAGGCCUACACUUACAAAAAGCAUAAACCAAAAAAACUAUAUUAAAUUAGAGUAGAAGAACAAUUAAGUUGAAACCAUUUAGGAUACAAAUUACCACUAAAAAAUAAAGCAUAUUUUUCCUUUGUUUUCUCUUCUUCAUUUUCUGUAAAAAUUAGAACAGCAAUUAUCAUUUGUGGCCCGUUGGUGUCCUGGUGAGAUAAGUUUUACUUAUCUAGUCAUUGCCGCGUAAAAGCACUAACCCACAGUGAGGUAUGCAAACGGAGUACAAGGAUAUCACCAGAUUAAUUUUUAGGAGUCAAAGUGUAUACCUCUAAGAAGGGUUGCACACCCUCCCCCUAGUCUAAUGGGCAUUUUUCAUCUAGCAUAACUUCACUAGCACAGUAUGAAGGUGGGUUUAGAAUUAGAUUAUUGUUUGUAUAGUUAUUUUGUGAAACUUUUUAGGAUUAAUUUUCUUUUUUUGUAUUUGGUAUUUUCCUAAUUUCCAGAGUAUCAAUAAUGUUCACCAAUACAACAAUUGUUAUAUAAUGUAGGUUUUUUAUUUUUUCAAAUUUAAUUGGAAUAUUAUUUUUAAUUAUGUGUUAAUAAUUUAUUUUUAAUAUAUAUAUUAUAUUUAUAAAUAAUAUUAUUAAUUGUUUUUCGGUAUGGUACGGUAAUACCUGUGGUAUGUAUCUCAUUACUCCAAUACCUGUUACCAUGAAAUCGAUACGGGUCAAUGACCGAUCAUUACGAUUGUACAAAAAAUAUUGGCCAAAAUCGAGGUAUGAAAGGUUUGGAAAUUGUUGGUCACGGCAAUUAGCAAAGAAAAAAUUCACCCCUAAGCCAUGGCAAGCAGUGGAGUGGGGUUUUGCCUGUGGAAGUGCAUCUGCUGGGCUUCUUUUUUUGGGUCGUCAAAGAUAAAUUUUAUAAAUAUAAGAUUCGGUAUCAUUUAUUGAAUAACUAGACAUACAUCAAAGAUUUUUUUUAAUUAAUUUGAAAAUUGACAUUAACCACAUAUGAGUAAUACUGAAAAAAAACACUAAUUAUCUACUACAUUACCGCAGCAAAAUUAAAAAAAUUGAAAACGGAAAUGCGCAAUCUAAAGCACAAAAUUUAGUUAAGUUGUCAUGCACUCACAUAUUAUAUCAUGCUUCAAGUCACAUUAUGCAGUACAUUCGCCAUGUCUUGUCGCAAGAAGUCAGCUGUGCGCAACUUGCAUUGCGAAUUCCCUGGUCGUCAAUAACUCAAGUUGGAUCUUAUCCUUCUUUACUCUUCACUCUUGAGUCCUCCAAAUCUCAUCCAUUGUUCCUAUUUCAUUUAAAUUCCCAUCAUCACAGUUCAAAGAUCACAAGUUCUUUCUGGAUUACUCUAUUGUUAUUAGGUGGCGCAAAAAGGUGUAUUCCACGUCUUGUCGAGGAACAGCGUGAACAUAAGAAAUAAUUUCAACAAAUGGAUCAUGAUGCCACAUUCAUACUGAUCAGCAGGCCAGAAGAAGCUGCAAACGGAUAAGAUUUUAGUUACUCGACCAACUAGGCUUCGUUUAAGACUAAUCGAGGGCCAGCUAAAAUACCCAAAUUGUGAGUUUUCGCCUGAGAUCAGUUUUUAAGCACGACGUAAGGUAAAACCUCGGGCGGUCUUCUAUUGGGCUCAAUCUCUUUACCACAGCGACAAACGUAUGACAUAUGGUCAAAUCUUGUAACUUCGGACACAUUUAAGGAGAAUGUUUGAAGGCAGUCGGCCACUGCUUGGCGUCGAGACCGUCUAGCCUACUGGGGUGCAUGUAUAGAAUUAAUGGUUUGGUUGUUUUGUGUACGAUUAGUUAUAACCCAAACAGUGAUUUGCGUUACCGAAACCUCAUUGGCGGCACCUUUUGAGGCAUGACAGACCGACCUAGGCUCUUCUUCUGUUAAGACUCGGCCUUGCUCAAGGUCGCCAUGGUGACGAACUUUUAUUGCCUGAUCGAUAAGAACUCCAACUAUAUCAACUAGCCCCUUUCUCGCCGCUAGGUGUAAGGCAGUCUCACCGCUCUUAUUGUGCAGCCAUAGUAGUGCGGGACACAUUUCAAGGAUAUCCUUCACAAUCCCGGCUGACUCCAGUGUGUUUUGUCCGAAUGUCGGCCUGCUUAAGCACGCUAUAUAAACAUGAAGGACAGUGUUAUUUGUUGCAGUCAGUUUUAGGUCAAGAUGUUCAACAUGUUCCCUGAGGGCAUCAAGGUCGCCUUGUUUCGCAGCACGAAACACAUCAAGUUCCAUGCUACCUAUCGAAACUGUAUUAUUGCCUUCUUUAGUAGCUCCCUCCUUGGUCUGAACUGCUAAGCGAUCAGUACUACGAGCACUCUCGGCCUGAUCAGUUGAAUGGGAGUGAUCCAUUUUUUGAUAUUUCGUUAUUACGUGCUUAGACAAGGGGAGCUUUUGGCCUAAUACAAGUAUAAUCAGAAAGAACUUGUUGAUCUUUGAGUGGAUGAUGGGAAUUUGAAUGAAAAGGAACAAUGGAUGAGAUUUGAGAGGCUCAAGAGUGAAGAGUAAACAAGGAAUACAAGAUGAGAUCAUUUAUAGAGCAGGAAUCCAAUGCAAUGCCACACUUCUGCAAAGAUGCC
rnacentral:lncRNA from 1 species